rnacentral:lncRNA from 1 species
UCCGCAGCCUCCUCGUAACCUUGCUCAUGAUAUCACUUGUUAGAAUAAAUUCGAGGCGCUCCGUCGAUCUACCAAGGACCAAGCAAUCACACUAGGCACGACACCGAGAUUUGUUAACGAGGUUCAUCGAUAUGGCUACAACCCCGGGGCCUGACUACGGGCGCUCCUCCCCGUGACACCGUCACAAUACCGCACAUCGGCCACCCAGGCGCCGGCACACCCCGCCGCCUCCCCUGCGUACCUGUGCUAUUAUGUUGGCAUAGGUUACAUCGUGUGUCUAUCCUUGUUAUAUAUGAGAGACCUAGGAUAGAAGUGUCCUACUAGGACACGACUCCAUACCUCGUCUACACACCGUAUGACUCGAAGUCCAACUGUAACCUAACUUGUACAAUAAUAUUCGACACAACUCUAACACUCACGGUAGCUCAGGAAGGUAGCAUUGAGGAUCUAGCUGCUUUGUACUUGGACGGGGCACCAAUAAAUCCAUGGCGGCAGCCUCGGCUGGUGGAUCAACGCUUUCUCUACAGUGACCGGUACUCGUCGAUUCCGCCGUCCUCCUCGGACGUGGGUGCGGCGAAGUGGUCAUGGUUUGUGCUUGUGCUGUGGGUCUCCUUGGGGGAGGCCGAACCCGAUCUAGAGCCGUCCAUCUUCUUCAACCUUGGCAGCCUCCACCCAAUCUUACCUUUGGUGGCCUGCGGUCACCGAAGCCGGUCAUUUAUGCACCAGAGAAAUCCAAGGCCAGUUGUGCUGACCACGACGACCCUGCUUCAUGUAGGCGUCGUCCAGGUUGUCCCCUUACCCCCUCCUCAUUCCCACUUCUCGUGUAGAAGGUGAAAACCUAGAUCUUGUCCAAAUUGGGCGGCAACAGAGCUCCGAGUGGCGUCACCCUGAUGGGGGUGCCAUCAUUGGUGCGCAUGGGGUGGAUGUGUACUUUUCUUGUUGUAUGGAGGUGGAUGGUGGCUUGGUCUUAGCUCUGUGUAAGCUCGCUCUUGUUCGUCUUCUUUUGGUGCUCUGUCCCCCUCCCCGCUCAUCCGUUUGUGUUAGGAUCUACGGUUGUUGUGGCUUCUGAUCCGGCGUGCAUCGUUCGCUAGGUUUCUGUGGGUGCAACCCAGCCAGCCCUACUUUGCAUGGACCUGCUCCUCGUGGGCGAUGUGCCCUGUUCGGUUGGGUCGGUAUCCCGGCCUCUCGGUUGAUUAAGUCAUUCCGGAAGCACUUUUUGUGUUUUGCAGAUACCAACUGAUUCUAGUUAACAAUGUAACAUGCAAAUUGAACUAUUUUCAAUCAUGUGGCUAUUCUACUGGUGUUUAGUUUUGAUUGCUUGUUAAUGUACGUUGUAGUCAUGCGUACCAUCACCCCACUACAAAGUAAGAGCAGAGAGUAGUCAAAGUUCAGUAGAGUAGCAUGUCGUUUCCUUCCCUGUUCAGUCUUAUUUAGCCUAACUUGCUUGUUUUUUUUUCUUUUUGCUGAGCUCCUCUAUACUGGUGCAUGUUCGAUGAAAAGAAUGUGUGAAGUGAGAAUCAAAUAACUUUAGCUAAGUUAACUCCGCUUUUCAGGUUAGCAUAUCAUAGCAAAGAAACCUAGACAAGAAAAAUUGAGAAAAUAGAAGUUUGUAUAGGUAAAUUACUACUCCCUCCUAUCUGUAUUAAUUGUUGCAGAUUUACUACAGAUAGGAGGGAGUAAUAGCUAAUGAUUUUCACUGUAGAAAUUCAAACCAUUUGUCAUUGUGAAGCAAACGAGUAGUUUGAGGAAGGCUCUAAAGCAAGUCUCUUGACCAAACAAGUCUCCACUGCACGAAACUGUAAUAAUCUAUGUGUCACGGGAGUGCUACUAUUCUGAAACAGAACAAUGUGGUGUGGUAAUAUCUUGUGAAGUACUCCCUCCGUACCAAAAUAUAUGAUAAUUUCCGGUUUAAAUGGAACUGCAAAACCGUCUUAUAUUUUGAUACAGAGGUAGUACUACUUUUCAAUCGUGAGGGAGGCUGGAAGUAAACAUGGUGUGGUAACAUCUUGUGAAGCACAUUUAUCUAUUUCCCUGAAUUCAAAUGUUGGUGAGGCACAAUCCUACUAGAGCAUGUACAAUGCACAUGUUUUUUCUACUGUGAGUGCUAGAGAGAAUCUUUUUUUCUUUGUUGUAUCAGAAUUUCUCGGUACUGAUUUCCUUCAUCUUUUUGCCUUCCCAUUAUACCCAACUAGUAUUACCGCCUUUUGCAUUUGAGAACAAAAAUGGUCACAUGAGUGCCUAUUGUGCAGCUAAUUUUCCAUGAAGCAUAUGUAAAGGGAUUUUCCAUUUGAGAGAAUGAGUUGUAAAAAAAUCCUCAUCGCUAGCUCUGCUCUAUUUUGAGACUCACUUGAAUGCACUUUGCUUCGCGUGUGUGUGCCCUUACAAGUUCAAAGCGCAGUGCUUGUGUAACUGCAAGUCAGGAAAGAAGGAGCAUUACAGGCUUAAUUUUGUGGCAAACAUUGAGAGUAUCAUGGCCCAUGCUUUGUCACCCAAAUAAUGUUGGAGAGUUUCUAGUCCUGCAAAAUAUCGUGCAACCUUUAAAUAUGAUGGCAAAACAUGAAACUGUAAGUAGACAUCGGGAAAGGAAACUGUUAACCUUUGGAACUAUCCACUCUCGAGAUUGGCCAGGACACCGCAUCGGCAAUGGGAUCUGGAAUUAAGAAAAGCUUUUGGACGUGAGUAUCUAAGAAAAUAGUAGUUGGAAACAACACUCUAUUUUCAGUGUCACGAGCCAAAAUAGAUUUACAGUCAGUAAAUGUUACCAUGGUAUUUUUGUUUUCCUCCAAUAUUGUGGACGAUUUGAAGUUGGAUAAAGAGAUAAACAAAUUAGUAUUCAUAUCCCACUCACUUAAUUGGGUAUCCUAAGGCAGAAGGUAUAUAUAGGACUCCCAUACAGAAUCAUGUGGUAGGUGUGAGCUAACCAUCCAGGAAACAUUGUUCACAUCAUUUGCUACACGAGAGUGCGCUACAAAAUCAUGCAUGUGGCCAUUUAACUUGUAUGUUUAGUUAUCGAUCCAUUUCCUAGGAAGUAUGGCUAUGAACAGAGUGAGUAGAAACAUUGUGUUUGAUUGGAGGAUAAUGCAACACAUGUUCACGAGAUAUAUACCUGUUGCAUCAACUGAGGAAAACAGGAUUGAGAUUAGCCUAAACUGCGGAGGAGAACCAUCAACUGAGGCCGGAAUUAUGAAUGGUAGAACAGAUUUGCCGAAACAUCCACUGCAUGUAACUGACUUUUGAAAAAAGGAAACUGCUAUAAUGUCUUCGUCUAGCGAUUCACGAAGCAAUGUUGCGCGAUCGAGGUUCAAAUUUACACAUAUGUUGAAUGUGAAAAUUGACACACAUCAUUGCUCCAAAGUUUAGACAACUGGAGAUAAGAAUGCAUCUCUCACAGAUGGUUAACUAAUUACCUACCAUGGCACCGUUUUCCUUAGCAUCUUUUGCCAUAGACAGAGUAUCCCAACUUGUACAAAAUUUGGGGGAAUGGUGAAGGAGAUAAUACACCCACAUUACAACAUAUCUGAACAAGAAAAAAACGUGAAGUUCACCAAAGCCGAUAAUAAUCAUGACACAGCCUAGUGCAUUAUUUAAAGCAAACACAUUUUUUUCCAUUUCCAUGCGGUAUUCGUCCUAUUUUCCUCCUAUAAAAAUAAUCUGAACAAGAUUAUUUGAAGCAAAACACAAUUCCCCUUUCCUGCAUCAUAAGGAGAAACAUUUCAGACACCCCAAACGGAUCAAGUGUAUUUCAGACAUCGAUGACAUACUUUUAACUAAUAACAUGAAGAUAAGAAUGCAUGCACUGUGUUCUACUCUACAGAAGACAACCCGAUAAAGUCUGUCAUGCUAGUUAGUUAAACAGUAUCCAAAUGCAUGCAAUGUGUUCUACUCUACAGAUGAUGAUACCUAAACAUACUAGAAAAAAUGGUUAAACAGGAGCUGACACCGCUGGUGCUUCACGACAAUUAAUUGAACAAACAGGUCACGGCCUGACGUUAAGUAGCUGCCAGUACAGGCAUAUAAAGCAGAGGAACAUGGCUCUCCUCUCGGGUGGCCGUCUUUGGCGGCAGCUUGCCACAGCUACGGCUAUGGCUACUUUGUGGAGCAUUACAAACAAGACAAUACUAUAAAGCCAGAAGUAAUCAUACUAUAAAUCUCAAUCACGCCUAGUCUGAUGUAACUUAAACGCUGGUUCAGGAAUAGCAGGGCACAUCACUGACCGACCCACUGACUACUGGAGGCUGUUCUGUAAAGAAACGGGGCUAUAGAAGCAUGUUAGCUAAUCUAGUCGCUGUAGUUUUUCUUCAGUUAGUUUGCUUUCGUCAGACAUAACGUAGCCAGGCGCAUGAGCUCGCGAGUCGUUGUGCGAGCCACGCGCGUAGGCGAUCUGGGUACGAUCGAUGCCCGAUCGAUCGGGGUGGUCAGCCACGAAACCCACUCGUGGGAUGGCACGAGAAUUCGGGAUCAUGGCGCUAGGACCGGGCCACUCUUUCUCUCUGUAACAGAAUAAGUAGAGGAGAUCAAAAACAGAAAAGUCACAAGGUUGUCCGUGACGCAAAAACUCCUGUCUCUCCUCUCAGUGAUCGCAAGCUGUGAGAGAUCGAGCAACCCUGACAAUUGGCAUCAAAGCCGGUUUAAGGUGAUCCCGACGCCCAUGGCUGACACCGGAGCUCAGCCGGACCAGGCGGCGGCGGCACCCCGCAACGGUGGCGGGGGUGGGAGCCGCUCGCGCACUCCACCACAGGAGCGCAGCCGCGGACGGAGCCACGUGAGAAGGGAGUGGCGGGUGGUGAUCCACCAGGCGGUGGCCAUGGAGCGCGCGCCGCUUGUGCCAAGCGCGGGCACCAUGUUCCCGACGCUCACAUCCACGAACUACAUCGAGUGGUCUCUCGUGAUGAAGGUGCACCUGGAGUCUUGGGGGCUCUGGGACGCGAUCGAGGGUAACGCACUGCAUGUGCGUGACGACAAGACGGCGCUCGGCGUCCUGUUCCGAGUCGUCCCCCUAGAGAUGCUUGGCGUCCUCGUCGUCAACGAGACGGCGAAGGAGGCCUGGGACACGAUCAAGGUCAUGCGCAUGGGGAUGCACCGUGUGCGCGAGGCCACCACGCAACGCCUGCGCGCGGAGUUCGAGCAGAUCACCUUCCGCGACGGCGAAACUCUCGACUCCUUCGGCAUGAGGAUCACCGCCCUCGUCAACCAGCUGCGCACGCUGGAGGACAACGUCGAAGAGGUACGCAUGAUCCCGAAGAUGCUCCGUGUCGUCCCCGCCCGCUAUGCCCAGAUCGCAGUCGCGAUAGAGCCCCUCCUUGAUCUGACCACGAUCUCGGUCGAGGAGCUGAUCGGUUGACUGCGCACCGCUGAGGAGCGCUGCGGUGGCGGGGCGGCUCAAGCCAGCGGCGGCGGUCGGCUGCUCAUGUCGGAGCAGCAGUGGGAUGCCUGGCGCCGCGAGCGCGAGCAGGGCCAGGGGUCCAGCUCAAACGGCGCCGGCAACGGGAACCGCAACGGGGGCGGCGGCAAUCUCCGCCGUGGCAAGCCGCAGAACCAGAAGUGCGGCAACGACACUCAAAGCCAAGGCGGCGGCAACGGCCGCGACAGCGCCGGCAACGGUGGGCGCGACAUGUCUAAGGUGAAGUGCUACAAUUUUCUCAGCGCUGGACACUGGUGUGCGCGGCGCCGUGAAACUCGGCGACGGCUCGGUGGUUCAGAUCGAGGGGAGAGGAACGAUCCUCUUCCAAUGCGGCAACUGUGAGCUCAUGGUCCUGUCUGAUGUGUAUUACAUCCCAAAACUUUGCAGCAACAUCGUCAGCAUCGGACAGUUGGACGAAAUCGCCUACGAGACCAAUAUUAGUCACGGGGUGCUCCAGCUCCGUGAUCCCAGUGGGCAGACUCCUCGCGCGAGUGCAACGUAACCAGGGGAGGCUGUACGUGCUGCAGCUCACGCCGGCCCAGCCAGUGUGCUUCGCGGCGCAUGCUGGCGAGGAUGCAUGGUGCUGGCAUGCGUGCUACGGCCACGUGGACUUCCGGGCUUUACGUCAACUCGCCCGGGACGAACUGGUGCACGACCUCCCGCUAUUUGACGAGGCGGAUCGUGUCUGCGAGGCGUGCCUCGCCGGCAAGCAGCGUCGAGCACCCUUUCCUUAGCAGGCUCUCAGCAGAGCCGACGAGGUGCUGGAGCUCGUGCACACGGACCUCUGUGGUCCAAUCUCCCCUCCAACGCCAGGAGGGAAGCGUUACUUCCUGUUGCUGGUUGAUGACAAGAGCAGGCACAUGUUGGUGUACCUGCUCGCGACAAGGACGAGGCGCAGCCCGCUCUGAAGCGCUUCCAGGCGAUGGCGGAUCUCGAUUUCGGGCGGCAGCUCAAGUUGCUGCGCACGGACCGCGGCGGGGAAUUCACCUCUGCCAGCCUCGGCGAGUACUACGCCGACAAGGAGGUCAAGCGCCAGCUCACGACGCCCUACACGCCCCAGCAGAACGGCGUGGUCGAGUGCCGAAAUUAGACGAUCGUGGGCAUGGCGCGCAGCCUGUAGAAGACAAAGGGUGUGCCGGCGCAGUUCUGGGGGGAGGCCGUGAUGACGGCGGUCUACCUCCUGAACAGGUCUACGACCAAGAGCGUGGCGGGGUCGAUUCCGCACGAGGCCUGGUGCAGGCGGCGCCCAAACGUUGAACACCCGCGCGUGUUCGGAGCGUCGCGCAUGUCAAAGUGACGCGUCCGAAUCUGUCGAAACUCGACGACGGGAGCACGCCCAUGGUAUCCUGGGCUACGAGCCAGGAUCGGCGGCUUACCGCGUCUACCACCCGCCGUCGAACCGUGUUCUGGCCUCCAGGGAUGUCGUGUUCGACGACGAAGCAGCGUGGGACUGGUCUCAGGUCGCGGCGACAAACAAGGAGCCGUGCUACCUCUUGAGCAUGCAUUGGUUUUCCCUUAAAGAGGAAAGGGUGAUGUAGCAAAGUAGCGUAAGUAUUUCCCUCAGUUUUUGAGAACCAAGGUAUCAAUCCUGUAGGAGACUACAUGCAAAUCGCCUAGUACCUGCACGAACAAUCAAGAACCUUGCAACCAGCACGAUAAAGGGGUUGUCAAUCCCUUCACGGUCACUUGCAAAAGUGAGAUCUGAUAAAGAUAAUAAGAUAAUAUUUUUGGUAUUUUUGUUGUAUAGAUUGGAAAAGUAAAGAUUGCAAAAUAAACGGCGACAGAAAUUGGCAAGUUGACGGGAGAUUAAUAUGAUGUAAAAUAGACCCGGGGGCCAUAGGUUUCACUAGAGGCUUCUCACAUGAUAGCAUAUCUUACGGUGGGUGAACAAAUUACUGUCGAGCAAUUGAUAGAAAAGCGUAUAGUUAUGAGAAUAUCUAGGGAUGAUCAUGAACGUAGGCAUCACGUCUGUGUCAAGUAGACCGAAACGAUUCUACAUCUACUACUAUUACUCCACACAUCGACCGCUAUCCAGCAUGCAUCUAGAGUAUUAAGUUCAUAAGAACACAGUAACGCAUUAGGCAAGAUGAUAUGAUGUAGAGGGAUAAACUCAAGCAAUAUGAUAUAAACCCCAUCUUUUUAUCCUUGAUGGCAAUAAUACAAUACGUGUCGGUUCCCUUUCUGUCACUGGGAUCGAGCACCGCAAGAUUGAACCCAAAGCUAAGCACUUCUCCCAUUGCAAGAAAGAUCAAUCUAGUAGGCCAAACCAAACUGAUAAUUCGAAGAGACUUGCAAAGAUAUUAAAUCAUGCAUAUAAGAACUCAGACAAGAAUCAAAUAUUGUUCAUAGACAAACUUGAUCAUAAACCCACAAUUCAUCGGAUCUCGACAAACACACCGCAAAAUGUAUUACAUCGAAUAGGUCUCCAAGAGAAUCGAGGAGAACUUUGUAUUGAGAUCCAAAGAGAGAGAAGAAGCCAUGUAGCUAAUAACUAUAGACCCGUAGGUCUGUGGUAAACUACUCACACAUUAUCGGAGAGGCUACGGUGUUGAUGUAGAAGCCCUCCAUGAUCGAUUCCCCCUCCGGCAGAGCGCCGGAAAAGGCCCCAAGAUGGGAUCUCACGGGUACAGAAGGUUGCGGCAGUGGAAAAAGUGUUUCGUGGCUCCCCUGGAUGUUUUCAGGGUAUAAGAGUAUAUAUAGGCGAAAGAAGUAGGUCGGUGGAGCUGCGACGGGCCCACGAGGGUGGGGGCGCGCCUCCCUGCCUCGUGGCUUCCUCGCUGCUUCCUUGACUUCCACUCCAAGUCUCCUGGAUUGCGUUUGUUCCAAAAAUGAUCCUCGCGAAGGUUUCAUUCCGUUUGAUAUUCCUUUUCUGCGAAACACUGAAAUAGGCAAAAAAAUAUCAAUUUGCACUGGGCCUUCGGUUAAUAGGUUAGUCUCGAAAAUAAUAUAAAAGAGCAUAUUAAAGCCCAUUAAACAUCCAAAACAGAUAAUAUAAUAGCAUAGAACAAUCAAAAAUUAUAGAUACGUUGGAGAUGUAUCAAGCAUCCCCAAGCUUAAUUCCUGCUCGUCCUCGAGUAGGUAAAUGAUAAAAACAGAAUUUUUGAUGUGGAAUGCUACCCAACAUAAUUUUCAAUGUAAUUUUCUUUAUUGUGGCAUGAAUGUUCAGAUCCGAAAGAUUCAAGAUAAAAGUUUAAUAUUGACAUAAAAAUAAUAAUACUUCAAGCAUACUAUUUAAGCAAUUAUGUCUUUUCAAAAUAACGUGGCCAAAGAAAGCUCAUCCCUACAAAAUCAUAUAGUUUGGCUAUGCUCCAUUUUCGUCACACAAGAAUGCUCUCAUCAUGCACAACCCCGAUGACAAGCCAAGUAAUUGUUUCAUACUUUAGUAUUCUCAAACUUUUUCAACUUUCAUGCAAUACAUGAGCGUGAGCCAUGGACAUUGCACUAUGGGUGGAAUGGAAUAUGAUAAUGGGGGUUGUGUGGAGAAGACAAAAAAGGAGAAAGUCUCACAUUGACGCGGCUAACCAACGGGCUAUGGAGAUGCCCAUCAAUUGAUGUCAAUGCAAGGAGUAGGGAUUGCCAUGCAAUGGAUGCACUAGAGCUAUAAAUGUAUGAAAGCUCAACAAAAUAAACUAAGUGGGUGUGCAUCCAACUUGCUUGCUCACGAAGACCUAGGGCAUUUGAGGAAGCCCAUCGUUGGAAUAUACAAGCCAAGUUCUAUAAUGAAAAAUUCCCACUAGUAUAUGAAAGUGACAAAAUAAGAGACUCUCUAUCAUGAAGAUCAUGGUGCUACUUUGAAGCACAAGUGUGGAAAAAGCAUAGUUGCAUUGUCCCUUCUUUUAUUUUCUUUUUUAUAUAUUUUUUUGGGCCUUCCUUUUUUUAUCUGGCCUUUCCCUUUUUUUAUUUGGCCUUUUUUUUCAUGGGACAAUGCUCUAUAAAUGAUGAUCAUCACACUUCUAUUUAUUUACAACUCACUGAUUACAACUCGAUACUAGAACAAAAUAUGACUCUAUAUGAAUGCCUCCGCCGGUGUACCGGGAUGGGCAAUGCAUCAAGAGUGACAUGUAUAAAAAAUUAUGCAAGGUGGAUUUGCCACAAAUACGAUGUCAACUACAUGAUCAUGCAAGGCAGUAUGACAAUGAUGAAGCGUGUCAUAAUAAACGGAACGGUGAAAAGUUGCAUGGCAAUAUAUCUCGAAAUGGCUAUGGAAAUGCCAUAAUAGGUAGGUAUGGUGGCUGAUUUGAGGAAGAUAUAAGGGGGGUUUAUGUGUGAUAGAGCGUAUCAUAUCACGGGGUUUGGAUGCACCGGCGAAGUUUGGACCAACUCUCGAGGUGAGAAAGGGCAAUGCACGGUACCGAAGAGGCUAGCAAUGAUGGAAAGGUGAGAGUGCUUAUAAUCCAUGGACUCAACAUUAGUCAUAAAGAACUCACAUACUUAUUGCAAAAAUCUACAAGUCAUCAGAAAACAAAGCACUACGCGCAUGCUCCUAGGGGGAUAGAUUGUUAGGAAAAGACCAUCGCUCGUCCCCGACCGCCACUCAUAAGGAUGACAAUCAAAGAACACCUCAUGUUUCAAAUUUGUUACACAACGGUUACAAUACGUGCAUGCUACGGGACUUGCAAACUUCAACACAAGUAUUUCUCAAAUUCACAAUUACUCAACUAGCAAGAAAGAUGAAUCUAGUAGGCCAAAGCAAACUGAUAAUUCGAAGAGACUUGCAAAGAUAUUAAAUCAUGUAUAUAAGAAUUCAGAGAAGAAUAAAAUAUUGUUCAUAGAUAAUCUUGAUCAUAAACCCACAAUUCAUCGGAUCUCGACAAACACACCGCAAAAAGUAUUACAUCGAAUAGAUCUCCAAGAGAAUCGAGGAGAACUUUGUAUUGAGAUCCAAAGAGAGAGAAGAAGCCAUCUAGACAAUAACUAUGGACCCGAAGGUCUGUGGUAAACUACUCACACAUCAUCGGAGAGGCUAUGGUGUUGAUGUAGAAGCCAUCCGUGAUCGAUUCCCCCUCCGACGGAGCGCCGAAAAGGCCCCAAGAUGGGAUCUCACGGGUACAGAAGGUUGCGGCGGUGGAAAAAGUGUUUCAUGGCUCCCUUGGAUGUUUUCAGGGUAUAAGAGUUUAUAUAGGUGAAAGAAGUAGGUCGGUGGAGCUGCGAGGGGCGUGCCUACCCCCUGGGGCGCGCCUCCCUGCCUCGUGGCUUCCUCGUUGCUUCCUUGACUUCCACUCCAAGUCUCCUGGAUUGUGUUUGUUCCAAAAACGAUCCUCGCGAAGGUUUCAUUCCGUUUGAUAUUCCUUUUCUGCGAAACACUGAAAUAGGCAAAAAAAAUAGCAAUUUGCACUGGGCCUUCGGUUAAUAGGUUAGUCCAAAAAUAAUAUAAAAGACCAUAUUAAAGCCCAUUCAACAUCCAAAACAGAUAAUAUAAUAGCAUGGAAGAAUCAAAAAAUUAUAGAUACGUUGGAGACGUAUCAAGCCGCAGUGGGACACCUUCUCCAUCGAUCUCGAACCGGUGCCCGCCAAGGUGGUCGGCGGCACCCCAUGCAGCGCAACAUCCCCUGAGGCGUCGAGCUCUCCUACCAUGCCGACAUCGACGCACACGAGUGCGGCCAGGACACGGCCCGCGAUGCUGAUCUGUGCCACACCAAGCCCAGACCGCUCUGGCAUGCAAUUCAUGUCUCCACUGCCGGGGGCGUCAGUGCCGCCGCCCGACAAGGAGGCUCCGCGGCGGUACCGCACCUUGGAGAAUCUGUGAGACACCACUGAAGAAGGGACAAGUGAUAACAGUCAGUACAGUUACCUGUGUCUCUUCGCAGGGGAGGAGCCGACCUCCUUCAAUGAGGCGCAGAAGGAGGGAGGAUGGAGAAACGCCAUGAACGAGGAGAUGCAGAGCAUCAUCGACAACGACACGUGGGAGCUGUGCGAGCUCCCUCCCGGGCACCGAGCGAUAGGCCUCAAGUGGGUCUACAAGCUCAAGAAGGACGCCCACGGCACGAUGGUGAAGCACAAGGCGCGGCUGGUGGCAAAAGGCUACGUCCAAGUCCAAGGAGUGGACUUCAAGGACGUGUUCGCUCCGGUGGCACGCAUGGAAUCGGUGCGCGUGCUGGUCGCGCUCGCCGCGCACCACGUGUGGCCAAUUCAUCACAUGGACGUCAAGUCCGCCUUCUUGAACGGGGACCGGCAGGAGGAGGUCUACGUUGUUCAGCCACCCGGGUACGUUGAGCUCGGCGACGAGGGGAAGGUGCUGCGUUUAUGCAAGGCACUGUAUGGGCUACGCCAAGCCCUGAGAGCUUGGAACGCCAAGCUGGACGAAAGCUUGCGUUCUCUGGGCUUUGAGCGUUGCCCCUCGGAGCACGCAGUCUACCGACGCGGGGAGGGCGACAAGCUCCGGCUCAUCGGUGUGUACGUCGACGACCUUGUCAUUACAGGGGCGGACAAGACGGAGAUCGACGCAUUCAAGUGUCAGAUGACCACGCUCUUCCGCAUGAGCGACCUCGCCGAGCUCAGCUACUACCUGGGCAUUGAGGUGCGCCAGGAGCGCGACCGCAUCACACUCUACCAAGCGGCCUACGCAAAAAGCUGCUGGAGCGUGCUGGGCUCAAAGAGUGCAACACCGGCAACGUGCCGAUAGAAGCUCGACUGAAAUUGAGCAGGGACAGCAAGGAGAGGCCGGUGGACAGCACUGAGUACCGCAGCAUCAUUGGAGGGUCGCGCUACCUCGUGCACAUGAGGCCGGACAUCUCCUUCACCGUCGGCUACCUGAGCCGUUUCAUGGAGGCACCGACUUCAGAUCACUACGCGGCUGUGAAGCGUCUGCUAAGGUAUGUAGCAGGCACUCUGGACCACGGUUGUGCCUAUGUCCGGGGGAAGGGCACGCCGGAGCUGGUGGGGUACAGCGACGCGGAUCACGCCGGUGACAUCAACGACAGGCGGAGCACGACGGGAGUGCUCUACUUCCUCGGCACGGCGGCAGCCCAGUGAGUUGGCAGUCGCAGAAGCAAAGGGUGGUGGCACUCUCCUCAUGUGAGGCGGAGUACGUGGCUGCCACCACCACCGCUUGCCAAGGGAUUUGGCUGGCUGGGCUGAUCGGAGAGAUGCUGAACAUCGACGUCUGGCCACCACGACUUCUGGUCGAUAACAAGUCAGCAAUGUGUCUCCAAGAACCCCAUCUUCCAUGAUCGAAGCAAGCACAUUGAGAUACGAUACCACUUCAUUCGUGAUUGUGUGGAAGAAGGGCGGAUCGACAUCGACUACAUCUGCACCAACGAUCAUCUUGCUGACGUCCUCACCAAGGCACUUGGACGACUCAAGUUUCUGGAGCUUAGGGGGAGGAUCGGCAUGACAGAAAUAAUUCGGCGGCGAUGAGCUUAGAGGGAGAUUUGUUAGCUAAUCUAGUUGAUGUAGUUUUCCUUCAGUUAGUUUGCUUUCGUCAGACAUAACGUAGUCAGGCGCAUGAGCUCGCGAGUCAUGCGAGCUGCGCGCGUAGGCGAUCUGGGCAUGAUCGAUGCCCGAUCGAUCAGGGUGGUCAGCCACGAAACCCACUUGUGGGAUGGCACGAGAAUUCGGGAUCAUGGCGCUAGGACCGGGGCACUCUUUCUCUCUGUAACAGAAUAAGUAGAGGAGAUCAAAAACAGAAAAGUCGCAAGGUUGUAGGUGACGCAAAAACUCAUGUCUCUCCUCUUUGUGAUCGCGAGCUGUGAGAGAUCGAGCAACCCUGACAAAGCACAUGACGCCUAUAGUCCAUUGUUAAUUCCUCUCUGUACCUAAUCUUGUUAAUUUCCCACACCAAAGAUGCUAAUCAACUGGCAUUCUAAAACUCUCCUAACAAGUAACAACAGCCGCGCCUAUGGACGAUCGAUCCCACCAGUGGCAACCAAUGGAGGUGCCAACGGUGGUGAUGCAACUUGUUUCCAUGUACAACAACUACGGCAAUCCGUCCUCUCCUACCUGCAUUGUCCUCGAAGGAAUGGAAGCGGACGAGAGAGAGCGUCGACCUGACUUAUAACAUUUUUCUUUCAGCAAUCUCUACAAAAAAUCAUGCCUCUCUUGACUUGGGGUCAAUAGCUCCUGUGCGACAUCUUUCGUGGGAAUUGGACAGAGUGCGACAUUGUUGACGAAAAUGGCUUUGGGGCGACACUUUUGAGCGACAAAAUAGCCCAGACACGACAUGGCCCUUAAACUGAUCUGAUGCCCUCAUUAGCUGUUAUGGGCUGGACCCACAACUUAUCCACGUAAGCGCGGGACCCACCAUUUGUCCAGUAAGCGCGGGACCCACAACUUAUCCACGUCAGCAUGGGACCCACCACUUGUCCAGUAUGCGCGGGACCCACCUCUUUGCAGCUAGAAGAGAUGACUGAUGACCCACAAGUGUAGGAGAUCUAUCGUAGUCCUUUCGAUAAGUAAGAGUGUCGAACCCAACGAGGAGCAGAAGGAAAUGACAAGCGGUUUUCAAUAAGGUAUUCUCUGCAAGCACUGAAAUUAUAGGUAACAGAUAGUUUUGUGAUAAGAUAAUUUGUAACGGGUAACAAGUAAUGAAAGUAAAUAAGGUGCAGCAAUGUGGCCCAAUCCUUUUUGUAGCAAAGAACAAGCCUGGACAAACUCUUAUAUAGAUAAAAGCGCUCCCGAGGACACAUGAGAAUUAUUGUCAAGCUAGUUUUCAUCACGUUCAUAUGAUUCGCGUUCGGUACUUUGAUAAUUUGAUAUGUGGGUGGACCGGUGCUUGGGUGCUGUCCUUACUUGGACAAGCAUCCCACUUAUGAUUAACUCCCAUUGCAAGCAUCCGCAACUACAAAAGAAGUAUUAAGGUAAACCUAACCAUAGCAUGAAACAUAUGGAUCCAAAUCAGCCCCUUACGAAGCAACGCAUAAACUAGGGUUUAAGAUUCUGUCACUCUAGCAACCCAUCAUCUACCUAUUACUUCCCAAUGCCUUCCUCUAGGCCCAAACAAUGGUGAAGUGUCAUGUAGUCGACGUUCACAUGACACCACUAGAGGUGAGACAACAUACAUCUCAUCAAUAUAUCGAACGAAUACCAAAUUCACAUGACUACUAAUAGCAAGACUUCUCCCAUGUCCUCAGGAACAAACGUAACUACUCACAAAGCAUAUUCAUGUUCAUAAUCAGAGGGGUAUUAAUAUGCAUAAUGGAUCUGAACAUAUGAUCUUCCACCAAGUAAACCAACUAGCAUCAACUACAAGGAGUAAUCAACACUACUAGCAACCUACAGGUACCAAUCCCAGGCUAUGAGACAAAGAUUGGAUACAAGAGAUAAACUAGGGUUUGAGAGGAGAUGGUGCUGGUGAAGAUGUUGAUGGAGAUUGGGCCCCUCCCGAUGAGAGGAGUGUUGGUGAUGACGAUGGCGAUGAUUUCCCCCUCCCGGAGGGAAGUGUCCCCGGCAGAACAGCUCUGCAAGAGCCCUAGAUUGGUUCCGCCAAGGUUCCGCCUCGUGGCGUCGGAGUCUCAUCCCGAAAGCUUGCUUAUGAUUUUUUCUCAGAUGAAAGACUUCAUAUAGCAUAAGAUGGGCACCGGAGGGCCACCAGAGGGCCCACGAGGUAGGGGGCGCGCCCCCACCCUCGUGGCCAGGGUGUGGGCCCCCUCUGGUAUUUUCUUCGCUCAGUAUUUUUUAUUAUUUCCAAAAAUAACUUCCGUGGAGUUUAAGGACUUUUGGAGUUGUGCAGAAUAGGUCUCUAAUAUUUGCUCCUUUUCCAGCCCAGAAUUCCAGCUGCCUGCAUUCUCCCUCUUUAUGUAAACCUUGUAAAAUAAGAGAGAAUAAGCAUAAGUAUUGUGACAUAAUGUGUAAUAACAGCCCAUAAUGCAAUAAAUAUCGAUAUAAAAGCAUGAUGCAAAAUGGACAUAUCAACUACCCCAAGCUUAGACCUCACUUGUUCUCAAGCGGAAGCCGAUAAUGAUAAAUAUGUCCACAUGUUUAGAGGUAGAGGUGUCGAUAAAAUAAAAUACGGACAUGAGGGCAUCAUGAUCAUUCUUAUAACAGUAACAUAUAUGGAUAUUGUCAUAUUAUUUCUUAUGAUAAAGUAACAAUCUAUCCACAAUGUCAAGUGUGAAUCAGAAACUUCAUUGAGAACUAACAAACGAUAAUCUCAGUCAUUGAGGCAAUUGCAAUUUAUCAUAACAUCAUAAAGAGUCUAUGUAAGAGCUUUUCAGCAAGUCCACAUACUCAACUAUCAUUUAGUCUUUCACAACACUCACGCAAUACUUGUGGUUAGGGAGUUUUAAUCGGACACAGAGAAAGAUAGGGGCUUAUAGUUUCGCCUCCCAACCUUUUACCUCAAGGGUAAUGUCAACAAUAAUAGUUCAUUCUAAUUUGCAUCCAAUUAUAUAUAUAUAUAUAUAUAUAUAUAUAUAUAUAUAUCAGGAUCUUUCCAACACAAGGUGCUUGCCAAAGGAUAUAAAAUGUAAAAAGGAAAGGUGAAGAUCACCAUGACUCUUGCAUAAGGUAGAAAAUAAAAGUAAAAGAUAGGCCCUUCGCAGAGGGAAGCAGAGGUUGUCAUGCGCUUUCAGGGUUGGAUGCACAAAAUCUUAAUGCGAAAGAACGUCACUUUAUAUUGCCACAUGUGAUAUGGACCUUUAUUAUGCAGUCCGUCGCUUUUAUUUCUUCCACAUCACAAGAUCGUAUAAAGCUUAUUUUCUCCCACACUAAUAAGUCAUACAUAUUUAGAGAGCAAUUUUUAUUGCUUGCACCGAUCACAACUUACUUGAAGGAUCUUACUCAAUCCAUAGGUAGAUAUGGUGGACUCUCAUGGCAAAACUGGUUUUAAGGGUAUUUGGAAGCACAAGUAGUAUUUCUACUUGGUGCAAAAAAUUGGCUAGCAUGAGGGAGAAAGGCAAACUCAACAUGUUGGAUGAUCCAUGACAAUAUACUUUAUCUCAGAUAUAAGAAAACAUGACCCAUUAUGUUGUCUUCCUUGUCCAACAUCAACUCUUUAGCAUGUCAUAUUUUAAUGAGUGCUCACAAUCAUAAAAGAUGUCCAAUAUAGUAUAUUUAUAUGUGAAACCUCUCUUUCUUUAUUACUUCCUAUUAAUUGCAACGAUGACCAAAACUAUGUUUGUCAACUCUCAACAACUUUUAAUCAUCAUACUCUUUCUAUGUGAAGUCAUUACUCUCCAUAAAAUCAAUAUGAUCUCUUUUUAUUCUUUCUUUUUCUUUUAUUCACUCAUAAUCAUAGCAAGAUAAUCAAGCCCUUGACCCAACACUAAUCUCUAUUAUAUAGCUCACGGACUUGAUUACAUAGAGGGAUCAUAAAGCAAAACUCAAAACUAAAUCAUAUUAAAACUUUAUUCUACUAGAUCAAGAUAUUACCAAAAGGAUCGAACUAAGAAAAACGGUAAAGAUAGGAGUGUGAUGGUGAUACAAUACCGGGGCACCUCCCCCAAGCUUGGCAGUUGCCAAGGGGAGUGCCCAUACCCAUGUGAUUAUAUCUCCUUUGCUGGCGAAGGUGAUGGUGGAGUUGUUGAUGAUGUGGGCUUGUCGUCCAUCGAGCGUAAGAGGUCCUCCAACUUGCAGAUAAUGCCCUUGAGUGCGAUUUUAUAUGCUCCCUCAACAAAAUAUUUUCACAUGUGAGAUACUUCUUUUUUAUACGAGCUAACUCAAUCAUCUUGAAAGCUUCGAUCUCAGUUGGGGUAAGAAGAUUGUGAUCAAGUUGAAGGAUGUCUUCUGCUGCCGGAGCUUGGUCCUCUGUGGCCUUAUUGAUCCCUUCAUCUUUGUUGAUCUCCAUGGGUUCUUCCCUCUUCAGCUCUAUCUUCAUUAGCCAAGCAUCGUUGUCACCAUUGUUGGAGGAGGAGGACGACAUGAUGCCUGGCCUAGACAACCCUGACAGAAAAUAAUGCAACUCGAAACAAGAACAGAGGAUAAUUGCGUGAUACGGGAGUCAAAAUCUUCGGGAGUUUAUAUAAUGAAUUUUUACCGACCGAAAGAAGUAUCGUGCAAGAAAACGGAGUCCGGAGAGCACACGAGGUGCCCACGAGGCAGGGGGACGCGCCCAGGGGGUAGGGCGCGCCUCCCACCCUCGUGGAAGCCUCGUUUCCUUCCCGGACUGCUUCUUAUUUUCCUAUUUUUCUAAAUAUUCCAAAACAGAGAAAGUUUGCAAUUAGAACUGUUCUGUAGUCGGUUUACUUACCGUACCACAUACCUAUAACUUUUCGGGGUCUGAAACGUUCUAGAAAGUGUCUCUUAUGUAUUCCUCCGGUGUUACGGUUUCAACAACAUUAGUUUCAACAUUUAUAGGGUUACCUGAGAUAUAAUGUUUGAUUCUUUGACCGUUCACCACCUUCGGACUUGUGCCUUCAAAGUUGUUGAUUUUUAUGGCACCGGAACGAUAGACCUCCUCGAUAACGUAAGGACCUUCCCAUUUAGAGAGAAGUUUUCCAGCAAAAGAUCUUAAACGAGAGUUGUAUAACAAUACAUAAUCACCUACAUUAAACUCAUGCUUUUGUAUCCUUUUUUCAUGCCAUCUUUUAACUUUUUCCUUAAACAAUUUGGCAUUCUCAUAGGCUUGGGUUCUCCGUUCAUCAAGUGAGCUAAUGUCAAAUAACCUCUUCUCACCAGCAAGUUUAAAAUCAUAAUUGAGCUCUUUAAUGGCCUAGUAUGCCUUAUGUUCUAGUUCGAGAGGUAAAUGACAUGCUUUUCCAUAAACCAUUUUAUACGGAGACAUACCCAUAGGAUUUUUAUAUGCAGUUCUAUAGGCCCAUAAUGCAUCAUCAAGUUUCUUGGACCAAAUCUUUCUAGAUCUAUUAACAGUCUUUUGCAAAAUUAAUUUGAGCUCUCUAUUACUCAAUUCUGCUUGACAACUAGACUGUGGGUGAUUAGGGGAUGCAAUUCUAUGAUUAACAUCAUACUUAGCACGCAUUUUACGAAAAGCACCAUGAAUAAAAUGUGAACCACCAUCGGUCAUUAAAUAUCUGGGGACUCCAAACCUGGGAAAAAUAACUUCUUUAAGCAUCUUAAUAGAGGUGUUAUGAUCAGCACUACUAGUCGGAAUAGCUUCUACCCACUUAUUAACGUAAUCAACAACAACUAAAAUAUGUGUAUACCCAUUAGAGGAAGGAAAAGGUCCCAUAUAAUCAAAGCCCCAAACGUCAAAUGGUUCAAUAACAAGUGAAUAAUUCAUAGGCAUUUCUUGACGUCUACUAAUGUUACCAAUUCUUUGACAUUCAUCACAAGAUAAGACAAACUUACGAGCAUCCUUGAAGAGAGUAGGCCAAUAAAAACCGGAUUGCAAUAACUUAUGUGCAGUUCUAUCUCCAGCGUGGUGCCCUCCAUAAGCCUCGGAGUGACACUUGCGUAGGAUCUGUUCCUGUUAAUGCUCAGGUACACAACGCCUAAUAACACCAUCUACUCCUUCUUUAUAAAGAUGUGGGUCAUCCCAGAAGUAAUGUCUUAAAUCAUAGAAAAACUUUUUCUUUUGCUGGUAUGUGAAACUAGGUGGUAUAAAUUUAGCAACAAUGUAAUUAGCAUAAUCAGCAUACCAUGGAGCAGUACGAGAAGCAUUUAUAACAUUUAAUUGUUCAUCAGGAAAGCUAUCAUCAAUAGGUAGUGGGUCAUCAAGAACAUUUUCUAACCUAGACAAGUUAUCUGCAACAGGGUUCUCAGCUCCCUUUCUAUCAAUAAUAUGUAAAUCAAAUUCUUUUCGCAAGAGAACCCAUCUAAUAAAUCUAGGUUUAGCAUCUUUCUUUUCCAUAAGAUAUUUAAUAGCAGCAUGAUCAGUGUGAAUAGUUACUUUAGAAUCAACAAUAUAAGGUCUGAACUUAUCACAAGCAAAUACAACUGCUAAAAAUUACUUUUCAGUAGUGGCAUAAUUUCUCUGGGCAUUGUCUAGAGUUUUACUAGCAUAUUGAAUAACAUUUAAUUUCUUAUCAACUCUUUGCCCUAGAACAGCACCUACAGCAUAAUUGCUAGCAUCACACAUAAUUUCAAAAGGUAAAUUCCAAUCAGGUGGCUGAACAAUAGGUGCAGAAAUCAAUGCUUUCUUAAGUAUUUCAAAUGCUUCUACACAAUCAUCAUCAAAAACGAAAGGUAUAUCUUUUUGUAAGAGAUUAGUCAGAGGCCGAGAAAUUUUUUAGAAGUCCUUAAUGAACCUCCUAUAAAAACUAGCAUGACCAAGGAAACUUCUUAUACCUUUGAUGUCCUUGGGACAUGGCAUCUUUUCAAUAGCAUCAACUUUAGCUUUAUCAACUUCACUACCUCUUUUAGAAAUUUUAUGCCCCAAGAAAAUACCUUCAUUAACCAUAAAGUGGCACUUCUCCCAAUUCAAGACAAGGUUAGUUUCUUCACAUCUCUGCAAAACUCGAUCAAGGUUGCUCAAGCAAUCAUCAAAAGAGGAUCCAUAAACGGAGAAAUUGUCCAUGAAAACCUCACAUAUCUUUUCACAAAAGUCAGAAAAUAUAGCAAUCAUGCAUCUUUGAAAGGUAGCAGGUGCUUUACAUAAACCAAAAGGCAUACGUCUAUAAGCAAAAGUACCGAAAGGGCAAGUAAAAGUGGUAUUUGCUUGAUCAUCAGCUGACACAGGUAUUUCAGAGACACCAGAGUAACCAUCUAGAAAGCAAAAAUGUGUAUGUUUGGAUAAUCUUUCUAGCAUUUGAUCAAUAAAAGGUAAGGGGUAAUGAUCUUUUUAGUAGCCUUAUUUAAUUUGCGGAAAUCAAUUACCAUCCUAUAACCUGUAAUAAUUCUUUGCGGAAUCAAUUCAUCUUUAUCAUUGGGAACGACAGUAAUACCUCCCUUCUUAGGGACACAAUGGACAGGACUUACCCACUGACUAUCAGCAACGGGAUAAAUUAUACCUGCCUCAAGGGGCUUUAGUAUUUCCUUUCUUACCACUUCCUUCAUCUUAGGAUUCAGACGUCGUUGAUGAUCAAUAACUGGUUUGGCAUCUUUCUCCAAAUUUAUUUUGUGUUGGCAUAGAGUGGGACUAAUGCCAUUAAGAUCAUCAAGAGUAUAUCCAAUAGCAGCACGGUGCUUCUUCAGAGUUUUCAGUAAUUUUUCUUCCUCCUUCUCUGAAAGGUUAGCACUAAUAAUAACAGGAUAUAUCUUCUUUUCAUCAAGAUAAGCAUAUUUAAGAGUAUCAGGCAACGGUUUAAGCUCAAACACGGGAUCACCCUUGGGUGGAGGAGGACCCCCUAGGAUUUCAACAGGAAAAUUGUGUUUCAUAAUAGGUCCAUGUUUAAAGAAUACUUCAUCUAUUUCCCUUCUUUCAUUCAUAAACAUAUCAUUCUCAUGGUCUAGCCAAUAUUGUUCUAAAGGAUCACUAGGAGGCACGGCAAUAGAAGCAAGACCAAUAAUUUCAUCCUUACUAGGCAAUUCCUCAUCACGCGAGGUUGUCUACGAAAUUUAGAGAAAUUAAACACAUGAGACAUAUCAUCCAAACCAAUAGUAACAACAUCCUUUUCGCAGUCUAUCUUAGCAUUAACAGUGUUCAAGAAGGGUCUACCAAAUAUAAUGGGACAAAAGCUAUCUUGUGGGGAACCAAGAACAAGAAAAUCAGCAGGAUAUUUAGCCUUCCCACACAAGACCUCAACAUCUCUAACAAUCCCAAUUGGUAAAAUAGUAUCUCUAUUGGCAACCUUAAUGGUAACAUCGAUAUCUUCUAUCUCAGCCGGUGCAAUAUCAUGCAUAAUUUCUUUGUAUAAGUAAAUAGGUAUUGCACUAGCACUAGCACCCAUAUCACACAAGCCAUGAUAACAAUGAUCUCCUAUUUUAACAGAAAUAACAGGCAUGCCUACCACAGGUCUAUGUUUAUCUUUAGCACCAGGUUUAGCAAUUCUAGCAGUAUCAUCACAGAAGUAUAUAACAUGCCCAUCGAUAUUAUCAGACAAGAGAUCUUUAACAAUAGCAAUAUUAGGUUCAACUUUAACUUGCUCAGGAGGUGUAUAAGUUCUAAUAUUACUUUUACGAACCACAGUUGAAGCUUUAGCAUGAUCCUUUAUACUAACAGGAAAAGGUGGUUUCUCAACUUAAGCAGUAGGAACAAUAGGAUCAUUAUAAGUGAUAGUCUUUUCUUCAACUUUAAUAGGUUCAACUACUUUUACUUCUAUGGGAGGAUGAUAUUUAAACCACUCUCCUUAGGGAGAUCAACAUGAGCAGCAAAAGAUUCACAGAAAGAAGCUACUAUCUCAUAGUCAAGUCCAUAUUUAGUGCUAAUAAAUUUACGGAAAACAUCGGUAUCCAUAAAAGAUUUAACACAAUCAAACUUAGGUGUUAUACCCGACUCCUUACCUUCGUCGAGAUCCCAAUCUUCAGAGUUGCGUUUAAUUCUUUCCAGUAAAUUCCAUUUGAAUUCAAUAGUCUUCAUCAUAAAAGAGCCAGUACAUGAAGUAUUGAGCAUGGAGCGAUUAUUGUGAGAAAGCCGAGCAUAAAAAUUAAUAAUCAUUUCUCUUGAGAGUACAUGAUUGGGGCAUGAAUAUUACAUUGACUUAAGCCUCCCCCAAGCUUGAGCGAUGCUUUCUCCUUCGCGAGGCCAAAAAUUAUAUAUAUAAUUACGAUCACGAUGAACAAGAUGCAUAGGAUAAAACUUCUGAUGGAAUUCCAAUUUCAACCGUUUGUAGUCCCAUGAUCCCAUAUCAUCACAUAGCCGAUACCAUGUCAAUGCAUCUCCCUUCAAAUAUAAAGGGAAGACCUUCUUAUUGAUAACAUCAUCGGGCACACCUGCAAGCUUAAAUAAUCCACGAACUUCAUCCACAUAGAUUAAGUGUAAAUCGGGACGCAAUGUUCCAUCUCCUGCAAAAGGAUUAGCCAGUAGUUUCUCUAUCAUACCCGAAGGAAUUUAGAAGUAAACAUUUUCAUUUUCAGUAGGUUCAGUAGGUUGAGGAGCAACUCUUUGCUCUACUGGUCGAGGUGAAGAUACCCCGAACAAGCCCCUCAAAUGAUUACUUUCCAUAGUAACAAGUGACAGUAAAUUUCAGCACACUAUAUAAAAUUUUCAUUACCAAAUUCCACCUACCAAAGGCGCUUCACUCCCCGGCAACGGCGCCAGAAAAGAGUCUUGAUGACCCACAAGUUUAGGGGAUCUCUCGUAGUCCUUUCGGUUAGUAAGAGUGUUGAACCCAACGAGGAGCAAAAGGAAAUGACAAGCGGUUUUCAGCAAGGUAUUCUCUGCAAGCACUGAAAUAUAGGUAACAGAUAGUUUUGUGAUAAGAUAAUUUGUAACGGGUAACAAGUAAUGAAAGUAAAUAAGGUGCAGAAAGGUAACAAGUAAUAGAGAAAAGCGCUCCCUGAGGACACAUGGGAAUUAUCGUCAAGCUAGUUUUCAUCACGUUCAUAUGAUUCGCGUUCGGUACUUUGAUAAUUUGAUAUGUGGGUGGACCGGUGCUUGGGUGCUGUCCUUACUUGGAAAAAUAUCCCACUUAUGAUUAACUCCUAUUGCAAGCAUCCGCAACUACAAAAGAAGUAUUAAGGUAAGCCUAACCAUAGCAUGAAACAUAUGGAUCCAAAUCAGCCCCUUACGAACCAACGCAUAAACUAGGGUUUAAGCUUCUGUCACUCUAGCAACCCAUCAUCUACUUAUUACUUCCCAAUGCCUUCCUCUAGGCCCAAACAAUGGUGAAGUGUCAUGUAGUCGACGUUCACAUGACACCACUAGAGGAGAGACAACAUACAUCUCAUCAAAAUAUCGAACAAAUACCAAAUUCACAUGACUACUAAUAGCAAGGCUUCUCCCAUGUCCUCAGGAACAAACGUAACUACUCACAAAGCAUAUUCAUGUUCAUAAUCAGAGGGGUAUUAAUAUGCAUAAUGGAUCUGAACAUAUGAUCUUCCACCAAGUAAACCAACUAGCAUCAACUACAGGAGUAAUCAACACUACUAGUAAUCCCAGGCUAUGAGAAAAAGAUUGGAUACAAGAGAUAAACUAGGGUUUGAGAGGAGAUGGUGCUUGUGAAGAUGUUGAUGGAGAUUGGCCCCCUCCCGAUGAGAGGAGCGUUGGUGAUGACGAUGGCGAUGAUUUCCCCCUCCUGGAGGGAAGUGUCCCCGGCAGAACAGCUCUGCCAGAGCCCUAGAUUGGUUCCGCCAAGGUUCCGCCUCGUGGCGGUGGAGUCUCGUCUUGAAAGCUUGCUUAUGAUUUUUUCUCGGACAAAAGACUUCAUAUAGUAGAAGAUGGGCACCGGAGGGCCACCAGGGGGCCCACGAGGCAGGGGCGCGCCCAGGGGGUAGGGCGCGCCCCCCACCCUCGUGGCCAGGGUGUGGGCCCCCUCUGGUAUUUUCUUCACUCAGUAUUUUUUAUUAUUUCCAAAAAUAACUUCCGUGGAGUUUCAGGACUUUUGGAGUUGUGCAAAAUAGGUCUCUAAUAUUUGCUCCUUUUCCAGCCCAGAAUUCCAGCUGCCGACAUUCUCCCUCUUUAUGUAAACCUUGUCAAAUAAGAGAGAAUAAGCAUAAGUAUUGUGACAUAAUGUGUAAUAACAGCCCAUAAUGCAAUAAAUAUCGAUAUAAAAGCAUGAUGCAAAAUGGGCGUAUCAACGACCGCCCGUCCCCGUCGGCCCGCCGCCACCCAUUGCUUCCCCUUUCCCCAUUCUUCCUCUUCUCUGGCGAGCUGGUGCAGAUGUCCACCUCCUCCGCCACGCACUGAAAAUGGCGUCAGUAUGGUCCAGUGCCGCUCACAAGGUGCCCUGACUGCCCACGCCCAGAGCCUCUAAAACGGUGGGUCAGUAGAACUGAUGAGAAUGGAAAUCUUGGGCGGGAAUUUGUGAAGUGCUUGAGCAAAACAAUGGCAGAAAGGGAUGGCAAGGUUAGAUCUCAGUUCUUAGCCCAUUCUUUCACUGUCGUUUGCUCUGAUUUAUCCAUAUUUUGUUUUUUUCCUCGAAUUUGGAAUUUAGGGUUCAUGUUGUUGUUUUUUCCUCGAAUUUGGAAUUUAGGGUUCAUGUUGUUGAUUUAUCCAUAUUUCAUGUUGUUGAGAGGAUUCAGUUCGAGGGCUACAUUGAUUCGAGCGGGGCCGCAACCUGGGAGCUCAAUUUGGGGGGAGGGGUGCCGCAGAUGGAGAAUUUGGGGUCGAGCUUGGACAGAGGGGCGGGCAGAGUCGUGUCGAUGGCUAGGUAUGCGCGCAAUGCUGAACUGCACUUGGAGUCUGAACUAACCGAGGAACUGAAGAUAAUCAAGAAAUCAAAUGGAGAUGAUCAAUCUGCAGAAGCAAGCAAAUAUCAUGGCAGGGGGGGUUCUAUUGUUGUGUCAUUGCUCUGUUUUUGUUUUACUUGUUGUUCAUCCGUCAUUAGAGGGAGCAUUUAGGUCUAUCAGGGCAGAGGAUGCGAUCUGUGCGCCAUGCCAAGUUCAUGUAACUGAAUCGAAGCAGAAAUAUUCUAUGUUGAUGCUUUGUUCUUGUUCUUCAGUUAACAGAGUGCACACCCCCCAAAUUCAGUUUCUAGUAAGAAAAUCUUGCUGCCGAAUAGAUGUUGGGCCAUGAAAAAACAACGAGGCCCAAAUAGAGACAAGCCCACCCGCGUAGGGGCACCAGCCCAGUUUUAUAGCAUAGAGGCACCCAUGUUUAAAAAAAAUGUUCGACUAAAAACUCAAAAUAAAAUAUUGCUUCGGCAAAUAAACCUUUAACAAACAUAUACUUCUUUACAUAUUUGUUGCUUGUCCACGCUUGCACAAAAUAUUGGCCAGAGGUAAAAUUCAAACUAAUAUUUUUAGGAGCACAGAAAUAUUUCUUUUGUGACCAAUAAUUGUUUGCAUGAACUAAAAUAGUUGCAUUUCCAUGGUUGCAAAAAAAAUUGCACCGUACACCUAAUAGCUAGGGUGAUCCUAUUUGCAUGAACUAAAUUAGUUGCAUGUCCAUGGUUGCACAAAAAUUAUCACCGUACACCUACUAGCCAGGGCCUAGAUACAUGCAAGCACACAUGCAUCACACCAAGAUAUGAAAAAAAAUUGCAAAAAAAUUUGGGUACCCAUACACUUGCAUGUCCGUAGUGGAAGCUACCUUUUAUUAGUAAGACAUAGAUCAAAUAGGGAUCCAAUCAACUAGAUAUAACAUGGGUACCCAUAGAACAUCAAGCACCAUAUAUAUCAACUAACCAAUAUCAACUAGAUAGAAAAAAAUAACAGAUAGAACAUAGUAGCAUAAGUAGUAGCAUUGCAUAGAUAAGGGUAGCACGACAUAUAUAGUACCACUACAACAUAGAUAAUUCAUAGUUCAACCCAACACGACAAUAAUAAAACACCACCAGCUUGUUUGCUUGCUUGCUCAAAGGCCAAAUCCUCCAUGGCCAACUCCUUCACUCGUCGCCGUUGGUGGGGUACGGGAGGGUGUGCAUGCGCUCAUCGGCGGGGAAGGCACUGUCGAAGUCCGUGAAGAUGUUGUACAUGGUGAAUGCGAUGAACUCGCAUCCACAUCAAAAAACACGACCGAGGAGGUAGUAGGCGUCGAAGGGGUUGGUGAACCUCACGAUGAGCCCGAUAGGAUGGCCACUGCUACUGACCUCUUUGACACGGAACAUGGCCGGAGAGCCCCUCGGGAGGUGCCGGUAGCCGGCGGAGAGGAAGAACUCGGUCAGCCCCCUUGCCCCCCUCCACCUCGAGAUCGCCCACACCCGUAGGGUGUUCUCCACCCGGACUCCGGUAGGGUAGAGCCUCUCAGGGAAGGUGCGCGGCACACGGUAGGUAGCCCCGGUGAACUGCAUCUUGCUUGCUAGCUUUGAGUGGAUCUUGGAAGAUGGGAGAUGAAGGAGAGUGAGAGGAAGAUGUGGGUAGAGGAAGAUGUAGGCUUGGGUGUGCUUAAAUAGCCGAGGUGCAGUGUUUUAACGUUUUGUUUUCCUCUCCCUCGUAAUGGCAUGGGAAACGAGCAAUGUGGCAUCGAGUCACCCGAGCCAACCCGUGUGUACACGCGCAUGCAUUGUGGUAGUAAUGCCAAUGACCCGCGUAGCACUCUAGCAAUAAAAAUGCGUCGAGAGAUGAGCUCGAUGCCAUGCAUGCAGCGGCUAGCGGUCGGGCAUCUAGACCCAUCUAGAAUGGGUAAAUAGCCAUAAUGCUACGAGGGUGUCGGCGGGCAUGCUCGCCCGCGAUGCCAUCCAUGCAACGUCGAACGCUGAGAGGGCGGCCGCAGGAGGGCUACACGCGCGUGCAUGCUUUUCAGGCCGAAUGCAGCGUCGUGUCCAUCGGUCCAAUGGGUGGGCCGCUUUAAUUAAGCCCAACAACACAUGGCAGGCCUGCUUAGUCUUACAAUGUAAAAAAUGGGCUAAAACGACCAGCCAAUGAAAGCGCAACACGCGGAUCUGUGACGUGGCUCCUAAUCCAGACUGUUGCUUAUGUUCACAUCCAUCCAAUGGUCCAGAAUGCUACGUGUUAUAAUAUUCAGCAUCUUCGAAUCAGCCAAUCAGAGUGCUGCCUGCAGAUCGCUGACGUAGCCCUGGUGCCUGAUCCAGACCGUCCAUUCAUAGCGAUCCAAUGGCCGAGAGGAGUGUGGGGUUUCAAUGGGGUUUUGAGUGGUUUUCAGCGGUUAGGGUUGAGCAUAACUAAUUCAAAAAAAUCAAAAAAACUAUAAAACUUGUGUCGAUCAUCGUUCUAUGUGACUAAGUAUCUAGGAAAAAUAAGAAACUUGUACUACGGAUAUUUUCAUGAAAAAACCUUCACAAAAGAUGGCUAUCAAGAACGACCUUGUAGGGUUUUGAAGAGAAGUGAGCUAGGGUUUAGUGUCAAACAUGUCAUACUUUAUCGAAACAAUCCAAUAUCAGGAAGGACUCUUAUAUACACACACUAGAUGUCAAGUUUCCUUUUUGGGCUCAUUUAGAGAAGGUCGAAAAAAGCUUGCUUACAAAUGGGUCUGUUUUCCCUAGCUUUGGAGGGGUUUUGGAGGUCAUGUGGAGCACAUUUUUCAUGUCCAGAGUUUUACAUAAUAAAAGUGCUCCGAUUAAUCAACUAACAUGCAUAAUAGUCCAGAAAUCAUUGUAACACCAACACCACAGACCAAAUAACUUCAAAUUUGAAUUUUGUCUCAAAUUUGAAUUUUGUCUCAAAUUUGAAUAGUAUUACACAAAUACACAUCAUAUCAAAGUACAAAUAUCAUUACACAAAUUCAGGCAAGGUUUUAUUACUACAACAUACUAGCAAUACACAAGUUUCAACAAAUUUUCACUUCUGCUUCUUCCUACCACUCGAUUUGUUCUUCUUCUUUUUACCAAUGCUUGUUUUUGGUUGUACAACACCCAGUUCACUCAAGCUCUUGAUUUUCUUCACUGGACUUCCUGGAACACAAGCUUCAUUUCGCACCACAACAGUUGCAGUAUCAUCGGACCCAAUAUCACCAGUUGGCAACACAACUUCCAAUAUAGGCUCAGUUGGCACCACAUCAACUGGAAUAUCUUUAGUUGGCAACUCAACUUCCAACAUAGGCUCAGCUUGCACAGCAUCAGCUGGAAUAUCUUCAGAGGUACCCAUAGCUUCAGUUGGCACCAGAACAUCAAAAUCUUGCUCAUCUUGCAGCAGCACAUCCAAGUCUUGCUCAUUUUGCACCACACCAUCCAAGUCUGGUUGAAUGUGUAUUGUUUCACCAAAACUUCUCUUUCUUCUAGAGCCAUUGCCUCUUGCUUUUUUCUUUGGCCAGCACACUUCAACAACAAGGGGCUCACCUGCACGCUUCCUCCUAAAAAGAUAAAGCAUGUCAACUGGUUAGUAAUUGAAAAAUGCAACAAAAUAGUAAACAAUGCAAACAUAUGCCCACAUACUUUGGCCAUUCAUGAGUGUAACAACAUUUGGGAGAUCCAACUCGGUGCCCAAGUUCCUGGCACAACUUGCCUCUAUUUUUUUUUACCUUUUUGGGACCUUUUUGGCUUUGCAUUCUUCUUUCCCUUGCCCUUUUUACUACUCCCACCUUUCUCAAACCAUGCCUUGAAUCUACUUUCUUUAGGCCUGCCAGCCUUUCUUUUUGUUAGGGGAGGACCCAUGGAAAAUUCAAUUUCAACUUCAGGCCACUGAGACUGAUCUGUAAGUGCUAGAAUUGGAGUUGCAUAUGCAGCCUUGAAUCUUGCUACUAAGUAAUAUUCGUGCAAAUAUGGGUGCAUGUUUAUCUUCGGUCGGGAGGCCAAGAAAAGUAUGGCAUGACUCACAUGGUUUCCCAGUGUGCUGCCACUCCAAACAAGUGCAAUCAUGCAUUUCAGUGUUAACAACAUGCCUUCUACCAGUUUUGGUAUCUCUAACUUCAACACCCCACACAGAAGAUUUUUCAACAGAUAAAUGUGUAAGAUUUAUGCUCCUGUUGACCACCUGGUGUACCACUGCAGGAAGCUUAUCCCCUUGUAGACAAUCACCAAUCCUUCUUCUCAAUUCCCACAAGCGCAUGAUCAUGAUCCUGAUUUGGUCAACCAUGUCAUGCACAGGAAAAAAAUUUAACUGCUUCACCCUGUUGUUAAAACUUUCUGCCAAGUUGUUGUUGAUAUGAUCACACUUGAUGGCAGUGUUAAAUCCCGACCUAUACCAUAAUAGAGAAUGGUACGUGUUCACCCAUGGACCAAACUCAGGACAUGAUGUCAUUAUCAUACCAAGAUGAUAUUAAUGUGUUUGUUUAGUGUAAGAUCUUGCUGCUGGCCACAUACGACCAAAUUCUUCCCCUUUGAAUUUUUUGAUCAAAUUCAUCCACAUAUGGCCGAAGCACUCCCUCUGCUCACAAUGGGGGAAAACAUUCUUCACUGCGUUUUCUAGCCCUUUGCAUGCAUCUGUGUGGACUGCCAAAGGUGACACUGGACCUAUGCAUCUUUUCAACUGCACCAUGAACCAUGUCCACGAGACCUCUAUCUGUGACUGAAAUAAGCCAAUAGCAAUAGGGAACAUCCAGUUGUAUCGAUCCAAAGCAUUGCAAGCUGCCAAUUGACCAAUUGAAAGUGCACCUAUGCCUAGGUGGUUUUGGUAAUUCCUAACAACAUAUAGCUCAUUGAGCUAAUGAUAUCUCAAGAUAAAUAUUUCAGGAAAGCACAAUGAUUGGCAUGGCAUGGAUUAGAAAUGUGACCCCUCAGAAUACCAAGGACAAAAGAAUGGCUCAAGCUCUAAAGCUCAAGACUCUACAUUUUACUUUUAGUGAUCCAAGAUCACAUUGAGUCCAUAGGAAAAGCAAAUACUAUUAAAAGGGGAUGAGGUGUUGCUUAAUGGGUUGCUUGCUCAAAAUGCUUAGUGAUAUGCUCCAAAAACCCUCAACUACUUUCUCAUAUCCACAUAUGUCCCAAACCAGAAGUCAAACUCGGCCCCACCAAAACAUCCUAUCUGGCACCACCGAGUUCUCUUGACAUAGCCACUGCCACAAACCCUAGUCACUUUGGUCUCACCGAUAGGGAUCUCGGUAUCACCGAGAUGGGAUUGCAAACAUCUGUUUCCCUUCCUAACGUUUCGGUCCAACCGAGAUGAGCGAUCGGUCCCACCGAGUUUGCAAUGCAAACUCUCUGUUUCCCCUUCGUAACGUUUCGGUCUCACCGAGAUGAGCAAAUCGGUCCCACCGAGUCUGCCUCAUCAACUCUCUGGUUAGCUUAUCACCAAAAUCAGUCCCACCGAGUUUGUGUAAUCAGUCUCACCGAGAUUACGUUAUGCCCUAACCCUAAUGAAAUCGGUCCCACCGAGUUGACAUGUCGGUCCCAUCGAAUAUCCUAACGUUCACAUUUUGAACUAAAUCGGUCCGACCGAGUUUCAUUAUUCGGUCCCACCGAGUUUGAUGAUUUGUGUGUAACGGUUAGAUUUUGUGUGGAGGCUAUAUAUACCCCUCCACCCACUCUUUAUUCGUGGAGAGAGCCAUCAUAACAUGCCUACACUUCCAGCAUACAUUUUCUGAGAGAGAACCACCUACUCAUGUGUUGAGGUCAAGAUAUUCCAUUCCAACCACAUAAAUCUUGAUCUCUAGCCUUCUCCAAGUUGCUUUCCACUCAAAUCGUCUUUCCACCAAAUCCAAAUCUGUGAGAGAGAGUUGAGUGUUGGGGAGACUAUCAUUUGAAGCACAAGAGCAAGGAGUUCAUCAUCAACACACCAUCUAUUACCUUUUGGAGAGUGGUGUCUCCUAGAUUGGUUAGGUGUCACUUGGGAGCCUCCGUCAAGAUUGUGGAGUUGAACCAAGGAGUUUGUACGGGCAAGGAGAUCGCCUACUUCGUGAAGAUCUACCCUAGUGAGGCAAGUCCUUCGUGGGCGAUGGCCAUGGUGGGAUAGACAAGGUUGCUUCUUCGUGGAACCUUCAUGGGUGGAGCCCUCCGUGGACUCGCGCAACCGUUACCCUUCGUGGGUUGAAGUCUCCAUCAACGUGGAUGUACGAUAGCACCACCUAUCAGAACCACGCCAAAAAUCUCCGUGUUUAUAUUGCGUUUGCUCCCUCCAAACUCCUCCCUUUACCUUCAUGUGCAAUGUUUUACAUUCCGCUACUAUACUCUUAGACUUGCAUGUGUAGGUUGAUUUCUUGACUAGUGCUAAGUUGCUAAAAUCUGCCAAGACUUAAAAUUGGGGAAAGGCUAGAUUUUUAUUUGGUCAAGUAGUCUAAUCACCCCCCCUCUAGACAUAAUUUCGAUCCUACAAGUGGUAUCAGAGCUACGGUCUCCAUUUGCCUUGAUUUCCAUAGCUUUUGGUGAUCAUAGCCUUGGUUUCACAACCUAGGAGACUAUGGCGUCUAGCAAGGGAAAUUACCACCAUAGAGGUCCUUACUUUGAUGGUACUAAUUUUGCUACUUGGAAGCACAAGAUGAAAAUGCAUAUUCUUGGACAUAACCCCGCCGUUUGGGCUAUUGUGUGUAUUGUCUUGCAAGGUGAAUUCUUUGAUGGGAGAGAACCGAACCGUGAAGCUACUGCGGAAGAGUUGAAGAUGCUACAAUACAAUGCUCAAGCUUGUGAUAUUCUCUUCAACGGAUUGUGCCUCGAAGAAUUCAACAAAAUCAGCCGUCUUGAGAAUGCAAAGGAAAUUUGGGAUACUUUGAUUGAUAUGCAUGAGGGUACCGACUCCGUCAAGGAAUCCAAAUUGGAUGUGCUUCAAAGUCAAAUUGAGAAGUUCAAAAUGAAGGAUGGUGAAGGUGUCACUGAAAUGUACUCUAGGCUUGCUCUCAUCACAAAUGAGAUUGCCGGCUUAGGAAGUGAAGAGAUGACCGAUAGAUUCAUCAUCAAGAAGAUCCUAAGAGCCUUGGAUGGAAAAUAUGAUACCGUGUGCACAUUGAUCCAAAUGAUGCCCAAUUACAAAGAUCUCAAGCCAAAGGAAGUCAUUGGAAGAAUUGUUGCUCAUGAGAUGUCACUUAAGGAUAAGGAAGAGCUCCACAACAAGUCAAGUGGUGCUUACAAAGCCUCAUGUGAUGCUCCUACACCAUCAAGUGAGAAACAAACCUUUAAUGAAGAAUUGAGCCUAAUGGUGAAGAAUUUCAGCAAGUUCUACAAGAGUAGAAGCAAGGAAAGAAGUUCCAAGUCAAGAUCCUACAAUGACAAAAGAUCUUCAAGUCGUGAACGAAAUUGCUACAAUUGUGGAAGACCCGGACACUACUCCAAUGAGUGUACGGCUCCCUACAAAAGAAGAGGAGAUUCUCCCAAAAGACGAAGUAGAAGAGAAGAAUCAGCACCAAGAGAGAGAAGGAGUAGAGAUGAUUGUUAUGAACGAAGAACCUCUCGGAGAAGCAAGGAUUCGGAAAGGAAGGACAAAUCAUCAAAGAGCUACACAAAACGAAGACAUCAAUCUCACGUUGGUGAAUGGGUAUCCGGCUCCGACUCCGACCAUUACUCCGAAAGAAGUUAUCACUCCGACUCCGACUAUACUCAAGAAGAAGGUGUUGCCGGUCUAGCACUUGCGUCAACCAACUCCUACAACAUAUUUGACUCACCAAAUGAAGGAAUUGGAAGAUGCUUCAUGGCUAAAGGCCCCAAGGUAUCACACCCCGAGUUUGUUGAUUUCAAUAGUGAUGAAGAUGAUUUGCUAGGAGAUGAUGAUUUACUUGUUGACAACUCCAGUUAUGAAAACUAUGAUGAACUUGCUAUUAGUCAUGCUAAUCAAGAUAAAACGAAUGACGAUGAUAAGAAGGAGAUUGAGCGUCUAACUAAAGAAUUAAACACUCUUAAAUUAGCUCAUGAAACUACCAUGGAAGAUCAUCGAGAACUUUUAAAGACUCAUGAGAAGCUACGCUUUGAAAGGCUCAACCUUGAGCAAGAGCAUGGGUUCUUAAAAGCAAUCAAUGAUGAUCUUCGCAGGAAAAAUUCUUCUUACAUUGCCAAGCGUUUACUCUUGUCUACUUACAUGCCACAAGUAGAAUCUAGCAACAAGAGUAAGAAAGAUUCUUCAUCUAGUAGUAACAAUAAUCAUGCUAAAUCCAAUGUUGUUGCUUCUAGUAGUUCUCUUGAUUCCACUAAUGAUUCUCUUAGCCAAGUUACAAUUGAGCAAGAAAAUAGCUUAUUGAAGGGAAUUAUAGAGAAAGGUGUUUACAAGAGCCUUGUCGGAAGUAAGCAAUUUGAGGAAAUUGUACGCAACCAAGGAAGGCACCGGAAAAAUCAAGGUGUUGGUUUUGAACGAAAGUUCAAUGCCAAUGGAGUUGAGUGGGAAGAAGAUCAAUACCCCAAGACGAAGUUUGUUCCUCAACAAGAGAAGUAUGAUCCUACUUCCUUCCAAGGAACACAAGCUCAAGAUGAUCUUCCACCACAAGACCACAAGCAAAAAGGCAAGGACAAGCUUCAAGAGGAGAUUGAUGCAUUUUAAGAAGCUCCCAAGGCCUUGGUCGAGUGGGUUCCCAAGACUACAUCAAAUACGACUACAACUCCAAGGAUUCCCAUCAAGAUGAUGUGGAUCCCGAAGAAGAAGAACUAGAGAGUUCUUGAGGGUGACUCCGCCAACAUACUUCACUCAUAUCUUUUGGCAAGGACAUGUGAGAACAACUUCCACAUAUUGCACUAGUUCAAGGAGUCACAAACCCUCUUGUUUGUAAGACAAGGGACAAGGUAACCUAAUGCUUUCAUGGACAUCAUCUUGUGUGUACAUCACUCUAUGUCUAUGGAUAUCCUUGUUUGUUCCUUGUGGGACUAACCAGUGUAGGUAUUGGAAGUGCAACUCACUCCAAUGGAUUGCUCCGAAUGAUCUACAUCAACAUUGAGCAUCCACAUCUUCAACACCUACAUGAAGUCAUCAUCGACAAAACCCAAGGUUAGUUCAUCCCUCUUAGGGGGAUAUCACAUCUAGGGGGAGCUUUACUCUAAUAAAUUGAGCUAAAGCAACUCUAAUGGUGUGAACACAACAAUGCUUUAUGUGAAAGUGGUAACCCCACUUAUGCUUAAACGAUGAGUAUGACCUAUGAUCAAAUGUUCUCAUUUGACUCCUAAGUCAAUAUACUCAUAUAUAGAUGACCUAGUCAUCGCCAAUUGCUUGAUAGAUGCUAGAGUCUUUGUGCAUGCUUUGUCACAUAUUUCGUUUGCCAUUUUAUUGUGUGAGCAUGUUAAUUGCAUAUUUUACUCAUUCGAGGACAUCCAUUUGUUGCUUUGAUUGUUUGGCUUUUUCUCUUUUGCCAAAUGGAUGGACAAGAAUGCCUAAGAACUCCCUCUAGCUAUCUAUGCUUUUCUCGUCUCAAACUCUAUUCAUGCUACAUCACAAAGUUUGAUCAAGUCAGGUUCGAACCACUCUGUGUGAGGAGCACUCGGAGUCCCCGAUUCGUCAUAGACUUAAACUUCCAAAACCUCUUUGUGCAUUUCGGUAUGACCGAUUCAUCCAUUUUGGUCACACUGAGUUCACUAAGUUGAUCUAGGUUUUCCAUCUCGGUGCAACCAAUUUGAACUUUUCGGUCACAUCGAGUUGCAGUAACCGCUUGCGAUUCUGCAUCUCGGUGCCACCGAGUUGUUCCACUCGGUAACAUCGAUAGGGUCGGGAUAUAUAAACCCACAGGUGAGAUUUUGGAAAUUUCUUCAAACUCCUCAGCCCGCGUGUGUCCUGCUCUGCCUCCUCGGGUCUCCGGAUCGUCUCCUCGCCGCCAGCGACCUCCCGCCGCUGGUUUCCGUUGCUGUCAACGGAAUUCUCCUCUGCCGUUGUCGCCAUAGCGAACUCCCGCCGAACUAGGGUAUGGGUUCGACUCUUUGUGCUAUUUCCCUACUCCAAUUUGUAGCACAUUUCUUUUCCAUGAUCUUUACCACGUAUGAAAAUAAUCUAUCGAGAGAAAACAUCCUUUAGGUUAGAUUUGAUUCAAAAAUUUAGGGUUAGGUCUCCGCCGAACUCAUCUCAGACCAACCGAGUUGUAGAAAUCGGUCUCACCGAUUUGGCUUAGGCCAUUGCACAUGCUUUUUGGUCUGACUGAAAACGGCAAAUUGGUGCGACCGAUUUCGAAUCUCUGUGAAACCCUAGCAAUCUCGGUGCCACCGAACUGUGACUCGGUCUGACCAAGUUCACUAGUUUAGGUUCCAAAAGUUGCUUCGGUAUCACCGAGUUUAACAAAUCGGUAGCUCCGAAAUGCUUUCUGUGGAGAACUAUAACUAAGUUUUUGAGUCAUCUGUUUUGCAAAAGCUCUGCACUUUGUGAUGCUCAUCCACUCUACCUCAUCUAUAUCUAUUCACAGGGUUUGCUGUCAGUGUGAUUGCCAAGAUGUCUGAUCAAAGUGACAGCCAGAACAGAUCUGAAGAGCAAGUGCAUAUGAGUGAGGGCACUAAUCCCUCAAGCAGCUAUGAUGAGGGCAGCAGAAGCACACCAAGUAACUUGCCCAAGGUAGCCACUAGAACAAGGAAGAAGAGAACCUCAGACUCCGAGGAUGAGGACUAUGUGGCCAUUGAGGAUGAGGCCACCUCAAGGAAGAAAGUGCUGAAGAAAGAGUAUGGCAUAGCUGCUGCAACUAAGCCAGGGUUGCAUAAGAAGGCAACAGCAAAGAGAGUCCCAAUGUCAAAGCCAACGAAAGUUCCAACAGGAGAAACCAUGAAAUUCACAAUAUAAUCAGAUGAUGGUGAGGCAGUUGGUGAUGGCAAGAAGAAGAAGAGGGCAAGAACCACAUCUGCAAAAGUUCUUGGAAAAUCAACUAUGGUAAGAGAUUCAGAAGAAGAGGAAGAGGAAGAGGAUGCUGCACCAGCACCCAAGUCUCAGAAGCUUAUGGGAGAUGCUAUCAAGUCAGGGGCUGCUCCAUCAAAGCCCAAGACUGCUCCCAAAGCAACAGCUCAAACUCAGAAGCCCUCUAAGCCCAAGAGAAGCACCAGAAACAUUCCUGCAGAAGAGAGGAACAAGGCCUCAGUGCCUAAGGUUGAAGAAGAGGAUGAUGAAGCCCUAGUGCUAAGAAAACUGAAACCCAAGAUUCCAGACCACAAUGACACUCAUCCAGUGGCUGAGGACAUGCACAUCAGGAAAGAUGCAGGAUUGAGACUUUGGAGACAGUCUGAUCCUUAUGCUGCGACAAGGAGAACUGUUGUGGACUACAUGUUCCACACCAAAGAACAACAAGACUUCUAUGAGACUAUUCUGCUUGACAAGAAGCCAAUUGUCUGUGAAAUGAGAUGGGUUGAUUGGGAAUACAUCAAAGAGAAUGAAGAUCACUUCCCAGGUGUACCAGACAGCUUCAAAGCAAGUGGAGUUGAUAAGUUUGUAGGUCAGAAGCCCACCAAAUGGAAUGAUGAGCUAAUCAUGCAGUUUUACUCCACUGCUCAUUUCUAUCCAGAUGGGAGAUAGUGGGGAUGUCUGAAGGUACAAGGUACCAAUCAACUGUAGAAAAAUGGGCCAAGUUGAUCAAUGCCCCAGAAGAGUAUGAGGAUGAUUUGGAUGUGUAUGCCAAGAAGAAGAAAGACCACAACUCUAUGGCAAAUAUGUACAAAGAGAUCCCUGAUAAAGCUUUGGAGACACACAAGCUUGGAUCUGUGCACUAUUUGUUGUCUGGUCUACCCACUAUCAACACUAUCUUAAGGCAUACUCUGGUACCCAAAUCUGGAGAUCACAAGAUGAUCAGAGGACAUUCCAUCAACUUGCUGCAAAUCUUUGAUGUCCCUUAAAAAUUCAAGGUCGUGAGUCUGAUUGUUGAGACAAUCAAGAGGACAGCUGCUGACCAGAAGAGAUCUUGUGGGUAUGCUCCACACAUUCAGGUGGUCAUCAACUCAAAGAUGGGCACAGGGACUUACAUGUUGGACAAAGAACAUUUACCCUUGUAUCCAGAUUUUGAAGAUAAUGAAGUUGUCAUGAAUGAGAAUGAACCUUCAUCAGCACAAGCACAAGAGAAGAGAGCUAAAGCAAAGGCAGAAAAGGCUGCAAGGAUGCCAAGUGCCGAGGAAGCAUCUCAGGUGUCCCUGAAGAGCAAGAAAGAUCAGCUUAUAUCUGAUUCAAGCUACAUUGAGGAUUGAGAAGGGCUUGGCCACCCUGACUCAGAAUCAGGAGAGCUUGGAGAGGAUCAUAGAGACAAAAUAUUAUGAUCUUGAUCUGAAGGUCACUGAGAUACAGAGAGCAGUUGAGCAGCUCCAGGAGGAAGCAGGAGAGAGGAAAGGGAAGGCAACUACAGAUGCUUUUCGGCGAGUGCCAAGAGGUCAGAGGUCUGCUGCAGUGCCAGUAUCAGAUACUAGAGCUACAUCGUCAGCACCAAUAGCUACAGCUUCAGUGCCACCUCCAGCAGCCACUCCACCAGCUCCAGCUACAUCCACUGAUGCCUUCGUCCUUGGAGUUCUCUCUACUCCACCUCCUGAAGACCAAGCCUGAGAGACGCAUAGCACUAUGCAUUUUCGAACUUUUUGAUAACUUGUUGCCAAAGGGGGAGAAAUGUAUAGAUCAUAGGCUUCGAGAGAGAGUGUUUUGCUUCUUUGUCUCUCUUGAUUUUGGUUGAACUUUAUGGUGUUCUUGGUUGAUACUCUAUGUCUGUGUGAGAUACUUGUUUGAUCAUGGGUUUGAUCAUAUGCUACUUUAAUGCUUGCUUGGAUGGUAUUAUCUCUUAUAUCCCAUAUAUGUUCAUUCACUUUGCUUGGUGAUGAAUGCUUUCUUUUAAUUUCCACGAUCCUAAUUGAUUGUGCAUUUGCAUUCAAAAGAUGUAUGUGACAUGGAAGAGUAACCCAUGAUCCUAAUCGAUUGUGCAUUUGCAUUCAAAAGCCUAUUUUUAAUAAUGCACAAAUUUAGGGGGAGCUCUUGCUUAUCACAUACUUCUCAAAGCGACGAUGUAUUUCAAUCUUAUGAUCAUUUGUCAAAGCUUUGAUCUAUAUGUUUUCAUCAAUUAUCAAAAAGGGGGAGAUUGAAAGUGCAACUAUCCCUGGGUGGUUUUGGUAAUUCCUAACAACAUAUAGCUCAUUGAGCUAAUGAUAUCUCAACAUAAAUAUUUCAGGAAAGCUCAAUGAUUAGCAUCGCAUGGAUUAGAAAUGUGGACCCCUCAAAAUGCUAAGGACAAAAUAUUGGCUCAAGCUCUAAAGCUCAAGACUCUACAUUUUACUUUUAGUGAUCCAAGAUCACAUUGAGUCCAUAGGAAAAGCCAAUACUAUUAAAAGGGGAUGAGGUGUUGCUUAAUGGGUUGCUUGCUCAAAAUGCUUAGUGAUAUGCUCCAAACCAAAAGUCAAACUCGGCCCCACCGAAACAUUCUAUCCGGCGCCACCGAGUUCUCUUGACAUAGCCACUGUCACAAACCCUAGUCACUUCCGGUCUCACCGAUAGGGACUCGGUCUCACCGAGAUGGGAUUGCAAAAUCUUUGUUUCCCUUCGUACAUUUCGGUCCAACCGAGAUGAGCGAUCGGUCCCACCGAGUUUGCAAUGCAAACUCUCUGUUUCCCCUUCGUAACGUUUCGGUCUCACCGAGAUGAGUGAAUCGGUCCCACCGAGUUUGCCUGACCAACUCUCUGGUUAGCUUAUUACCAAAAUCAGUCCCACCGAGUUCGUGUAAUCGGUCUCAUCGAGAUUACGUUAUGCCCUAACCCUAACGAAAUCGGUCCCACCGAGUUGAAAUGUCGAUCCCACCGAAUAUCCUAACAUUCACAUUUUGAACUAAAUCGGUCUGACCGAGUUUCAUUAUUCGGUCCCACCGAGUUUGAUGAUUUGUGUGUAACAGUUAGAUUUUUUGUGGAGGCUAUAUAUACCCCUCCACCCACUCUUCAUUUGUGGAGAGAGCCAUCAGAACAUGCCUACACUUCCAGCAUACAUUUUCUAAGAGAGAACCACCUACUCAUGUGUUGAGGUCAAGAUAUUCCAUUCCAACCACAUAAAUCUUGAUCUCUAGCCUUCUCCAAGUUGUUUUCCACUCAAAUCAUCUUUCCACCAAAUCCAAAUCUGUGAGAUAGAGUUGAGUGUUGGGGAGACUAUCAUUUGAAGCACAAGAGCAAGGAGUUCAUCAUGAACACACCAUCUAUUACCUUUUGGAGAAUGGUGUCUCCUAGAUUGGUUAGGUGUCACUUGGGAGCCUCCGUCAAGAUUGUGGAGUUGAACCAAGGAGUUUGUACGGGCAAGGAGAUAGCCUACUUCGUGUAGAUCUACCCUAGUGAGGCAAGUCCUUCGUGGGCGAUGGCCAUGGUGGGAUAGACAAGGUUGCUUCUUCGUGGACCCUUCGAGGGUGGAGCCCUCCGUGGACUCGCGCAACCGUUACCCUUCGUGGGUUGAAGUCUCCAUCAACGUGGAUGUAUGAUAGCACCAUCUAUCGGAACCACGCCAAAAAUCUCCAUGUCUACAUUGCGUUUGCUCCCUCCAAACUCCUCCAUUUACCUUCAUGUGCAAUGUUUUACAUUCCGCUGCUAUACUCUUAGACUUGCAUGUGUAGGUUGAUUGCUUGACUAGUGCUAAGUUGCUAAAAUCUGCCAAGACUUAAAAUUGGGAAAAGGCUUGAUUUUUAUUUGGUCAAGUAGUCUAAUUACCCCCCCCCCUCUAGACAUACUUUCGAUCCUACACCAUUCCACUUGCCAGUCAAAAAUGAUGAGUCUAUGCUCAAAUAUGGACGACACCCUACCUUGAAGCCAUCAAUGCUAGGCUUCAAAGCCAUAAUAAACGUAUAGAAAAGUACUCUUCCAUCCUCUGUUACCUCAGUAUCUAUCUCCACAACACUCCCAGGUGACCUCUUCUCCACCUCUGCUUUGAAAUUAUAAAGCAUCCUAAAAGUAUUUGCCCAGUCACCAUAUAAUUGUUUCAUUGCCCUUUGUUUUGCCUUCCACACCGUGUUAUACUUCUCCUUAAUGGGGUAUUGCUUUCCAAGUAUACUUUAAGUUUCUUUGCAGUGGUGUUUGGUUUCUUGGCUAGAAUAGGAGUGAUCUUUUCUGCAAUCCAAAGCUGUGAUGUCAUGGUUGAUACUCUCGGUGAACUUGUAAUACAAGUAUGUUGGUGAGGGAUUUGAUUCACCCUAAUGGUACUUCCAUCAGGUUGGCGUCUAGCAGAUAUGUACUACUUGCAAGGCUUGACACUUCCAUCAAAACCUCUACACCUUGCAUAAAACUUCUUUCUAUCAGUCCACUUAGUCUUGGCACCAAACUCAUGUUUGACUGCAUAUGUCUUGAAACACAUCCUAAACUCAUCCAUGUUUGGGAACAACAUCCCCACUUCAAUAACAGGGUUUUCCUUGUCAUACACAUUUACCAACUCAUCAUCAUGUGCAUCAUCUACAUCAUCUGCAGCAUCUUCCAUCAGCUAUCCAUCCAGAUCUUCAGUUCUAUCUUUGUUAGCAUCAGUAUCAGUAGGCAUACUAGAUUCACCAUCCUUCUCCUCCUUAUCUUCAUCAGCUACUGGAAUGCCAAAUUUUUUGGCCAUCUCAGUGUCAUCCAUUGGUGCAAUGACUAAAUCAGUUGGGUCAUUUAAUUCUACUGAAUUCCAAUCAACAUAAACAACCCUUCCAACACCCUCAGAGCCAUCUUCUGCAUCACCCCCCUCAGGUAAUACUGUCACUUCACCUGUACACAUGGGCAUUAUCUGCCUCUCUGAAGCCCAAUCAUCAUCUACCAUUUGUGAAGCUAACUUUGAGGGCACAUAUCCAACCUUAGAAUCUGAUUUCAGAUCAACAAGCUAUGCAUGAAACAUAGUUUGUUUGGUUGUCCAGCCAUCUUGUUGAUCAAUUUCAUCAACCAUGUCUUCACCAUCCUCAAUUCUCACAUACUCUCCUUUCCAAUUAUCAAACCGUAACAAUGCUACCUCUUGCUCUGGACCCCAAAAAAUGCUCUCCCCAAUUUUUUUCCACCACAUUCUUCAUGGCCUUCUCUUCCAUGCUCUGUAGUUCUUGUGGAUCAAUCUCUGCAAAAUCAAUCUCCGGAUGCUACCAUCACCUAUGUCCCGCAUGCUACCAUCACCUAGCUUCGCCUUAGAAGGAAGGAAUUCCGCAGUGAAUUUGAACGUCCGAGCAACAUCCCCCCUAUUUCGGGGCAGUGUGAGGUGAGCUACCGGAAGCAGACGAGGCACAAAUCGCAUUCCUUGGAAAGGAUGCACAUUAAGGGAUUACCUUCUAGAUGUUGUUGUCUCUGGCGGCUCCAUCGCGUGCAGGCCCCCCUCCCACCCACCCAAAUCUGGAUCAAAUUGACCAAAAACACCAAAAAACAGAGGGAAAGAGAGGCGGUGAGAUCUAGCUCGACACGGAGGGGAACGGGAUAGGGUUCCUGAUUCACUCAACACAGCCGCCGCCGUCGCCGAGAACGAAAGCUCCUCUGCGCUGCUAUCACCGAGAACAAAAUCUCCGGCGCCGGCGCCGGCUCACCGCCAAGAACAAAGAGGGGGGGUACACGUUCAGAUAGGCAUGGGGACACGUUUCACCUGAUGCACUGCCAAGUGGGGCCCGCAACUAGAUGCACUGCCAAGUGGGAUCCACAUGUCUUAAACAUAACCUCACUCCCGUUGACGACCAGUUUAAUCGCCCGAGUGGACCUUGGCUAUUUGGGCCUCUGAAACAUAGUACUACAGUUAUUUUCGUCAACUAUGUCGCUUUCCUUCCAUUGCACCUCAAAUAUGUCGCACAGGAGCUAUUGACCCCUUGACUUGUUGCAGCUGGCCAUUUUCUACUACGAAACCAAUUUUCUAGGAGUAAAUAAAUAAAUGAACAACUACAGCAUACAUCAUAUGAGUUUCAGACUUUAUGAAGCCUGAAUGUUGAAAAAAUAAGAAAAAGAGACAACGUAAGGACCUCUGCUCUGUCGUGCCGAUGGAUGACAGAAGCUAAUUGCAGAUGGCCGGAGUUGCGACAUCAGCCUCUUCGAGACACGCGGAGACCUCCGUAUCUCCUCGAGCUCUCCUGCCGCGCGGGGCCGUCAGCGCCCAACAACCUAUGCGGUGCCGCCGCCGUCUGUCUCAUAGGGAACAGCAGAAAGGCCAUUUUCUUUCGGGUGCUUUGAUAAAAAAAAUCAUAUAUUACAGGUGGGUCCAGGACUACUUAUCAACAAUACAUCUCCUUCUCAAUGUAUCCGAAAUGGGGAUUUUGAAAUAUAUUAACCGGAGUCUCUGAAAUCUAACACACUAAAAUUCAGGAACCUAUGAAAACUGGUACAUUUCUUCAUCAACCAUCCUUCGAACCUCAUGUGGCAACGCAGAUAUCAGAGCAUGUGUGUCUUCCUUCUAAGACUUUUGCAUGUUGCCCCUCUAUGCUCCUUUUUUACGGCCAAUGUGUGGAAGGUCAUGUCCAUAACCUCAUUGAUAGUCAAAACAUAGACGAUGAUGAUUGUGAACAUCCGCUGUGGCUUCAGAUUGCGAUGAUGUUGCCUCAUCCCCCAAUUGUGUAGACACAGGCUCCCAUUACACAAAGGGAAUGGUGGGGCGAAUAGACUCGUACCUCUGAAGAGCGAGGAGAAGAUACAUGUAUUUGUUUUCCUCCAAUAUUUUAGAUGGGCCUAGGACAGAUUGAGAGGGGAGCAAAUCCGAAUUUAUACCACACUCACAUUGACAUCCCAAGAUGGUGGAGUAUAUAUAGAACUUCUAUACAUCUUGUUUUUAAUAGCUCAUUUUUAGGAAGGAAAAAAAUAAAUUGUUAUCAUGGGAUAUGUGUUGAGCAGGUCAUUCAAAAAUGUUUAUUUAAUCAUGUGACUGAAUACACCAGAAUCAUGUGAUCAUCCUACUUGCAUGUUUAUGUUAGUCUCCAACUUCCAAAGUAGAACCUAGUAUACAUGGUAUUCUAGUUCUCUCCUGUGUACCAUCACUCCAAGUCCAUUGCAUCAUGAAAGACGUGUGAAACGUGAGAACUGGCAUUGCAUGAUUCUUCUCCAUCUCUAUGUUUCAUCUGGAUAAAGGGUGUCAGAGUAGAUGAUGGGUUUAAUGGCAGAGAGGGGGGGGAGAGGGAGAGGGAGAGAUCUCAUUCUUGUAAAAUGUAAAAAAAAGGAAUGGAAGGAAAGGUCCACACUUAGACAAACUGAUUAGAUCCGUAAACUAAUUAGACCCGCAAAAAAAGAUGACGCUAUAAAUAUCUCAUAACAACAGAGGGAGAGGAAGGCCAUAGCUUUUAUUGUGUAUGGUGAGACCGGCUUUUCAACACCCGGGUGUCAGACACCCGGCUAUCAGGCCGUUCAGGCAAUACCUCUCAUUGGGAUAUGUGUCUGGUCCUGCACCACCAUUUUCAUUAGCAGGCAAGGUGAAUAGUAAAUGGAUGUGACAACAGAGAACGGCCAUAGAGCGGACGAGCUCGCCUGUGUUGAACAGCCUGUCACGUUACACAAGGUGCACCGAAGCAGGAGUAUUGAGCCGCACCAGAAGUCCCAAUAUAUUGGUAGAGAUAAGCUAGGUAGUUAGUUCAUAUCUAUCCUUUGUAACCUAUUCUAUCUCUUCUCCUUCAAGUCUCCUGUAAUAUCUCAACUUCUAACUUGUAUGUGCUUCAGGGAUUGCGCCCCUGCCUAUAACAUGCAACGCGUCCCCUCGCACCGAGGUAAAGACGUUUCCGCAUCUCGCACAUGGUAAUCAGAGCCAUCCUACUUCCCAUCUAGUUUUCUCUCGAUUCCAAUCGUGUCCAAAAAUCAUGUCUUCCUCCUCCGGCAUCUCUCACCCUAGCCUCAGUGGGCAGGUCAUUGAGAAACUCUCCCGCACGAACUACGUGCUAUGGCGCACACAGAUCACGCCACAAUUGCGUGGCGCCGAUGUCUUCAGCUAUGUUCAUGGCACCUCGCCGGAGCCGGCCAAGCUCCUCGCCGCCAAGGACAAGGACGGCAAGGAGACCUUCCAGCCCAACCCUCUCCACCCCAUCUGGGUCAGGGAGGACCAGCAGGUUCUCGGCUACCUGCUGAGCAACCUCUCCAAAGAGGUGCUCCUCAUGGUGACCACGAUCACCACGGCGCAGCCGCUCUGGACGACGCUGGCGGGCAUGUACUCGUCGCAGUCGCUUAGCCGCAUCAACAACAUCCGUACCUCGCUCAUCAAUGCGCAGAAGGGCAACCAGUCCGCCACCGCCUACUUUGCCUCCAUGCGCGGUCUCGCGGACGAGCUGGCAGCGGCCCGCAAACCCAUCCAGGAUGACGAACUCAUCUCGUACAUCCUCCACGGGAUGGAUCUGGAGUACCAGCCCCUCGUCUCCGCCCUCGACACCCGUGUUAGCCCCGCCUCCCUCGACGAAAUCUUCUCCAUGCUCAGCAACUUUGACCAGCGCAUGGCGCGGUUCCAUAGCUCGGGCGGCGGCAGAUUCAAGUCCUCCGCAAACGUCGCUACCCGUGGACGUGGCGACGGCUCUCGCUACCGCGGUCCUUCCCGUGGCAAGGGGAGGUCUGGUGGCGCCAGGACUAGCAGCGGUGGUGGGAUCAGUGGCGGUGGCAGGCGUGGCAACAAGGGUCGCCGUGGUGGCGACUCUGGUAGAACCCGCCCGGACACGCCGCGCUGUCAGAUUUGUGGCAAGCCGGGGCACACUGCCAAAGACUGUUGGUACCGCUAUGAUGAAGACGAGGACGACUCUCAAGAUGAUGGAAAGGUCGCUACGGCGGCUGAUGGCUCCUACGGUGUUGAUACCAACUGGUACCUCAACAGCAGCGCCACUAAUCAUCUCACCGGUGAGCUUGAAAAGGUGACUCUCCGUGAGAAGUACCACGGCAAGGAUGAGAUUCACACCGCCGAUGGUGCAGGUAUGAGAAUCAGUCACAUUGGUCAUUCGGUUAUACAUACCCCUCGUCGUAAAAUUCAUCUUAGGAAAAUUUUGCAUGUUCCUAGUGCCAACAAAAACCUCCUUUCCGUUCAUAGAAUUGCACUUGACAACCAUGUCUUCAUUGAAUUUCAUCCCUUUUUCUUCUUGAUCAAGGAUCAGGCCACGAGGAAAACCCUAUAUCGAGGUAGAUGUGUUCGAGGACUCUACCCGUUGCUUCCGGAGUUUAGAAGACACAAUAAACAAGCCUAUGCUGUUGUCAAGCUUUCUUCAACAUGGUGGCAUGAUCGUCUAGGAUAUGCUUCUUUUUCUUUAGUUGAACAUUUGCUUAGGAAGAAUAAGCUCAUGUUUGUUGGUGAGCGUCAUGUUGAAACUGUUUGUGAUUCAUGCCAAAGAGCAAAAAGUCAUCAAUUGCCUUAUCCUGUUUCUACUAGUGUUUCUACUCAACCUUUGUAAUUAAUCUUUUCGGAUGUCUGGGGUCCUGCUCCUUGUUCGGUUGGUAGACACACAUAUUACGUAAGCUUCAUUGAUGACUAUACCAAGUUCUCAUGGAUCUACCUUCUCAAGAAACGAUCCGAUGUUUUUCAAGUUUUUCAAAACUUCCAAGCACUCGUUGAAAGAAAUUUGACAGCAAGAUCAUUGCAGUCCAAUCUGACUGGGGGGGAUACGAAAAAUUAAAUUCCUUCUUCCAAACCCUUGGCAUACCCCAUCAUGUUUCAUGCCCUCACCCUCACCAACAAAACGGCUCUGCCGAACGCAAGCACCAACACAUAGUUGAAGUUGGUCUAGCUCUCCUAGCCGGUGCUUCCAUGCCCCUCAAGUUUCGGGACAAAGCCUUUCUUACCAUCGUCCACAUAAUCAACAUGCUUCCUAGUCGUGUCAUCAACAACGAAACUCCCAUGGAAAAACUCCUUCACAUCAAACCAGACUACAAGUCUCUCCGUGUGUUUGGUUGUGCUUGUUGGCCCAACCUUCGUCCAUACAACAAUUGAAAGCUCAUAUUUCGAUAAAAACAGUGUGUUUUUCUUGGGUAUAGUGCCCAACACAAGGGUGUCAAAUGUCUAUAUGUAUCCACUGGUCGCAUCUAUAUUUCACGUGAUGUUGUUUUUUACGAGACCAAGUUCCCAUUUGUUGACCUUCACCCCAAUGCUGGUGCACUCCUUCGCAAAGAGAUCCUACUUCUCCCUUCUCAUCUCACUAGUUUUGAUCAAGGGGGCGAUAAUUGUAAUGAUCAAGUGUUGACUGGCCCUCUUAAUACCACAUAUGAGCCUGGUGAUGAUGCAGGAGAAGGCACAGAAAAAAACAGCAGUCAAGAUGGUGAAGAAAUGCGCUCUACAGAGCCAUAUUUCAUGUGUCCAGGUGAAGGGAACAAGUCCCCUUCGGGAUCCGUGCUGCCAGGCGUGUCAGCCGCAUCAUCCUCAGGAGACCGCGCAGACGCGUCAGGGCGGCCACGCGAAUCUGCACCAGAAUCCGCGCCAGCCUCGUCAGGCGUGGUCGGGAGCGAGCCAUCGAGCGGCGACUCCGAGCCAGCCACGCGGCGCCCUGUGGCUGGGGAACACGCCUCCUCUGCUCCGCGCCAAUCACGCAUUUGAAUAUUCAAGCGUUUGAAUAUUUUUAAUAAAGUAUUGCAAAUGUUAAUCAAGCAAUUGAAACUUGUUAAGGCCUUGUUCGGUUUGGCAGGGUUUGAAGAGGUUUGAAAGGAUUGAAGGGGAUUAAAUCUCUUGCAAGUCAAAAUCCUUCUCAAACCUCGCCAAUCCCCUUCAAUCCAUGUGGCAAGGGGAUUAACCGAACAUGGCCUCAAUGUGUAUAGAAAAAAUGGUUGCCAUGUAAACAAAUAAUUAAUAAAAAAUAUACAAUGUGUAGGAAACGAAUGUUGAUGGUGUAUUUAAAAAUGUUGAUAAAUAAUUAUAAAUUUAUCAAUGUAACAAAAUAAAUUUCUCAUGUGUUCAACAUUUGUUAGUGGUCAUAAUACUUUUUGCGCGCACAAUGCACAUUUCUUUUAUAAAUCAAGAACAUUUUUUUACAUUCUUAAUAUUAUAAAAAUACAUAAUUACCUUUCUUAAAUACAUUUUUAUGGUGUCUACUUUUACUUAAUGUGCAUAUUACAUUUUUGUAUAACUGAUCAGCAUUUUUAUAUACACGUUUAACAUUUUAAAAAAUAUGAUCAAUAUUUUUCCAUAUGAACAAAGCAAAGGCAAUAAAAACCAACUAAAACCUAAAUAGAAACAAAUGAAAUAAAAAUAAAAAAUAAAAAAACACCGCAGAAAGAAUAGAAAACAGCAAAAAUCGAGAAAAAAGGAAAAAUGAAAAAAGAAAGACACAAAUAGAAAAUAAAGAAGAAGAAGAAGAAGAAGAAGAGAAAUAAAAGAAAAAACAUCUAAAAACCAAUAAAGAAACAGAAACAGAUCAAAGAAAACAAAGAAAGCUAAAAGAAAUGAAGAAAUACACAUUCACCAGUGACGCGAUCAUGAGCGGGCAUUUUUUUGUUUUGUUUUGAGAAAUGGACCUCCUAGUUGCUACACGAGAGAGUUAUUCCUUCCGGGUAAAGAAGCUACGAACUCGGGUGAAGCAAGACAUAGCUCUCGCGGGAAAAGAGAGCUCCUCGUUGGCGCGUUAAGCGAGGCGCACCUAUGUAUCGCUUGAUACGAGAUGAAACAUGCGACCGCUUAGGGGUCGCAAUACAUGGUUCGGCCCAGAUAGGUUCCAGGUUAGGUCAUCCUUUUUCAUGUGUUUCUACUUUUUUCGAAAAUAUUGUAAACAAAUAUAUACAAAAACAUAAAAAUUGUUACUAAAAAUAGGAGCUGCAAUUUGAAAAUGUUAAUGAAAUGUAUGUUAGCUUAAUUAAAAGAAAUAUUGGUAGCGUACAAAAAAUAUGACAUUUAACAAAUAUUCACGUGUUUCAAAAGUAGUAUGUGACUUUAUAACCAUGUAUUUCAAAAAUCUUAAAUUUGUAUGUAGACUCUUCUUUAUUUACACAAAAAAUGUACAAAUGUGUACGUAAAAAGUAGACAUAAAUGACAUAUAUUUGGAAAAUGACACUUCUGUAUUAGAAAAAUAUUAAAUAUGCAUCCAAAAUGUUCUUGAUGUAUAAUAAAUUGUACAAUACGUAUAAAAAUCUACAUAUAAACAAUUAUUUGAAACAAAAAAAUUAAUCAUGUAAAUUUGCCCGUCUCCGCGAGAUCAAUUUGUGGUUCCGAACAACGAGCUCGCUCAACGCAGAAGCCAUGGCGGUGGUUGAGGCGCUAGACAAGGAGGUAGUGUCAAGGUGUUUCCCUGGUAACAAGAGCAACCAUGGUGGUUCUCUAAAUAAUGGAGGAGGCAGAGUCAACAGAUCCCUCCAAGCAAUUCAAGUGGGCGGUGUUCAGGUCCCUUACCACAAUUUUCCUUGCGUCUGUGGAGGUGGUAAGGGUGUUACCGACAUCAAGAAGCAGUUCGAUGCUGAUUGUGAUUUCAGAUGAGGAGCUUGAGCUGCAGCGGGUGAAGAAGAAGGGCAUGGUGGUGAGUUUCCCACACGGCUCCGCCAGGCUCCAUGCCCUCUCCGCGCAGAGUAGGUGUCUCCCCGGAUGGUAGCUGCUUCUAGUUGGUGGCCGCGGAGGAUUGCGACUAGGCUGAUGCUGGAGAGGGUUGCCCGCCGGAUAUCUCAGGCAUAUUUCUAUCUGCUAAAUAUUUGCAUUCUGCUUCACAUAUUAGUGAUGGUAGAAAUGUUUUGGGUUGGAAUAAAAUUCAAUUGAAACUGAAAAAGAAACAACAUAAAUAAACACGUCCAGCUACAUGAUUCUAGAGUUUGUGAUUGGGAAAAUAAAGUUGAUGAAAAUUCGUCUUCUGUUUGUUAACCAUGUAUAAAAAUAUGCUUAUCAUGUGUAAAACAUUAUUUAGUGGCGCUAAUUGCUUUUGCACGCACAAUGCACAUUUUUUGUACAUCAAGUACAUUUUUUCUUAACAUUUUAUAAAUACAGAAUCAAUUGUUUAAAAAAUAUGCCGUCUACUUUUAUUUAAUGUACAUAGUAUAUUUUUGGUGCAAAUGAUCAGCAUUUUAAUAUAUACAUUUAACAUUUUUUAAACAUGUUCAAUGUUUUCCAUAAGGACGAAAAAGACAAAGAAACCACCUAAAACUGAAAAAGAAUCAAAUGAAAAAAUAAAAAUAAAAAAGAAAGAAAACCACCUCAAAAAGCAUAGAAAACAGGGAAAACCAUGAAAAAAAUGAAAACAGUGAAAACGAAAGAUACACAAAAAAUGAAAAAAAGGAUGAAUAAAUAAAAUAAAAAACAACUGAAAACCAAGAAAGAAACAAAAAAACAUGAAAGAAAACAAACAAGAAUAAUAAUAAAUCGAAUGGAGAAAAAAAUAAAAAUCGAUGGAAAAUAAAUAAACAAGGAAAACAGGCGAAGAAACAAAGAAAAAAAGAAGUAAACGGACCUUGCCAGUUGCUACGCGAGAGAUCUAUUUGUUCAGGCAAGAGAAGCUACGAACUGAAGUGAAGCGAGAUAUAGCUCUCGUCGCACACGAGAGUUCUUGGUCGGCGGAUUAAGCAAGACGGAGCGUGCAAUAGCUUUGGUGUCAGCUAUACAUGGUUCGGCCCAGAUAAGUUCCAGGUUAGUUCGUCCUUUUUAUGUGUUUCUCCUUUCUUUUGUUCUUAUUUUGAAAAAUGUUGUAAAUAAAUAUAUACCAGAACAUAAAAUUUAUUUAAAAAUAUAAAAAUGUUGAAUGUGAAUGUACUAAAUAUGUUAGCUUAAUUCAAAAAAAUAUAGGUAGCGCACAAAACAAUUGUGACAUUUAACAGAUAUUCACGCGGUUCAAAAAAAGUAUGCAACUUUAUAACCAUGUAUUUCCUAAAUGUUAAACGUCUAUAAAAAAACUCUUCUUUAGUUACGCAAAAAAUGUAGAAUUGUGUAUGAAAAAAGUAGACAUCAAUAACAUAUAUUUGAAUUAUGUUACUUUUGCAUUUAAAAAAUGUUAAACAUGCCUAAAAUAUGUUCGUGAUGCCUAAAAAAUGUUGCGAUGAGGAUGGCUGUCAUCUCGCACCCGCCGACUGCUUGAACAGCUAGCGUCGCUGAGCUUGAGGAACCCCUUGUAGGGACCAAAGCAGACAACCUUGACGUUGCUGGCCUCCGUCGGCAUAUCAACAAAGCGCGACGCUUUCACUGUCGGACCAAAUCAGAGAUGGAUUAGGUCUAAAAUAUAUAUUUCUUGGUUAAAGGAAAAACAUGUAAUAACUGAACUCGCACUUAAGAAUUAAUCAACAUGUUGAUUCCACCGAAGCAUGCAUGCCUCCUGGAUGCUGAAACACGACUCACUGACUAUAAAAGCAGAGGACUCACUGACUAAGUACAGGAGCGAGUGACCGACUCUCGGCUCGGGUGAGGAUAAAAAAGAUCACCUGCUGCUGCUGGUUAUUGGUAAAAUCCAUGUGAGUGCUUGAUAAAAAAUUAUGGAACAUUGUAUAUGUUGUUACACAUAAAUGUUGGGAUAAAAAGAAUCAUCUUGGUACACUGCCUAGUCUUUUGGUGGACAGAAGAUUGUAUGGUGCAAGAAGCUAUUCAGAUACAACAACACUGGGCUACAUGACAGGAAUGGUGUACACGCCCCAAGGGCCAGCAGGCAGCAGCAAACCAGGUCAAGAUGAGAUGGUCUGGGCCUAGGAUGUUGAUUCAGAGAUGCCUGACUCGACGCCAAGCAGCAGCCACCCUACACCGCAGGCCCCGGCAGUUCUCGACCGAGAGCGACUGCGGCACAGUUCAGUUGUAGAAGCAAUCACAUGCCAUUCCCCCAGCAGAGCAGAACAGAGCAGAGCAACAAUCAGGGAUCAGGCCUGUCAUUGAAUAGAAGCUGAAUGACCUUCAGCUUCAGCUCCGGCAGGCCUGCCUCCGCUCACGGACUAGCCUCGGUAUUUCCUUCCAUGUCUUCGGUUUCAAUGGUUUGAAUUCCGUUACUGCACAUACCAAAAACGAUGUCAGAAAAAGCUUGCACAAAUUAAUGUGUUAUAUCAAAAUAUAUAGCAUGAUGGCAUUCAAAUAAUGGAGAAGAAACUUCUGCAAACGUGUUAGACCAUUAUGUACAAGGGAUGGAACGGAUGACUGCAUCUGUUUGUUAAAUGUGGCAAAGAUAGAAGGACGUGCUGCAAGCAUACCUUCAUAGCAGGCAUCUAGUCGUUUGCGGCUGAUGCUGCCCAGUUGCUGCUGCAGGCAUCUAGGGAGCUUCUUUAUAGCAGGGCAGCCUCUAAUUUGAAGAUACACGAGAGACCUGUAUACUUGCAGCUCAUUCGGCAGGGAUGCCAGGGUACUGCAUCUGUCAAGAUAAAGGACAUCCAGCGAUGGGGGGUGCUCUCCCGACAGACACUCCAGCGAUGUCAGCCCACUGUUUCCCAUAAUCUGCGGUCCCUUGAGGGGUGCAGGUAGACGGAGAGUCCCACCCAACAUGCCAGCACAGUCCACUAUUACUAGAGAUUCGAGAUGGGGAGGAAGUAAAUGCUCUCUUGCAGUUGGUGUUGCUGCUGCUGGUGGCUGUGGCAUGAUAGGACUUCUGCUUAUGGAGGUAGUGACUUCUGGUUUCUGGAGCCCACCCAGCUGGCAUGAUAGGACUUGAAUACUACUACAGCUAGCAAUACGAAUGUACUUUAAAGACGGAGGAAGGUUCAGAACCGCUGGUAAGCUUCCACAUCCAGAUAAAAGUAGAUCUUCUAGGCAUGGACAAAAGUGAUUCAUGGGUGAGGAUGGCAACUCUGAUACAGCUGCAGCCCUGAUUGCCUCACUGCUAGAAGAUACUUGGACUAACUCUGCCAUGCCCUGCUGCUUGCUGAAUAUGGAGUCAAGCUUAAUGCACCUAUCAAAAUUCAUUUUCUUGAGAGAUGCCGGGACGUUGAACAUCUCUACUAAACUUGGGCAGUUUUCUAAGCAAAGAGACUCUAGACCUCUCAGGUGCUGACUCCUUUCGGACGCCAAUGGCUCAAGAGGAGCUUGUGCAUAUCCAAUCAGAUUUUCACAGUUUGUAAUCGCCAAGCUCCUCAAGGACACCAAGCUUUGGAACACUUUCUCUGGCCAGUGGACGAGCACAUCGCAUCUAUCAAUUUCCAACUUUUCAAGAUCUACAAAAUACUCACACGGCUCUAAUGCACCCGAUCCAAAGAACAAGUUGCAGCAUCUUAGCUCCAUAACUGUAAGAGGGGAUUUCUGGUUCCAUUUCUCCUUGCUGUCCACCAAUACAAUUGAAGUGCACUCAACCUCUGAUGUUGUUUCUGUGUUUUCUAGCUUCAGUAUCAGAUUGGUCAAUGAGGGCAAAUAUCUAUCUACAGAAUCGGAGAUCUCUUGCUUGCCAUCUUCAAUUUCUAAUACACUGAGUUUUGGUGCUUCAGGCAAUGCUACCAGUUUUGGGCAUUUCUGGACUGACAAUUUCUCAAGGUGGGGAAACAAUGUACCUUCGACUGCAUCCCAUCUCUGAAAGCUCCCCAACCAUUUCAUUUUGAGCACCUUUAAGGCAGGAAAGGCUGAACGUACCAAUCUAUAACCACCUUCACUACAUGGUUCUUGAAGCAAUGGUGCUUCAGGUAACGCUGUCAGCUUUGGACAUUUCUCAAUUGAUAGUUCCUCCAGACAAGGAAACACUAUCUGUUCUCCUUGAGUCUCUUCGACUGCAUCCCAUCUCCGAAAGCUCUCCAACUCUUUCAUUUUGAGUACCUUUAGGGCAGGAAACGCUGAGCGUACCAAUGUAUAACCACCUUCACCACAAGGUCCUUGCAGCAAUGGUGCUUCAGGUAAUGCUACCAACUUUCCACAAUUACUAAUAAACAACUUCUCAAGCACAGGAAAUAUUGUUUGUUCUUCUUGCCUCUCAUCUAUUUCCCACCAUCUUACAAAACCCAACAAACGUUCUAGCAUUAGUACCUUCAGUUUUGGAAAAGUGAAGCUUGCACUGCAUCUGAACAAAACUUGCAAUCUUUCACAAUGGAAAAGAUGGAUCUCAACCAUGUUUUGCAGCAUACCCAUGCACUCUCCUCCAUAGGAAUAUAUCUUCAGAACCUGCAACCCACCAUGUGGUUCGAAAUUGUCGAGCACCAUGCUGUCACAAACAGAAUUCCAUCUUAAUGUCAGUUCUCUGAGAUCCUUCUUGUUUCCAAGGUUUGCCACUUUUGCCUCUGCCUCUAUAACAUUCUCUAUCUGACAUAGCUCUAACUGACCACCAAGGUUUAAAUGCUGCAGCUCUGCAACAUCACUGCAAUCAGUGCCAGUAACUGCUGCUGCAAAAAAUGUAAGCGUCUGCAGCUUAGUGAGUUUUCCUAGUUCUGGUGGCAUGCUCUUCAAGUUGCGACAUCCAAGAGUGUAGAGGUGACGGAGGGAAGUCAUAUACUUCAUUUGCCUCGGAAGUCGAUCAAGAUGAUAGCAGUUGGAAAGGUCUAACGUUUGCAGGUUAUAUAGAAUACUUAUAUCUUCAGGAAGUGCUUUGAUAUCACUGUCUGAGAGAUCAAGGUACCUCAGGUGAUACAGAUACAUUGAUUUCAGAAGAAAUGAUUCUGUGCCUCUAAUACAGAGCUUUAAGGCAUGCAAAGAGCUAUAUUUUGAUAGAUGCUUCAAUGAGCUUCGCACAUGGCUAUCACAUAUCAGUGUUUGAAUGGCAGGGGAUUUUUUCUCCAGAGCAUCAUUCAAAAUACCUUCUGUUUCUUCACAUGACAAGAACAAAUGCCGAGCAGUAUCUGGAAGCCACUCGGUUUGCCUUGGUUCCAUAGUUGCAACAACUCAUUCCUCUUCCAUAACAGACAUUGCAAUAUCAUGCAUAAGAUCAUGGAUUUUACAUGUAUUUCUGGAAUAAUACUCCCAGUCUUCUUUACUCUUCUCUAUAUCCAGAAAGAAUGACCUUGAAGCAAGCUCAUCAAAAAUAAGUUGUCCAAUGGUUUCAAGACUAUCUUCCUUGUGUUCAGGGAUAAAGCCAUUUGUGAUCCAUAGUUGGAUCAGCUUUGCUACAUCAAUCUUGUAAUCCUUUGGAAAUACAGCACAAAAAGCAAAGCACUGCUUCAUGUGCGAUGACAAGUCAUUGUAGCUAAGCUUCAAUAUUGGCAAGAUUCCAGUUUCCUCAGUGCAAAUGCUGCUUCUAGAUGCUAUAGCCUUCCAUUCUUUCACGGUGGUCUUGGUACGAAGUACAGAGCCCAGUGCACUUGCAGCUAAAGGAGAGCCACGACAUCUGUUCACAAUCUGAUCAACCAUCUUGACUAGCUCAACAGGCUUUUUUUUUCCGGAACUGAAUGCUCGAGCCUCAAUAAUUUCCUUUAAGAAUAUAUCAUCCAAACGACCGAGAAUGUGGGUAUCUGCACCCAUAAUUUCAGCAACUCCUUUAUCACGAGUUGUUGUCAGCACCGCACUACCCAUGACACCAUGCUUAAGAUGGUCCUUCAGCCUUUCCCACUUAUGGACUUCUCUGUUCCAGACAUCAUCUAAUACAAGGAGAUACCUCUGCCCGGUGACCAAUUUCUGAAGUCUCUCUAGUUGUGGUUUGUUUGUAUGAUAAUUUUUCUUGGGAGAUGCUUCAACUAUACUCUUGGCUAGGGAGUUCACAUCAAAGAUAUCCGAGACACAGACCCACAGCAACAACUGGAAAUGCUUCUGAAUUCUAGGUUCAUUGUAUAUGAGCUGUGCUAAUGUGGUCUUACCAAAGCCCCCCAUUCCAACGAUGGCAACCACUGCGAGAUCAGCACUAUUAGCUUGGCGAAGUAGUCUACCAACAACUUCCACCUUAUCUUUGUCUCUGGAUCUGCUAGCAAUGUCUUGCAGGUCGGUGAUAACAGAAUCCGUCUGCCUCCACUGCUUGGACACGGGUGGCUGUGGUCGGUACUUGAACCUAAAGGCAUGCAUCUCUGCUAUGAGCACAUCAAUGGCCUUCAGGAUCCGGCAAAGCUUGCGACCCAUUUUGUAACGGAACACAAUACAGUUGUGAGUAGGGAAGAGUUUAAUUACAUCGAAGCCGAGCUUGCUGUAGUGCCCCUUCUUCCUGGCUUCACGACGGAGUGCUUCGUACUUGAAUUCGUCAAACACUUCAUUUGCCUCAUAUGCCACCGUCUUGAGCUCCUGGAGCCAGGUUUUGGCCCCAUCUCUAUGCUCCGUCGCCUGCUUCUCGGCGUCGGUCAUGACGUCGAGGAUGGCCGGAAGCUUGCGUUUGAGAAUCUUGUGCUGCUCCUCCAUUCCCUCCAUCACCUUGUACUGGUCCAGGAGGGAGUUGCCCGCCUUGUUCACCAGCAUGGACACCAGCGGCCGGAUGGCCAUGGCGGCCACCACCUCCGCCAUUGGAACGCCCACACGAUUGGCACAGCAACACGAAGCAGUGUGGAAUGGAGAAUGGAAUGGUGUGAGCAAGACGUGCUUGCUUUGCUAGUAAUGAAACUGGAAGCCAAGGUGAGUAUUGACUUUCUGGGAGCGAAGUGGAUGAGCUCGCGUUACGGGAACCAAUCACAACUAUCCAAUCCUGAACAGCUCAGCACUGGGCAUUGUUUUUGGGCUGAUGCAUAAUAGGACAAUCAGCAUACCACAUUAACAGCUGGGGGCAUCUUCAUUUCUUAAUGAGACACAACCAGAGUGCAAGACGACGCGGGCAACCAUAAUAUUGCAAGUAGAUCAUUGUAUUAGGUAUUUGUGUCAGUACAUCCAAUCCAGUUUUUCAAAAGUGACGUUUCACUGGCUGUGACCUUAGCAGAUGGUACGAAUUUCCUUAACAAAUACAAAGAGUUGCAGGAAUGCAAAUUAAAUAAUUACUUCCACUGGCUAGACGUGUGACAGCACACCUACUGCCUAACUACAGCAUAUACUUAUCUCAAGUGCCUGCCGCCCAGGGAGACCAGAAUAAUGGUGUUCUUGGAUUAGUUGAACCUUCAAUGCAUCACUACUUAUCACCGAAGCAUUAUUUUAUUGUUCUUUUUUUUUUGGAAUGGCCUCUAAGUAUGAUUGAGUACAGGAUUGAUCUCAGAGCAAACAUAAUCGGCUGGCAGAGAAUUAUGUCUUGUUCAUAUAGUCUGAUGCAAUUUUGUGGUUACACACUCCUCAGUUUUUAUAACUAAAUACAGAAUUUUAAUCUGUUGACAGAUCAGACAAACGUAGAAACAGUUAGCAAGAGCCCCAAUGAGAUUAUAUGCAGCAUCAUUUUAAUCGGAAAGCAAUUGCCCUCAUGAGAUCAGCAACCAUACACAGUGCCAAUAAAAAAAGGUGGCUCGUACUAACGACGCAGGUUUCAAAUUAAUCAAGUGGCUAAACCGAGGCAUCGACAGCCAUAUGGGACAAUGUGCACUUCAGUUAGAAAAUGAACACUUGCAGGCAGUAAAAUAAUUUAUGUCAGUACACCCACGAUAUUGCAAAUAGAGUAUUAAUUACGUAUUUGUGUCAGUACAUCCAAUGCAGUUUUUCAAAAGUGACGUCCCAUUGGCUGUGACCUUAGCAAAUGGUACGAAUUUUCGUUCUAAGUACUACAAAAAGUUGCAGGAAUGCAAAUUAAACAAUUACCUCCCAUGUCUAGACGUGUGAGAGCACACCUACUGUGCAACAACAAAAUAUAUUUCAUCUCGGGCACUUACCGCACAGGGAGGACCACAAUAUUGGUUUUCGUGAAUCUAAAAUACAUCACAUGCUUCCUGCUGAAGAGGGAAGACCCGGUGGCAAGUGGUUAAUUUCUUGUCCUUUUUUAAUGACACCUCUAACUAACAUUGAAGGGGCAUGAUUGAUCUCAGAGAUGAGCAUAAUAAGCUGGCAGAUGACCAUCCCUUGCUCAUAUGGACAAAUGAUACACUUAAUAUACUGAUAUGAUAAAAUACAACUUGACAAUCUCCUGAUAUUCGACGAUGAAAGAUAUGUAUGAGUAUGCGAUUCAAUUUGGUGGGCUUAAUAUGUUCCGUUAUUGAGAGACAGUGAAAAGCGGAAUAAAGGGCAGGGUGGAAUUCUCUAUAUCAGGUUAAGGAGAUCGUCUUAACUAACUAAAAUCAGAUGAAGCCUAACUUUGCAACCAUACGACGGAAGCAACAAAAAUAAAGACAGGGAGCCAGAACAGAACAAAGAUAAAUUCCAGUGCCCUUUUAUUGAUCACUGCCUAUGGCCAUAUAGAUGAGAUCUGGGACUCGGCCAGCUGAAACAUUCCUCUAGAAAGCACAUUUCCGCUGAUGCACAUAUGAAAUACGACAGUACAAAGCAGAAUAAACACUGAGAUUAUACAGAUGAUUGGACGCUGUAACUAAGUUGGAUAUCGCGGCGCGCAUAGGCGGAAAUGAGAGAGAAACGGAAUGUCCAAAGCCACAAAUGUACAUCGCUGUCAGGCUACCCAGCUGAAUCCUGCUUCCUGCUGACCCUCCUGAUUCACGCAGACGCAGCUAGCAUGGAGAUGGGCACGCCUCUCGAAUUCAUGUGAAUCGAAUCGCUGGAAGAGACGGACGGACAGGAUCAAUACCUUUGUGUCGACGGGGAGGGGAGGCCGGAGUGGCUGCCGUCGACGUACGGCGCGCAGCCGACGGGGGAGCUCCGGGACCUUCUUGUCGACACCAUCUGCAAUGGAAGUAAAAAAGAGCUGUUAGAAGAGGAUACGAGAGAGGCUCACGGUAGGAAGGAAUGGGGAAGGGGGAUGAGUGAGUACCUCGAGCGGCCGCGGUGGUGGUGGGCGGGCGGAUGCGGAGGGUGGGAGGGAGGCUGACACCUCCGCCGCCACAGACGUACGUGGAGCGGCCACGGGCGUUGCGUUCUGGUAGAGGCCACGGGCAGUGGGGUCCGGGAGACGUCGUGCGCCGGCGAGGAGGACGGGGAAGGGGAGACGAAGACGACGCGGAUCGGCGGAGUGUGGGCUGGGCUUGUGACGUUGGGGCCUCCGAAAACUAUAGCCCAGUUCGAAUUGGUGCCCUAACACACACAGCGCUUACGUCGGCUAAAUCCUAUUUGGCGCCUUCAGCGCCCGCUAUAGGUCUUUCGGCCGGCCCAGUUUCGACAUUUUUUCUGUGUUUCCAAAAGGCAAAAAGGGCGCUAGAGCUGGGUAUCGAAAACGCUACAACCACUCAACCACACCCCUUGGUGUGAUUGGUUACAUGUUUUCUCGUCUUUUCUUAUGCUUCUUUUCCUUUUUAUUCCUUUUUUUCUUUCUUUUUUCAAAUUCGCAAAACUGUUUCUUCAUGAAUAUUUUCUGCAAAUCGAUGAACUUUUCUCUUUGAAUUUGAUGAUUUUUUUCGAAAAAUUUGAUGAACGUUUUUUCAGAUCCGAUGAACUUUUUUUUGAAUUCCAUGAACUUUUUUCAAAUUCGAUGAACUAUUUUUCGAAUUCAAUGAACUUUUUCUGAAUUCGAUGAACUUUAUUUCGAAUUCAAUGAACUUUUGAUCGAAUUCGAUGAACUUUUUUAAAUUUGAUGAACUUUUUCAAAUUCUGAUGAACUUUUUGAAAGGACAAGAGUACAUACCGUAGCAAAACGGUUUGUUUUUUCCAAGAAAAUCAGUACACACUGUAGCAUUUUUUGAGCGAGAGAAAUAAAAAAGUGAUCGAGCGGUAGCUAGCGACCGAGCGGCGACAGCAGCGAGCGUUGCUGGGCCAGGCCCAUGCAAGCGACGCAGUGGGCGCCGUGUUCACUCGCUCCACCUCUGCAUUGAUGUCUCUAGCUUGUAGCAAUUGCCAUCCUUUACAUGUAAAGAGGAUUUGAUGAGUCAUGUCAUGCUCUAUAGGCGUCAGUUCAUCUUAUCACCUUAGAGGAAAAUACAAAGUUAGUUUUUCGAAAAGCAACCGAGCCUAGAAGAACCGUACCCUCGACACGCAAGGCUUUAGCAUAUCUUAAUAGCCGAGACACGAUUGCGACUUGGUUCCACACAAGUUUCGUCUUUCUUGUUAAUGGCUGACAGCCCAUACAAGAUUCCAAACUCGGUUGCAAAAGUGAUACUAUCCUGAUAAGUGCGUGACAUGUAAAGUGAAUAAGGUGAUUCAUCUAUAGCAAACUUUAGGAUUUCUAUACUUUGUGUAUAAUCAUAUGCACAACUAAAAAGCAACUUUGAUGAUCAAUCCAAAAGUACGCUUGUAGCUAGUGCAACCUAACACAAUGUACCAAAAAUCCAUUUCAGAAACAUCCAAACAUAAUUAUUAAAGCUGAUGGAAAGAAGGAAAGAGAUGGUGCCCGGGCUACUAUAAAUAGGCAUGAAGUAUCAAGAUCAUCACAGGCACAAUCAUCAAAACCAAGCAAUACUAGUUAACACCAAUCCACCAUGAAGACCUUCCUCAUCUUUGCUCUCCUUGCCAUUGCGGCGACAAGUGCCAUUGCACAAAUGGAGACUAGCCGCGUCCCUGGUUUGGAGAAACCAUGGCAGCAACAACCAUUACCACCACAACAACAACCACCAUGUUCACAGCAACAACAACCAUUUCCACAGCAACAACAACCAAUUAUUAUACUGCAACAAUCACCAUUUUCGCAGCAACAACAACCAGUUCUGCCGCAACAGCAACCAGUUAUUAUACUGCAACAACCACCAUUUUCGCAGCAACAACAACCAGUUCUACCACAACAACCACCAUUUUCACAACAACAACAACAACAACAACAACAACAACCACCAUUUUCGCAGCAACAACAACCAGUUCUACCACAACAACCACCAUUUUCACAACAACAACAACCACCAUUUUCGCAGCAGCAACAACCAUCUUCACAACAACCACCUUUUCCACAACAACACCAACAGUUUCCACAACAACAAAUCCCUGUUGUUCAACCAUCCGUUUUGCAGCAGCUAAACCCAUGCAAGGUGUUCCUCCAACAGCAGUGUAGCCAUGUGGCAAUGUCGCAACGUCUUGCUAGGUCACAAAUGUGGCAACAGAGUAGUUGCCAUGUGAUGCAACAACAAUGUUGCCAACAGCUGCCGCAAAUCCCCGAACAAUCCCGCUCUGAGGCAAUCCGUGCCAUCGUCUACUCCAUCAUCCUGCAAGAACAACAACAGGGUUUUGUCCAACCUCAGCAGCAACAACCCCAACAGUCGGGCCAAGGUGUCUCCCAACACCAACAGCAGUCGCAGCAGCAGCAGCAACUCGGACAGUGUUCUUUCCAACAACCUCAACAACUACAACAAUUGGGUCAGCAGCCUCAACAACAACAGAUACCACAGGGUAUAUUCUUGCAGCCACACCAGAUAUCUCAACUUGAGGUGAUGACUUCCAUUGCACUCCGUACCUUGCCAACGAUGUGCGGUGUCAACGUGCCGUUGUACAGCUCGACCACUAUUAUGCCAUUCAGCAUUGGCACUGGAGUUGGUGGCUACUGAUAAGAAAAGAUUUCUAGUAAUAUAUAGUCGUUAGAUCACCGUUGUUUAGUCGAUGGAUAUGUCGAUGUAGCGGUGACAAAUAAAGUGUCACACAAACGUCAUGUGUGACCCGCAAACUAGUAGUUAAAUUCUGGAAUAAAAUACAAAUAAAGUUUUCUCUAGACAAUGUUCAUACCGGCGUUCUGUGGACGUCGAUGUGACUACCAUGCUUGCAAGUUCAUAAGUUCGUCUUGUCUGGUCACAAACCUGGUGCGUUAAUUUAUUAUUCAUGUAUAGAAAUAAUCAAAAUUUAAAUAUAAUAGUGUUAUUGUAAAAUUUUGGUUGAGUUGAAGCAAGGACUAACAUACAACUCUUUAAUGGUUGGAGAUUCAAGAUCUUAUUUUUAUUGGUUUGUAUCUGGUUCCAACUACCACCAUGGUCUACAGUGACAACCACAACUGGUUUGAUCGUUAACUCUCUUUGCUUGGUUUUUUUGCAAAUAUGUUCAUUGAUUCUUUGCACAAUUUUUUUGUCAAGAAAAAGGUCAGCUUUUGCUUGAACUUCACACACACACACCACUACAUAGUUAAUUCGAAAUAAGUUGCUGGUGAUGUCCUAGACCAGCUAGCACAGUCAGUGUGUGUGGGGAGGGGGAGUUGUUGCAUGCGUAUUCUUCGCGCAUUAUUUUAUUUUGUUCUUUUGAUGCUCUUACACCAUACCACAUUUUUACUUGAUGGAAAGCAAAAUAAACAACGCAGCUAGAAACCAUAGAACUUGAUACUGGGUGUGUGUCAACUUCACAUCCUCCUCCUUACGUCAUUUCAAUUGGAAAGCAAUAGCCCUCAUGAGAUCAGAUAUCCAUACAUAAUGCCAAAAUAAACAAGGUGAUGGCAUUAACGAUGCAAGUUUUAAAUUAGUCAAAUGGCUAAACUGAGGCACCGGCAGCCAUAUGAGACAUCCACGAGCAUGUAAUCCAUCUUAUUGCAAGUAGAGCACUGUAUUAUGUAUUUAUGUCAGAACAUCCAGUGCAGUUUUUCAAAAUGACGUUCCAUUGGCUGCAACUAGCAAAUGAUACGAAUUUUCUUUCCAAAUACUACAAAAAGUUGCAGGAUUGCAAAUUAAACAAUUACCUCGACUGACUAGACGUGAAACAACACACCUGCUGUGCAGCAACAACAGAUAAUUCAUCUCAAGCACCUACCCAGCAGGGAUUAGUUCUCGUGAAUUCAUGGAAUUUAGAAUGCAUCACAUGCUUACUGCUGAAGAGACAAGACCCAGAAGCAAGUGGUCACUUUCUUGUCCUCUUUAAAUGACACCUGUAAUUAAGAUUGAGUACAUCAUCGAACUCAGAAGUGACCAUAAUCUGCUGGUAGACCAUUAUUUCUUGUUCAUAUGAACAUACAUAAUACUUAAUAUACUGACAUGAUACAAGGCAACUUGACAAUCUCCUGUUAUUCGAAGAUGAAAGAUAUAUAUGAGUAUGCGAUUCAAUUUGGUGAGCUUAAUAUGUGCCGUUAUUGUGAAACAGUGAAAGACUGAAUAAAGGGACAUAUGGAAUUCUUUUUAUCAUAAUAACGAGUUUCUAAACACAGAACGAAAGCAACAAAAAAUAAAGACAGAGCGCUAAAAUUUCAGAGAAGUUUUUGAAGAUAUAAAAUGCAGUGCCCUUUUAUUGAUCACUGCCUAUAGCCAUAUAAAUAAGGUCUGGGACUCGGUUCGCUGCAACAAGCCUCUAGAAAGCACAUUUCCUCUGAUGCACAUAUGAAAUUUGAGAGUAAAACAUAAAAACGCCGAGAUAUACGGAUGAUUUAAUGAUGUAACUAACUUGGAUAUCCUUCUAGUGACCACGGAAUGGACAAAUUUUCUUCCGAGACGUCGAAAAGGGAUGGAACCUCCACACCCACUGCUUCUCCUUCACCUGCAUAGCGUGCGUAGGCGGAAAUUUGAUGAGUAUUUGAAGUGACAUCCACAUAGAGCAGGAGUUAUUCGGCUAGCAAAGUGCAAAUGUACAUCACUCUCAGGCUACAAGACUGAAUUCUGCUCGAUGAUCUUCCUGAUUCAUGCAGCGGAUAUGCAAAUGGGCGUGCCCCUUAAAUUCAUGUGAAUCAAAUUGCAGAAGAGACGGACAAACAGGGUUAAUAUAUACCUUAUUUCUUGUGUUGACGGGAUGGCUGGAGUGGCUGUCGUCGAUGUACGGCCCGCACUCGACGAAGAGCUUGAAGACCCUCUUGCGAAGACCAUCUGCGAGAGGAAGCAAGAGUUGAGGUCAGAAGAGGGUACAGUAGAGGUUGAGGGUGGGAAGGAAGGCAUCAACACUAGUAGAAAAAGGGCCUAAUGUGAAGCACAUUAGUCCCGGUUUGUAACAAAACCGGCACUAAUGUGUCCAUUAGUGCCGGUUCCAACGGCUAGGCGGGUGGAGCUAAAUUAGACUGAAUUGAACUUGUUCUUUAUAACUAGCUUGGGACAGAAAAAUUACUAUGAAAUGCACUUGAUUAUACUUGAUUUUAUGGGCUACAAAAAAUAUCAUCCAAAAAUGCUCUAAAAAACACGUUCUAAAGUAGGUUUGGCAGGAGAUGCGGCACAUUAUCAUUCAGAAAUUAGACCAAGAUAAAUGUGGAGUUGGCGGCUCAACACUCUAUAAGACUGUAACAGGUUGUCCCAGUGUCUCAGUCCUUUAGGACAUAGAUCCAGAAAAUGUAGAACUAACAUAUUAGCGGUUAGGAUCAUAUUUGCAAUGUGGGAACUUGGUGCGCUCGCUCCAACAUGCCUAGUGGAAGCAUGUGUCCUCUGAUGCACAUAUGAAAUAUGACUGGUACAAAACAUAAGAAACACUGAGAUUAUACGGAUGAUUGGAUGCUGUGGCUAACUUGUGCGUCGCUCCAGUCAACUGAGUGGACGAACUCGCUAAGAGCUUUCUUCUCGGAGAUCAAAGGGGACGGAACUUCCUAAGAGCUUUUGAUUCAACCUCCAUGCUAACUAACUACUUCUCCACCUGUUUAGUGGGCGUAGGAGAAAAUUUGAUGAGUAUUUGAAGUGACGUCCACAUAGAGCACAUAGCUAUAUUCAGUUAGAAAAGCCACAAAUGUACAUCACAUCCAGAUUAAUGGAGGUGGAAUGUGAAUGUGUGUGCCCUUAAAUUCAGGUGAAUCAAAUCGCAGAAGAGCCAGACGAAUAGGAUAGAUACCUUGAGUGGACGUGGAGGACGGAGUGUCUGCAGACAAUGUAUGGCCCACACCUGAAGGAGACCUUCUUGCCGAAAGCAUCUGCAAGAGGAAGUAAGAACAUGGUUGUUGACAUCAGAUUUUGGCAUGGUACAAAAAGCAAUUAAGAUUGCCCCAAAUGGAGAAGUGAUUUACAUGAAAAAGUUCCAUUUUGUCGACCUGAACAUCUUUGAAGUUUGUGCCAUCGCCAUCUAAUCUCAUCUCGAAGGCCAAAGUUAUGUUCGAAAUACUGAGAUUUUGUAUCCAGAGCACUGUUCGGCCGAUUAUGCCUCAAGGGAUGGUCACUUUCUACAUGAAUUGUCUUCGUCUCAUCAAAACGGUCGAUUUUGAUAAAAAUUCAUGUCAAUCCGAGGUUGUAUGUAAAAGUUAGAGCCACCCGAGUGCGGUCAUGAGCCAAAAGUGGCGAGUAAUAGUCUAUUUUGCACGAGCAAUUCGUCCCUGAAGUUGGCAUCUAUUCGAAACAUGUUUAACAUGAAUGUUGUUCGUCUCGGUGAAACGGUUAAAUUUGGUUCUUACACGAUUUUGAUCUGAGGUCAUUUACUACCCAAAAAAUGACCCGCAAGGUGAAGCCAAUUUUUAGAUCGAAUAGUUUUGGGAAGUUCGGAUCGAACAAUCCGAAUAGGAAUCAAAUUAGGGUUUUGGACAUGAAUUCUAACCUUUCCUUGCACGGGAAGUCCAUCCACCUCUUAUAUACAUGAGGGGUGACGGCCGAUUGAGAAACAACACACAAUCGCAAAACCCAUCUACAAACUUUCAUCUCCUAUCCUACUUUUCUGCUUCUCGUUCAUCAGUGUUCUUUGCUUCGGAGAGCUCUGAUCUAUGAAGUCCUAGGGGUGGGCGAACCAACCUAGGGCAGCCCAGCACUGUCGUGCGGCCAGACAGGGUCUCUUCCGACCGCGUGGGGUUUCGGGUCUUCAAAAGCGCUCGCCGGAUUGUAUUGCGUACCACUCUUCCGGUGAGCCUCCUUCGGCGAUGUGUCUUGCGUAUCGCGCUCGACGCCGAGGGUACACGGUGACGUGUUUGUGUGUGAACACACUUUUUGGCGACUCCGCUGGGGACCAAAGAGCAAUCAUCAUCAUCCAUCAUGGUCAAUCUUCCCAAGCCAUCUGAAGUGGAUGCCGAUAACAUCAACAAGCCCAAUUUUGAGGAAUUAUCGGCAGAACAUCGCCAAGCUUGUGAGUAGUACAAGAAGGCACGUGAAGGGAAGGAGAUGCAGGAGUUCCUUGCUAAGUUCAAAAAGGAUCGCCAAGGCAACAUCACUUCAAUUGAAGAAAUCAAGUUUCCUCCUCUUCACAAUGAGUAGGUAGAGUCGGCUGAAAUCACUACUCUUAUUGCUCAGAAUAAUGAUCGAAAAAAUACUCCUCAAUCAUCUAAUGGUAGAAAAUAAUACUGAUCGAAAAAAUACUCCUCAAUCAUCUAAUGGUAGUGGUAGUAUGUCUGCUGGUGUGGAAAACUUUAGUCCAAAUUUACCUAUUCCAGCGGUGCUGCCCAUGCCAUUGAAUUCUUAUCCCAGUCAGACAAACCAACUUGUUGCUCCACCAUUUAAUCCAGCCAGGAAUAUGCCAAGUUCAGUGAAUCCAACUGCAUUGCUAGGUUAUGGUUCGGCAAGUCCAAGUGGAUUGCUGCCGAACUAUGGUAUAACAUACACACCACCAUCUCUUCCGACUAGCACUAUACCAACUAGUAGAAAUCAUAUUCACCAUGCGCCACAACCACACGCAACGCCGCUCAAUACGAGUGAUAUUUUGGCUAAUGUCAGAGAGGAGAUGUCGAGGGUGUUCCGAGAGCAUUGCGGGAUUGAACUACCUCAACCACGAAUUUCUAGGAAACCAUAGCUAGAAAUUUUUGAUGUCGUGCCAUGUCCUCCCGGAUAUAAAGUUCCAGAUUUUGUUAAAUUUAGCGUAGAGGGAAGAAAGACUACAUGGGAGCAUGUUAGUCGGUACUUGGCACAAUUAGGUGAGGCAAGUUCACGAGACGAGUGGAAAGUACGUUAUUUUCCUUUAUCUUUAACCGGUACUGCUUUCCCGUGGUUUUCUGCAUUACCACCCGGUUCUAUUACUGCAUGGUUUCACUUGGAGCAAAAGUUUCAUGACCACUUCCAGAGUGGUGACAAUGAGCUUAAACUAUCCCAUCUUACAUCGGUUAAGCAAAAGCAUGAUGAAUCAGUCUUCGAUUAUGUCAAAAGAUUUAGAGAUACAAAAAACCGGUGCUAUAGUUUGGUGAUAACCGAGAGAGAUGUGGCUGAUCUCGUGCUUAGUAGUUUGAGAACUCACAUUAGAGAGAAGCUGGAAGGCUAUGAGUUUUCAAGUAUCAACCAUGUCUUAGAAAAGGGCUUUGGCUCAAGAAAGCCAAAGCAAAGAGUUUAAAGAGGUGCAUAGGUAUAACACUGAUCAUCCUAAGAUAAAUAUGAUUGAGUAUGAUGGUGAGCACUCGGAUGAUGAGGGUGAUAUUUAUGAUACUGAAUUUGUUUGGCCAUCUAAGGCCAAACCAUUUACUUGCAAUGAUAUAAAGCCAAUUUCAUAAGAAUCGUGAUGAAGAGAUGAAAAUUACUUUCAACAUUACUAAGUGUGAUAGAAUAUUUGAUGCUUUGUUGCAAGCGAACAUUAUUAGAAUAUCUCAUACUUUACCGCCGUUUCAAGAGCUGAAACGGCGUGCUUAUUGCAAGUAUCAUAAUUCUUUUUCUCAUGCCACUAACGAUUGUAAUGUUUUUCAACGACAAAUACAGCCGGCCAUUAAUAACGGACGAUUGAAAUUUUCUCAGAUUCCACUUGAUAAGCAGCCCUUUCCAAUGAACACCAUGGAUUUGGAGGGAAAAAGAUGUUAAUUCGGCCCGAUAUAGCCGAAUCAGCUAAUAAAAAUAAGAUUGUCAUUGGUGAGCCUCAGAAAAGCAAGGAAGACGACAAGGCCUUGGGGAGACAAGUUGUGCUUGACAAGCGACCCGGUGGCAAGGAGAUCAUUAAGAUCACCAUCAAGAANNNNNNNNNNNNNNNNNNNNNNNNNNNNNNNNNNNNNNNNNNNNNNNNNNNNNNNNNNNNNNNNNNNNNNNNNNNNNNNNNNNNNNNNNNNNNNNNNNNNNNNNNNNNNNNNNNNNNNNNNNNNNNNNNNNNNNNNNNNNNNNNNNNNNNNNNNNNNNNNNNNNNNNNNNNNNNNNNNNNNNNNNNNNNNNNNNNNNNNNNNNNNNNNNNNNNNNNNNNNNNNNNNNNNNNNNNNNNNNNNNNNNNNNNNNNNNNNNNNNNNNAAAUUUGUUAAACCAAAGAAUCCAGAGGUUGGCAAGUGGAAGACGAAUGAAGCUAAAGUACAACGCAAGAGAAUCAAGCCAACUUUUGUUAUGUUGCUAUGCAAAUGUGCCAAUCAAGCGGCCAAUUCUAGCUCUAACCGGUCAUCAAAUUUAAAGCUCUCCAGGUCACCUCCUCGACAAGAAUUUCAUCAUCAUGCAAGGCCAUAUGGGUCUUGGGCACCUUGACCAUCGAUGGCACCACCCCCCCUAUGUGUCAUACUACAUGGGAAACUUUAAUGGAGGAUGGGGGCAACCUCCAAUGACCCCUUAUGCUUUUCAUCCGGGUUGGGUAGAACCAAGGAGGCCCGUUUGUGAGAGGCUUUCUUACCCUAUACAUGGCCGUUUGAACAAUGGUGUCAAUCGGCCAAUGCAGGAUAAUCAAAAAAGGUUCAGCAAUCAAGUGUGGCGAGCUAAAUCACCAAGUGCUGAAAUUUCAGAGGCUAGCAACCAAAAGGAGAAGAGUACUAGUGCUGAAACUAUUAUUGUAGGCACUAAAGAAUUAACAAUCAAAUAGCCGAUUAUUGUUGAUAAUGCAGCUAUUUCUAACAAGGAUGUGGCUGCUGUCCAACAAGGUCCCGUGGCUAAUGAUCAUGAAGCUAGCACAAGCAAGGCCAAGCUGAGGGAUCCAAAAUAUACUUAGCCUAAGUGGUGUCCCUCCGGUCUGACCAAGGCACAAAAAAGUAGGUUGCAGCACAUGAGAAGCCACGAGAAGGAGGGAUAAGAAGCGGAGAGGCAAAGGGAUAAACUGUUCAAUGAAACCCGUCCCAUGAUGUCCGCAAAACAAGUGUGGAGGCCUAAGCAAAAGGAAAACAUAGUAGCUUCUGCAUUGGUAAUAACAGCACCUACACCACCAAUGGAGGACGAUGCGACUGCUAUUACAUCGUCCACUUCACCUAUUACUUCCUCUUCACUAGGAGAUAUUUCGGAGUCGAUGGACAUGCUUCAGGAUGGAGAUGGUAUUUUGGAUUAUGAGUCUACACCGGUUCAUGAAGGUAUUGAUAUUAAUAUGGUGCACUACUUACCCGCUGAAUUCCGUGCUAUAUAUGAAGAAGGGCAAGUACCUCAGUUGGAUUUUGGUCCUAAAAAUGCUAUAAUCGAGAAGCCAAAAGAAUGGGUGACGCACCUGAAGCCAUUGUUCCUUAAAGGUCAUAUUAAUGGAUCGCCGAUUGCUAGAAUGCUUGUUGAUGGUGGUCCUGUGGUGAAUCUUAUCCCAUAUUCAGUCUUAUAAAAAAUGAGGCUGCGUGAUGAAGAGUUGAUAAAGACCAACAUGGUGCUCAACGGAUUUGAAGGUAAAGAGAAAAUUGAAGCCAAAGGUGUGAUGUAUGUGGAGCUUACGGUGGGAAGCAAAACUUUGGCUACCGCAUUCUUUGUCGCCGAGGUGCAAGGUAACUCCAAUGUGAUAUUAAGCCAUGAUUGGGUUCAUGCAAACCAAUGUGUGCUAUCUACUAUGCACCAGUUUUUGAAUCAAUGAGUUGAUGAUGAAGUGGAAGUCAUUCAUGCGGAUAAUUCGAUCGGCUUGUGUUGCUUUGGCCGAUGAAUCGGUGGAUUGGCAACAUCCCAAUGCUACUUGCUUGACGGGGCGCGACUUAUCAGAAUUUGAUUUUCUUAGCGCUACAAAAUUGGUUUCGUGCCCCUUUCUAUAAAGCCGGUUGGCGAUAAUCGGCUCCAAGGUAUGAUGUAUUUAAAUGGAUCCUAUCUCAGAGUGGUUUCAAAAGCGUCUUGUAGAAUAUCGGUCCAAUGAGAAUGAUAUGUAUGAGUCCAUAGAAGAGUUAGAUGAUAUGGAUAAAUUAGGACAAGGUUUUACAUCGGCGAUCCAUUAGAAGAGAUAGAUAUAGCAGAUGGUUCAUUUCUUAGGCCGACAUUUGUAAAUAAAAAUUUAAGAGUCGAUCAUAAACUUAAGUUGAUCGAGCUGUUAAAAGAAUAUAUUUGUUGCUUGGCAUGGGAAUAUCAUGAGAUGCCCGGUUUAAGCCGAGAGCUAGUGGAGCAUCGAUUACCUAUAAAGGCUGGUUUUUGACCGUAUAAGCAAUCGACCAGAAAGUUUAAUCCAAAAACAUAUGACCGGAUCAAGGAAGAGAUCGGUCGUUUGCUGAAAGCUAAUUUUAUUAGACCUUGCAAGUAUGCCGAGUGGAUUUCUAACAUUGUACCAGUGAAGAAGAAAGGCUCGGGCAAGUUGAGGGUGUGUAUUGAUUUUAGAGAUUUGAAUAGAGCUACACCCAAAGAUGAGUAUCCCAUGCCCAUAGCCGAUAUGCUUAUUAAUGAUGCCUCUGGACAUAAGGUCAUUAGCUUUCUUGAUGGUAAUGUGGGGUAUAAUCAAAUUUUUAUGGCCGACGAUGAUAUGACCAAAUUAGCUUUUCGAUGUCCCAGUUUCCUUGGUUUAUUUGAGUGGACAGUGAUGACCUUUGGUUUAGAGAAUGCCGACACCACGUAUCAAAGGGCUAUGAAUUUAAGUUUUCAUGAUUUACUUGGUGUUAUACUUGAAGUCUAUAUUGAUGAUAUUGUUGUCAAAUCGGAUGCUUUUGAAUCUCAUCUAGCUGAUUUGUGCUUAGAUUUUGAGAGAAUGAAAAAAUAUUGACUAAAGAUGAAUCCUUUGAAAUGUGCUUUUGGUGUAUCGGCUGGUAAGUUUUUGGGUUUCAUUAUUCAUCAACAUGGCAUAGAAAUUGACCCAAAAAGAUAGAGGCUAUACAAAAGGUGUGGGCUCGAACAUGCAAGAGAGAUAUGCAAAAAUUCCUUGGCAAAGUCAAUUAUUUGAGGAGAUACAUAGCCAAAUUGUCAGGGAAGGUUGAUACAUAGCCAAUUAUUUGUGCACUUCUCUAGUGUUGAAAGCCCCCAAGCAUAGAGAGCCCUUUAGGCUUUAUAUUGCGGAGGAGAAAGCCCCCAGGCAUAGAAAGUCCCCUCAAGAGACCGAAGGAAAGGAGCAUGCUAUUCUUAUUUGAGUCGACGCUUAUUGGAUGUCGAGAUAAGGUAUACAUUGAGAAAUUAUGCUUAUGCUUAUAUUAUGCUUGCACAAAAUUGAGACAUUACCUAGUGCCUAGUACAUGCAUUAUAGCUUUUCAAACUGAUGUCAUCAAAUACAUGUUGCAUAGGCCAAUUCUUAGUGGUAGAAUUGGCAAGUGAGCUUAUGCUUUAAUUGAAUAUGAUUUGGUUUAUGAAUCUCUGAAAUUCAUGAAUGGGCAAAUCGUUGUUAAUUUUGUUGUUGAGCAUCGGAUUGAUGACAAGCAUGAUAUUGAUCUUAAACUUGUCUAUUAGUACCAUGGAGAUUAUAUUUUGAUGGUUCCGUUUGUAGCAAUGGACAAGGUGUUGGUAUUGUUUAUAUAUCUCCUCAUGGAGCUAUUUUUCAAGCCUCAUGCCGCUUAGAGUAUUUUUGUACAAAUAAUUAGGCCGAAUAUGAAGCAUUUUUACUCGGUUUAGAGAUGUUGCUUGCCAUAGGCGCUACACAUAUUGAGGCUUUUGGUGAUUCGUUAUUAGUAGUGCAACAAAUAUCCAGAGUAUUUCAAUGUUUUCAUGAAUCACUUAAUGUUUAUCUUGAUAAAUGUCUAGAUAUAAUUUCUACUUUGGAUUAUUUUAGCAUUCCUCAUAUAUCUAGACAUGACAAUUGGAGAGCAAAUCAGUUGGCACAACAAGCAUCUGGCUAUCAUGUUAAUCAUGACAUGUUUCAUAUUUACCAAAGGCCGAUGUCUAUUCUUGCCAACGUAGGGGAGGCUGAACCGGAGCCCACCGUUUCGGUCACAAAUGAAAAUUUUAAUGUAGAAAAUCUGGACUAGAGGAAAGCCAUUAUUGAUUAUUUGCGUGAUUCUAAUAAAAUUUUGGAUGAGGACCAAGCAAGAGUUGCUAUGAGAGAGGUUCAUGAAGGAAUUUGUGGGACUCAUCAGUCGGCUCCCACUAUGAAAUGGUUAUUGCGACAGGCUGGGUUUGAUUGACCAACGAUGAUUAAUGAUUGCUUCAGGUAUUAUAAAGGAUGUGCAGCUUGUAAAAUGUCUGGUGAUAUUCAGCUAGCUUCUGCUGCUAUGUUACAUCCUAUUAUUAAGCCGCGGCCUUUUAGAGGUUGGGGAUUAUACUUUAUUGGAGAGAUUCAUCCUUCUUCUUCAAAGGGGCAUCAGUUUGUGUUGGUGGCAACUGAUUAUUUCACUAAAUGGUCUGAAGCAAUACCGCUAACAAAUAUGACGCAUACGGAGGUAAUUCAAUUCAUAACUUAGCACAAUAUUCAUAGAUUUGACAUUCCUCAAAUGUUAACUACGGACCAAGGUUCAUCUUUUAUGUCAGAUCAAGUUAGAGAAUUUCCCGAAUCAUAUAAGAUAAAGUUGCUCAAUUCAUCUCCGUAUUAUGCCCAAGCCAAUGGACAAGCUGAGUCUAGCAAUAAAAUAUUAACCAACCUCAUCAAGAAGAAGAUUGAGGAUAAUUCAAGGAGAUGGCAUGAGCUAUUGUCCGAAGCUUUGUGGGCACACAUAAUCUCAAGGUAUGGUGCUACAAAGGUAACUCCAUAUGAGCUCAUAUAUGGUAAAGAGGCCGUUUUACCAGUGGAAGUGAAUUUGAAUGCUUUGAGAAUAGCAAAACAAAAUGAUUUAUCGGCGGUGGACUUUUAUAACUUGAUAAUGGAAAAUAUUGAUGAAGUCGCUGAUAAAUGUUUUGUUGCUUUGAAGGCCAUAGAGAGAGAUAAUUUGAGGGUGGCAAGAGCUUACAAUAAGAAGGUCAAGUUGAAGAAUUUUCAAGUUGGCGAUCUCGUGUGGAAGGUGAUUCUACCAAUUGGUUCGAAAGACAUAAAAUUCGGGAAGUGGUCUCCAAGUUGGGUAGGUCCUUUUAAGAUUACAAGGGUAGUUCCCAGAAACUUAUAUUUAGUGGAAUCCGUACAAAGGACAUUGUUACCUCGAGCUGUCAAUGGCAAAUAUUUGAAGAAGUACCACCCAAGUGUGUGGCAAGAAGCCUAGAUAAUCAAUGGCCGAUAUACGACUAUGGCCCUUAGCAUAAACAUGGCCGAUAUAUAAUUAUCGCACCGAGAAGUAUAAAUGACACAUGGAGUGUUGACAUCGUCCUUAGAAUAAACGCGAUGCAAAUUAUUUUCCGGCAUUCAAGCUCUGCCCAAAACAGAGGAUAAGGGUUGACACCAGAUUUUAGCAUGGUAGGAAAUGCAAUUAAGAUGGUCCCAAAUGGAGAAGUGGUUUACAUUAAAAAAAAGUUCCGUAUUGUCGACACAAACAUCUUCGAUGUUUGGGCCAUCGCCAUCCGAUCUCAUCUCGAAGGCCGAAGUUGUGUUCGAAAUACUGAGAUUUUGUAUCCCGAGCACUGUUCGGCCGAUUACGCCUCAAGGACGGCCUCAAAUGAGAAAACUUUCGACAUGAAUUGACUUCGCUUGGUCGAAACAGUCAAUUUUGAUAUAAAAAUCGUCUCAAUCCAAGGUCGUAUGUAAAAGUUAGUGUCUCCUGAGUCCGGCCCUGUCACGAGCCAAAAGCUACGCGAGUAAUAGUCUAUUUUGCGCGAGCGAUUUGGCACUGAAGAUUAUAUCGAAUCGAAAACUGUUCAACAUGAAAGUUGUUCGUCUCGUCGAAACAGUUAAAUUUGCUUCUUCCGCGAUUUUGAUCCGAGGUCGUUUACUACCCCAAAAAUGACCCGCAAGGUGCAGCCAAUUUUUAGACUGAACAGUUUUGGAAAGUUUGGAUCAUACGAUCCUAAUUGGACUCAAAUUAGGGUUUUGGACAUGAAUUCUAACUUUUCCUUGCACGGGAAGUCCAGCCCCCUCUUAUUUACAUGAGGGGUGAUGACUGCCCCUCCUAGAAAAAACCAGACUGGGAGGACAUUUUUUUCCUGUCCGAAAGCCGUUUCCGCCUCUUGGAAGAAGAAGAAGAAAAAAGAGAAAACACGUUUUUUUUCGUUUCCGAGAGCCUCUCGCGGAAACAAAACAAUGCCGCUCAUGGAAGAAAAACAAAAAAAUGCAUUUUUUCACGAAAGCAAAACCGUGCCUCUCGUGAAAGAAAGAAAAGAGAAAACACAUUUCUUGUCCUUUUCGUGAGGCACGGCAGUGCCUCUCGCGGAAGCAAGACCAUGCCUCUCGCGGAAGCAAAACCGUGCCUCCCGCGGAAGAAAAAUACAGGGAAAACACGAUUUUUUUUCGUUUAUGAGAGGCACGACUGUCUCGCGGAAGCAAAGCCAUGCCUCCCGCCGAAGGAAAACCGUGCCUCUGGUGAAAAGGGAAAAAAAGAAAACGUGUUUUGUCACAGGAAAAAAAUUAAAAAAAAUUGGUCCAAAACCUAGGGAAGACCGGUGAACAACCAAAAAGCCGGAAAAUUAAAAAAAAAAACAUCUAAAAUACCAGAUGGAGGUUGAGAGUGCACCAAGUGACGCGCUCUCGGCCCAUCCACAAAUGACCCUUGGGAAGGGUGGGAACGAGCGCUCUUUAGUAUUAUUUUUUGAGGCAAACCGUUCUUUAAUUAGUUGCUCCGGGGAAGGGGAAUGGAAGACGCAGAUCGGCAACGUGUGGGCUGGGCUUGUGACGUUGGGGUCUCAGAAAAUAUAGCCCAGUUCGAAUUUAGUGGUCUCAGCAAGUAAAACCAGCGCUUAUGUUGGGCCUAAUCACUCACUCCAGGCUGUGGGCCUCGCUAGCAGCCCCAUCUUACCAUUCCCCUCGUUCUCUCUCUCUCUCGCAAAAAAAAACCAUCAUUUCCGUCAAAAAGAAAAGACAUCUACCCGUCUCGCCGCCAAGAGAUCCAGGAACCCCGGGGUCGUUCCAUUGUUUUGCAUAGCGUGUAGAUUAGGUUUUCUCUGUUAGUUUUAUGUGUUCUUAGUGGCGAUGGCUUGACGGUGAAGGCGAGAGUGAUGAUGGUCUCUCGGCUCCAUUCCUGUUCUGAUUAUGCGUUCCCGGCUAAGAAGGCCAUCAAACAUAACAUAAAUGGGGUGCUUUCUUUUCUUCUUACCGAUCUCCUCCUAGUUUACCGGCUCAAGGUGUAUCGGCUCUACAAACAUCUUGUAUCCACCUCACGUCCUGGGAAAUUACUGUCGGUAACUUUCAUCGUAUUGCGAUAACAAUAUUUUCUUUCAAGAACCCGCCUUCCUUGAAUUUCGUACAAAGUUAAUUGUCAAUGUCAUAACUAAUUGCAAGACCAGGUACAGCUCUUCUCUACAGGAAGUUACAGUUUCUAAAUUGCAUGACCCUGUAUCACUUUAUGAAGCAAGCACAUCACCUUCAGCUCCUCAUUUGCAAACUUAGGACCCAUUUGGACCACAUAAAUUUUACAAUAUGUUUGCUGCAUUUCACAAGAAACCAUCGAUUUUGUGAAGAAAGAAUUACAUUGUUUCAUCGCCGUUACAACACAACAUUAAUCAGAUCACCUUAAUACCUCCCACUGCGUUUUUUUUUGGAAAAAUACACAACAUACUGAUUGACCUUAAAGAAUGAAGGAGGCCAUAAGGUCUUGUACAAUGCUAGGUGUUUAGAAAGAUAAACCGGAUUUUACUGAUACACCGGUGCCUAUUUCUACCGGAGAGACGUCUAAUUAAGCGUAUACCCUGUACAAAUAAGUAUCAGUGCUUAAGGAAAGCCUGGUUUAUUUCUCGAAGCACCUCUCCUAAGCACCUUGCAGUGUACAAGGCCGAGAAGAAAGCUCUGACUUCCUAUUGUUGCUGCAUCAGCAGGAAAAGUAGUCUUCAUUUCAAAAAGAAGCUGAAAGUGCUAGAGUGAAAAAUAUCAUAUGUACAGAAGCUGGAUAUAUAUUACCAGCAAGGUGGAGAAGUGGGGAAAAAAAUGCUCAAAUGUGGUUAUCAAUCUUUUGAAAUGCAAGCAAGUAAGCGGAUGGGUGUUUGAGCUAUCUUUGUGUGAUCAGAACAAAUCCAUGUCCAUUAAUUAGUCUUAAUAUCAUCUUCACAGUACCAGGGACUCCCGGAUACUAAGAGUGCUUAAUAAUCUUAUAAUUAGGUGGAGACAUUUUCAUUACCUGCAUACAAAUGCGUACGAAUGAUGAUAUUUUAUAUUUUUUUCUUUGCAACUUCGGAGUGCCCACAAAGUGAAAUAGAAGGUGUAAACAUAACUUCUUUCAACCUCCAGUAAAAGUAACAAUUCUCUCUCCAUGUACCACUCUAUACCAACUUCUUCAAUACCUGUUGACUCUCAUGUUUUUGUUUUCCUUCAAUAUUUCAGACGUUCUAAAGCUCGGUCGAAAUCACUCGAGCUGGUCAACCCUGCCCCCGUGUCGCCCGCAACAGACGAUACGGGGAAAACUUUCGUCGCCGCCGGUAGCCUUCCUCCGCCAGUGCCCCUCCCCCCCCCCCCACAUCGCUGCCGCAGGAGGGUCGGCCAGCGAAGUCGCGCCGCGCUCGGGGAUGGCGGCGGCGGGGCGGUUUCGUACCCUCCCCCCCGAUGCGCUGCCCCAACAACCCCUUCGCCGCCAUCACCUCCCCGCGCCGCUGCUGCCGCGUCGCGCCUGAGGGUGGGGGCGGCAGGGCAGCUUCAUUCCCUUCAUGCUGUAGCUCCUCGUCCCCAACCUCCUCGCCCCCCAGAUCCAAUCUGGUGCGCCGCGGGCUCCCCUACCCUCCAACUGCUACUGUGUUCGUCCUGCCUGUCCGACGAGGUGGCGCGGCCGUGCCCGUCGUGCACCUCCCCAGUCUACCUCUUUCACCUUGCUGGCGCAGCUUCCUUCUUGUUGUUGUUCGCUGGGGCAUGCGAGGACUCGUGUGGAGGUCACGGGCUGGCCAAGGCUCGGUCUUGCCCCGUGUUGCAGACCACCCUUCGUCUCUGAUGGCGUCUCCUUCUAGUUACGGCGGCGACCUCUGCCCGUGUGUGGUCAAGGUGUUGUUUUGGGCAGCGGGAUGAAGCUUCGCGGUGGGUCCUUGCCGACACUGCUCCGGUCCCAGCGGCCAUCGACCAGCGUUCUUCGGCCUCCCUACCGCCGUGAAUUCAGCCCCAACACUCCGGUCGCUGCGUCUCCUUCCGGCAUCUUCGGUUUGCCGGUGUUCUGGUGGUUCCACCUCCGGCAGCUCGGAGUUGUGCUCCCUUCCGCCUCCAGCUUGUCAGCGGCGCCGGUCACCAUCCCACCCUCCAUGCCGGCUUUCUACCAUGCUGCCUUCCCGACCCUGUCGACACCCGCAACAUGUCAUUUCCAAAGCUCGUGUUCUUUCGGCAGCAGGUGCAGCCCCACCACCUCCGUACCGGGAUGGUGGUUGACUAGCGGAUUGUCUUCCUCAUCUUCGGAUCCUGAUUUGGCAGCUAUGGCAUUGCUCAGACUAAGGCCAGGCGAAAUCCAUGCUCUGCUUGCCAAUGUUGGCAGAGGCGACACUCGUGAGUGCUUUGCCAUGGCCUUUAUCCGGGCCCCUCUUCGAGCGCUGGGGGAAACCCUAGGUCCGGUUCUUCGGAUCGGAUGGUGGCGGUGUCACGAUGUCGCACCCCUUCCUGAAGGCGCUAUCUUGUUCGCCCCCGGUGUCCCUGUUUGUUUGAUUUUGAGAUGUUCGACGUCGUGCUUGUUCGGCCUGCCUCUCUGUUUAGGAUUUGUGGGUGUAGUUGUGUCAUUUCCCCUGUUCGGGCUGAGCACCCCUUGUCUCUCUGCUCCGGGUUCCAUGAUCAUGCCUCUUUGGGUUCAUGCCAUGUGUUGUAUCCUCUGUUGUACGCAUUCUCUUUCUUCUAUCAAUAAAGGAUAUGCAAGCUUUGUGUAUUCACAAAAAAAAAGACGUUCUGAAGCUCUGAAGCUAAAGAUGUAAAUAAAUCUGAACUCUCGCACUCACUUUUAAAUCGUGGGGCAGUAUACUCUAAUCUAUCCAGCUCUUCCUGUAAAACAAAUAUACUGUCAGCAUGUGAUUUAUCAUUCAUGAAUCGUUUAUCAUGCCAUUUUUAGAAUGUGACUGGCAAAAUGGUGUGACUGUACAAUUCUACUUUUUUCGAAAAAGAGGAUUACCCCUAGUAUCUACAUAGAGCCAUGCACACAACCAUUUUAUUAUAUUAUUUAACGGAACCAAACGAAACAAAUAUAUGGAUCAAGCCAAAGCCACCUCCCUAGAAACUAUUGUCGUUACACGUACAAGCUUUAAUGGCGUGCCCUGACCACUUAUCAACACACAUCAUAUAUUCCGGUCGCCUCACCAAGAUGCCUGCCGGCAAUUUGAGAGCAUCUACCGGUCUAGCUAGACCCUCUGCACGCACAUCAUGCACACGCUUUAGAUUCAGCCACCGCCAUGUUCCGCGGUCCCACCUUCAAGAGCGAUCAACGUAUUCAUCUCGCUAGGCCAUCUCGACACCAGAUAGCUCCACUAUCCAGCGCGGGCGCCCGUCGCCGACACUCCGCCGUGCCACGCCACCGAGACCCUGUGUCGUCCUUUCGGUAGAUGUAACACCGCUCCUCCACUUGUCUCUUCCAGUCGGCUCCUACUCGAGACAAUGCCCCUAGGAGGGAGAACGGCGCUGAAGGCACCAUCAUCGUCCGAUCCGGGAUACCCAGAACUAGAGUUUCCCCCGGAACAACCCGAGCGUAGUGACACAACUUACAAAUGACGAUGCCUCGAAAAAGGAAACAACGUUAGAGACGCCACCAUCUGCCAUGACCGCAGUUAGCACAAUUUCACCGGAAGUCGCGUCGACAUGGAGACGUAAGCUGUCGCCGGAACGUCGGCAUAGGGCCUCCAGUCGCCCCUGACCUGUCCCUGCACGCAUCGCCUGCCGGCCAAGGCCACGCCAAGAUGGAUCUGGAUGGGACGCUAGUUCCGCGGCCACUGCCGCCACCCAUCACAUGGUCGGCCAGGUCAACGACUAAUCCCACAGCCAUGGACAAACCGGUCGCCGCCGCCAGCCCGGGUCACCACCCUGACCGCACCGGCUGAAGACACAGGUGUCGUCGCGAGAUUGAUACGGUGAACAAGGCCCGAAUCCCUCGUGCUCGACCUUGAUCAGCCACACACAAGCAUCUCUCCACGCUGACGAGGGGUCCACUAUGGGAUCCAUCGCGCCGACUUCCGCCACCGCGCCGCGGGAAUAGACUGCCCUGAUGCUGCCGCCCACUGAGGCGGGCUUCGCCUGUUCGGCCUCCUCCAACAGCGUCCGGCCGUGGGCUGCNNNNNNNNNNNNNNNNNNNNNNNNNNNNNNNNNNNNNNNNNNNNNNNNNNNNNNNNNNNNNNNNNNNNNNNNNNNNNNNNNNNNNNNNNNNNNNNNNNNNNNNNNNNNNNNNNNNNNNNNNNNNNNNNNNNNNNNNNNNNNNNNNNNNNNNNNNNNNNNNNNNNNNNNNNNNNNNNNNNNNNNNNNNNNNNNNNNNNNNNNNNNNNNNNNNNNNNNNNNNNNNNNNNNNNNNNNNNNNNNNNNNNNNNNNNNNNNNNNNNNNNNNNNNNNNNNNNNNNNNNNUUCAGCCUCUCCACUUGUGGGAACAAUAUCCUUGAAUGUUUAGUUUCUCAUAUCUUUACGAAAACGGAGUAAGGGAAAUAUCGUGUGUGGUUGCAGGGAACUCACAUCAAAUGAUUGGGAGAUGUUCAUAAAUCAGUGAUAAUAGCCUUUGCAAACAGGCUAAUCCCAAAUGAUUCAAUGAAACCAACCUUCAUGUACUCAAUGAACGUAUUAUGCAUGUUAUGCUAGUUCAAGUCAUACUAAAUAUCACUUGUCUGGCAAAUAACAACAGCGUUCUCUGAAACCAUUGCAUCAUGAGAGAAUUGUGUGAAAUGGAAAUUGACACGAUUUAAAUUUUCAGGUUCCUUUCCUGGUGAGCCUAUCAUAGUAAAGAAACCUGGAAGAAAACAUUGGAGAAAGGAAUUCACAAAAUGCGGAAUUAUUAAUACUAAAUGACUGUUGAUGUUCAAAUGCAUGUCAGUUCUAAAUAAAUAAAUGAUUUUCUUCUUCUUUCUGCUCUUCAAUGUUUUCUUCCCUUACAAGAUUCUAGCAGUCUUAACACCAUUAUGGCCACAGAAAAAAAAAACAUCUAUCCCAUUUGUUACACGAGCUAAAAAUAAAAAUAGCACAUGAGCAUGGGCUGCAGAAAUGCACAUUCUUACUUCUAAGAAUAAUGUCAUCAAGAGAAGCAAAAGGCUGGUUUUUUGUGACAAUAAUUUAUUCAAUGAAAAGAGUGAGCCCGGGUUGCACGAAAUAUGAGUUUAUCUAUUUUUCUUCCAACAAAAUAUCUGGUCUACCAUCACUGCACCUUCGAACAUCAGAGUGCACACAGAACAAGAAAUAAAGAAGCAAAAGGGCCCUUGCGUAACUCAUGUAUUUUCAAACAAUGCUACAGAAAAUAUCCCUUAUACUCCCUCCGUCUAGGUUUGUAAGUCAUCUUACGAAAACAAAAUAAUCCCAAAACACUUAGGCGCGGUGCGUUAACUUCUACCUCGUUUCUUGUUUCUUGACAUAUCAACCAAUAAGAGAUAUGGGUGUGCAUGCUUUUAAUGACUUGAGACUACCAAACACGACAUGCAGUGGUUAGUUCAUUGCAUGCAAUGCUAUUAAUUAGCAAAAAACAUUAAGUUCUCUCGUUUUCCCUCCUCCUUGGUCACGGUGCACAACAUAAGAUGACUUAUUCACUUAGACGGAGGGAGUAUCAUGGAUUUGCGCCUGCAUCAAUUGUUUCCGAGUGCUGUCAAAGAGAAAAAUUUACUAAGAUUUCCAUUGUCAAACUGUGAUGUCCGACUAGUGUUGGUGGAAGAAUCACAUAUUGGAGAGGAUAAUUUGGAGUAGGGGAUGAGAAGAAGUUGAAGAACAGAUGAAGAGGGUGAGAUGUAGAACAGAGUAGGUGAGAGUUCAAACAAUUCUCAUUUCAUCGAUAAGUUACGGCACAUGUCUGAUUCACUUGCCCCUUUUAAACACAUAGGCACUCUCUUACAAGUGGGCCCUCAAAUCCACACGCCCAGUGCACUAGAUGAUCUUCCUAUGGCUCACUCCUAAGUUGUCUCUCUCUAGUUGUUGGGCCCUUCGUCCUCCAUAUCCUAGUCCUCCUCAUUCCACUGGACUGGGAUCUUGAUUUCCGUCGAGGGUGUGGUAGAGAGCAGAUGCAUGACACAAUCUUUGUUCCAUUACGCUUCCUCAAAGUCGCCAUUUUAGACAUUGUCAUGUCUACAACACACAAUUAGACGCUUGGUGACCUGUUGCUUCAAAAAUAUAUUUUGAAAUCAUGUGCCUAGAGGUGUUUUGAAUGUAUGGCUACAAAUGUCACUGAGGUUCCUAGUUCCUGUUCCAUCAGCAUACCCUGCCGAAGUGGUAAUCUGACUUCAAGUGGAAUAAGCAAGACAGGAGAAAGAAUUAAGGUGGUAUUCAGCUCGUUUUCCCCUCACCUUUUUGACUCUCACAUUUUUGUUUUCCUCCCAUAUCUUAGAUGGGGUGAAGCUAUAUGCAUAAACAAAUAUGAAUUCAUAUCACACUCACCUCGACAUCUCAGUAGUACAACACAGGGCUUUCGUCACAGGGCAAUUUUCACAUUAGUCCCGGUUCAGUCACGAACCGGGACUAAUGUGAGCAUUGGUCCCGGUUCGUGCGGCUAAGGCAUUAGUCCCGGUUCACCUGGGCCCUUUAGUCCCGGUUGGUGCCACGAACCGGGACUAAAGGGUGCGAUGCCCAUUAGUACCGGUUGGUGGCACCAACCGGGACUAAAGGUCUAACCUUUAGUACCGGUUGGUGCCACCAACCGAUACUAAUGCGCUUUGAGGCAUUAGUACCGGUUCAUGGCACGAACCGGUACUAAAGGGCCCAUUUUCAAACUCUACCCCCCCUGGUGGACCGCCUUUUCAGUUUUAGGAAAAACAAAAGAAAAUGAUGGAAAUGUCAAAAAAAUAAAAUAAAAUAAGUUUCCCAUGUGAUAUGUGGUCUAGUUGUUGGGAAAAUUAACAAAUAUGAAUUUCGACUUUAUUUGCAAAAUCUCUCUGAAAUUUCUUAAAAUGGGCAUAACUUUUGCAUACGAACUCGGAUGAAAAAGUUUUUUAUAUGAAAAAUCAUCUACUCAAAAUCCUCAAAAACCUAACAGAAAAAAAGAUACGGGACUUUUAAGAUCUGGAGAGGCAAAAAAAUUCAAAAAAUUUCAAUUUGUGGUCAAACUGUGGUCAAACAAUAGUCAAACUAAUUAUUCUAGAAUAUUAGUGUUACUAAAUAAUUAUUUCAGUUUUUUUGAAUUUUGGUCAAAUCUGGUCAAACUGUGGUUAAACAGUGGUCAAACAAUGGUCAAACUAAUUAUUCCAGAAAUAUUAGUGUUACUAAAUAAUUAUUGUUUUUAAAAAUAAUAGUUUCAAACUCAAACAGUGAAAUAUGUCACUUCAUGCUCAAGCUAAAUUCCUGAGGGUUAAUAAAAUUGACAUCUUACUAUUGUCAGGAAAACAACAAGUGCAGACUUGGAAACGAGGGAGAAUAGAACCCAGAAGUUAAGCGUGCUCAGGCUGGAGUAGUGAGAGGAUGGGUGACCGUCCGGGAAGUUAGAUGAUUUGAAAUGAUGAGGGGUGAUUAGAGAUUAGAGGAUAAAUUGAGCAGUGAUGAGGGGUGGUGAUUAGAGAUUAGAGGUUAAAAUAAUUCAGAAAUUUGAAAAUCAAAAAAAAAGUUCGCAAAUUUUUUUUUCAAAAAAAAUAUAUCAUAAAAUUCUGCGUCCACGUGGACGGCCUUUAGUCCCGGUUCGUGUCUAAAGGCUUGGGUAUAUAUAGACCUUCUACACGUCUCCAAUCUCUAGUAGCUCUUCAUAUGAUAAAAAUAUAUUGUGAGUAUGGGAUAUGUGUUGAGAAGGCCAUUCAGGAAUCGUUUAUCAUGUGAGUAGACUGCAAAAUGACAUAACCAUUCCACGAGCAUGCUUAAGUUUGAAAACUCUUUCCCGGGAAGUAUCCUAUGUGAUUGAAUGUAACUCAUAAUUAUUAAAGAAUGUAUAGAAGUUUCUAAACGAGCGAGUGGUUGAAUGUCAAAUGCAUCUGAUACUCGGCGAAGACUUAUGUUUGCCAAAUUCGGUACUCGGCAAAGUUUCGCCGUGUUUAUUAUGGGCUCUGCCAAGUUUCUAAGAAGACAAUCCGGGUAGUGAUGGAUGCCUGAUCUUUAACAUGGAAUGUCUGUAUACAUAGUCCUCAAUGUGGGGCAUAAUGUAGUAGCCGGACAAGACGCUUGAUUAAUCUGGUUCUUCUCUACAAUAGAAACUCGCCUUGUACAUGAACAUAUUUUGUUUUGGGUAUAUAUAGACCUUCUACACGUCUCCAAUCUCUAGUAGCUCUUCAUAUGAUAAAAAUAUAUUGUGAGUAUGGGAUAUGUGUUGAGAAGGCCAUUCAGGAAUCGUUUAUCAUGUGAGUAGACUGCAAAAUGACAUAACCAUUCCACGAGCAUGCUUAAGUUUGAAAACUCUUUCCCGGGAAGUAUCCUAUGUGAUUGAAUGUAACUCAUAAUUAUUAAAGAAUGUAUAGAAGUUUCUAAACGAGCGAGUGGUUGAAUGUCAAAUGCAUCUGAUACUCGGCGAAGACUUAUGUUUGCCAAAUUCGGUACUCGGCAAAGUUUCGCCGUGUUUAUUAUGGGCUCUGCCAAGUUUCUAAGAAGACAAUCCGGGUAGUGAUGGAUGCCUGAUCUUUAACAUGGAAUGUCUGUAUACAUAGUCCUCAAUGUGGGGCAUAAUGUAGUAGCCGGACAAGACGCUUGAUUAAUCUGGUUCUUCUCUACAAUAGAAACUCGCCUUGUACAUGAACAUAUUUUGUUUUGUGGAACUUCCUCCGGAUUAAAAAUACUUGAAGAUAGCAACAUAAUUGAUGAACUAAAAAAUGGUACUCUGGUAGCAAUGGGAUAAAACAAUAUUAUGCCUUUCUUUCAUUAGUUAACUAAAAAUUUGUGCUGCAGUAGUAACGGGAUAAAACAAUAUAAGUAGAAACAAUUUUGAUAAGCAAUAACAUUUCCUUUUGCUAGGGCAACGCUAUAGGUAACUCCUACAAACUAUUUCUCCUAGGUGUUGAUUAAUAAAUUAGCCAUAUGCAAAAUUAAACUGCAGUGGAUUAGUAAUACACGGUUGAAGUCAACACUUCCGGUUAAUCUUAUAAAAUCUAGCCUCUUUAGUCUCCAAUCUCACAUUGAGACAUGGUUAAUAGUUGUUGGUAUAUCUAAAUCCUAUGGGAGGACAUCCUCUUAUUCUCAGACACAUGAGCCCAAGUAUCUCCACAAAAAGUUCACCAGACAUACAUAUCAUGUCCUUUCAUAGCCAUCCAAAAAAAGGAAGGUGCUAUGAUGUAGUGCAACAUUGAUGGAAUAAUACCAAAAAAUGUAAAAAGGGUGUUUCAUUCUCAAAAAUAACUUUGGAAGUAUAUCGGUGAACCAUCUAAACAGGAACAUACUAGUAAAUUUGUUGAGGAAAUUGUUAACUGGUAGCAGCUUGGUUGGCUAGGGAGUAGGGGAUUAAUAGGGUGAUCGGCAAGUUUAUUGGCCUAUUAAGCAAUUAAACGGAGGAUUUAUCAGUUUAUUGGCUACAUGGUGACCUUACAAGUAGGGAUUAAUUCCCAAGUUAACUGGUUAAUCAGACGAAUUCUUCAACAGGACCAGUAAUCAUGCUAAUAUGGUACAUGAUAAUCUCUUAUGGUUGAAUGAAUAUGAGUAAUGUCUGUAGCUAUCUUUAACAGUAUUUUAUUGAGUACCUAAAUAUGUAAAGUUCAGUAGUUUGUACUAUCAUGUUAUUGCACAAAAAAAAAGGAAAUCUCUCAUUCCAAUUUUUUUAGCUAAACUAAACAAAAGAUACUAGCAUGUUGCUCAGGAGAUAGGAAUGGUAGCAGGGGUAGAUAGCCAACAAAAACAUUAUGUUAUUACAGUGUGAAUAAUAAAUAAGAUUAUUUGGAUCAUAUGAAGGAUAAAGCCAUCAAUCUCGCCCAUGUGCAAUAAUUUUAAUUUGUCUUUGUGUAGUAUAUAUUGUUGAUUAAUCAUUCGUGAUGAGAUAUGCACCUUCAUAUGGUUUAACAAAUAGAAGAUGGGUGGCGCCAGAAUAAUUUUUCUGACCGUGCAAAGAUAGAGAUCUGCAUUGCUCUCAUCAAUGACCUGCAACGAUUCAUGCAUGCUUCUACUAUGAUCCUUGAGCCUAUCAAAAUUAAUUGCUAUAAUCUUGACUGACCGAGCUACUGAUAUGUGGGCGUCUUGAUGAGUAUGGCGAAUUCUCUUUUAUCUUGGUGGUUGUUCAUUUCAUAGACAUCUCAAUAUAUUGUUUAUUUGGAUGGUUUUGUCUCCUCCUUUAUUUUGGGGUUAUUUUUACAAAGAGAAGUCUAGUUUUCUCCCUAACAAUUUCACAUGGAGAAGUGUCACUCAUAUUUAUUUCAAUCACAUUUACCUCUUGACCUUAAUAUUCACUCACAUUUACCUCCUGACCUUUUGGUUUUGGUUUAAUUUUUCCAUUAAAAUUUCACAAAUGAUAGAAUCCUCCCUGGAAGUUUUAAGAAAAAAAAAAUCUAGUAAAGGCAUAUGUAAUUUUUUUGUAAAGGAGAAUGUAUUAAUAUCAAGCAGAUACCAAUUAUUCCCAGACUCUGCAACAACAAGAUGCCUAAAAACAUCCAGGAUGCACACAGCUAAAAAUUAAAAUAAAAAGGGAAGAAAAAAUGAGAAAAAAUAUCCCGCCACGGUGAUCAAUCACCCGAUGUAGCCGCACUCUAACCACCACCAAAGAUGUCACCCGGACUACAAAAUAGGUUCUCCAAAAGCAAUGCCUCUAGAAAGGAAACAAAACACAAGCAUUGUCGUUGCCCGAUCAAAGAUAUUACGUUUUCACCCUGGAGAAAGAUCAGGUUCCCAACAAUAAUGCCUUCAACAAGACUACCGCCAGGCACAACCAAUAAAGGCCAGACCUUGGGUUUUCACCUUGGAAAUCCUGAUUGGGUACUCAAAGGAGCACCGAAUAACAAAGAAGUCCUCCAAUGCCGCCACCCCCACUUGCGGAGGCUAAUACUGCAAGUCACGCACCAUUAGGCUCACAGGAAUUCACAUCCCGCCUGGACGGGAACAUAUCCUGUAAGCCAUGUCUAAACAACUGCCUAUGAAGCAAAGUCUUCAUCGCAUCCAAGACCUCGCAUUCGCCACUUGCAAGUCCUUCAAUCACGCCAUGGCAUUCUCCGUAUGUGUUGAUCCCAUGGAAAUCUUGGUGCAGACAUGUCCCAAGGUGCCAACAAAAACAGAGCUUCACGAUACCCCGGUAAACCUGGUUAUGCUGAUGUUGCGGGUGCGCACGACAGGCCCCUAUCUAGUCAAGGUGUCCAAAGAGCGCCAUAUGUGCCAGUCCUUUUUUUCCUUCAAAGGAGAAGUCCGGAAAUCGCAGAUGGCCAGAUUGAAGAUCUCAGGUUCUCAAUUGCAUGAGCUUGUGAGCAACGAGAAUGAGCAAGACCGAACAAGGGGAAACCAUCCAAGGACGGGAACACCGUGUGCACAAUAUAUAGGAUCCAAUUUGCACCAGCAAUGUUUAUACAGGAAUAACCAAAAUGUGAGUGUUGCCACGUACAUGUAUUUACUACUGCAGAUAGUUUUCUUUAUUGCACAGGUAUAAAACUUGUUCUUAAUUUUAAUCAAUUCUCUUGCACAAAUUUAUCCACAGAGAGCACAUAUAUGAUUUAUCUAACACUAUGUUUUCAAUAUCACAAGAUAAAAUCUUGUCUUUACAGAGCAAAAUUAUACACCGAUAAAAAUGUGUUGUCUGCCUGCAUGAAAUUACAUAUGCUAUGCAAAACUCUUUACUUCGUAUCGUCAUGAUCAUCCACAAUAUUAAAAUUGUAAAUAAACAAAAAAAGAGGUGCCGGCAAAUAGUUUUGGAUAGAGUAGUUUGGCACAAUAUAUAUGUUAUCCCUGAAAAUAUAACGUCUUCCUGGAUCACACUGUAGCUUCGUGAUAGUUUUGACGGCUAUGAUAACAAAAGCUGCCGACACAUGGCUCUGGAAAUAGUUAUGGCUGUAGGGGUAAAUAUAAUAGCUGACAGCUCUAAAAAAUAUUCCCGCAAAAGAAGGCAGCUCUAAAAAACAAGCCGACAAAAGAAUCAUGAAGCUACAGUGUGAAUUAUACUCUCUCCAUUCACAUUAUUAUGGGAAAACGAAUUGUGCGAGUACAGUCUGCCAAAAUGAGUGGUCGUCCAUGCACCUUGUUUAGGGGCAACUUUAUUUUAAUGUGUCUUUUUGUAGUAUAUAGUGUUGAUUAAUCGUCCGUGAUGAGAUCUGUGCCUUUGUGUGAUAUAACAAAUAGAAGAUAUAUGGCGCCAGACUAAUUUUUCCAUCCGUACGUGCAAAGAUGAGAUAUGAAUGCAUUGCUCUCAUGAAUGACCUGCAACGAUAGACAUAUGCAUUCAUACAUGCUUCUGCUGUGAUCCACGAGCCCGUCAAAAUUAAUUGCUAUGCAGUGGCUUAACUACUCAGAUGAACGUGGGCGUCUUAAUGAGUAUGGUGACUUCUCUCUUAUGUUGGUGGUUGUUCGUUUCAUAAACAUUUCGAUAUAUUGUUUAUUUGGAUGGUUCUGCUUCCUCCUUUAUUUUGGGGUUGUUUUUACAGUGAAAAUUCAAGUUUUUUCACUAACAUAUUCGCAUGGAGAAGUGUCACUCAUAUUUAUUUUCACUGACAUUUACCUCCUGACAUUUAUUUUCACUCACAUUUAACUCCCGGCCUUUUGGUUUUGGUUUAGUUUUCCCAUUCAAAUUUCAUAAAUCAUAGAAUUUUCUAUCGAAGUUUCAAGAUUUGUUUUUCUAAAAAAGGUACAUGUAUGCACUAUAUAUUAGAUCUAAUUUGUACCAGUAAUGUUACCAGCUACAUGAAUUUACUGCUGCAGAUAGUUUUUUUUUGUAUUGCAUAUGUAUAAAUCUUGUCCUUAAUUUUACUCAUUUCUCUUGCACAAAGUUAGCUUCAUAGUGCACAUGUAUGAUUUACCUAAUAUUAUUAUUUCAAUAUUCCAAAAUAUAAUUUUGUCUUAACAGAGUGAAAUAAUACACCAAUAAAAAAACAUUGUCUGUAUGCAUGAAAUUACAUAUGCUAUGCAAAACUCUUUAGUAUGUAUCGUCAUGAUCAUCCACAAUAUGAAAAAAUAGUAAAGAAACAAACAAGAGGAGCAGACACAUGGUUUUGGAUAGAGCAGUUUAGCACAAUAUAUUUUAUCCCUGUUUAUAUAACGUCUUCAUUGCUCACACUGUAGCUUCGUGAUAGUUUUAUUGGCUAUGAUAACAGAAGCUGCUGACACAUGGUUCUGGAAACAGAUAUAACAGCAGGUGUAAAUAUAAUAGCCGCAGCUCUAAAAAAUAAGCUGACAAAAGAAUCAUGAAGCUACAGUGAACUAUACUCCAUCCUCCCUUGUCUAGGGGCAACUUAAUUCGCUUUGCGAAGGAUAAUGCAUCCAUGGCAAACAGUUUCAGGGUUGUCAGAAUAAGAAAUCUUAUGCCUCCCGAUCAAGAUCUAGACAGAUUUUCAGGGCAUGGUGUGGCCGUCCAACUACCUGAUAAAAAAAAAGAUAAUGAAAAGGGCCCACAGCAUCAAACCAAUGACAGAUAUGUUCAGUUUCGAAUCUCUUAAUAUUUAGUUUGAAAGCUGCAGAUUUUCAGGUUGUGAGAGCCGAAACUCUUGGACCAAGCCAUAUGUUCAGUUUCGAAUCUGACCUAGUAGCGUCCUGGAACUAGUUAUCAUCGAUUGGCUGCCAAACUCCCCCAAGAAACUCCGCACACAUCUCUGCAAUCGAACCAGGGCAAAUUAAUUUAGCGAAGGGAACUCACAACGCAGUGUCUCUUGACACAUCAUCCUAUUUAGUGAAAACUAUUUAGAGACAAUGACCCCUAUUCAUUAUAUACUCAACACGUCUCUUAAUAUUUAAAGUAUCUUAUAAAUGUCGUAUCUAAAUGAUAUUCCAUUUAAUUAGUUUAUGGACCUUUUUUGCAUGUCAACAUUGUGGCCUACUCCAGUUGUGAAGACAAAAAUUGUGAGAUAAACCACAAAGGCUCAAAGCGUUAGUCACUAUACGCAGAAAAACAAGUUAAUUAAGAGCCAUAUCUACACUAAAUAGAACAUAGGGAAGCUCAUCGAUCCAUCACCGGCCACACUUCUUGAGUUAGGCGAAUGUUCUCUUUUGGAGACCAUUGAGGACAUGCGCAUUUCAUCGCUCCAUCUGCCUGUCACUACAAGGGAUAAGGCUACACUAGUAGAAAACAGGGUUUUGGUUCGGCCAGAAAAGAGCAUUAAUCCCGGUUGCAUUACGAACCGGGACUAAUGUGAGCAUUAGUCCAGGUUCGAGCGGCUAGGGCACCGUACAUGCAUUAGUCCCGGUUCAAAUGGGACCUUUAGUCCCGGUUGGUGCCACGAACCGGGACUAAAGGGUGCGAUGCCCAUUAGUACCGGUUCGUGGCAUCAACCAGUACUAAAGGUUAGAUCUUUAGUCCCGGUUCGAGCCACCAACCAGUACUAAUGGGGUUUGAGGCAUUAGUACCGGUUCAUGGCACGCCUUUUCAGUUUUGUAAAAAGCAAAAGAAAAUGAUAAAAACUUCAAAAAUUAAAAUCCUUCCAGAUGUAGUUAUGUUACUACAUGUCCUAGUUAGGAAAAUUUAAAAACUUCAAUUUGGACAUGUUUCGCAAAAAGUGUAGGGAAAAUGUAAAACGGCUAUAACUUUUGCAUACGAUGUCAGAAAAAACGUAUAAUAUAUCGAAAUGUUCAGCACGAAAAUCCGCAUCCGAUUUUGACAGCCUACGGCCUGUUUGUAAAUUUUUAGAAUCCUCAAAUUCUAAAAGGGAAAAAAGUUAUGCUAUUUCUGUUUUUUUAAUUUUUGUUAAAUCUGGUCAAACUAUGGUCAAACUACUUAUUCAAGAAGUAUUAGUGUUACUAAAUAAUUAUUCAAGAAUAUUAGUGUUACUAAAUAAUUAUUUCAGUUUUUUUGAAUUUUGGUCAAAUCUGGUCAAACUGUGGUCAAACAAUGGUCAAACUAAUUAUUCAAGAAAUAUUAGUGUUAGUAAAUAAUUAUUUCAGUUUUUUUGAAUUUUGGUCAAAUCUGGUCAAACUGUGGUCAAACUACUUAUUCAAGAAAUAUUAGUGUUACUAAAUAAUUAUUGUUUUUUAGAACAAUAGUUUCAAACUCAAACAGUGAAAUGUGUGACUUCAUGCUCAAGCUAAAUUCCUGAGGGUUAAUAGGAUUGACAUCUUACUAUUGUCAGGAAAACAACAAGUGCAGACUUGGAAACGAGGAAGAAUAUAACCCGGAAGUUAAGCGUGCUCAGGCUGGAGUAGUGAGAGGAUGGGUGACCGUUCGGGAAGUUAGAUGAUUUGGAAUGAUGAGGGGUGAUUAGAGAUUAGAGGUUAAAUUGAGCAGUGAUGAGGGGUGAUUAGAGAUUAGAGGUUAAAAUAAUUCAGAAAUUUGCAAAUCAAAAAAAAAAAUUUAAAAAAAAAAUCAUAAAAUUUCCUUCAGUACCGGUUGGUGUUACCAACCGGGACUAAAGGUGGACCUCACGUGGAGGGCCUUUAGUCCCGGUUCGUGUAAGAACCAGGACUAAAGGGGGAGGCUUUAGUAACGACCCUUUAGUCCCGGUUCCAGAACCGGGACUGAAGGCCCUUAUGAAGCGGGACUAAAAGCCCUUUUUCUACUAGUGCUAGUAGUGGCGCGGUUUAAAGGCAUAGGAGUAGCGCGGGUUGCCUCUCUACUUACAUUAGCAACUAUAUAAAAACUCAUCAUCAUCAUCAUCAUCAUCAUCAUCAUCAUCAUCAUGUAACAACUCAUCAGCGCGUAGCUAACUGGUUCCUAGUAAGACGGGCCAGGCUCGGCUCUAAUACUACUUACAUUAGUAGCAGCGCGGUGUUUGGCCCGUGCUACUAAUAACUAGCUAUAGCGCGAGGCCCCCCGCCACUACUAACUCUAUGUAUUUCCUUUCUACAUAUUAUACUAUAUUAUACAAUAAUUAUACAGAUUUUUAUACACUAGCAACUAUAUAACAACUCAUCAUCAUCAUCAUCAUCAUGUAACAAAUCAUCAUUAUCAAAAUGAUAUAACUCAUCAUCAUCGUAGUGAUAUAACAGCUCAUCAUGAUCAUAAUUAUAUAAAAAUGUCUCAUCAUCAUCGUCAUCAUCACCAUCAGCAUCAUCAUAAGUUAACCACUACUAGCUAAUUGUCAUCAUCCUAGGUAAGUAACUUUCAAGCACAUGACAAGUACUAUGACCUACUCUAGUGUCUUAGGUAAAAUAGAAUAAAACAGAAAAAAUAACUACAUCUCCAUGAUGGACCACAGAGAUCCCCGGUCUCCAAUUUGUUGCCCGCGCUCAUUGACUAUUUGCCUCCAUCAUUCAAUUUUGAGGCAUCCAUUUGAUUAACACUCAGUCAAGUAUGUAUAUUUGAAUCCGAUCUUCAAAGGGCAAAUAAUAGUCAUCUCACUUUUGACGUCCAUCAGCAGAGGCACAACAACAUUUGGGACCUUCCGCUGAAGUACAUAAUAGUAACAUAGUCGAAAUAUGCAGAUAUAGCAAGAAUGAUCCUAAUUUAUUUAGGCAUCACUACCAGUUUGCCCUCAAUGCCUCGAGCGCCAUCUGGCAGAUCAACCAAGUUCCAAACUUGAUUGUCAUCCAUGGACUUUAAUUCGGAUCUCAUGGUCUUAAGCCAUAACUCAGAAUCAGGGCUCUCCGUCGCUUCUGCAUACAUUGCCGACUCGUUGUUCUCCAAGAACAACACAUUGCAGUUAUGCAUAUUGCGCAACCUUUCCGACCUCUGUGGAAUCAGCGUCGACUCCACUAUGGGUUCCUUGACUAACUCCAUGUGGUUCUCGAAUUUCCUCUAGUCGGAUCAUCCUCCCACUAGCCUUCCGAUUGAGAAACUCUUUCUCAAGGAAAACUCCAUGUCGAGCGACAAACACUUUGCCCUCUUCACAGAUGUAGGAGUAAUAUCCCAAGGUUUCCCUUGGAUACCCCAUGAAUAUGCACUUGUCCGAUUUGGGUGUGCGCUUGUCUGACUGGAGUCGCUUGACGUAUGAUUCACAACCCCAAAUUUUUAGAGAAGACAAAGUUUGGCUCUUCGCAGUCCAUAUCUCAUAUGACGUCUUAUCUACAAACUUGGAUGGUACCCUAUUUAGUGUGAAAGCUGCAGUUUCUAGAGCGUAUCGCCAAAAUAACAAGGGUAAAUCCGACUGACUCGUCAUUGAUUGGGCCAUGUCUAACAGAGUCUGAUUCCUUCGUUCCAACACGCCAUUUCUCUGUGGCAUACCCCGAGGAGUCAGUUGUGGAACUAUCCUACGACUCUUCAGAUAAUCAUCAAACUCCUGGCUCAUAUACUCAUUCGCCACGAUCAGAUCGCAGAAGUUUGAUUCUCUUGUCGAGUUGAUUCUCCACUUCAUUCUGAAACUCCUUGAACUUUUCAAAAGUUUCUAACUUGUGCCUCAUCAAGUAGACAUAUCCAAAUCUACUCAAGUUAUCUGUAAACGUCAUGAAGUAUUGGAAACCACCUCUAGCUGGACUUGUUUUACCAUUGUUGAAAUGUCUUGUGCAUCGGGAUUCCGAGUCUGAUCGGAGGGUCUCGAGAUGGAGGAUUGUCUCUGCGGAUCGUGAGCUUGUCAUGGGCAAAGUUGGGACACCCCUGCAGGGUUUAAACUUUCGAGAGCCAUGCCCGCGGUUAUGUGGCAGAUGGGAAUUUGUUAAUAUCUGGUUGUAGAGGACUUGAACUAAACUCAAUUAAAAUACACCAACCGCGGGUGUAACCGUGACUGUCUCUUUCCAGGUGCGUUCGAGAAGAGAAUACGGUUGGGUUAUGUUUGAACGUAAGUGGUUUAGGAUCACUUCUUGAUCACUAUUAGUUUGCGACCGUUGUGUAGAUUCUCUUCUUACUUUUGUACUCGUAAGUUAGCCACCAUACAAAUGCUUAGUGCUUGCUGCAGCUUCACCACUAUCCAUUCCAUACCCAUUAAGCUUUGCUAGUCUUCAUACCCAUGGUAAUGGGAUUGCUGAGUCCUCGUGGCUCACAGAUGACUACAACAAUAGUUGUAGGUACAGGUAAUGCAAUGAUCUGACGUGAGAGCGAUGCUUGAUUGCUUUUGGAGUUCUUCUUCUUCUUCGAUCAAGGGAUUAGGUUCCGGGUCGGGGAGCCUGGGAUUAGUGGGGUGGAUAUUAUUCUUCUUUUUUGUUUGAUUUCAUCCGUAGUCGGAUCCUGCCCUUCUGUGUGCGCUCGAAAUGCGGUUGGAACAGACGAUCGCUAGACAGCGCGCCCGCAUUGCCACCCUCAAAGACGGUGAUGCCAGCUCUGCCUUCUUUCACCGGCAGUGCUCGUUUCAAUGACAGAAAAACCGCAUCUUCUGCCUCUCUGCGAACGGCACGCUACUCACAGACCAUGACGAGAUGGCCGAGGCUGCAUUCCGGCACUAUGACACACUGCUUGGCACGGCGGUCGAACACGACCACUCGAUGGACCUGUCGCAGCUCAUCGAGGGGAGCGAUCUCUCCGACCUUGACGCGACCUUUUGCCCGGAGGAGAGAUGGGAAGCUGUGAAACGCCUCCCCGCGCACAAGGCAGCUGAGCCUGAUGGCUUUAGCGCUGAAUUUCUCCGCGUGUGCCGGAGCAUCAUCAAGCAGGACUUCAUGGAUGUGUUCCAGUAGCUCUUCGAGCUGCGUGGCCGUGGCUUCUGCAAGGUCAACCAGGCCCUUCUCACGCUGCUGCCGAAGCCCAGGAGGUGCGCAACUACCGCCCGAUAUGCCUCAUUCAUAUCGUGGCCAAGGUACUCGCGAAGGCCCUCUCGCUCCGGCUAGCUCCAAAACUUGACCGCUUUGUCAGCCGCAAUCAAAACGCGUUCAUCCUCGGACGGAGCCUACACGACAACUUUAUGCUCGUCAGGCAAUCGGUCAAGCUGCUGAGCCAACUUGGGGGCCCCAGGGUGAUGCUCAAGCUCGACCUCACGCGCGCUUUUGACUCCAUCUCCUGGCCGUUCCUCUUUGAGGUUCUGCGCCAAUUUGGGUUCGGGAAUCGCUUCCUCGAAUGGAUCGCCAUCCUCCUGUCCUCGGCAAGCACUCGGGUGUAGUUGAUUGGUGUCCCAGGCCCACUGAUAUGGCAUAAGGGAGGGCUGCGGCAGGGGGGACUCCUUGUCCCCGCAGCUGUUCGUGCUCGCGGUCGACACUCUCGGCCGGCUGAUUCGGCGCGCCCAUGAUACGGGCAUCCUCCAGCCGCUGCAUCUGCGGAGGCCGAUACCGGCUAUAUCCCUAUACGCCGACGACGUCAUGCUCUUUUGCCAUGCCACGGAGAGUGACGUGACUGUCGUCAAGGAAAUCCUUGACCUGUUUGGUAGAGCGUCCAGCCUCAAGGUGAACUACACCAAGAGCUCGGCCACGGUCUUGCAUCGGGAAUAGGUUGCCUCCGAGAUGAUCACCAGCUUGGGGUGUUCGACUGCCGCGCUCCCGGUCACCUACCUCGGUAUACCUCUGACGAUGCGCCGCCCUUCCGCCGGGCAGUUGCAGCCCCUUGUCGACAAGGUCACCGGACGCUUGCCCACCUGGAAAGCAUGGCUCAUGAACAGAGCCGGCAGGCUCGCCCUCGUCAAGUUCUUCCUUUGCACUAUCCCGGUGCACCAGCGGGUUGCAUUUGCCCCCUCGAAGAAAAGACUGCAGCAACUCGAGAAAAUUCAACGAGGGUUCCUCUGGGCCGGGCGAGCCAUCACCAACGGCGGGCACUGCCAUGUGAACUGGCAUCAUGCUUCCCGCCCGCUCGCGCUUGGCAGCCUUGGGGUUCGUGAUGUCGAGCGCGUUGGACUCGCGCUCAGGCUGCGGUGGCUCUGGCUCUCGCGAACGGACGAAGGGCGCGCCUGGCAGGGGCUGGACCUCCAAUUUUCUAGCAACGAGCGUACACUGUUCUUUGCCUCCACCUACAUGACCAUUGGAAAUGGCAUGAACGCCCUGUUCUGGGAGGAUCGAUGGCUCAACGGGCACUCGGUUGGCGAGCUCAUGCCCCUGUUCUACAGCUGCAUCCCCAAACGCCGGCGCAAAGCUAGAACGGUGGCCGAAGGUCUCAACUGCAACGCAUUGGCCCAUGACAUCCAGGGCGUCCUCGUCAUCCACGAGAUAGGCCAGUAUCUACAGCUUUGGCAACUCACGGAACAGGCUAUGCUCAGCGAUGCUCCUGACCAGCUGAUCUGUAAGCAGACUGCGAGCGGCAUCUAUUCGGCGCAGUCUUGCUACGCGGCUACCUUCCAAGGAUCAGUGCACUCCUACUCUUGGAAGUUGAUCUGGAAGGCUUGGGCUCCCCCUCGACUCAAGUUUUUCCAUUGGCUUGCCAACCUGGAUCGCUGCUGGACUGCCGAUCGACUGGCCUGCCAAAGACUGCAGCAUCAUCUGUGCUGCCUUCUUUGCGAUCAGGCGCCGGAAAUGAUCCGGCACCUCAUGCUUGACUGCCCCUUCUCUAGGCAGGCAUGGCAUGAGACCCUGGCCUGGCUACGCAUACCGGCGUCGAUCCCCAACCAGGAGCCCACCCUCAUGGACUGGUGGCGGCACGCCGCAAGCACAACGCAAGGCCCUGCAAUCCGUAGUGCUACUCGUACCAUGGCUCGUCUGGAAGCAUAUGAACAGCCACGUCUUCGACAGCGCGACGCCCUCCCUAGGCACGCUAGUCGACCGGAUCAAGGAGGAAGCCGACUCCUGGGCUAAGGCCGGAGCAGUAGGCCUUAGAGUAGUCCUACCCCCUUUAUGGGACGUGCACUGAGCAUUGUAUCUGAUCCUUCAUUAUUCAUCCUAGGACGACUGUAACUGACUCCCUACCUUUUCAAUGAAAAGAAACGGAAAGGUCUUUUGCAUUUUCUCGAGAAAAAAAAGAAUGACCUUGAGGCAAGCUCAAUGAAAAUACGUUUUCCAAAGGUUUCAAGACUAUCUUCCUUGUGCUCUGGGAUAAAGCCAUUUGCAAUUCAUAGUCAGAUCAGCUUGUCCACAUCAAUCUUGUAAUCCUUUGGAAAUAUAGCACAAAAGGAAAAGCAUUGCUUCAUGUGUGAUGGCAAGUCAUUGUAGCUAAGCUUUAAUAUUGGCAGAAUCCAGUUUCCAAAGUGCAAAUGCUGCUACUAGAUGAUAUAGCCUUCCACUCUUCGACGCUAGUCUUGGUACGAAGUACAUAGCCCAAUGCAGUUGCAGCUAAAGGAGAGCCAGAACAUCAGCUUACAAUCUCAUCAACCAUCUUGCUUAGCUCGACAGGCUUUUCUUUCUCCGAACUGAAUGCUCUAGCCUCAGUAAUUUCCUUUACGAAGAAAUCCUCCACAAUAUUGAGAUUGUAGGCUCUACCUGCACCCAUAAUUUCAGUGACUUGUUUAUCACGAGUUCUUGUUAACAUUGCACUACCCAUGCCACCAUGUUGAGGACAGACCUUCAGCCUUCCCAACUUAUAGACCUCUCUGUUCCAGACAUCAUCCAAUACAUGGAGAUACCUGUGCCCGCUGUCCAGUUUUUGAAAUCUAUCCAAAGGUAUCAUAGACCUCUCUGGGGGAUGCCCGCUGUACCCAGAGCUGCAACUGAAAAUGAUUCUGAAUUUCAGGUUCAUUGUAUAUGAGUUACGCUAAUGUGGUCUUGCCAAGGCCCCCCAUUCCAACAAUGGGAACUACUGCGAGAUCAGUAUUGCUAGCUUGACCAAGUAGUAUGUCAACGAUAUUAUUCUUAUCUCCGUGUUUGGAUCUGUUGGCAAUUUCUUGUUGGUCGCUGAUGACAUAAUCUGUGUGCCUCCACUCCUUGGACACUCGUGUUUGCCUCAACUGAUUAGACACCAACAACGUCUGCCUCAACAUAAGCGCGACGCGUUGUUGGGCUAGGCCCAGAACGGUGCGCGGGCAGGUGGGGCGUAUUUUUACCGUAGUAACUGUUUCGUCCGCUGCGCUUCCCCACGACCUGCGUUGAACACGCACGUGGAGGGUCGUGCGUGACGUGGGGGUCAUGCGUGGGGCGGUCUCCACACGCAUGCGUCACAUCGCAUUUAAUGGGAAAAGAGGCGGCCCACGCCUUCCCCGUAAAAAGGAAUAACAGCGGGCGCGCUGUUCAUUUACCCCCUGCGUCUUCUUCAAUCUCGGAAUCGCCGUCCCCUUCUUCUUCCUUCUCAAACUCUCGCCUUUGCUCGUUGCCGCCGCAUCUUCGCUGUCCUCCGUCCUUUGCCUCUCGCAGCCGCCAUGGCCCCCAAAACAAGUAAAGGAAAGGGAGUGGCCAAGGAUGCCGGGGCGAAGGAGCCGCCGGAGAGCGAGUUGGUGGCGCGGCGGACGCAUCUCGCCUACUUCCCCUCGACGGUCGACGCGGUCGAACUCCGGGACUACUUCAGGNNNNNNNNNNNNNNNNNNNNNNNNNNNNNNNNNNNNNNNNNNNNNNNNNNNNNNNNNNNNNNNNNNNNNNNNNNNNNNNNNNNNNNNNNNNNNNNNNNNNNNNNNNNNNNNNNNNNNNNNNNNNNNNNNNNNNNNNNNNNNNNNNNNNNNNNNNNNNNNNNNNNNNNNNNNNNNNNNNNNNNNNNNNNNNNNNNNNNNNNNNNNNNNNNNNNNNNNNNNNNNNNNNNNNNNNNNNNNNNNNNNNNNNNNNNNNNNNNNNNNNNNNNNNNNNNNNNNNNNNNNNNNNNNNNNNNNGCGUGUCAUCCCCGCCAAUUGCGCCGAGGCCGCCCCGAAUCGGUAUCCGUUCUUCGUCGAUUACUUUUCUUGCGGUCUCUGCCCCCCUUUCUCCGAUUUCUUCAAUGAUGUCAUGCACACAUUUGGCUUCCACCUUCUGGAUUUCACUCCCAAUGCCGUGGCGUGCAUGGCUCUUUUCGCCCAUCUCUGUGAGGGCUUCGCCGGAGUUCUUCCCAACACAUUGCCCUUCCGCUAUUAGUUUUACCCUCGCAUCCAAAAGGGAGGCGCCAUCUCUGGUUGCGUCGCCUGGAUACCAAGGUCCAAAGGGACGUACCCGGAGGGCGCCCAGAAGGAGAGGUUGGAAGAGUGGCGGGGCCGGUGGUGCUGGAUUGGGGAGGACGACCCGCCGGAAUUUUUCCGGGUUCGUCAGGCGCCGCCGGUUCGCAGGAACGACUGGGGCGAUGUCAACGCCCUGGAUGACAAGCUCAAGGUCGCCACCACCAGGAUUCACCGCCUCACCGUUGCCGGGCUCACCCUGGAGAUGAUUGGGGCGGACUUGAUCCGCCGCCGAAUCGCUCCACUGCACAACAAGGGGAGACCGGCCUGGCUCUUCCAAAACGCGGCUGACAUCAUGAGGCUUCACUCUGGCCUCAACAACAACUUCACGGUGAUGGGGCACGCCCACUUCUGCUAGCGGAUCUUUCAGCUCGACGUGAACCGCGACGGCAGGGCCAAGAGGUCCGGCAAGGCUGCAAAGGCCGGCAAGGUCCUCAAGGGGCCCUUGUUUGGGUUGCCAGCGGGGGUGGUCCCGCUGAGCAACAACUCGCGCCAGACCGACAUCAUCGCCAUGAUGUCGGACUACAAUGCACACGGUCCCGUCCCAAAUUGGUUCGAGCCGCUAGCGGAUCAGGUGCAGGAGUUCUUUGAUACUUUGGCGGAGAAGUAUGUCUGCGACGAGCCGCUGCUCAUCUAGGACACCACCCAAGCAGAGCUGGACUACAUCGCCGCCAGGGCGGCGGAGGCGGAGCUCGCUAGGGAGGCCGGCAGCGCUGGCGGCAUGGAGGACGAGGUCGCAGCAGCCGCAGAGGAGAGGGAGCUCGCCCAGUGGGAGGAAUCCGAUGGGGAGGCCAGCAGCGCCAGCACCGGGGCCCCUCUUAUUGAAGAUGUGGUCGACGAUUCGGAGGAGGAGGAGGUCGAGGCUGUCGAUCCUCCGGUCAUGGGGAGAGGGCGAGUCCUGCGGCGGGCCAGCUCCGGCAAGCCGGUCCAGCCCGGCAGGGCUGUGCAACCGCAGCAGACCUAGGAGGGGUAUGUGCGCCAGACAAGGGCCGCGGUGGCGAGGAAGUUGGUGAAGGCCGUGGUGGCGAAGAAGAAAGCAACAACCUCUUCUUCGUUCAAGCGUGGCCAGACUCCACCUUCUUCCCCUCCUCGGGCAGACGUUGACACGGAGGUCGUCUUCGACUUUGGGUCCCUCAGCCCAAGGAGGAAGAGGAAGGCAUCAGAAGAGGAGGUGGAGGAUGAGUAAGUUUCUUGUUACUUUUUGUCAUCUCCGUCUCCUCAGACUGUGCUGCUUAUCUCGAUUUGUUUUCAUCUUUGCAGGGAUGCGGAGACGCUGGCCCAGAGGGUGAAGAGGGCCAGGUCCUCGGCUGGCGGCCGGCCUCCGGCGGGCACUUCGAGGAUGCCACUAGUGGUGGUGAGCAGCCCGGACAGCAGUCCCCGAAGCAGCCCCCGGCGUAAGUUCCCCACUCGUCCCUCGUCAACGUGUGUUGGGGGUACGAUCCCUUGGCGCUAACCUUGCCGUGAUUGCAGGAGGAGGACAACAGGAGGAGGAGCCACGGAGGGUUACCCCCAACACGCUGCCCCCAUCGACCACGCCGCCCCGAGGGGUGGUGUCUACUACGCAACCUUCUUCUUGUAGACGUUGUUGGGCCUCCAAGUGCAGAGGUUUGUAGGACAGUAGAAAAUUUCCCUCAAGUGGAUGACCUAAGGUUUAUCAAUCCGUGGGAGGCGUAGGAUGAAGAUGGUCUCUCUCAAGCAACCCUGCAACCAAAUAACAAAGAGUCUCUUGUGUCCCCAACACACCCAAUACAAUGGUAAAUUGUAUAGGUGCACUAGUUCGACGAAGAGAUGGUGAUACAAGUGUAAUAUGGAUGGUAGAUAUAGGUUUUUGUAAUAUGAAAAUAUAAAAACAGCAAGCUAACUAAUGAUAAAAGUGAGCACAAACGGUAUUGCAAUGCGUUGAAACAAGGCCUAGGGUUCAUACAUUCACUAGUGCAAGUUCUCUCAACAAUAAUAACAUAAUUGGAUCAUAUAACUAUCCCUCAACGUGCAACAAAGAGUCACUCCAAAGUCACUAAUAGAGGAGAACAAACGAAGAGAUUAUGGUAGGGUACGAAACCACCUCAAAGUUAUUCUUUCGGAUCGAUCUUAUUCAAGAGUUCGUACUAGAAUAACACCUUAAGACAAAAUCAACCAAAACCCUAAUGUCACCUAGAUACUCCAAUGUGACCUCAAGUAUCCGUGGGUAUGAUUAUACGAUAUGCAUCACACAAUCUCAGAUUAAUCUAUUCAAACCAACACAAAGUACUUCAAAGAGUGUCCCAAAGUUUCUACCAGAGAGUCAAGACGAAAACGUGUGCCAACCCCUAUGCAUAGGUUCAUGGGCGGAACCCGCAAGUUGAUCACCAAAACAUACAUCAAGUGGAUCACGUGAUAUCCCAUUGUCACCAGAGAUACGCACAUGCAAGACAUACGUCAAGUGUUCUCAAAUCCUCAAAGACUCAAUCCGAUAAGAUAACUUCAAAGGGAAAACUCAAUCCAUUACAAGAGUGUAGAGGGGGAGAAACACCAUAAGAUCCAACUAUAAUAGCAAAGCUCGCGAUACAUCAAGAUCGUACCACCUCAAGAACACAAGAGAGAGAGAGAGAGAGAGAUCAAACACAUAGCUACUGGUACAUACCCUCAGCCCCGAGGGUGAACUACUCCCUCCUCGUCAUGGAGAGCGCGGGGAUGAUGAAGAUGGCCACCGGUGAGGGUUUCCCCCUCCGGCAGGGUGCCGGAACAGGGUCCCGAUUGGUUUUUGGUGGCUACAGAGGCUUGCGGCGGCGGAACUCCCGAUCUAUUCUGUUCACCUAUGUUUUUAGGGUAUAUGGAUAUAUAUAGGCGAAAGAAGUCGGUAAGGGGAGCCACGAGGGGCCCACGAGGGUGGAGGGCACGCCCAGGGGGUGGGCGCGCCCCCUACCUCGUGCCUUCCUUGUUGCUUCCCUUACGUACACUCCAAGUCUUCUGGAUUGCUUCGGUUCCAAAAAUAACUCUCCCGAAGGUUUCAUUCCGUUUGGACUCCGUUUGAUAUUCCUUUUCUGCGAAACACUGAAACAAGGAGAAAAACUGAAACUAGCACUGGGCUCUGGGUUAAUAAGUUAGUCCCAAAAAUAAUAUAAAAGUGCAUAGUAAAUCCCAUUAAACAUCCAAGAUGGAUAAUAUAAUAGCAUGAAUACUUCAUAAAUUAUAGAUACGUUGGAGACGUAUCAGCAUCCCCAAGCUUAAUUCCUGCUCGUCCUCGAGUAGGUAAAUGAUAUAAGAAAUAAUUAUGAAGUGUGAAUGCUAGCAGGUGCACAAGUUUGAUCAAUGAUAAUUUCAAUCACCUUUUCAAGCAUCAUUAUAUGUCAUAACAGUAGCUCAACUCAUAAAACUUUUCAUGAUCAAGUAACAAGCUAUUCACAUAUUAAAGCAUAGACCAUAAACUUUCUUGAAAACUAACAAACUAUGUUCUCAGUCAUCAAACAAUUGCAAUUCAUCUUAUUUUCAGGAAGGGUCUAUGUAAGAGCUUUGAUUUAGCAAAUCCCACAUACUCAACUAUCAUAUAGUCUUCCAUGAUUGCUACCACUCAAAGCAUAUUUUCGGAACAAAUAGCAUCCAUCGAACACAGAGAAAGAUAGGGGCUUAAUGUUUCGCCUCCCAACUUAUUUAUCAUAUAGAUAAUUGUCAACAAUAAUAAUUCAUGAUCAAAUAUAUUUGAAUGGCCAUAUAUGCUUAGAUCUUUCCAUCACAUGAUGCUUGCCAACUAAAAAGUAGGUUGGAAUGAGAAGGAAUACUACUGACUCUUGCAUAAAAGUAAAAGAUAGGCCCUUCACAGAGGGAAGCAGGGAUUUGCAGAGGUGCCAGAGCUCGAAGCUAAAACAGAGAUGAAAAUAAUUUUGAGAGGUAUGCUUUCAUUGUCAACAUAACGACCAAGAGUUCCCAAUAUCUUCCAUACUACAUACAUUAUAGGCGGUUCCCACGCGGAAAGGUAAAGUUUUUACUCCCCCUCCACCAACAUUCACACUCCACGGCUUGUCCGAAACAAUGGGUGCCGUCCAACUAUCAACAUUCUUGGGGGAGUUUGUUGAAAUUAUUUGUGAAUUUGUUUUUGAUCUUUUGAUCAUAGGACUGGGCAUCCCAGUUACCAGCCAUUUUCUCGUGAAUGAUGAGCGGUGUCCACUCAUCGUGAGAAUAACCCACCCAGCAUGGAAGAUACUGACAGCCCCUAGUCGCUACAUGAGCGAUUCGGGCAUACAAAACAGAUUAUUAUUUGAAGGUUUAGAGUUUGGCACAUGCAAAUUUACUUGGAACGGCAGGUAAAUACCGCAUAUAGGUAGAUAUGGUGGACACUCAUGGAAGAAACUUGGUUCGAGGAAUUUGGAUGCACAAGCAGUAUUCCUGCUUAGUACAGACAUUUUGGCUAGCAAAUGAUUCUAAAUAGCAAGCACCACAAGUUAGAGGAUCCAUAACAAUAUAACUUCUAUACAAAUAUACCCAAGCAUAACUCAUUAUGUUGUCUUCCUUGUCCAACUUCAACUAAUUUGCUCAGGUUUGCUAAUAAUUAAUGGGGCUCACGAUCAUAGAAGAUGUCCAAGAUAGUAUUAUAUGUGAAAUCUCUCUUCCUUCAAUAUUCUUUCAUGAAUUGUUCAAGUGACAAAUACAAAGUUUGCUAACCUUCAAAAAAUUUACCACCUCUACUUCUUAUAUGUGAAGUCAUUACUCCCCAUGGGAUAAGUAUAUGAAACAUAUAUAAUUUCAGAUUUAUAAUAUUCAAAUCAUUCAACUAUUUACUCAUAGGAUAUAAGUGAAGCACACGAGUAAAUGACAAACUACUCCAAAAAGAUAUAAGUGAAGAUCAAUGAGUAGUUAAAUAAUUAUGUAGUUAUCUGAAGACUCUAUCUCAUUUAAGAAUUUCAGAUCUUGGUAUUUUAUUCAUACAGCAAGCAAAACAAAAGAAAAUAAAAUGACGCUCCAAGUAAAACACAUAUCAUGUGGUGAAUAAAAAUAUAGCUCCAAGUAAAGUUACCGAUGAACGAAGACGAAAGAGGGGAUGCCAUCCGGGGCAUCCCCAAGCUUAGGCUCUUGGUUGUCCUUGAAUAUUACCUUGGGGUGCCUUGGGCUUCCCCAAGCUUAGGCUCUUGCCACUCCUUAUUCCAUAGUCCAUCGAAUCUUUACCCAAAACUUGAAAACUUCACAACACAAAACUUAACAGAAGAUCUCGUGAGCUCCGUUAGCGAAAGAAAACAAAACACCACUUCAAGGUACUGUAAUGAACUCAUUAUUUAUUUGUAUUGGUGUUAAAUCUAAUGUAUUCCAACUUCUCUAUGGUUUACAAACUAUUUUACAAGCCAUAGAUUCAUCAAAAUAAGCAAACAACACACGAAAAACAGAAUCUGUCAAAAACAGAACAGUCUGUAGUAAUCUGUAACUAACGCAAACUUCUUGAACUCAACAAAUUCUACCAAAAUAGGACGACCUAGAUAAUUUUAUUAUUGAUCUGAUGCAAUUGGAAUCAGUAUUUUAUCACGUUCUGGUGAUUUUAAACAAUUGUUUUCGUGAACAGAAAGUUUCUGGAAUUUUCAGCAAGAUCAAAUAACUAUCAUCCAAGAAGAUCCUAUAGGUCUUACUUGGCGCAAACACUAAUUAAAACAUAAAACCACAUCUAAACAGAGGCUAGAUAGAUUAUUUAUUGCUAAACAGAACCAUAAAGAAAGAACAAAAAUAAAAAUCGGGUUGCCUCCCAACAAGCGCUAACGUUUAACGCCCCUAGCUAGGCAUGAUGAUUUCAAUGAUGCUCGCAUAAAAGAUAAGAAUUGAAAUAUAAAGAGAGCAUCAUGAAAAAUAUGACUAGCACAUUUAAGUCUAACCCACUUCCUAUGCAUAGGGAUUUUGUGAGAAAACAACUUAUGGGAACAAUAAUCAACUAGCAUAGGAAGGCAAAACAAGCAUAACUUCAAAACUUUAAGCACAUAGAGAGGAAACAUGAUAUUAUUGCAAUUCAUACAAGCAUACAUUCCUCCCUCAUAAUAAUUUUCAGUAGCAUCAUGAAUGAAUUCAACAAUAUAACCAGCACCUAAAGCAUUCUUUUCAUGAUCUACUUGCAUAGAAAUUUUCCUACUCUCCACGUAAGCAAAUUUAUUCUCAUCAAUAGUAGUGGGAGCAAACUCAACAAAAUAACUAUCAUGUGAUUGAAAAUUAAGAUCAAGAUGACAAGUUUCAUGGUUAUCAUUAUUCUUUAUAGCAUACGUGUCAUCACAAUAAUCAUCAUAGGUAGGAGGCAUGCUUUCAUCAUAAUAAAUUUGCUCAUCAAAACUUGGGGGACAAAAAAUAUCAUCUUCAUCAAACAUAGCUUCCCCAAGCUUGUAAUCAUGCUCAUCAUUCAAAUAUUUAGUGCCAAACAUUCUAAUGCAUUCUUCCUCUAGCAAUUGAGCGCAAUUAUCGGAAUCCUUAUUUUCACGGAAGACAUUAAAAAGAUGAAGCAUAUGAGGCACACUCAAUUCCAUUUUUUGUAGUUUUCUUUUAUAAAAUAAACUAGUGAUAAAACAAGAAACUAAAAGAUUCCAUUGCAAGAUCUAAAUAUAUACCUUCAAGCACUCACCUCCCCGACAACGGCGCUAGAAAAGAGCUUAGUUGACGGGGUGUGAGUGCCGCUUACCUAGCCUCCCCGGCAACGGCGCCAGAAAAGAGCUUGAUGUCUACUACGCAACCUUCUUCUUGUAGACGUUGUUGGGCCUCCAAGUGCAGAGGUUUGUAGGACAGUAGCAAAUUUCCCUCAAGUGAAUGACCUAAGGUUUAUCAAUCCGUGGGAGGCGUAGGAUGAAGAUGGUCUCUCUCAAGCAACCCUGCAACCAAAUAACAAAGAGUCUCUUGUGUCCCCAAAACACCCAAUACAAUGGUAAAUUGUAUAUGUGCACUAGUUCGGCGAAGAGAUGGUGAUACAAGUGUAAUAUGGAUGGUAGAUAUAGGUUUUUGUAAUCUGAAAAUAUAAAAACAGCAAGGUAACUAAUGAUAAAAGUGAGCACGAACGGUAUUGCAAUGCGUUGAAACAAGGCCUAGGGUUCAUACUUUCACUGGUGCAAGUUCUCUUAACAAUAAUAACAUAAUUGGAUCAUAUAACUAUCCCUCAACAUGCAACAAAGAGUCACUCCAAAGUCACUAAUAGAGGAGAACAAACGAAGAGAUUACGGUAGGGUACGAAACCACCUCAAAGUUAUUCUUUCGGAUGAUCUUAUUCAAGAGUUCGUACUAGAAUAACACCUUAAGACACAAAUCAACCAAAACCCUAAUGUCACCUAGAUACUCCAAUGUCACCUCAAGUAUCCGUGGGUAUGAUUAUACGAUAUGCAUCACACAAUCUCAGAUUGAUCUAUUCAAACCAACACAGAGUACUUCAAAGAGUGUCCCAAAGUUUCUACCGGAGAGUCAAGAUGAAAACGUGUGCCAACCCCUAUGCAUAGGUUCAUGGGCGGAACCCGCAAGUUGAUCACCAAAACAUACAUCAAGUGGAUCACGUGAUAUCCCAUUGUCACCACAGAUAUGCACAUGCAAGACAUACAUCAAGUGUUCUCAAAUCCUUAAAGACUCAAUCCGAUAAGAUAACUUCAAAGGGAAAACUCAAUCCAUUACAGGAGUGUAGAGGGGGAGAAACAUCAUAAGAUCCAACUAUAAUAGGAAAGCUCGCGAUACAUCAAGGUUGUACCACCUCAAGAACACGAGAGAGAGAUCAAACACAUAGCUACUGGUGCAUACCCUCAGCCCCGAGGGUGAACUACUCCCUCCUCGUCAUGGAGAGCGCGGGAAUGAUGAAGAUGGCCACCGGUGAGGGUUCCCCCCUCCUGCAGGGUGCAGGAACAGGUUCUCGAUUUGUUUUUGGUGGCUACAGAGGCUUGCGGCGGCGGAACUCCUGAUCUAUUCUGUUCCCCGAUGUUUUUAGGGUAUAUGGAUAUAUAUAGGCGAAAGAAGUCGGUAAGGGGAGCCACAAGGGGCCCACGAGGGUGGAGGGCGCGCCUAGGGGGGUGGGCGCGCCCCCUGUCUCGUGCCUUCCUCGUUGCUUCCCUUACGUACACUCCAAGCCUUCUGGAUUGCUUCCGUUCCAAAAAUAACUGUCCCGAAGGUUUCAUUCCCUUUGGACUCCGUUUGAUAUUCCUUUUCUGCGAAACACUGAAACAAGGAGAAAAAACUGAAACUAGCACUGGGCUCUGGGUUAAUAAGUUAGUCCCAAAAAUAAUAUAAAAGUGCGUAGUAAAGCCCAUUAAACAUCCAAGAUGGAUAAUAUAAUAGCAUGAAUACUUCAUAAAUUAUAGAUACGUUGGAGACGUAUCAAGGGGCGUCCCCGGCAAGGGCGCCAAGCACCGAGCCCAUGCACACAGAGGAGGAGGAGGCAGACUUGGGCGCUAGUGGCUCCGCCUCGGUGCCAGAUGUUGGCAGGGAAGGGGCUACUUCUUCCCAGCCCGGCACGGGUACGUCACUUGCCUCCUGUCCCUGCUUUUUCUUCUUCUUUUUGAAUCUUGGUCUUGGCUCCGCCUCAUCCCCUUCUCGAUAUCCAGACCCUCCCUCGGCGGACCGGGAGGACAUAGACACCGUCAUCGAGGAUGUCGCCAAGGACACCGCGGCGGAGGCCGAGAAGAUUGCCGCCGAGGAGGCCGCCAAGGGCGCUGCCGAGGACGCCGCAAAGCGAUCUGCCGGGGAGUCCGGCAUGUCUACUGCCAAAGUGGCCGGCAAGGGGCCUGCCGGGGAGGCCGGCAAGGCCGCUGCCGGGGAGGAGGUGGUUAACGACCAACCUUCCUCCUCUGCUGCCUCUGGUUCCGGCAGGUAUCUGAAGGUGAGCGACGACCUAUUCGUCAACCUCCUAGGGACGGCGAGCACUAGGGCGCCCACCGAGGGAGAGGUGUUCGACGAGGAGGUGCUUGCCGCCGCUGGGCUCGAGGUUGUUGACGAGUCGAGCGCCGGUGGCGACGGUUCCCAGGAAGAGCGGCUCCUUCAGGCCAUGGGCGCCAGCUUUCGGAAGCUCCAGGCGCUCCACCGCGCCCGCCUGGACAAGGCCAAGUCCAGGAUGGCAGCGGUGGAAAAGGCGGAGGCGGACCUCGAGGGUCGCAUCGUCGAGACGCAGGCUUGGUUCCGCCAGGGCUGCGAGGAGCUGAAGACCGCCCAGGACGAGCUGGCCAAGCGCAAGGUGGAGCUCGUCAUGAAGCAGGCCGACAUCGAGAGGGGCCAGGAGUUGGCGAAGAACCAGGCCGCCAAGGACGAGGUCGCUCGGUCCCAGCACCAGGCCGCGCUGAACUCCCAGGAAGAGGACCUUGCCGCUCGCGAGGAGAAGCUCGCCGUGACACUCCGCGGCAAGGACGAGGAGGUCAAGAAGCUUGUCCUGCAGCGGACCCAGGAGUUGGAGCAGAAGCACGAGGAGGCGCUCAAUGCCCAGGCUUAGGUCCACGCCGGCAAGGUGAAGGAGCUGGAGGUGGAGCGGGACGAGCUGAAGAAGCAGGCCCUGGAGUUGACGGCGGAGAGGGACGCUGCCAAAGGUGCCCUGGCCGACGCGCAGGCCGCAGUCCUCAGCAAGGCCGGGCUACUCUCCACGGCCAACGAGACCAUCAAGGACCUGAAGCUGAAGCUGGAGGGCCUUGAGGGGACGCUCUCGGAGGCCAAGGCCCGGGAGGAGACCCUGGCCAAAGAUUUGGAGGCCGAGAAGCAGCUGCGGAAGAACGAAACCGCCAACCACAAGGAUUUUGUGGAGGGCGAGAACCGCUGGAUCAGCCGCCUCAAAGGCGUCGCCGGCAGGAUCACCACGCAGCUGGCUACGAUGGGGAUGCCAAAUGUGAGGUACGCCCCGGAGCCCAAUGUGACUCCCAAUGCCAAGCUGACCCUAUUCUUCGAGGGUGUCCUUGGAGCCCUGGAGCAUCUUCGCUCCAGCAGGGCGGCCUCUUUGGCCGAUGAGGCCCGGAAGCUUUGCCGGGGUGCCAUGACCAAGGUCCUCACCAAGGUGGCGUACUGGAACCCCGACCUCGACUUCGACGCCGCACUAGAGAGCUUGCCGGAGGAUGCUGACCUCGCGGCGCUCAAGGAGCGUAUCAAGCCCAUCAUCAGUCGCGUCGACGGAAUCCAGAGGGUGGAGGGCCAGCGCUGGGAUUAGGCACCCCGUUUCUCAUUGCCGCUGCAGGUUCAUGACCAUGACAAUUUCUAUCUUUAGUUAGAACCGCGGCAACAACUGAUGUAAUAUAACUCUGCAGUACAUUCGUGAUGAUGUAUGUUAUCUUCCUGUUUGAUCUUCCUUUGUAUGUUCACCCUACGUUAAUCGGGUAGGCUUGCCGGCGCGUAAACCCAGGCCGCGGCGCCUUGAGGAUGGAUCCCCAAUGGCCUGCCGGGUAUGCUUGCUGCCAGGCGAACCACCUUACCGCAUUAGUAGAAAACAGGGCUUUGGUUCCGGCCUGGCCAGCCCAUUAGUCCCGGUUCUUCAUGAACCGGGACCCAUGGGGGGCAUUAGUCCCGGUUCAUGAGCCCAGGGGGCCGUCCGGGGCCUCGUGGGCAUUGGUCCAGGUUCCUCUGGAUCCAUUUGUACCGGUUCUAGAGGGCCGCGCUCCUUGCCCACAGCCAUUGGUACCGGUUCGUGCCUAUAACCGGGACAGAAGGGGGGGGGGCUUUAGUACCGGUUCGUGCCACAAACCGGGACAAAUAAGUUGCCUAUAUAUACUCGUCGCCGCAGCAGAGCACUCCACAGUGCUCUGUUUUUUCUGGCCGGCGAGGGGAGGGCAUUUGGGUGCUCUAGCUCACCUCCUAUGCACAUGAGGUGUUUGAUGAAAUGCCCGAGCGACACUAGUUAAGCUUUCUCCUCUUGAAGCUCGACCUCGGAGCUCCAUUUUUCCCAAGAUUUGUCUAGAUUUAGCGGUCCGUCACGCCCCGUCCCCGUUUUCACCGCCGUCAAUCGCCCGUGCCGAUCUCGUCGCCGGCACCAUCGUGGUGAGCCUCUUGUUCUUAUCUUCUUUCUGAUUUGCUUAAUUUAGAUAGAUACUUGUCUGAUUUUCUUACUUUUGACACACAUAAUUAUAUAUAAUGCACGCAGAUGAACCGGCAAUGGAUGUACGGUGACAGACACACCUCCGAGUACAUUAAGGGCGUGCAUGAAUUUCUCGAAGUGGCAGAGGCAAACAAGCAGAAUGGUUUUAUGUGUUGUCCAUGCCCUAAAUGUGGGAAUACGAAGUCUUACUCUGACCGGAAAAUCCUGCACACCCACCUGCUUUACAAGGGUUUCAUGCCACACUAUAAUGUUUGGACGAGGCACAGAGAAAUAGGGGUUAUGAUGGAAGACGACGAAGAAGAAGAGGACGAUGACAACUAUGUGCCCCCUGAAUACGGUGAUGCUGCAACGGGGGGAGCUGCCGAAGAUCAAGAGGAACCAGACGAUGUGCCCGAUGAUGCUGCAAUGGGGGAAGCUGCUGAAGAUCAAGAAGAACCAGACGAUGUGCCCGAUGAUAAUGAUCUCCGCCGGGUCAUUGUCGAUGCAAGGAUGCAAUGCGAAAGUCAAAAGGAGCAGCUGAAGUUCGAUCCCAUGUUAGAGGAUCACAAAAAAGGGUUGUACCCCAAUUGCGAAGAUGGCAACACAAAGCUCGGUACCGUACUGGAAUUGCUGCAGUGGAAGGCAGAGAAUGCUGUGCCUGAGAAAGGAUUUGAGAAGCUACUGAAAAUAUUGAAGAAGAAGUUUCCAAAGGACAAUGAAUUGCCUGACAGUACGUACGCAGCAAAGAAGGUCGUAUGCCCUCUAGGAUUGGAGGUGCAGAAGAUACAUGCAUGCCCUAAUGACUGCAUCCUCGACCAUGGUGCGUACAAGGAUUUGAACGCAUGCCCGGUAUGCGGUGCAUUGCGGUAUAAGAUCAGACGAGAUGACCCUGGUGAUGUUGACGGUGAGCCCCGCAGGAAGAGGGUCCCUGCGAAGGUGAUGUGGUAUGCGCCUAUAAUACCACCGUUGAAACGACUAUUCAGAAACAAAGAGCAUGCCAAGUUGAUGCGAUGGCACAGUGAGGACCGUAAGAAAGACGGGAAGUUGAGAGCACCCGCUGACGGGUCGCAGUGGCGAAAAAUUAAGAGAAAGUACUGGGAUGAGUUUGCAGGUGACCCAAGGAAUGUAUGGUUUGCUUUAAGAGCGGAUGGCAUUAAUCCUUUCGGGGAGCAGAGCAGCAAUCACAGCACCUGGCCCGUGACUCUAUGUAUGUAUAACCUUCCUCCUUGGAUGUGCAUGAAGCGGAAGUUCAUUAUGAUGCCAAUUCUCAUCCAAGGCCCUAAGCAACCCGUUAACGACAUUGAUGUGUACCUAAGGCCAUUAGUUGAAGAACUUUUAUAGCUGUGGAAUGGAAACAGUGUACGUGCGUGGGAUGAGCACAGACACGAGGAAUUUAACCUCCAUGCGUUGCUGUUUGUAACCAUCAACGAUUGGCCCGCUCUCAGUAACCUAUCAGGACAGACAAACAAGGGAUACCACGCAUGCACGCACUAUUUAGCUAACACCAAAAGUAUAUACCUGGACAAAUGCAGGAAGAAUGUGUACCUGUGCCAUCAUCGAUUUCUUCCGACCAACCAUCAAUGUCGAAAGAAAGGCAAGCAUUUCAAAGGCGAGGCAGAUCACCGGAAGAAGCCCGCCAUGCGUACCGGUGAUCACGUACUUGCUAUGGUCAAUGAUUUACACCUAAUGUUUGGAAAGGGUCCCGGCGGACUAGCUGUUCCGAAUGACGCUGGGGGACGCGCACCCAUGUGGAAGAAGAAAUCUAUAUUUUGGGACCUGCCCUACUAGAAAGACCUAGAGGUCCGCUCUUCGAUCGACGUGAUGCACGUGACGAAGAACCUUUGCGUGAACCUGCUAGGCUUCUUGGGCAUGUAUGGGAAGACAAAAGAUACAGCUGAGGCACGGGAGGACCUGCAACGUUUGCACGAAAAAGACGGCAUGCCUCCAAAGCAGUAUGAAGGUCCUGCCAGCUAUGCUCUUACCAAAGAAGAGAAGGAAAUCUUCUUUGAAUGUCUGCUUAGUAUGAAGGUCUCGACUGGCUUCUCGUCGAAUAUAAAGGGAAUAAUAAAUAUGCCAGAGAAAAAGUUCCAGAACCUAAAGUCUCAUGACUGCCACGUGAUUAUGACGCAACUGCUUCCGGUUGCAUUGAGGGGGCGUCUACCGAAAAACGUCCGAUUAGCCAUUGUGAAGCUAUGUGCAUUCCUCAAUGCAAUCUCUCAGAAGGUGAUCAAUCCAGAAAUCAUACCAAGGCUAAGGAGUGAUGUGGCGCAAUGUCUUGUCAGUUUCGAGCUGGUGUUCCCACCAUCCUUCUUCAAUAUCAUGACGCACGUCCUAGUUCAUCUAGUUGACGAGAUUGUCAUUCUGGGCCCCGUAUUUCUACAUAAUAUGUACCCCUUUGAGAGGUUCUUGGGAGUCCUAAAGAAAUAUGUCCGUAACCGCGCUAGGCCAGAAGGAAGCAUCUCCAUGGGCCAUCAAACAGAGGAUGUCAUUGGGUUUUGUGUUGACUUCAUUCCUGGCCUUAUGAAGAUAGGUCUCCCUAAAUCGCGGUAUGAGGGGAGACUGGCUGGAAAAGGCACGCUUGGAGGGGACUCAAUAAUAUGCAGGGACGGAUAUUCUUGGUCUCAAGCACACUACACAGUUCUACAGAACUCUACCUUGGUGACCCCUUAUGUCGAUGAACACAAGAACAGUCUGCGCUCCAAACACCCGGAGCAUUGCGACGACUGGAUUACAUGUGAACACAUCAGGACUUUCAGCAGUUGGUUGGAAACACGUCUCAGAGGUGACAACACUGUUUGUGAUGAGAUGUACUCGUUGUCCAGGGGACCAUUUUCGACUGUAUUGACUUACAAAGGAUACAAGAUAAAUGGGAAUACAUUUUACACGAUCGCCCAAGAUCAAAAGAGCACCAACCAAAACAGCUGUGUCCGCUUUGAUGCAGCAACCGAGAGGGGAAAGGACACAUAUUAUGGUUACAUAGUGGACAUAUGGGAACUUGACUACGGACAUGAUUUUAAGGUCCCUUUGUCUAAGUGCAAAUGGGUCAAUCUGUCAGGAGGCGGGGUACAGGUAGACCCACAGUACGGAAUGACAACAGUGGAUCUGAACAAUCUUCGGUACACUGACGAACCUUUCGUCCUAGCCAAUGAUGUGGCACAGUUUAUCUAUGUGAAGGACAUGUCUACCAAACCGAGAAAAAGAAAAGAUAAGGAAGCGAAUACAUCAUACGAUGAGCCAAAGCACCACAUAGUUCUUUUAGGAAAAAGGGACAUCGUGGGAGUGGAGCGCAAGACAGACAUGUCUAAAGAUUAUGAAAAGUUUCCUGAAAUUCCUCCCUUCAAAGUCAAGGCUAACCCAAGCAUCCUAAUAAACGAUGAAGAUUAUCCAUGGUUACGGCGCAAUAAGCAAACGACACAAGCGAAGAAAAAGUGAAGACUUUCUCUCUACAACUAUUAUGAUGAUGCCUUUGAUCUAGAAUAUCACUGCAAUUACAUGUGAAGAAAUGAAAUGCAUGUUGUAACAAACGAGUUUCCGUGUGAAAUGAUGAUACCAUGCCAAUUUGCAACCUUAUCGGAGUUCAUUUGAAAUGGUUUUCAAUUUCCGGGUCUUAUAGCUCAAAAAAGCAGUAAAUGCAUGAAAAAUAACAAAUGAAGUCAGAAAGGGUUGAAAAUUGAUGAUGUUGCUUUGAAUGGUGCAUUUUGAACACACAAGAAGUCUGGAGUUCAAAUAAGUUCGAAAAAAUGAAAUCCCUUUGUAACAGAUGAGCUUUCGUGCGAAACCCUGAUACUUCGAAAGAGAUUGUCCGUUUUGUACACAAAGUGCAUCUAGUUUUUGCCGUAACCCUCUCAACUUUCUUGCACAUGCUAUGUGGGUGAAAUGAUGAUAGCAUGCCAAUUUUCAACCUUUUCGGUGUUCAUUUGAAAUGCUUUUCAAUUUUCGGGUCUUAUAGCUCAAAAAAGCAGUAAAUGCAUGAAAAAUAAUAAAAUGCAUAAAACUAUAAUAUUUGUUAUGAUCACUAAAAAACUAAAAUCAAUUAAAAUAUUAAAUAGCAGGAAAAAGAAUCACUCAAAAAUCUAUUUUUAUAGUAAAUUUAUUCAUAAAACUAGUGAUUCACAUACAUUUAAAAAAAAUCAAAUUUUAAAACUAAUGGCACUAACAGAAAGUUUAUAAUUUUGUGACCCAAAAGCAAAAAGAAAUCACUAAAAAACUAUAAAAUUUAGUUUUAAGUAGAAAUAAAAAAAUAAAAAGAAAAAAAGGAAAAAAAAUGCCACCUACUGGACCUCCUCGGCCUAAAUACGACUAGAAACCCUACAAUGGGCCAGGAUUCAGGCCCGCAGAAGGCCCAAUAGGCCCAACAGGCAUGGCAAAGUAGAGAUUAGGCCCGUAAGCCUGCAAUAGAGAGGAGCUCGAGAGGGUGGCGGCAGCAAAGCUUAUAAACCACCCCGAGCCCCUCUCAACUAGCGAGGUGGGACUAAACAUCCCACCGCACCGUGCCAGCACAAGGCCUAUGGUCCCGGUUCAUGCCACCAACCGGUACCAUAGGCGGGCAUUCGUACCGGUUCGUGGCACCAACCAGUACCAAUGCCCACCUACGGUCCCGGUCCGUGCCACCAACCGGGACCAUGGGCCUCUGUUUCCCGCCCUUGGGGCUGCCGAAAAGAGACCUUUGGACCCUGUUGGUGGCACGAACCGGGACCAUAGGUAGGCAUUGGUACCGGUUGGUGCCAUGAACCGGUACCAUUGGUUUUGCUAUAUAAGGUAGCACUUGUGAAAAUUUCGCCAACUGCUCCCCCAUUCCCCCCGACGCCGCCAGGCCGUUCCUCGUCGUCGUCGCCGUCGCCGCCCCGAGCCCCUGCCCCGACGNNNNNNNNNNNNNNNNNNNNNNNNNNNNNNNNNNNNNNNNNNNNNNNNNNNNNNNNNNNNNNNNNNNNNNNNNNNNNNNNNNNNNNNNNNNNNNNNNNNNNNNNNNNNNNNNNNNNNNNNNNNNNNNNNNNNNNNNNNNNNNNNNNNNNNNNNNNNNNNNNNNNNNNNNNNNNNNNNNNNNNNNNNNNNNNNNNNNNNNNNNNNNNNNNNNNNNNNNNNNNNNNNNNNNNNNNNNNNNNNNNNNNNNNNNNNNNNNNNNNNNNCCCGACGACGUCGCCGCGCCCUUGACCCGCCGUUGACGUCGUCCUCACCGUCGCCGUCGUCGUCACCGCCCCCGAGCCGCUCCUCCCAGAGCCCUCGCUGUGCGCGUACCCCUCCCCCAAGAGCCCACCGUCCUCGUCGCCGUCAUCGUCACCGGCCUCGUCGUCGUCCUCGUCACCGGCCUCGUCGUUGUCCGGCCUUGAGCCCCCAGUGAGCCCCUUCCAAUCCCGAUCCGUGCACUGCCGCAGCUGCCGCCGCCCCCCCGCGCCGCGCCGCCGCCCCUGUUUUUUAUAUGUAUGUAUGUAUGUAUCUAUGUAUAUGGAUGUAUGUAUGUACGGAUGGAUGGAUAUGCAUGUAUAUGGAUGGAUGUAUGUGUAUGUGUUCAUAGUUUUUUUUUGUUCAUAGUUUUUUGUUGAUAGCAUUUUUAGGCUGUAUAGUUUUAUUUUUGUUCAAUUUUUAUGGUUAGAAGAGGAGAGGAAAAAAUUGUGUUGCUAAAGUUACAUUUAAGGUUAGUUGAUUUAGUUCAUUUUAGGUUAUUAGUUCUACUGUUAGUGCAUUUAAGGUUAGUUUAUUUUUAGUUGAACUAGUUGAUUUAAUAAAACUAAUUUAUUUUACUAUACAUAUAAGUAGUUUAUUUUUAGUAAGUACUACUUUAUUUUAUUUAUAGUAAGUGCUUAGUAGUUGAACUAGUUGAUUUAAUAAAACUACUUUAUUUUACUAUAGAAGUAGUUUAGUUUUAGCAAGAAAAUUAAUAGAAUUAGUUUAUUUUUUAGUUCAAGCAAUUAUUCCCGCAUCGACAUCGACGAUGCCUAUCCCGCAUCCUCGUCGUCGACUCGGCGGAGGAGGCCGACUUGAUCAGAGGGGCCAUGUCCGGGACUGGGCUCCGCCGGGCUGGUAUUGGGAGGUGCUACCUUCCGGGGGGCGUAGGUUGGUGAGGAGCCAGCCCGUCGUUGACCCGAUCCUUGUUUGGUGGCGGUCGCGUGGGCCAGUGACUGUAUCGAGGCUUCCGGACACCGCGGAGGUGGUACGUCACCAUGUCAGCGAGGAGGACGAGCACGCCCGUCGCUACAUGGUUGCGUUGGAGGGCAGGUUCGACAAUACCUGGCAGCUUCUUCAGGGAUCUCAUUGGAGCUAUGAUCAUGUGAUGGUUCCUUCUCUUUGGGCAUCCACCGCCCGCGCCGAUACCCGUCGGGCGCUACGGUUCUAGCUGUACUAGCGAUGCUAUAUGUAUGAUAGUAUUCGAGGUGUAUUAGUGAUAAUAUUCGACGAUGUACGGACGCAAGAGAUGAUGUAGUUUUGCUUAUAAUUGAAUGCAUCCUAAUUUGAAUACUACUUUAUUUUGCGAUCUGAUUUUGCUUAUUGAAUGCUCAAAUUGGAAAACUACUCCUACUUUGAAUGCUAAAAUUAGAGAGCACUAUGCAAGGCGUAUGCAUAUGAUUAGUUGAUAGCUUAUAGUGUUUUUGUUUUCGCAAAAAUAUAGGAGCCCCCAACCAUCAUCCCCGCCGUCGUCCCCGUCACUGACCCCCUCCGACGUCGAGGUGAGACCAGCCAAAUCUCCAUGUCAAUAUGAGUCCUAUAAUAUGAGUCCUCGGGUCGACUUUAAGUCUGUCGAGUCUCCACCAUAUAUGAAAGGACGAAGAAUCAUGACUGUUGUCGUGGGGGUAGCUUCUCCUUCGUUCCCGUGAUGAAUAAUAAUGAUCUAACUUAGGUUUUUAGUACAUAUAUUUAAUUGUAGAUGUUUAAUAUUUGAAUUAUGAACAUAGGAAAUGUCGUACUCAGACUACGAAAGUCUCCCGGGGGAGUGCGACUGGUGCCACGACGACCGAGGUUAGUGCGACCGGCCUCACCUGGACGAAGAUCAGCGCUUCAGCAUUAAGCUGGAGGAGACCUUCGAUGUUGAAACGGUACGCAACGACGACAAGUGUUAUUUUUUCGUAAUUAAGCACGACUUCAAGUAUUUCAACGUGUACUUCUUAUCUUUUACAAUUCGACUAGCUUAUCCCAUGCCAUGCAAGACGCUAUGUCUUGGAGAGGAUGGGUUUUGAAGACCAGGAAAGUUUCGAAACAAAGAAAAUUCAUCUAAGGACCCAUCAUGGUGUGGAUUUUGAAGUAAAGCGGUACAAUUCUGAGAGCGUAACCCAUUUUGGUUGCAAAAAAUGAGAAGCACUUUGCAAGAUGUAUGGUUUUGAUGAGGGUAUGCUUGUCACCAUUGAUCUUGGUGACCCUGAAAUCGAGCAAGACAAUAUGGACAUUUGGGUCCUUGUUGAUACGCCUCCAAUUCUACCGCUAUGUGAGUUUCUCAAACAUAGUUAUUAGCUAAUUUAUAUUGUUUAUUUCAAAAUAGUUGACAACUUAUUUCCAUUGACAGCUUAUUUUGAUUGUUCAAACAAUGUGCGGAACAUGGUAGACAAAACCCACUACACCGAUGGCUCCGAAUUAACUUAUCAGGAGAAAAAUCAUCUGGUCUGAUUUUGUACUGAUAUUGAGAAUUACAAUAUCUAGAAUCAAACUCCUCAACAUUAUUGUCAAUACGUGCCACUAGUGCACGUGUUGAACUACAGUAACUACCAUGGAGAUACCCUGGUAAGAUUUUUUACUAUUACGACAUCCGUGCAUCUUUUGCAUACUUCUAAAACUAGUACAUCAUUGCUAACUAUGAAGUUAUUACUAUGUUUUUCAACAGAGAAUCCCAGAGGAUUGUGUGCCUCAUUUGAUGUAGCAGAAUGGCAGCCUUCGUGUUUUGAACAUAUAUCCAAGUCAUCCAACGAAUCUCAACUGUCCAUACCGGAUUUAUCAAUGAAGUGGAGACAUGCUAAUCAAAAAAUGGAAAAAAUGUAUGGACAGUCGUAAGGAGGUUCUUGGAAGCAAAAGGAAGCGAAGCGUAAGAAUUGGAGACAGGAUGAUCUCCAUUCUCCAUAAUGGAGAGUCAGGGUCUAUAUUGUUUUAUGCUAUUUUACCUUAAAGAGGGUAUUUAGGUCCUACCUAAUACUGAUGAUCAUGUGCUAAGAACAAUUAAGUAGGGCUGGUUCGAUGACUAUGAGGAUGAUGAUCGUAUGACUUGUUAUUAAUAACGAGUAGAAGUUGUAUGAUGAUGAUUAGUAGGACUUGUUAUUAUAUAAGAUGAUGCAUGAUGCGAGCAUGAAGAGUUAUUAUAUAUCAGCGGGUGAAAUGAACAUGGAUUGGAUUGAAGUGAAGGCAACAUGCAUGUGGUGCAUGUCGAAAGUACUACAAUCCAAACUUGAUCAAAGUUAGGAUUAGUAUUACUUUCGACAUGCACCACAUGUUGCCUUCACUUCAAUCUAAGCCAUGUUUAGGCAUAGCAGUAGCGUUGGUAAACCAAGCACGGAGAUAUAAGAGAGGACACUUCUCUCUAUUAUAUUAGCUAGCUAAUAACAACCUAAAUUAACCCCCAAAACCCCUAAAUCAGCCCCUUUAAAAAAACAAAAAGCUCAACUCCAGCCAGCUGCUGACGCGUGGAUGCCUUUUGGUCCCGGUUGGUGUCACCAACCGGGACCAAAGGCCCCCCUGCCUGGGCUGGCCGUAGUGGCCACGUGGAGGCCCAUCUGUCUCGGUUCGUGUAAGAGCCGAGACUAAAGGCCAAGGGCAUUAGUAACGACCUUUUAGUCCCGGUUCCUAAACCGGGACAGAAGGCUCUUACGAACCGGGACAAAUGGCCCUUUUUCUACUAGUGCCGCUCUAAACGCGGCCGCUCGAACUGUUGAGCUUGACUCGAGUCAGAAUCGAGAGCGUUGCCGAUUGCGGAAGGCUAUGUUGCCGUUCUCGACGCGGCCGCUUGAGCUAUUGAGCGGACUCGAAACAGAGUAAGGGCGUUGCCAAUAGCGGAAGGGCCCCUUUGCGUGCAUGUUUUCCAUACAUAGGGCAGGACCUUCGAGUACAAUAACCUUCUAUAUAAAAAGAUAUUGCUUAAAGUUUCACACGACUUAGCUUUUCUGUCAUUGCACGGGCGUCCACCGCAUCUGCAGAUGGUGCCGUCAAGCUUGGUCGUCUUCUAUCUUGGAACGACGGCCACGAUGAAGCCGCUGCUCCGAUCAGACCAAAUUUCCACAACUGCGCCCCCUACCUAGCGCGCCAAAGAUGUCGGGGGAAAUCGACACCUAUGGAAUCACAGGGAUCCCUUCUACGGUUGGCGGGCGCGGGGUUGUGCAAAGAGCAGGUCUGACAGGAAGCACGCAGAUCGUUUACCCAGGUUCGGGCCGCGGAGAUGCGUAAUACCCUAGUCCUGCUAUGGUGGAUGUAUUCGAGUGUUCUUGUGUUCUUGAACUAGCUACGGGGUGUAACUUGCCCAGAAGAUCCGAAUCCCUGUCCUGGAUGCCUCGGGCCUCCUUUUAUAGACAAAAGGGGUUGCCACACUGGCACACAGGAGGUGGAAAGGUGUACAGUGGAUGAGUCUAUCCUCUGGCACCGUUGGACGAACACAUUUAAUGCGCUGCCAACGUGACCCUCUCGCUUUAUCGGGGACGGUCAAGGAAGCUCGUCCCAGCUGUCGCCGCCUCGCCUGGCUUCGACACGCGUCCGAGCUGACGAGGCGUCGUGGCGCCACAUUGGCUGGCUGCUGGGCUGGCGCGGUGGUGGAGCCUUCACGAAGGUCUGCAUGCCACCACGCAGGUGCUUGCUGUGUCGGUGUAGAGGCCGCUCGUCGCCACGCAGGUGCCUGCCCAGCUGGUUGGGCUAGCAGCUGCACGGGGACGGCGGUGGAGUCUUGGCAGGCGCGGGCCUGGCUGUGGCCCCGCUGAUGCCCUUGGCAAGGGUCUUGCCGGGGGCCCGGCAAGGGUCUUGCCGUGGUGCCGCGGUCGUCCCCGGCAAGGCGCUUGCCGGGGGUCUCGUGGAUUUCCUCGGCAAGGACCUCGCCGAGGAUCAUCGUCUUCUGGUCCUCAUCUGAUCUUGUGUAUUUAUGAUCUUCACAAAGAUCAGCAUGCCACCACGGAGGUGCCUCCCGAGCCUUGGUCCCAAUGUGGUUGAUGGCGUUGGAACCCUUGGGCUCAAUGGAGGCGCGCUUCGUUGGCGUCAGGCAAGUUGCCCCGGCAAGGCUCUCGCCGGGGCUGAGGAGGCCGUCCCGGCAAGGGUCUUGCCGGGGGAGUCCACCUCGCCCUCUUGCCCUUUGUGUCUCUGGUCUUGGCAUUGCCAUGGCUGUCUUGUGCUCCGGCUUCCCUCCUCUGCCCUGCUAAGUGUGGCCGUGGGCGCGGCUCUGACUACCAGUGCACAAGUAAAGGGGUCAAAAGGAGAGCCCCUAGUUUUAUACACCGACAUGUAUCCUCCCAGAAUCUCGUAGAAGUACCGUUACUGAUCACAAGCUUUGUCUGAUUGAAAAAAAUGGAUUUAACUCUCAUCAGUCCUUUCCAAAAGGGCUAGUCCAUUGGCCUCACUGUGACCUGGGAUAAAGUUCUGGAAUGAAGGUACUUAUUACGCAGUAUUUGUGCCCAUGUAGCCCCCGUCUCGCUAGAUAGCUUAUACAGCCAUUUGCUGAGAAGACAUAUGUUCUUCACCUUAAGAUUUUUGAUACCUAGACCCCCUUGGUCUUUGGGUCGACAAAUAAUAUCCCAUUUAGCGAGUAUACUUUCUCUUCAGAUCAUCACUUUGCCAGAAGAAACGGGAUCGAUAGAAAUCUAGUCUUUUCCGAACUCCAACUGGUACCUCGAAAAAAGACAAGAGAAACAUGGGCAUGCUCGUGAGAACCGAAUUAAUAAGAAUUAAACGGCCUCCAUAUGACAUGAGUUUGCCAUUCCAGCAACUGAGUUUCUUCUCAAAUCGAUCCUCAGUGCACUUCCAUUCUCUCUUUGUUAGCUUACGAUGGUGAAUUGGUAUGCCCAAUUAAGUGAAAGGCAAAGCCCCCAAUUCGCAUCCGAACAAUUGCUUAUAUGCCUCUUGUUCCUCAUUGGCUCUUCCAAAAUUGUAUAAUUCGCUCUUGUGGAAAUUAAUUUUUAGUCCGGUCAAUUGUUCGAAUAAGCAUAACACCAGCUUCAUAUUUCUCGUUUUUGCCAAGUCAUGGUCCAUGAAGAUGAUAGUAUCAUCGGCGUACUGUAGGACAGACACACCUCCAUCCACUAGAUGAGGUACCACAGGAGAGCACCUGCGAUAAUUAUAUCAUGCCACACGAGUACAAAGGAUGAAGCAUCUUAGACGUUUGGAAUAGAUUUGGGCAUCACAUACGAUUUAUUUUUCCAAAAAGGUAUGCAUGAUUGGGCUCUAUCUGUAGGAGAUAUGCCCUAGAGGCAGUAAUAACAGUUAUUUUGUAUCUCCAAGUUUGUAAUGAAUGUUUAUGAUCCAUGCUAUAACUGCAAUGAUUCUCGAGUCUACAAUAUCCACGAGGCUCGGAGGGAACUCAUAUGCACGUGUGGUAUUAUAAACGGUAAAAUAUAUUCCUAGUCUUGCCUCUAAGACUAGCUCAAGUAUUGCAUGAUGAUCCUGUUUCCUGAUCAUGGGCAUGACUAUGCCGGCAAUUUUGAGGGCACAAGUUUGGUAGAACGCUUGUGUUGAAUCAACCCGGAUUGAUGUUGUGCUAUGAGAUGCCUUCGUCACAAGUUUAUGGUUAAUAUCAUUGAGAUAGUUAAUGUUUGCAUAAUUCCUUAGACCAUGAGAGUAUCAAGUUCCUUCGUGCUUGCUUCGUGAACUUUGGGGUUUGUUAAACGUCAUCCGUAACUUGGUGGCUAUUAUGGCAGCUUUCGGGUUCACGGAAAAGUAUAGGAAGUAACAAGAUAGCUCAAGAUUGGGAUUUGCUCCUCCGACGAUGGAGAGAUAUACUCGGGCCCUCUCAGUGUAACGGUAUCCAUCAUCGUCUGGCCAGACACAUUGUGAUUUGAUCACUGGGAUGCCGGAACACGGAAACGAGAAAAGAGAACAAAACCGGUAACGAGGUAACUUGCAUGGUGGACAAAUUGUUCGUCCAUGGGCAUGCAAUAAAUCUCACCUCGGGUGUUUGUGACAUAUCGCGAAGCAACAGGAAUAGCUCACUACAACUAGAGGUUCACUCGAAUAUUCAUUCGUGUGGGUAUAGGGGUCAAUAUGGGUGUCCACGGCUCCGAUGUUGAUCAUUGAUCGGAAGGGGUUCCAGGUCAUGUCUAUACUUCACCGAACCUAUAGGGUCACACGCUUAGGGGUCAUCUAUCUGUUGAAUACUAGACAGGGAGUCUGAGAGAAAAUCACCGAAAAAGUUUCGGACACCGAAAAGUUUCGGACAGCGGAAUCGUACCGCAGAGAGAGGUCAUCGGAUAAGUUUCGAUGAUACCGAAAAGUUGUUUCGGGAUACACCAUUAAGUCAAAUUGGUUUCGGCACAUGCCUGAUAAUUCUUGGAGGAUGCCAGAAUCAUUCUGGAAGCUUUUUGGAAUUUUCUGACAUAAAAACCGGAAAUGUUCCGGAGCUGCCGGAGCCACUUCAGAUGCGUUUCGCAGAUGAAAAUCACUAAAACCGGAAUUGUUUCGGAACGCGUUGAAAAACAUUUUAGUGGGUACUGGAAAUGUUCUUAGCCCACAUAAAUAUUUUCAGUUCGAUCAGACGCUGAAAAAUGUCGUCGUGAAUAGUGAAAAUCAGCUUUAUGGUUACUUUAUGGAAAGCCACCUUUUGGGGCUUUGCUCCAAAAGAUCUUGGGGAUGACAUGGAUGGAUAGGACCCAUUUUUUGGGCCCCUCAUGGGGGUGUGGCCGGCCACAUGGGGUAUCCCCCCUUGGGGACCCUUUUGUUCAUUGGUUUCACUUCUAGGUCCUUGUGGAAGGACUUCAUUCAUGUGCAUUUUGGGUUUUUGUGUGAAACUACCCUACCCCUUGGGAUUUCCUAUAAAUAGAGGUGGAGGGGCAGCCCUCCACACUCAUCCCUUGCUCUCAUACACAUGCCAUGCAUUAUCUGGCUUCUUCUCUCCCUCCCACGAAAAGAGUUUCGUAGAGCCGUAAGGCUGUCUGGGUUCCGGCAGGAACUAGUUCUGGACGGCGAAGCCCUGCCGGAUAGCUGACACCGUAUGUGUGCAACCCCGUAGAGAGAUUGUAGUUUCGAUCUUUUGCCCGAGGGGCUGUUCGAGUGUCCUCCCGAAGGGCUGUCCGAGUCUCCGUCCGAGUUUCGAGGGUCCUCCCGAAGGGCUGUCCGCGACAUUGUCCGGGGGACUGUCCGACCGCCUCCCGAAGGGCUGUCCGGAGAGGGAGUACAUCCUCGCGGUUGGGAGGUUGUAAAUCCUAGCUGCGGGGAUCUGCACCGACGAUCUACACCGACUCUUCUUCCGCUGCGCUUCGAGUCGGUACGGAUCAGAUCAAACCUUGUAUGCAGUCUCCAUAGUGGUCCUGGGCGUGCUCGCUAUACCGAAAAUUUUCGUUUUCUGUCGCGUUCCCCUACAGUGGCAUCAAGAGCCGUGCUAUGCGUAGAUGCAGGUUACGAUCUAGAAUACAUGGAGAUGUAUGGGUAUUGCAUAAUAUAAUUUUGGAGUAGAUGAGAUGUAUUGCUGAAAAUUAUUUAUGCGGGUGACAGAUGAAAUCUGUUACCCGACGUUCUUGUUGCUUCCCUAGAAUUUGCGUUUGCUCAAUCUCGAGACAGGAUGGUGGAAUUUGACAAAGUUCUGGCAAUCCGUGAUCCUGAUUGAUCAUGGAAGUGCUAUCAGUUCUUUGGGUUCUGCCAUAGUCAAAAGAAAGAUGAAAUUCGCAGAUGAAAGGGCAUUGCAGAUAUGAUCUGCACGGGGGUCAUGCGUAUGACGAAGUUUAGUAUGGGGCUCGAGAUUUAAUUAUCUCGUGUUUCAUACACCCCGAGAUGUUAAUCUAGCAACUUGAAUAAUCAUACUUGAUGAUAAAACGUUGGUAGCUGCGGUUUAAGUCAAAACCUUAGAAGCCACGUAAAAUAAAAUUUUGCAUAAACCGAUUAGAGGCGUCUAACUUGGUUUUGCAGGAUGUGCAUGUGAUGUGGUAUAGCAAUGCUCAUAUUCAAUUUGAUUAUGUAUGAGAUGACUAUAUGAUGUAACUAACAUGACCUGCGUGUCAUGAUUCUGCAUGAUGGCUGGAGCCAUAUGAUUGCACUUUAAUGACCUGCGUGUCAACCUUAAGUAAUGCACUUAUUUUAUUAGCUAUAGAGAUAGCAAUAUUAUCUGGUGCAUCGACAAGGUGGUGGCAAUCUUCGCGAAGGUGAACACCGACGCAAAUGCCGAAGACGAAGAAUUGAAAGACUUCUCCGUCAGAAAGGGCUAUACCAUAUCAUGCUAAUUAUGAAUUGCCUGAGAUGUUUAUCCCCUAUGAUGCACCCUUCUUGAUUGCGCGGUAGUCGCUUUUAUUAGGGUGAUCUCUCACUUAAAAAUAUCAAGUAGAUAGUGUUCUCCCAAGUGUAGCACCGUCACGGCACCUAUCGUUUCGGGGUGCGCCGUGUCACACGGGUACGAACGAUUAGAGAAGUGUGAGGCGGGUGAGUUGAGACCUCGCAGCGAGAUCACUUGGUUGUCUUGACGUUCAGGCAUGACCGUCAUGAGCUCGGAACACACGCAUCGAAAGAUGAACAAGAGUCACAUAGUGAUGUGAUUGGCAAGUUGGCCUACCGGUUAAGAUUUUCGUCAUCAGUGGUGUUACACCAAUGGCGAACAAUCAAGACACGGAUCUUGAAUCACUCAUAAUCAAUUUUGAGAGAUAUUGAUUUGAGUGGGAGUGCAUUUUAGAAUAAAAUGUUUAUUCACUAGUGCAAAUUUCAUUAUAAACAAAGUCUAAGUGAAACUUGUGUCUUCGUUGUAGAUCAAAUGGCUCGCAACACCGCGUUCAACUUAGGCCCGAUGUUAGAGAAAGAGAAGUUAGCUACGACUGGAAACAACUAUGCGGACUGGGCCCGUAACCUGAGGAUUGUCCUCAGGAGCGCUAAGAAAUUGUACGUGCUUGAAACUGCUCUUCCAGCUAAACCGGCGGCAGAUGCACCGGUAGAUGAACAAAAUGUCUGGGCCACUAAGGAUGAUGAUCACAACUUAGUGCAGUGCCUCAUGCUAGCUUGCAUGAGUCCAGGGCUUCAAAAACGUUUUGAAUUCCAUAAAGCCCGUGAUAUGAUCCGGGAAUUGGAUGCUCUGUACAAGGAAACCGCAAAGUCUGAACGAUAUGAUAUCAUGAAGGCUUGGAUGGAUUGCAAGAUGGCUGAGGGUAGUUCAGUUGGCGAACACGUGGUCAAAAUGAUUGGCUAUUCUGAAAGGCUUAAAGCCCUAGAAUUUCCACUUCCACCUGGCCAUAUGAUGGACAUGUUGCUUUCUUCACUCCCCCCGUCUUACGACGGUUUUGUCAUGAACUACAACAUGACAGGGAUGGAGAAGACGCCGAAAGAAGUGCUCGCCAUGCUGAAAACUACAGAAGGAGGACUGCGGAAAAAUCGCAAGUAAGUGUUGCUUGUGAAUAAAACCGCCUGUUUCAAAAAGAAGAAAGGCAAGCCAAAGAAGGGCAAGGGCACCGGUAAGACCGGCUCCCAAAGCAACUCUAAGGGCGGAGCCAAGAAUGAAACUGAGUGCUUCUACUGCAAGGGCACAGGACACUGGAAGAGAAACUGCAAGAAGUAUCUGGAAGAUAAGAAGACCGGGAAAACCGGAAAAGGUAUAAUUGUUAUACAAGUUAAUGUCAUUGACGUUUUGCUUGCUAGCGAAAACUCUAAGUCUUGGGUAUUUGAUACCGGAUCGGUUGCUCACAUUUGCAACUCGAUACAGGGACUUCAGAAGGUGCGCAAGCUAGCAAAGAAUGAAGUCGUGAUGCGCGUCGGGAACGGCGCUGGGAUCGCCGCUCAAGCCGUCGGCAUUAUGCCUCUACGUCUCCCUUCAGGAUUUAUCUUAGAACUAAGUAACUGUUAUUUUGUUCCACUGUUGUGUAGAAACAUUAUCUCCGGAUCAUGUUUGGUACACGAUGGGUAUUCGUACAAGUCUGAGAACAAUGGUUGUUCACUUUAUUGUAAGGAUAUGUUUUAUGGAUUUGCACCCAUUGUUGGGGGCCUUUUCAUACUAAAUCUUGAAUGUGGAAGUGAUGUCUUUAACAUGAAUGCUAAACGCCUUAAGAAGGCUGAUACCACCACCACUUUCAUGUGGCACUGUCGCCUUGGCCACAUCGGUAAGAAACGCAUGCAAAGACUCCAUAAAGAUGGAGUUUUACCGUCCCUUGAUUUUGAAUCAUUUGACACAUGUGAAGCUUGCCUGAUGGGGAAAAUGACCAAGACGCCGUUCACGGGUCAUCCUGAACGGGCGGGUGAAUUAUUGGAAAUAAUACAUAGUGAUGUAUGUGGUCCAAUGAACACAGGCGCACGGGGUGGAUAUUUUUACUUCGUGACUUUUACUGAUGAUUUGAGUAGGUAUGGCUAUAUCUACUUAAUGAAGCAUAAAUCGGAAACCUUUGAAAAGUUCAAAGAAUUUCAGAAUGAGGUAGAAAAUCAUCGUAACAAAAAGAUUAAGUUUCUGCGGUCUGAUCGCGGAGGCGAAUAUCUUAGUCAUGAGUUUGGCCAACAUCUGAGUGAUCGUGGAAUCGUUUCACAGCUUACGCCUCCCGGAACUCCACAGAGAAAUGGAGUAUCGGAACGACGUAACCGAACCUUGUUGGACAUGGUAAGGUCAAUGAUGUCUCUUACAAAUCUUCCAAUAUCUUUUUGGGGUCACGCACUACUUACUGCUGCUCACACACUAAACAAAGCACCGUCUAAAUCUGUUGAGACGACGCCACAUGAGAUGUGGCACGGGAAGAAACCCGACCUGUCGUUUUUCAAAAUUUGGGGUUGUGAAGCUUAUGUAAAACGUUUACAGCCAAGCAAGCUUGAUCCCAGAUCAGACAAAUGUUACUUUGUAGGUUAUCCCAAGGAGACAGUUGGGUAUUCUUUCUACCACGCCUCCGAGAAUAAAGUGUUUGUUGCAAAACAUGGAGUCUUUCUUGAGAAAGAGUUUCUCACUAAAGAAGUGAGUGGGAGGACAAUACAACUCAAUGAGAUUAGUGAAUCUUCGGGAACCGUUGAUAUGGCUAAGGAACCGGAAGAAAUUCCGCUAAUUAUCCCUACAACCGAGCCGGAAGUUGUCGCAUGUGAUGCGGAGACUUCAGACAAUGUUGUAACUGAACCGCGCAGAUCAGGUAGGGCUAUCCAGCCACCUGAGUGGUUUCAUAACGAAAUCUUCAUUCUUGAAGACGAUGAACCUGCGCACUACAAGGAAGCGAUGGCGGGGCCCAGCUCAAAAGAAUGGCACAAAGCCAUGAGAUCCGAAAUGGAAUCCAUGUACGAAAACCAAGUUUGGAACUUGGAAGAACUUCCAGAAGGCAUAAAGCCCAUUGGUUGUAAAAUGGAUUUUCAAAAGAAAGACGGACGCGGAUGGUAACAUUACUAUCCACAAAGCUAGACUUGUCGCGAAAGGGUUCACACAAGUUCCAGGAGUGGACUACGACGAGACUUUCUCGCCAGUAGCUAUGCUUAGGUCUGUUCGGAUAUUGCUAGCAAUUGCUGCUUAUUUCGACUAUGAAAUAUGGCAGAUGGAUGUCAAAACGGCUUUCCUAAAUGGAAACCUCAAAGAGGAUGUAUACAUGAUACAGCCAGAAGGUUUUGUCAUUCAUGAGGAUGCUGGAAAGGUAUGCAAACUUCAGAAAGCCAUUUAUGGUCUGAAGCAAGCAUCAAGGAGCUGGAACAUUCGUUUUGAUGAAGUGGUCAAAGAGUUUGGCUUCAUCAUGAAUGAUGAAGAAUCUUGUGUUUACAAGAAGUUUAGUGGGAGCGCAAAAGCAUUUCUAAUCUUGUAUGUGGAUGACAUAUUGUUGAUUGGAAAUGACGUGAAUUUUCUUAGCGAAAUAAAAGACUCAUUGAAGAAAAGUUUUUCAAUGAAAGACUUAGGCGAAGCGGCAUAUGUAUUAGGCAUCAGGAUCUAUAGAGAUAGAUCAAAACGCCUGAUAGCGCUUAGCCAAAGCACGUACAUUGACAAGGUGUUGAAAAGGUUCAACAUGGAGAACUCCAAGAAAGGCCUACUCCCCAUGUCACCUGGCACAGUGCUUUGCAAGAAUCAGAGUCCUCGGACUCUGGAUGAGCGAGUACAAAUGAAUGAUGUUCCAUAUGCCUCGGCAGUUGGUUCUAUUAUGUAUGCCAUGCUAUGUACAAGACCAGAUGUUUCCUAUGCGCUAAGUGUUAGCAGCCGGUACCAAAGUGAUCCAGGGUUGGAACACUGGGCCGCAGUCAAGGGUAUUCUUAAGUACCUCAGAAGGACCAAGGAUUUACUCCUUGUGUACGGAGGUGAUGAAGAGCUCAUUGUAAGUGGUUACAAUGAUGCAGGCUUCAUGACUGACCCAGAUGACUUCAAAUCUCAAUCAGGCUACGUUUUCAUAUUGAACGGCGGCGCAGUUGAUUGGAAAAGUUCCAAACAAAAGACUGUGGCGGAUUCUACGACGGAGGCGGAAUAUGUUGCUGCUUCAGAAGCCUCCAAGGAGGCGGUAUGGAUCAAACAAUUUCUUGAAGACCUUGGUGUGGUUCGUAGUGCCCAGGACCCGGUGGAGAUCUAUUGUGAUAAUAGUGGCGCCGUGGCUCAGGCAAGGGAGCCAAGUUCGAACCAUAAGACAAGACAUAUUCAACGCAAAUAUAAACUCAUUCGACAUCAUGUCGAAGAGGGUUUAGUGAAAGUACGCAAAGUUCACACGGAUCUGAACGUGUCAGACCCGAUGACAAAGCCUCUACCACGAGCAAAACAUGAGCAACACCGGAUAGCCAUUGGUGUUAGGGAAGCCAUGUAACUGGAUUAUGACUCUAGUGCAAGUGGGAGUCUGUAGGAGAUAUGCCCUAGAGGCAGUAAUAACAGUUAUUUUGUAUCUCCAAGUUUGUAAUGAACGUUUAUGAUCCAUGCUAUAACUGCAAUGAUUCUCGAGUCUACAAUAUCCACGAGGCUCGGAGGGAACUCAUAUGCACGUGUGGUAUUAUAAACGGUAAAAUAUAUUCCUAGUCUUGCCUCUAAGACUAGCUCAAGUAUUGCAUGAUGAUCCUGUUUCCUGAUUAUGGGCAUGACUAUGCCGGCAAUUUUGAGGGCACAAGUUUGGUAGAACGCUUGUGUUGAAUCAACCCGGAUUGAUGUUGUGCUAUGAGAUACCUUCGUCACAAGUUUAUGGUUAAUAUCAUUGAGAUAGUUAAUGUUUGCAUAAUUCCUUAGACCAUGAGAGUAUCAAGUUCCUUCGUGCUUGCUUCGUGAACUUUGGGGUUUGUUAAACGUCAUCCGUAACUGGGUGGCUAUUACGGCAGCUUUCGGGUUCACGGAAAAGUAUAGGAAGUAACAAGAUAGCUCAAGAUUGGGAUUUGCUCCUCCGACGAUGGAGAGAUAUACUCGGGCCCUCUCGGUGUAACGGUAUCCAUCAUCGUCUGGCCAGACACAUUGUGAUUUGAUCACUAGGAUGCCGGAACACGGAAACGAGAAAAGAGAACAAAACCGGUAACGAGGUAACUUGCAUGGUGGACAAAUUGUUCGUCCAUGGGCAUGCAAUAAAUCUCACCUCGGGUGUUUGUGACAUAUCGCGAAGCAACAGGAAUAGCUCACUGCAACUGGAGGUUCACUCGAAUAUUCAUUCGUGUGGGUAUAGGGGUCAAUAUGGGUGUCCACGGCUCCGAUGUUGAUAAUUGAUCGGAAGGGGUUCCAGGUCAUGUCUAUACUUCACCGAACCUAUAGGGUCACACGCUUAGGGGUCAUCUAUCUGUUGAAUACUAGACAGGGAGUCUGAGAGAAAAUCACCGAAAAAGUUUCGGACACCGAAAAGUUUCGGACAGCGGAAUCGUACCGCAGAGAGAGGUCAUCGGAUAAGUUUCGAUGAUACCGAAAAGUUGUUUCGGGAUACACCAUUAAGUCAAAUUGGUUUCGGCACAUGCCUGAUAAUUCUUGGAGGAUGCCAGAAUCAUUCUGGAAGCUUUUUGGAAUUUUCUGACAUAAAAACCGGAAAUGUUCCGGAGCUGCCGGAGCCACUUCAGAUGCGUUUCGCAGAUGAAAAUCACUAAAACCGGAAUUGUUUCGGAACGCGUUGAAAAACAUUUUAGUGGGUACUGGAAAUGUUCUUAGCCCACAUAAAUAUUUUCAGUUCGAUCAGACGCUGAAAAAUGUCGUCGUGAAUAGUGAAAAUCAGCUUUAUGGUUACUUUAUGGAAAGCCACCUUUUGGGGCUUUGCUCCAAAAGAUCUUGGGGAUGACAUGGAUGGAUAGGACCCAUUUUUUGGGCCCCUCAUGGGGGUGUGGCCGGCCACAUGGGGUAUCCCCCCUUGGGGACCCUUUUGUUCAUUGGUUUCACUUCUAGGUCCUUGUGGAAGGACUUCAUUCAUGUGCAUUUUGGGUUUUUGUGUGAAACUACCCUACCCCUUGGGAUUUCCUAUAAAUAGAGGUGGAGGGGCAGCCCUCCACACUCAUCCCUUGCUCUCAUACACAUGCCAUGCAUUAUCUGGCUUCUUCUCUCCCUCCCACGAAAAGAGUUUUGUAGAGCCGUAAGGCUGUCUGGGUUCCGGCAGGAACUAGUUCUGGACGGCGAAGCCCUGCCGGAUAGCUGAAACCGUAUGUGUGCAACCCCGUAGAGAGAUUGUAGUUUCGACCUUUUGCCCGAGGGGCUGUUCGAGUGUCCUCCCGAAGGGCUGUCCGAGUCUCCGUCCGAGUUUCGAGGGUCCUCCCGAAGGGCUGUCCGCGACAUUGUCCGGGGGACUGUCCGACCGCCUCCCGAAGGGCUGUCCGGAGAGGGAGUACAUCCUCGCGGUUGGGAGGUUGUAAAUCCUAGCUGCGGGGAUCUGCACCGACGAUCUACACCGAUUCUUCUUCCGCUGCGCUUCGAGUCGGUACGGAUCAGAUCAAACCUUGUAUGCAGUCUCCAUAGUGGUCCUGGGCGUGCUCGCUAUACCGAAAAUUUUCGUUUUCUGUCGCGUUCCCCUACACUAUCGCAGCCGGUUAACUUGCGUUGUGUGUGAUGGACACCCUUUUCGCACACCUUCACACAGCGAUGCAUCAAAGGUACGUGAGCAAAAGGGGUUUUUAACCGUUUGUGUUGGACUUGCGUGCACUAGUGUGACAUGCGUUACUUAACCUAGCUUUUGUUUAGUUUAGUUAAAUUUCAAGUAGUUUUUUAUGUAACUUGUUAAAUUUUAUCAUAUAUGCAUAUAUGUAAUAUAUCGUACUAGGUUUAUUUUCAUUCGUAAUUCAUUUGAAAUGUGUUCCGAACCGGGGGGUGGUAGUUAAAUGCAGAAAAAACACCACAAUAGCCAUCUCAUUAGCAAAAACAACCACUUUACAAUUUGUGGCAAAAAGGACGACACGCAACAACGGACAGUGGCAAAAGAGCCGGUCGGGACCGGCUCUUUCAAAAUGUGGGGUCCCACUCACCCACUCACUCUCUCACUCACCAGCUCUCGCUCACACUCGACGCCGGUGCCGCUCCUGCUUGACGCUGCCACACAAUGCAUUCAUGGAAUGACGAAGAGGAGAGCAGCAAGGAUGCCCUCAAGUACAGCAGCAUGGAUAUGGAUUUGUGGGUAAGUUUCAGCGCUCAAUAACUAGACGUUUGGAUUAGGGUUAGUGUUUGGAUUUGGGGAUUUAGGGUUUGUGCUCGUUUCCAGCCUUAUUGAAAGGAUUUGUUAGUUAAUUUAGAUAUUGUCAAUGCAGGAGAACCCUGAGACCAUUGUGAAUUCAUUUUACUAUGGGACAGUGGCAUUUUCGGCCAUCAAAUCCAAGCUUUACCAGGCAAGAGCCAAAAAAUCUGUUGGUUUUGGUGACAGACACUAGGAGGAAACUUUAUGGCUGCACUGCACAAGUACUCCCUCCGUCCUAUAUUAAUUGAGCUAAAAUGGAUGUAUCUAGUACAUAUGGAUACUUUCAUUUCAACAACAAUUAAUAUGGGACGGGGCAGUAAUUUUAACUUGCCUUGCUGUUUCACCACUUUGCUCUGUAGCUGUUUGAUUUCGCUGUGUAGUUAUCUAUGUAGUGACGAGUCAUCUGAACUUAGUUGUAUCUUGUUCAUUUUGACUGGAUUAAACUUAGUCUUGCUGCUAUUAAAGGUUAGUCUGUAAUUUAGUAAAUCGAAAUUUAACUGAAUUUUGUUGUUCAAGUUCAGUAUGUAGUUUAGUGAAUCAGAAUUUAACGGAAUAUUGUUUUUCAAGUCCAGUCUGUAGCUUGCUGAAUAUGUAUUGUACUGAUUGUUGUUACUCAAGUUCAGUAUGUAGUUAAGUCAAUCUAAAUUGUAGUGUCAUCAUGUAGUAAAAUAGGUAGUAUAUGUGAAAGAAAUAGGCUUGAUUUAUUGUUGUGUAGUUUUGGAAACAAUAAAUUUUGAGAUACUUUUGUCUGUCUGAACAAUAUGUCACUAGUAGAAAACAGGGCUUUGGUUCGGCUAGAAAAGAGCAUUAAUCCCGGUUGCAUUACGAACCGGGACUAAUGUGAGCAUUAGUCCCGGUUCGAGUGGCUAGGGCACCGUACAAGCAUUAGUCCCGGUUCAAAUGGGACCUUUAGUCCCGGUUGGUGCCACGAACCGGGACUAAAGGGUGCGAUGCCCAUUAGUACCGGUUCGUGGCACCAACCGGUACUAAAGGUUAGACCUUUAGUCCCGGUUCGAGCCACCAACCGGUACUAAUGGGGUUUGAGGCAUUAGUACCUGUUCAUGGCACGAACCGGUACUAAAGGUCCCAUUGUCAAACUCUACCCCCACCCUGGAUCGCCUUUUCAGUUUUGUAAAAAGCAAAGAAAAUGAUAAAAACUUCAAAAAUUAAAAUCCUUCCAGAUGUAUAGUUAUGUUACUACAUGUACUAGUUAGGAAAAUUUAAAAACUUAAAUUUGGACAUGUUUUGCAAAAAGUGUAGGAAAAAUGUAAAACGGCUAUAACUUUUGCAUACGAUGUUAGAAAAAAAGUAUAAUAUAUCAAAAUGUUCAGCACGAAAAUCCGAAUCCGAUUUUGACCGCAUAUGACCCGUUUGCAAAUGUUUAGAAUCCUCAAAUUCUAAAAGGAAAAAAAGUUAUGCUCAAAUUUCUGUUUUUUUUAAUUUUUGUUAAAUCUGGUCAAACUACUUAUUCAAGAAGUAUUAAUGUUACUAAAUAAAUAUUCAAGAAUAUUAGUGUUACUAAAUAAUUAUUUCAGUUUUUUUGAAUUUUCGUCAAAUCUGGUCAAACUAUGGUCAAACUAAUUAUUCAAGAAAUAUUAGUGUUACUAAAUAAUUAUUUCGGUUGUUUUGAAUUUUGGUCAAAUCUGGUCAAACUGUGGUCAAACUGUGGUCGAACUAUGGUCAAACUACUUAUUCAAGAAAUAUUAGUGUUACUAAAUAAUUAUUGUUUUUUAGAACAAUAGUUUCAAACUCAAACAGUGAAAUGUGUGACUUCAUGCUCAAGCUAAGUUCCUGGGGGUUAAUAGGAUUGACAUCUUACUAUUGUCAGGAAAACAACAAGUGCAGACUUGGAAACGAGGGAGAAUAGAACCCGGAAGUUAAGCGUGCUCAGGCUGGAGUAGUGAGAGGAUGGGUGACCGUCCGGGAAGUUAGAUGAUUUGGAAUGAUGAGGGGUGAUUAGGGGUGACAAGUUUUUGAUUACUUGUCCGGUAAGUAUACGAAUUAGAAACCGAGUCGGUUUGGGAUUGUGGUCGCGACACAAUACCGCCUCUGGUCCUAAUAUAUAUACAGCUACCGGCUGCGGCCAGAGACACACCGAAAAACACCUAGGGUUUUGCCUCAUCUCACAACCUGCGCCGCCAUUGUAGUCUACUCCAUCCCAAACGCCGGCGUGCAUCGACGCGUGGGAGAGCAGGUCUCCGGAACCGUUCGUCUUUGCGAUCCUGCACCGGGAGAGGACGAAUUAGGUUUAUGGGAAGCGUUGUGCGCGACUGCUCAAAUUCGUCAUCACGGGUCGUCUUCCGUCCAAGUCGGGCGGUGCUACUCAUCGUCGUAUUCAUCGCCGUCAGCAGCAGAUCGUCACCAACAUCGUCAUCAACACUGUCACACCCUUAAUAGCUAACGAUCAGUACGUCCGACAUCCUCUGUUCAUGUCUGCUUCUACAGCUAUUGUUACGUGUUUGCUGCUGUUAUGCAUGUCUUGCUGUUCUUCUAGUUUGCUAGAUUAUUGCAUGCUAGUAUCUCUUCUAGUCAUGAAUUAUUUACUGGAAUCAAUCAUGAACUUGCCUAAUAUUCCAACAAUCCAAAAACCUAAUUAUAGGCAAUUUCCUGAGUUAACUAUGGCUGGAUUCGCUGAUGCACUGAGGCCGGAUAAGUUUACCGGUGUGCACUUUAAGAGGUGGCAGUUGAAGACCACGCUCUGGCUUACUGGUCUGAAAGUUUUCCACGCUAGUGUUGGUGCUCCAGAGGGAAUGACCGACGAAGAUCGGAGAAAAUUCCAGGAAGCCAAUACUAUGUUUGUGGGAUGCAUUCUGAGUGUUCUUGCUGACUGUCUGUGUGAUGUGUACAUGCACAUAAAUGACGGAAAGAUUCUGUGGGAUGCACUGAAUGCAAAAUUCGGUGCAACAGAUGCAGGCAGUGAACUGUACAUCAUGGAGAGUUUUCAUGACUACAAGAUGGUGAAUAACCGUUCUGUGGUUGAACAAGCUCAUGAGAUACAGUGCAUUGUGAAGGAACUUGAACUCCUUAAAUGUGUUCUACCUGACAAAUUCGUGGCUGGGCGCAUGAUUGCAAAGUUGCCUCCUUCAUGGAGGAAUUUCGCCACAACUCUGAAGCAUAAGAGACAGGAGAUAUCAGUUGAAAAUCUGAUUGCAUCUCUUGAUGUUGAAGAAAAAGCUCGGGCUAAAGAUACUACUGAAAAAGGAGGUGAGGUUCAGCCUACUGCUAACAUGGUGCAGAGGUACCCACAGAACAAGAACAAAGGGAAGAACAAACCUGUUUUCAACAAGCCUACCAAGACUACUACCUUCAAGAAGAAGAAGUUCAACAAGGCUGAGCUAGAGUGCUACGCCUGUGGGAAGCCUGGACACUUUUCCAAGGAAUGCCCUGAACAUGCAGACCGCAGAGGGAAAAUAAGCUCCAAGACUGUCAACAUGGUGACCGCUAGCAAUACUGAUGGGUAUGGUAAUUUACCUAUUGUGCUUUCAGUAUUUCAAUCAUCUUCGUGGUGGAUUGAUUCGGGUGCUAACGUUCAUGUGUGUGCUGACAUCUCCCUAUUUACUUCUUAUCAGGUCGCAAGGGAUUCUUCCGUCCUAAUGGGGAAUGGGUCACAUGCUUCGGGAAAGAUCGUGCAACUAAGGAACGUGCAGCAUGUCCCUACUAUGAACAAGAAUCUAGUUAGCGUCUCCCUUCUAUGUCGAGAUGGAUUUAAGGUAGUUUUAGAGUCCAAUAAAGUAAUCGUGUCAAGAUUUGGACAAUUUAUAGGAAAAGGCUACGAGUGUGGAGGCUUGUUCCGCUUUUCUCUUUCAGAUUUUUGCAAUAAGUCAAUAAACCAAAUUUGUGCUAGUGAUAAUGAUGAUGCAAGUAUUUGGCACUCUCGUUUAUGUCAUAUUAAUUUUGGUUUAAUGUCUCGGCUAUCCAGCAUGAGUUUAAUUCCGAACUUCAGAGUUGCCAAAGGUUCUAAGUGCCAUAGUUGUGUGCAAUCUAUGCAACCUCGAAAGCCUCAUAAGGCCGCCGAGGAGAGAAACUUGGCACCUCAAGAACUCAUACAUUCUGAUCUUUGUGAGAUGAAUGGUGUGUUGACAAAAGGUGGAAAGAGAUAUUUCAUGACUUUGAUUGAUGAUGCGACUAGAUUUUGCUAUGUUUAUUUGUUGCAAACUAAAGAUGAAGCAUUAGACUACUUUAAAAUCUAUAAAGCUGAAGUUGAAAAUCAACUAGAGAGAAAGAUCAAGCGUCUUAGGUCCGAUCAUGGUGGAGAGUAUUUUCCAAAAGUUUUUGAUGAAUUUUGUGAGGAACAUGGUAUUAUUCAUGAGAGGACGCCUCCCUAUUCACCUCAAUCAAAUGGAGUGGCCGAGAGGAAAAACCGCACAUUGACUAACUUGGUGAAUGCCAUGUUAGACACUGCUGGUUUAUCUAAGGCAUGGUGGGGGGAGGCUCUAUUGACUUCAUGUCAUGUCCUGAAUAGAGUUCCCAACAAUAAUAAGGAGAAAACCCCUUAUGAGGAGUGGGUUGGGAGAAAACCAUCACUUUCUUAUUUGCGCACUUGGGGAUGUUUGGCAAAGGUCAAUAUUCCUAUUCCUAAGAAACGCAAACUUGGACCAAAGACAGUGGAUUGUGUCUUUCUAGGGUAUGCUCAACGGAGCAUUGCUUAUAGGGUUUUAGUGGUAAAAUCUGAAGUUCCUGAUAUGCAUGUUGAUACUAUAAUGGAAUCUCGUGAUGCAACAUUUUUUGAGAACAUAUUUCCUAUGAAAGAUAUGCAUAGCAUUGCUAGAUUUUCUUCUGAGAUAAUUCCUGUAUCUAGUACAACUGAUGAAUAUUUCGAACAAUCACAUGAGGAAGUCCUUGAGAAGGAUAACAAUGAAGUUCCUAGAAGGAACAAGAGACAAAGGAUUGCAAAAUCCUUUGGUGAUGAUUUCAUUGUAUACCUUGUGGACGACACACCCAAGACGAUUGCAGAAGCAUAUGCAUCUCCGGAUGUAGAUGAUUGGAAAGAAGCUGUUCAUAAUGAGAUGGACUCAAUUAUUUCUAAUGGAACUUGGGAACUAACUGAUAGACCAUAUGGUUGUAAACCUGUGGGCUGUAAGUGGGUGUUCAAAAAGAAGCUCAAGCCUGAUGGUACUAUUGAUAAGUACAAGGCGCGGCUAGUGGCCAAGGGCUACACUCAGAAAGAAGGCGAAGAUUACUUUGACACCUAUUCACCCGUUGCUAGAAUGACCACCAUUCGAGUGUUACUUUCCUUGGCUGCCUCUUAUGGUCUUAUCAUUCAUCAAAUGGAUGUAAAGACAGCUUUUCUCAAUGGAGAGUUGGAAGAGGAGAUCUAUAUGGAUCAGCCUGACGGGUUUGUGGUUAAGGGUGAAGAGAGAAAGGUGUGCAAGUUGUUAAAAUCUUUGUAUGGUCUGAAACAGGCACCUAAGCAAUGGCAUGAGAAGUUUGAAAGAACUCUGACUUCUGCAGGAUUUGUCAUUAACGAGGCUGAUAGGUGUGUUUACUAUCGCCAUGGUGGGGGCAAUAGUGUCAUAUUAUGUUUGUAUGUGGACGACAUACUGAUCUUUGGUACAAACAUUAAUGCAAUUAAUGAGGUCAAGUCUUUUCUAUCAAAAAGUUUUGACAUGAAAGAUCUGGGAGAAGCCGAUGUAAUUCUAAACAUCAAACUUAUUAAGGAUGAGAGUGGGAUUACAUUAACGCAAUCUCACUAUGUUGAGAAGGUCUUGAACCGAUUCGGUUUUAUGGAUAGCAAGCCUUCUCCAACACCUUAUGAUCCCAGCGUGACACUCAGAAAGAACAAGAAAGAAACGAGAGAUCAAUUAAGAUACUCUCAAAUUGUCGGUUCACUCAUGUACUUAGCUAGCGCUACAAGACCAGAUAUCUCUUUUGCUGUGAGCAAACUGAGUAGGUUCAUGUCCAACCCGGGUGAUGAUCAUUGGCAUGCACUAGAAAGGGUCUUACGCUAUCUGAGAGGUACUAUGAGUUACGGAAUUACUUAUUCAGGGCAUCCUGCUGUGCUAGAAGGAUAUAGUGAUUCAAAUUGGAUCUCCGAUGUUGAUGUACUUUACGCAACAAGUGGGUAUGUAUUUACUCAUGGUGGUGGCGCAGUGUCAUGGAGGUCUUGCAAGCAAACCAUAUUGACGAGGUCAACUAUGGAAGCAGAAUUAACUGCUUUGGACACAGCUACUGUUGAGGCAGAAUGGCUGCGUGAGCUCUUGAUGGACUUGCCGAUUGUUGAAAAACCUGUACCGGCUAUUCUUAUGAAUUGUGAUAACCAAACGGUUAUCGCUAAAGUGAACAAUUCUAAAGAUAAUGCAAAGUCAUCAAGACACGUGAAAAGACGUUUGAAGUCUGUCAGGAAGUUGAGAAACUCCGGAGUAAUAACUGUUACAUAUAUACAAACAGACAAAAACCUGGCAGAUCCCUUUACAAAGGGACUAUCACGAAAUGUGAUAGAUAUUGCAUCGAGGGAGAUGGGUAUGAGACCCAUAGAUGUUACACCAUAGUACUAACCCAACCUUUGUGAUCGGAGAUCCCGUGAAUUAGGAUCUGGGAAGAACAAGCUAUUGGUUAACUGAGGAGAGUAAUAACUUAUGAUCGUCUCCAAGUGAAGAUGCAAAACUCUCAGAGCUGUAAAGCUCAGAUCUGUAAGGCAGGUUGGCAACAUGCCUUAAUGUGGUUCUAUUGGCUAUAAUUAGCAAAGAUGCUGUCCUACAGAGCAGUCUUGAAAGAACACACCUAUAUGAGUUCUGACUGUAAACGUCGCAGUCUAUGAGAUUUGGGUGAUCUCUAGUAAGCUCACGAAGAGACAAGGGAGUAUGACGUAUAAGCUCCAAACCGCGGGGUAGCCUACUGACGUAUAAGCUUCCUUUUGCCGUUUUAUUUUUAUGUCUUGGCAUACAAGUUUUUUAUUACUUGUCCGGUAAGUAUACGAAUUAGAAACCGAGUCGGUUUGGGAUUGUGGUCGCGACACAAUACCGCCUCUGGUCCUAAUAUAUAUACAGCUACCGGCUGCGGCCAGAGACACACCGAAAAACACCUAGGGUUUUGCCUCAUCUCACAACUUGCGCCGCCAUCGUAGUCUACUCCAUCCCAACGCCGGCGUGCAUCGGCGCGUGGGAGAGCAGGUCUCCGGAACCGUUCGUCUUUGCGAUCCUGCACCGGGAGAGGACGAAUUAGGUUUUUGGGAAGCGCUGUGCGCGACUGCUCAAAUUCGUCAUCACGGGUCGUCUUCCGUCCAAGUCGGGCGGUGCUACUCAUCGUCGUAUUCAUCGCCGUCAGCAGCAGAUCAUCGCCAAUAUCGUCAUCAACACUGUCGCACCCAUAUAGCUAACGAUCAUUACGUCCGACAUCCUCUGUUCAUGUCUGCUUCUACAGCUAUUGUUACGUGUUUGUUGUUGUUAUGCAUGUCUUGCUGUUCUUCUAGUUUGCUAGAUUAUUGCAUGCUAGUAUCUCUUCUAGUCAUGAAUUAUUUACUGGAAUUAAUCAUGAACUUGCCUAAUAUUCCCACAGACGCAAUAAUUGUUUUCGGGAUUUUGAAUAAAUCAGAAAAUGAUUUGUUUAAUUCCGAAAAUACUCCAAAAUUUGGAAAAUCAUGGAAAAUAAUCUGUAACUCAGAUGGAGAUAAUUUAUAUAUGAAAAAUUAUCAGGAAAAUAUGAAGAAUCUAUUUAUAGCAUUUUCAUGUAUGUUUGAACAAGUUAAGUUUUCUGUAUAAGACAAUUUGAAUAAAUGUCAUUUUAAAUUCUUAUGUGGAGUUUGAAUUUGAACCUUUGGUUCAAACCAACUUUAUUUAAAUUGUUGCUAGUUGCAUUAGUCCAAACACCAGCAUGCCAUGUCAUGAUCAUGCAUCAUACUGCUGCAUUGCAUUGAUUGUGUUCCCUCUCUGUUGCCGGUGUUUGUUCCUUCUCGAUAGAAGACGAUUCGGACGUUGUGAUCAUUGACACCGAUGAAGAGCUACUAUCUUCAAAGUGUCAGGCAAGCAAAUCCCCUUUGAGCAUUCUGAUACAAUCCCACUCUCUAACUCUUGCUCUCUUUUACUGCAUUAGGACAACAAUGAUUCAACUGUUACAUGUUGUGGUAGUUGAACCCAUUCCUCUGCAUGAUCUGUCUUUGCCACAGUAAAUAGUAAAACCCACUAGCAUGAGUAGGAGUAUUUUGAGCCAUGAUGUGCCUACUCAUUCAUGCUUGCUUGUUAUACCUGCUAUGCUUAGAGUUGUGUCAGGUUUGAUUCAUCUGGGUUGGCUUGGAAUGGUGAUGAACAUGUCCUACUGCUGAGCUCUAAGUGUGUGAACACGAUUUGGUAAAGGUAGCGAUGAGAGGCAAUGUAGGAGUACAUGGUGGGUUGUCUCGUUGAAAUCGUCCUUAGGAACUGAGUUCCGUGUUUGUGAUCCAAGACAGUUACUACCACACAUCGGGUUUCGAUAACUUGACCCCUCUCGACUUACUAAUCGCCUUGAUCUCUAUCUAGGAGUUGUAACUAGUUUCUGGUGUUUGUAGGAUGUGCUGGGGGCUGUACCUAGCGCUGACCGGAGGGGUAGGCUUUGUUACGGUAGGCACCAUGGCACGGUGUAUCAAGCGCAGUACUAUUGGUCGAGGUGGACAUGGGAAUCCUGCACACAUCGUUUGACGCCGUGAUGGAAACUUCGGCCGAACAUCCGUUACGGGUCAGUUCUCAGAUAGGCGAUAAACCUAGACUAGAGUCUUGCGUGGUUAGUCAGGUUGUGGCUGACACCCUCGCUAGGCUUCCGCUUGAAGGUUUCCGAGAUACAUGACGUGUAUAUGGUGUUAAGUGGUGAGAGCGUGUGUGAAGAAAUACACCCCUGCAGGGUAAUAUAAUCUAUUCGGAUAGCCGCGUCCUCGGAUAUGGACUACUUGGAAAGCUUGUAUGGUCCAUAGAUAACCUGAAGUGGAUACUCUAAAUGCGCAAAAUAAGUGUGAGUGCUAUGGAUGGCCUUCUCAUGGGGAGACGGGAGCGGAUCCAUAGUGGUGUAUUGAUAUGGUGAAUAUGUGGACUCACGUGCGCUUUCUCACCUCAAAGAAGUUAUUGGUAGUCAUAGUACAUGAAAGCCACUGAGUCAAAGCUGGCUUGCUGUAGUUAAACUCCACAACCCCAUUGUUGAUACUGAUGCAUAAGUAGAUAGUUCUGAUGUAAGUCUUGCUGAGUACAUUUGUACUCACGUUUGCUUAAUUGAUGUUUUUGCAGAGGAGAUUUCAAUCUCGCUAGUAGUUUCACAUGGGCUUUGACGGUUAGCUUGGGAAUCCCAGACAGAGGUAUGGCUCCUAUGGAGGGUAUUGUAGACAGACAUGCUUCCUAGCCUUCUUUCUUUUCAGCUGUCUAUAUUCAGACAGGUUUAUGCUUCCGCUUGUUGCUUGUAUGACUUUGUAUGUUGGGUCAUGAGACCAAUGUUCGUAAUAUCAUGUUAUGUGUGGCUCUUCAGAGCCUCUUAAAUAAAUACUUGAGUCGUAGAGUUAUAUUGUGACGACAUGUUGUAUCCACACAUAUUUGCAUGUUCUACAUACAUAUGAUGUGUGUUGCAAUGUGUUGGGUCACGAUAAAUCUUCUAUUGGAUUGCUUGAAUCUUUUGAUCUUUUGGUCCAACAAAAUUAUACUGUAAUAAUUAGGUCCAACAGAACAAAUCAGAAAACUUUGCUUGUACCAGACAUGGUUAGGUCCAAUAGAACAAAUGAAUCAUCUCUUCUUGGAGGAUUGUUUAAUUUAUCUUAGAUGUACCAAAAAUGAUCAUUGUGUUGGUCACCAGGAAGCAUCACAAGAUAAUUUAACAUCCAACAUGAAAGAACAUAGAUCUCAAUUCAAACAUCAUGCAAUAACUAACAGACUUCUCAAGUGUAAAUGGAAUCAUCACCACUAUAGCAGCUAUAUUUUGAACACCACGGAAACUCCAAUUUGAAACUGCAUCCUCAUUAAUAGAAACUGGAAAUUAGCUUGUCUAGUUCCAGUUUGAUUUGUUCAUCAACUAAAGAGUUAUAGUUUAAAUGACAAAUUUCACAUCCAAACUACAUAUCACAUCACAAAUUUAGGGUAAUUCAUACAUAGUAUAAAUAUAGGUAGCAUAGUACAGAAGAUCAGUUCCCAUCAAUCAAAUAUAGCAAUAGUCUUUGCAACAAAAUAUAUAAUAUAGACUUUCUUCUUGAGCUCAGCCACUUAGAUCAAUGACAUCAUCCUCUUCAAAAUUCCCUUUGAUAUUUUUCGGCUUGCCCUUGUGAAUUUCCCCAAUUUUAAGAAGCUCAGCUAUGACAUACUCUACCUUCUUAAUAUCUUUCCGGAUAACAUCCAUGUCCUUCAUCAUAGUCUCGAGCUCAUAUAUGUCCUUCUUCAGAACAUCCCUCUUCUUCAUCACAUCAUCCGAAGGGAAAGCUAGCUCCUUCCUAUCCUUUUUUAGGUCAAGGGUCUCCCUCAUGAUCAGAACCAUCUCCUUCUUGAGCCCAUCUUUGUCCACUUUCAGCUUAUCAUUAUCCUUCCUAGUGUUCUUGGUCACUUCUCGCUGAACAACAUGAAUGGCCUUGAGAUCACUGAUUACAUACUGCUUGUUCUCUAGCUGCUUCUGCAGGUCUAUAGAGUCCUCUGACAUCAUUUUUGGUAAUUCUCUUGCCACACCUUUUGGCAUUGCCUGACCCAGUGCUUGUUCCCAUCACUAGCAAACUCAGUGAAUUGGAAGUCCAACUACUUAAUCUUAUCUUUGAGAUUGAGCACUUCCUCUGCAGGAUCAAGCCCUUCCUGGGUUCUAGCAACCAUACACUUUUCAUAUUUUUUCCAGAGCAUGUGAAGUGCCUUUUUCAGGGCUUCGGGCCAGUCCUUCACUACUAGGGAAAACCUUAUACACAGAGGUAUAGCAGUAGCGCUGGUCAAAACAUGGCGCUAUUGCUACUUAUUAGUUGCGCUUGUUACAAAAGCACGCUACAACCAUUGUUGUAGCAGUAGCGCGUCUGCCCGGAAAAGCGCUACUACUAUAAUUCCCUCGUUGGUGCCGGUAGGCUAGGAAUAGUAGUGGCGGUUCUUCCAGAAGCACGCUACUGCUAAAAACUUUGUAGCAGCGCAUUUAUGCUGUAGAGCGCUACUGCUAUGAAAAGGAAAAUAAAUAGAAAAAUAAGUAGAAAAGUAAAUGAAAAUGAAAGAAAUAGAAAAAGGAGAAAUGAAAAAAAGAAAAUGUAAAGAAAACAAAAGAAAAAGAAAAAGAAAACAGAAAGGAAUAGCUGUAGCGCGUUUCGCUGGAAAACGCUAUAGCUAACUUAGCUAUAGCGUGUUUCGGUAAAACGCACUACUGCUAGUUUGACUUAACCCCCAGCCGCGCGGGCUCAAAAUUUUGCUAAGUCCUUCCCCCUCCACUCCCCCCUCUCCCCCAACUGCUCCAUCGCCGUUGUCGCCCUGCCGCCUUCAACCACACCGCCGCCACCCAAGGCCGUCUUCGACCACACCGCCGCCGCCCGAGGCCGCCCUCGACUUCACCGCCGCCGCCCGAGCCAGAGCCUGCCCUCGCCGUCGACCGUAAAGCUCUGCCUCUCCUUUCCCCUACCCUCCUAUCUCUCUUUGCUAGGGUAAUUCAUAUAUAUGUUGACGUUGUGUUGAUGUUCAUAUGAACCCUAGGUGUUCAUAUGAACCCUAGAUUUGUUGAGGGCAGUAGGCAUUUUUUGGCAUUUAGGAAAAAUGAUUGGCAAUUUUUUUAGGAAAUUAGCUAGGGAAAUUUUUUAUGAAAAUGCCUAAACAGUAAUUCCAUUUAGCUUUCAAUUAAUAGAGGGUAUGUAAAUAAUAGUAGCAUUUUGAUUAGAUUAAUAGACGCUAUAAACAAAAAACACUUAGAUAUAAAAAUUUAUUUGGACUAUGGACUUGAAUCUGUUCCAAAUUUCAUUCAAAUGAAAUUUGAAUUAUUUGGACUAUGGACCUGAAUCUGUUCCAAAUUUCAUUCAAAUGAAAUUUGAAUUAUUUGGACUAUGGACCUGAAUAUUUCUGAAGAAAUUGGGUGUAGGUACUAAGCUCUUGCUGCGGAAUUUUUGGUGAGGUCAGAAGGGUUAGAGAAAAUGGAGUUCCUAGACUUUUAGCUUUAGACAAAAAACAAAAGUAUUUAGCUAUAAAUAAAAAACAGUAGCUAUGGCAUUUAGCUAUAAACAAAAAACAGAAUUGUUUUUCUUUUCAAAAACUUGGUUAAACUAAUCGUUGCUAUGUAAACAAAAAACAAGAUUUUUGUUAUAUCAUAUAUGUCAUUGAUGUUCAUUUGCACAUUCCAUUAUUGUUGAUUAUAUCUUUUCAUUGAAGUGGCUAUGUUAUAUGCAAAUUCCUCAAUAGUGUUUGCUCAUGUUAUAUCUUUUCAUUGAAGUGGUUCGAUUGUGCCCAAAGUGGCUUCGUUGUUUCCAGGGAAUGAAGCCGAGUGGCCUAUGUUUUUCCGGAAUGUUGAUUCGUUUCCGUUCCGGCAAAUUUCAGGCUCUCGAUUUGUCCACUUUUUAGCAAAAGUCAUGCCGAAAUUUUCCGUGAAUUUCGGCAUGACUUGUGCUACAAACUAGGACAUAUCGAGUGCCCGGGAUUUGCCGCACAGGGAAGGAGUCAACGUUCCUGCAGAGCAUAGACCUUUUUUUAUGUCAUUAUUCAUUUUAUUAGGUCUAGAAUUAAUUGACUAAAUUUAAUCGUAGGAAACAUGGCUAGCAACGAUGAAGGACAGGGUUCUGGUGACUGCGACAACGUCUACCUGGCAGCAGAAGAAUUUUUUAUGGAAGAUGACGAUCAAGAGUUGAUGUUGCUGGGUCCACCUGUCACAUCAGAGAUUGAGACCGACAUCGAGACCGGCGCUGAGAUAGAGACUGGCACUGAGAGUGAGACCGGCAUCGAGACCGGCACUGAGACUGAGACCGGCGCCGAGACCGGCGCCGAGACUAGCGGAGCCGGUAUAGACCCGAAAGCAAAGAGGCAACUGCUUCCUAACAAGCUCAGGUCUAAUAGACUGGUGGUCACGGAGGUGGACGACGGCAAUUUUGAACCAAACGCGCCCUAGGAAGCGCGCGCGUGCUACGACAAUCAAAUAGGAUGCAUCAUACGGACAACCGCCACCAUCAAAGAUGAGAAACUAAAGAAGAUAGAUAAUAUGAGGCCCUCCCUCCUAAAGAAGUUGCACCUGAUAUUCUUGUUCCCGGGCCGGAAUGAAAAGGAUUAUAAAGAUCCAGAUAAGGACCUGGCAAUGAAGAAGAAAAACAAACACGUCAUGACCAAGUUUAGCGACGCGUUGGCCGCCUGGAAAUCAAGGGUGAAAUAUCGGAUCGUUGACAAAAAGGAACCCUACUCCGAGAUUGUAAAGGAUAAUCCGACAACCAUGGUAGAGCACUUUCAAAUAUUCAAGGCAGCUUGCGAGGCCGAAGCUGCCAAAAAAUAGUCGAAGUACAUGAAGGGGCUUCAAUAGAGGAACAUUGGGUGCCCCCACCUCGGAAGUCGUGGUUACGGCAGGAAGAGGUCCAUAUGGGCCAUGGAGGACGCGGAAGCCGCGAGUCCGGGCAUCCCAGACCCCUUGGCGGAGUUCACCGUCCCGCAGGAGCGUGACAUCCUCAGGGCCCGGCACCGUUGGGAUCCAAUGAAGAAGGUUUUCGAGACGAACGCGGUCACGGCGGAGUUCAUGUGACUGCUGGCAAUUUUAGUUUCUGAUCAAUUCGACUGCACGUUAGUCAUAUUUAUAAACGAUCCUUGUGCCAUUUGCAGAGAGAGCAGCGCAGGAUUGCGGCCGAAAGCGACUCGCCGUCUGAGGCGUUGGCGAGGCCCAAGUGGGACACUCCAUUCAACCGGGCGUUGAACAUAUUGAAAGGACUCCCGGUGGAGACUCGACUGUCGUAUGGACGCGUGCACGGUGUCGGAGAUGGCGCCACGUGGAAGAAGUACUACCGUGAGACCACGGAGGAGAGAAAGGAAAGACGGAGGUUAACUGAAGAAAACAUUGACAAGAAGGUUGAGAUUGCGGUUGAGAAGAAAUCAUCUAAGACAGUCGCAAUAGCGGUAGCUGCCGCAAAACAGGUGCUUGUACAUAUGUCUACUACCUUGGUUCCGGCCGUUUUCAAUUGGAGCAGGCAAAAUCUAGAAAAAAAUGCAGCGGAGUUUCCCCUUGCUGACUUCUUUGGGAGCAGCUCGACUAGCGUUGCACCAGCACCUGCAGCUGCACAUGCUCCCGCACCGGCUCCCGCACCGGCUCGUGCACCUGCUCCCGCACCGGCUCCCGAACCUGCUCCAGCACCGGCUCCGGCACCGGACGUGCUCGGCGGUGCUUCGUCUUUGGCUGAGCUCGACGCCCUCACGGUGUCUGUCACACCGGCCCCCAUCAAUAAAUGUAUUAUCUCCCGUUUUCGUUGCCUUUCGGAUGUCUCACGUCACAGACUUUUCUUUGCAGGCCGACGAAACCCCGUGCACCAUAUUGUACACCAUCGGCGACAAGAAGGUGGACGUGGGGAAGGCGACGAUAAUGGAGCCGAAGGAACCAUUGUUCCACAGCGGCUGAUCCCCCAGGACGUCUUCAAGGUUUCCGUGGCCAGUGUCAAACCGGGCCACGAGAAUUUGACUCCUCUGGUACUAGUGGGGGAUGACAACGAGACCCCACGGCGGCUUGGUAAUUGUUGCAAUGGGUGGGUCCUGUUGUGGCCAAAGAGUCUGCUUCGUCUGGAGGUGGCCGGGAGCACACCCACGAGCACACAGUUAGGUAUGAACAUCAACACCUCACCUACCCAAUUAGCGUCGGCUGUCGUGCUAGGUGAUAGCGGAGGGGGUGAGGAAGAGGCUCCAUUAGUCACUGGUGAUGUCGCCAUAGAUGAGGAUGAGGAUGACGAUGACACUCAACAGUAUGUCAAUACUGGUGCCUACUUAGGGUUUGAGCGUCAUGAGUCGGUGCCUGAAUUGCCGCCUCCGAAGUCUGAACGUAUUAUGGACAACCUUCCGGUAGUAAAGAAGUCUAGGAAGAGACCGAGGAAAGGCAAAAAAGCUGCUUCUAUGAUCCAGCCGCCUCAGCAGCCUCGGGUUCAAGACUGUAUAGAUAUCCCCGGUGCGGCAAAAUGGCAUAUCCAUGGUCAACCAAUCCUACCUAAAGCAGCGCUAGGGGCUAGAUUCGGCGAUUUAAGGAGACUUCAUGACGAUGUGCUGCGGAUAGAGAAAUGGCUCAUCGCCUCAAAAAAUCCAGGAUACCCACUCUACAUGGUUAACGUGCCGCGGCAAUUCUCGUACGUCGACACAUUCCCCGCGGAGAAGUUCUUCCUUCGAUUCGAUUACAUCUUCGACAUGUUUCACUUAAAGAAACUGGAUUUUACGUUUGUCCGCCUUUAUGUCUUGCACAUGAACUACCUCAUCAGGGUUGAGCAGAUACCUCAUAUCUGUGUCGCUAGCCCGUACUUCAUGCAUGAGGGCUUCUUGGGAGUCUGCGCAGAGCACCGUGAAUAAGCAAGGGAAUACAUCGCCAAUUUCAUGCUCACCAUAAGGACAAGGAGGCGAUUCUCGUGCCUUAUCAUCCCCUGUAAGUCAUCUGCGCGGAUAUCCUUCCUUUGAUUUCAAUCAUUCAUUUGCACAGUGGAGGCUAAUUAAUUUGAGGUGUACUUAUUUUUCGCAGCGGCGGGCGCGCCGUCCUCAUCAUCCUCUACCCCCGAUACUCCCACGCUCUUUACUUGGACUCGUCGAAGAACAUUAACAAAAAGGAUUACACCCACAUGAAGUCUGUUCUCGACAGUGCUAUGUUUUACUACGGCGCACGGGGUGGAGAGGUCAAGGACAAGAAGAAAAGGGACGGCAGGCCCGCCUUUGGCCAUAAGACCGACUUCUGCUGCAUCCACCAACCGAGUUAUUCUCUUAAUGAUGGAUUCUAUGUCCUACACCACAUGCUGGAGUACAGACGGGAUCACCAGAACCUUCGCAUGUCACCUAGAUCCGGCGAUGCCCAUAUUCUGCAAUGGGCAAAGAACUUAGGAGAUAUCGAGGAUCAUCGACUUCGAGCUGAGUUCUAUCACAUCCAGCGCAAACUUGCCCAAAUCAUCAUGAAGGAGGUCGUCGAAAAAACAGGGAUUUUCUAUGAAGAAGGACAAAUGUCGCGGGAAGACGUCCGAACACGCGUAGCGGCUCAGCUUCUCGACCUGAAGCCUUUCACUAAGCUUGGGGACUAUCUCCCUGACUUGGAUGCAUGGCACGACAUGUUGGAGUGAUUGUCGAUAUAUGACAAUGUGUCUGUUUAGUCCAUACUAUCUGUAUCACGAAACUCUGAGUUAUGCAUGACGAAACUUUAUUUGUUAUGUAAUUAAACCGUCCUCCUCGACUAGUGAAGAUCACUCUAGUUAGGGCUUUUUGGGUACGAUGAAUUUUGUUAUAUAUGCUUAUGGUAUGUUGCUUCUAUUUUUGCCAAGUCUGUCUCUUUCUGUUGCUCAACUAUAUAUGUUGCAUAUCAUCGACUCAUGUGACGAUGCAGGUGUAUAGAUCAUCGAUGGCGAAGAAGUGCUACGCCAGGAGUAUACGACGAGUGGCCGGAAUGUCAGGCCCAGGUGUACCGGUUUCCGGUUUCCGAGCGACAGCCAGUAGUUAGUUUAGGUUCACGCUAAUGCGAGAGAGGGAUACGAACUCAUGUACUGCAUAGUUCCGCUCUCACUCAAAGUGAUAGCUCUUCUCGCGUAUAUCAUUGUUUAGAUGGAUGACGACGUAGUUGCAAGUAAUCGAGACUUGUAUCGCUAUUUUUGAGAUGAUGACGAGAGACCACUUGUUGUUGGAUGAUGAUUAUGAUGAUGGCAUGAUUUGAUGAGACUAUUUGUAUGUAUAUGCUAUGAUUACAUUUGUAUGUGUAUGAUAUGCUAAAGAUUAUUGUAUAAAGCCUAUUCAAAUACAAAACAAAUAUGCAUAAAAAAAUAAAAACUAAUAAAACUAGCAGUAGCGAGGGGAACAAAGUUAGCAGUAGCGCUCCCUUACCAGUAGCGCUUCGUGCUAAAAAGCGCUGCAGAUAUUAGCAGCAGCGCUCUGCACUAAAGCGCGCUACUGCUAGCCAUGUAUAGCAGUAGCAUGGGAUGACAGGUGCUACUGCUACACGUUAGCUGUAGCGCCUUAUCAGUAGCACGUCGUCCCGAGCUACUGAUAGGCAAAAUACCCGCGCUACUGCUAGGGUUUUCCGUAGUAGUGCUUGUCAACCCAAUGAAUAAAUCUACCGUUUCCUAGUUGCAAUAAGAAACAAUUAGCAUUUAAUUAAUGGACACACAUUAGUCAAUAUAUUUUGAAAUGAGCAAAGUAUAGCAUAACUAGAUGAAAACCAAAUAUAGCAUAAGUGAGCUAGAAUGUUCCACAAACACGACAUGUCACAACUAAGUUACAAUGUUCUACCAACACAGCUUAGCAGCCAAACAAAACAUAGCUAUAAGACAUCCAAAUAUAGCACAAUAUAGUUGAAUUGUUCCACAAAAGUUGUGCAUGGGAUAACUGAAAUAUACAAUGGGUAUUGUCACAGAACACUAACUCUAGUUUAUACCAUUUACAUAUACUUUUUCCAGACAACCAUCACUUACUGAACAAGCAUCCCAUCAUUAGAGUCUGAGAAGAAAUGCAGCCUUCUCAGGGCGUCGAGAUCUGGGCCGUUGGAUUAAGCUUUCAAAAGAAUUGCGACCAUCAGAUCUUCAGAUGGAUCGAUCCGGGCCGUCGGAUCAUAGCAAACACUGCUACAGUGAAUAGUGUUGUUUCUUUUUUAUUUUGGUCUAUUAUUACUAUCUCGCUGACUGAUGGGCCACGCGGUAAGUGGUCCAUUGCUGUUAGUGAGAGCAGAGCACUAAGCGGUCGGUGCUGGUUCGUACAGGCUCAGGGGUCAGGCCAACGCCUGUGAAAUUGGGUAGCCGCUGAGGGCAAAUUCAACAUUUCACGUCAUCGCCCCUGCGUGACGCUCCGUGGAUGGCUAGUCAGCAAGUAAUGGCGAGGGAGCGACCCAUUGGCUAGAAACCUAGCCGCCUCUUCCCCGUCGUGUUCCUAUCUGUGUCGUUUGAGCUGCGGUCGCCAUCGAGGACGUGUCACUCGCACCGCCACUUCCCUGUCGAGCUCAUGCGUCCACUAGCCACACCGUCUCUUUUCCAUGCCUGCUCAUCCUCCGUUCCUCUUCGAUCACCGAGCUCGCCGUCGCUAUCGUCGGGAGGAAGCGAUUGGUGGACCUAGCCCACCGCCAUCAACGGGUGGAGCGCAGGAACCCGCGAUGCCCCUCCAGCGACCAGCACUUAUCCCUCGCCCAGCGACGAGGCCCCAUCGAACUCGCGUGUGGUCGCAGCUGGGAAUCCUCCUGUCCGCUCCUUGCUCCCCGCCGAGAGCCUUGAUUGGAUCUGGAUCCUGAGCUCUCCGUGCCCGCAUCGCCCCACCAUUCAUGGUGCACCACCAGCACGAGCUGCACAUCAUCAUGUCGUCAGAGGGAGAGCGGGAGGAAGUUGGCGCUGUUUAUCCCCACGAGGUGUGCCGUCGACGGUAGGAAGCCAGGCAGGGCGACGGGGAAAUACCGACGUAGUUCAAGCCGCAUCAAAAGGAAUUUCUGGCGCAGUUGCCAGGGAGACAUCAUCAACAUCUAUGAGGUUCCUAAUCACAAAUCCCAUCUCCUUGCAAUUUACAUUAUUUGCCAUUUGCCUCUCGUUUUCAUCUCCCCCACUUCACAAAAAAUUGCCGUUUUAUUCGCCCUCUUUUUCGUUUGCCUUUUUCUGGUUCGAUCUUAUGUUUGUUUGUGUCUCCAUGUGCCUUCUAUUUUGCUUGCAUCUUUUCUUGCUAAAACCUAUUGUUAUGGAUCCACUCAAAGUUUUGUACCUGGAUCUUGUUCGACCCAUAUGUGCUCGUGCUGAAACCCCAACUAGUUUAGUUGAGGGAAAAUCAUUAGAUGAGCAUGCUCUUUUUGCCCGUCAUCGUUUGUCUGAAAAAGGGAAGCUCUUAUGGAAUCAAAUAAAUUGUUUGCUAUGAUAUGCUUGGAAUCAUUAUGAAAUUUGUGAUUUUACUUGUUGCUCUAAGAACCCCAAAAAACACUUCCCCUAUCUAUGUGAGUUUAAUGACAAUGAAGUCUUAUGUUCUUAUGCCAAGGAGGUUUAUAGUUACUAUGAUAUCGAACAAAUUGAACAAUUUGUUGCUUUUAAGGGUGCUUAGAAGUUGCUUAUUUGAUUGAAAAGUAUGAUAUUACUCUCUACAAAUCUGAAAAUUUUGACAUACUUAAAUAUUGCUAUGAAAACUAUGCUCAUAAUGCCUAUGUUAAAGAAUUUAUUGAGAGAAUGUCCUAUGCUUUGAAAGAAAAUAGUGAUAUGCAUGAAGCUAUGGAUAACCAUGAUUCCGUUGAUUUGAUUGAAUUAUCCCCUCUUGAUGAACACGUUGCUAGCUAUUCUUGUGGCCAUGAUGCCAAUAUUAAUGAUGCUUAUGAAGAUGAACUUGCUAUAGUUCUUUAUGUUAAACAUGAAAUUAUUGCUAUUGCACGCACGCUGGAUAGCUCCUUUAAUGAAAAGCAUGAUUGCAAUGAUAUUAUUAUAGAUUCUAUUAAUCUCAAGUUUGUUAGUGAUAUGCAAAACCCCAAGCUUGGGGAUGCUUGUUUUGUUAUGUCCGCUACUUAUUGCAAUGAUCAUGAUUGGGGUGAUGAUGACUUUUAUGAUCUUGAUAGUCUAUUUAAGCCUCAUGAUGAAUAUGUUUGCAAUAAUAUUAAAAGUGGGUUUGGAAGAGUGUCAAAUAUUGAUAAAAAUAAUCCCACAAAUUUGGAGAGUGUUCAAUCUUAUGAUUUUUUUAUAAAAGUGGGCUUGGAAAGGUCAUGACUUUAUUUUAUGGUAAUCCCACUAUUUUGGAAGAGUGUCAACUUUGCAUGCAUGUGGAUCAUGUAGAGAAUAUGUUAUGUGAUAUCUAUAUUAUUGAAUUUGAACAUGAUUCCACAUGUAAUUGUUAUGAGAGAGGGAAAUAUGGUUGUAGAAAUUUCUUGCUACUAAGUCACCUCUCGUUAUGUUGAAUUGUCAAAGUUUUAUUUGUUUCCUAUGUAUAUGCUAGAUAUUUCUUGUUUUGAUAAUUUGUUUGCCUGUAAAAUUCCUAUACAUAGGAAAUAUGUUAGACUUAAAUGUGUUUAUCACAUGUUUUAUGAUCCUCUCUUUGUGUUUCAAUUAUUAUCUUUCAUGUGAGCAUCAUUGAAAUCGCAAAGCCUAUCUUAAUGGCUAUAAAGAAAGAGCUUGUUGGGAGGCAACCCAACGAAUAAAUUUUAUGUUUGCCUUUUUGUUUCUGUACAAUUAUGCCUCUGUUAUGAUUAUGUUUUUUAUGUUUUAAUUAGUGUUUGUGCGAAGCAAAGCCUUUUAGGAUCAUGUUGGGUGAUAGUUGAUUUGAUCUUGCUGAAAAACAGAAAAUUAUGAGUCCAGUAACACAAUUAUUAAAAUUCACAGAAGCGUGAUAAAAUUCUGAUUUUUUUACAGAAGAUUAAUACAAAUAGCGUAUGUUGUCCUAAUUUUUCAGAAUUUUUGCAGUUACAUAAGUAUACGAAGUUUUCAGAUUGCUACAGACUAUUCUGUUUUUGACAGAUUAUAUUUUCUUUUUGUUGUGUGCUUAUUUUGAUGAAUAUAUGGACUUUAUUGGAGGGUAUAAGCUAUAGUAAAGUUCGAAUACAGUACAUAUAAUGCAAAAAUAAAAUAUGAAUGGGUUUGCAACAGUACUUAGACUAGUGAUUUGCUUUGUUAUACUAACGGAUCUCACGAUGGUUUUGUUGAGUUUUGUGUGAUUGAAGUUUUUCAAGUUUUGGGUGAGAUCACGAUGGAUGAAGGAAUAAGGAGUAUGAAGAGACUAAUCUCGGGGAGGCCCAUGGCACCCCAAGUUAUUAUCCAAAGAGGAACAAGCAAUUAAGAUUGGGGAUGCCCCCGAGUGGCAUCCCCUCUUUCUUCUAAUGACCAUCGGUAUUUUACUUGGAGCUAUAUUUUUAUUCGUCACAUAUCAUGAGUUUUGCUUGGAGCAUCUUGUAUUAUAUGAGUCUUUGCUUAUUUUGCUUUUUUAUUUUGUGUCAUCUAUCCUUGCUGGACACACCUAUUUGAGAGGGCCCAAAUUAUGCUAUGGAAUCUUUUUGCUUCACUUAAAUCUUUUUGAGCUAUGGAAUUGAUCUUUGUGCUUCACUUAAAUCUUUUUGAGCUAUGAAAUUGCUCUAGUGCUUCACUUAUAUCUUUUUGAGAACGGUGUGCUUUGGUAUUUUUGAAGAAAUGCUCUCAUACUUCACGUAGAUUUAUUUGAGAGUUAGUAAAUUUUUUAAGAAAUCCUCUCAUGCUUCACAUAAAUUAAUUUGAGAGAAGAAAUUUUUUAUGCUCGUGUUCUUCACUUAGAUUUGUUUGAGCUAUCAAAAGCAACAUAUGAAAUUAGUCCCAAAGUGAUAGAUAUUCAAGAGGGAUAUAAUAAAAACUUUCAUGAAGAUCGUUAGACAAAAUAAACUUGAUUCUUUGUAAUAGUUUUGCGGUAUGACGAUAUAAUAUGUGAGUCAUGUUGAUGAGUUAUUACGCUUUAGUGAGAAUAUUGAUGUUAAGGUUUGUGAUUCUCUAUGUAAGCACGAAAGUCAAUAGUUAUGCAAUGAAAUUACAUCCUACUUGUCGUGCAUUAUUCGGUGUUAGUUCUGCUUAAUUCUUGCUUAUGAGAUUUUUUGUUUCUUGGUUGGAUGCUUCUCAAUAUUUUGCUAGCCUUCAAUUGUACUAAGUGGGAUUACUACUUGUGCAUCCAAAAUCCUUGAACCCAGUUUUUGCCAUAUGAGUCCACUAUACCUACCUAUAUGCGGUAUUCAUUUGCCGUUCUAAGAAAAUUUGUAUGUGCCAUCUCUAAUCUUCAAAAUAACUUCCUUUUUGUGUGCUCGUACCGCUCAUGAAACGGUAGGGGGUGGCUGAUAUUUUUCCAUGCUAGAUGUGUUAUUCUCAAGAUGAGUGUUUAUUCACUUGUCACUGCACGAGAGUAUGGCAAAGUUAUUAGGGAUGCCCAGUCCUGAAAUGAAAAAUGAAUUUACUUUAUGUUGUCAAAUAAUAAACUCCUUGGAAAGUGUUGGUAUGGACGGUACCCGUGGAUUCGGUUCGCCGUGGAAUGUGAAAGUAUGGUGGAAAAAGGAAUAAACUUUAUUUUCUGUUUGGGAACCACCUAUGAUAUAUCUAGCAUGGAAAGUAUUGGGAACUACUCGAUCGUUUUCAUUGACAGGAAAGGCAUGCCACCCAAAAUGUCUUAUCUCUAUCUUUUUCCGCUUUUAGCUCUGGCACCUCUACAAAUCCCUACUUCCCUCUGCGAAGGGCCUGUCUAUUUACUUUAUGAAAUUUUUAUUUUUAUUUCAAGUCUCCAUCUUCUCUUACAAAGCACCAACUAAGGGGCACUACGAUCGUACCAUAGCAUUGGGUGUAGCUAAUAUGCGAGUGUGUUUCAUGAAUGGAUCAAUGAUUGAGCAUAAUGGGCUAGGGAUAAAUUGCUUUAGUGUUGAUAUUUUGAAAGACAUGGUUGCUUGUUGAUAUGCUUGAGUAUUGAAAUCUUCAUAUCAACACUAGACUAUUCCUUUGAAUCAUAUAAAAGUCCAAAUGUCCAUGCUACAAAAGAAAAAGAAUAUGUGAUGAACAUGAUAGGCAACAUUCCACAUCAAAAAUUCUAUUUUUAUCAUUUACCUACUCGAGGAGGAGCAGGAAUUAAGCUUGGGGAUGCUGAUACGUCUCCAACGCAUCUAUAAUUUUUCAUUGUCCCAUGUUGUUAUAUUAUCAUUUUUGGAUGUUUUACAAUCAUUUUAUAACAACUUUAUAUCUUUUUUGGGACUAGCCUAUUGACAUAGUGCCUAGUGCCAGUUGCUGUUUUUUGCUUGUUUUUACACUGCAGAAAAUCAAUACCAAAUGGAGUCCAAAUGCAGCGAAACAUUUUGCAGAAUUUAUUUGGACCAGAAGACACACGAUGGGCCAAUAGAGUACUAGAGGGGGGCUCCGAGGGAAGCACAACCCACCUGGGCGCGCCCUGGUGGGUUGUGCACACAUCGGCUCGCUAUCGUGCCGCCUCUUUGCUCCAUAAAUACCCCGAAAAUCCAAAAACCCUAGGAGUCGACGAACACAAUUCCAGCUGCCGCAAGUUCCACAAAGCACAGAUCCAAUCUAAACACUGAUACGUCUCCAAUGUAUCUAUAAGUUUUUAUUAUUCCACGCUAUUAUAUUAUCUGUUUUGGAUGUUUUAUAUGCAUUAAUAUGCUAUUUUAUAUUAUUUUUGGGACUAACCUAUUAACCUAGAACCCAGUGCUAGUUCCUGUUUUUUCUUGUUUUAGAGUUUCGCAGAAAAGGAAUAUCAAACAGAGUCCAAACGGAAUGAAACUUUGGCGAUGAUUUAUCUUUGACCAGACGAUAACCAGAGGACUUGGAGUACACGUCAAGGAAGCCACAAGGAAUCCCAAGGGGGUAGGGCGGGCCCCCCACCCUUGCGGACCCCUAGUGACACCACCGACCAAUUUCUUCCGCCUAUAUAUUCUCAAAUACCCCAAAACCUUCUAGGAGAGCCACGAAACCACUUUUCCACCGCUGCAACCUUCUGUACCCGUGAGAUCCCAUCUAGGGGCCUUUUCCGGCAUCCUGCCAGACGGGGACUCGAUCACGGAGCGCUCCUACAUCAACAUUGCCUCUCCGAUUAAGCGUGCGUAUUUUACCACAAACCUACGGGUCCAUAGCUAGUAGCUAGAUGGCUUCUUCUCUCUCUUUGAUUCUCAAUACCAUGUUCUCCUCGACGUUCUUGGAGAUCUAUUCGAUGUAAUACUUUUUUGCGGUGGGUUUGCCGAGAUCCGAUGAAUUGUGUAUUUAUGAUCAGCUUAUCUAUGAAUAUUAUUUGAAUCUCCUCUGAAUUCUUAUAUGCAUGAUUUGAUAUGUUUGCAAGUCUCUUCGAACUAUCGAUUUGGUUUUGCCACCUAGAUUUGUUUUUCUUGCAAUGGGAGAAGUGCUUAGCUUUGGGUCAAUAUUGCGGUGCUCGAUCCUAGUGAUAGAAGGGGAACCGACACGUAUUGUAUUGUUGCCAAUGAGGAUAACAAGAUGGGGUUUUCAUCAUAUUGCUUGAGUUUAUCCCGCUACAUCAUGUCAUCUUACUUAAUGUGUUACUCUUUUAUUCAUGAGCUUAAUACUCUAGAUGUAGGCAGGAGUCGGUCGAUGUGUGGAGUAAUAGUAGUAGAUGCAGGCAAGAGUCGCUCUACUUGAUACAGAUGUGGUGCCUAUAUUCAUGAUCAUUGCCUUAGAUAUCGUCAUAACUUUGCGCUUUUCUAUCAAUUGCUCGGCACUAAUUUUUUCACCCAACGUAAUAUUUUCUAUCUUAAGAGAAGCCUCUAGUGAAACCUAUGUUCCCGAGUCUAUUUUCCAUCAUAUAAUCUUCUAUUUUCCAUCAUAUAAGUUUCCGAUCUACAAUUUUAGUUUCCUAUUUACUUUCUUUGCAAUAUUUUGCAUUCCGAUCUAUAAACCAAAAAUACCAAAAAUAUUACUUUACCGUUUAUCCAUCUAUAUCAGAUCUCACUUUGCAAAUAAUUGUGAAGGGAUUGACAACCCGUUUAUCGCGUUGGGUGCAAGUUGGUGUUUGUUUGUGCAGGUAUUCGGUGGCUUGUGCAUUGUCUCCUACCGGAUCGAUACCUUGGUUCUCAAAACUGAGGGAAAUACUUACUCUACUUUGCUGCAUCACCCUUUCCUCUUCAAGGGAAAAACCAACGCAAGCUCAAGAAGUACUGGGAAGAAUUUUUGGCGCCAUUGCCGGGGAGAUCUACGCCAAGCCGAGACAUACCAAGUACCCAUCAUAAACUCUCAUCCCUCGCAUUACAUUAUUUGCCAUUCGCUUCUCGUUUUCCUCUCCCGCACCUCUCACUACUAGGAAAAGGGCUAUAGACAAUAUGCACACUAAUGGCGCACCAGACAUGCGGUGCGCCACUACUAUAUAGCGGUGGCGCACCGUGUGCUGGUGCGCCAUUAGUGUGAUAGACACUAAUGGCGCACCACAACCAUGGUGCGCCACUACUAACAAAUUUUCUUUUUCUUUUUAAAAAAAUACUAAUGGCGCACCGCAACCAUGGUGCGCCACUACUAAUUUUUUUCCUUUUUUCCAAAAAUACUAAUGGCGCUACUUGGCACAGUGCGCCAUUACUAGUUUUAACUAGUAAUGGCGCACCAGUCACCCCGUGCGCCACUACUAUCAUUUUUUUGCAAAACUACUAAUGGCGCACCGCCAGCUGGUGCGCCAUUAGUAACCAGGGUUACUAAUGGCGCAUUUGUUGGUGGUGCGCCAUUAGUAACCUGGGACCAGCUAGAUAUUUUGGACAGCCACCUACACACUCACUUUCCCCACUUCAUUCUCUCCACCUCCUCCUCCAAGCUUGUCUCGGCUGCCUCCUCCUCCUCACCUCAUUUGCACCAUAGAUUCAUCCAAAUUAAGUGGUUAAAUUACCUUUUUUGAUAGGUAAGUAAGGGGAAAGCUUUCUUUAUGUUGUAGAUCUACUUUUUUCUCCCUCCAACAACGUGCACAUGCACUUUUUAUGGCCUAGCUAGAUCUAUGUAUGUUUGUGGUGUUGCAUAUGUUUGUGGUGUUGCAUAUAUGUUUGUGUUUGCACGUACCGGUAUUUGAAAUGCGAUAGUUGCCAAUAUUUUGCCAGAAUGUUGAUUCAUUUCCGUUUCGUCAAGAAUUUUGGCACUAUGCAUUCUUUUUUGUCCUAUUUUUAGGCAAAGUCAUGCCAAAUUUUUUCUUGGUUCUAAAAUAUCGUUUUGCUCUACCCUGCAGGCGACCAUGGUCUGCACGAUGACCGAAGGCAUCGUGAAUAGGUUUUUGAGCUCCGCGAAGGCCGAGAUGCUUCAAAAGAAUGAGACGGAGAUAAGAUGUCCGUGUCGAAGAUGCAAGCUGAGGAGCCUUAUGGACCCGGAUUCCGUACAGGUGCGGGACCACCUGCUCUUGCGUGGUUUCAUGGAUGGCUAUCGGUGGCAAGGUGAUGAAGAUGAUUAUGAAGUCGUCCAUGGGGGCCGGCCGGUAAGAAAUGAGGAAGGGCAGCAAGACAACCGCGGCGAGGGCGGGCGAGAAGACGAAGAAUCUCCAGGACAUGAUCACGAAGUAGAUGCAGUACGCAGUCAUCAUGUAGAAGAUGCCGGACAUAAAGAUGAGGAAGAUGCCGGAGCAGACGAAGGGCAUGAUCAUGAAGAUGAAGAUGCCGGAGCGGACGACGAUGGACCAUCGAUGGGCUGGGUGCAGGACCCUCAUAUUCAAGAGCUGCUUCUCAAGCAGACGGAUAACGCAAGAGCUGCCGCCCGAGAGAAAGCCAAGCUGGAUCAACUGGAGAUAGACGCGGUUACUCCAUUGUAUGAAGGAUGCAGGCCCGAGGAUACCCGCCUGAAAGUAACGCUCAUGGCUCUGGAGAUGAAGGUAAAACACAAAAUGACCGACGCAUGCUUCGACGAGAACAUGUCAUUCUGGCACGAACGUCUUCCCAAGGGGAACAAGUGCCCGACCAGUUUUGAGGAGGCGAAGAAAAUCGUGUGUCCUCUGGAUUUACCGCACGUGAAAUACCAUGUGUGCAUGAACAAUUGCAUCAUUUAUCGGGACGAGCACGCGGAGUCUACCAUAUGUCCGGUGUGCGGCGUCACUCGAUACAAGAAGAGGAAGAAAGCUCCUCGAAAAGCGGUGUGGUACUUUCCGAUCGCUCCUCGUGUGCAGCGGUAUUUCGCGGACCCUAAGGUAGCAAAGCUCUUGCGUUGGCACGCGGAUAGGGAGGAGAAGAAGCGAGAAGAUGACGCAAAUGAUCCGGAGAUAAAUAAAAAAGACAAGAUGCUGAGUCACCCUAAGGAUGGGAGCCAGUGGCAAGCGUUGAACUUCGAACACCCAGAAUUUGGGAACGAUCCAAGGAACAUCGUGCUGGGCGCGAGCACCGAUGGAGUCAAUCCGUUUGGCAGCCAGAGAAGCACACAUAGCACCUGGCCUGUGUUUGUGGAUGUACAACCUUCCCCGCUGGUUGUGCAUGAAGAGGAAGUACAUUCACAUGAGUAUGCUAAUUGAAGGGCCGAAACAACCAGGGAACGACAUCAAUCUGUAUCUGGGGCUGCUGAAAGAGGAGCUAGACACGCUGUGGAAAACGCCAGCCAAUACGUGGGACACCGCAGAGAAAGAAUAUUUCCCUAUGAGAGCCGCUCUGCUCACGACGGUGCACGACUAUCUCGAUUACGGAUAUGUCGCGGGGCAGGUGGUCCACGGAUUUUCUGGAUGCGUCAGGUGCAUGGAUGACACAACAUAUCGCCAGCUAGAUAGAGAUCUCAGGUCUUCGAAAACCGUGUUCAUGGGACAUCGAAGGUGGCUUCGCGACGAUGACUCAUGGAGGAAACGCAAGGAUCUGUUCGAUGGUGAAACCGAAACCCGAAGACGCCCGCGUACGAGGAGCGACAAGGAAAUAGACGAGUUGUUGAAAAAUUGGAAAGAUUGCCCACUGCCGGGAAAGAAGCAAAAGGCACCAGAGCCGGAAAAGAAGCGAAAGGCGCAAGAGCCGCUGCUGAAGGUAUGGAAAAUGAGGUCUGUUUUCUGGGACUUGCUGUACUGGAAGAUCCACCGUGUGCCUCACAGCCUUGAUGUCAUGCAUAUCACGAAGAACGUGUGCGAGAGUCUGCUUGGUACCCUGCUCAACAUGCCGGAGAGGACCAAAGAUGGGCCGAAAGCAAGGGCAGACUUGAAAUCAAUGGGCAUCAGGGAGGAGCUUCACGCUAAUGAUGAUGAUGAUGAGGCGAAGCAGGACACGGAAAGUCGUCGCAAAGGCAAAAAGGCCAAGAAGACCGAAAAUGACUUCCCUCCCGCGUGCUUCACUCUAAGUCAGGAGGAGAUCGAUCAGUUUUUCACCUGCCUCGUAGGAGUAAAACUUCCUUACGGUUACGCGGGGAAGAUAAGCAGAUACCUAGACUCAGCGAAGCAGAAGUUCAGCGGGAUGAAGUCUCAUGACUGUCACGUGCUGAUGACGCAGAUACUUCCAGUUGCAAUCCGUGGGAUCAUGGACGCGCACGUCCGUGAAACGCUAUUUGGCCUAUGCAACUUUUUCGACGUCAUCUCUCGGAAGUCGGUUGGUGUGAGGCAACUCAGAAGGCUACAUGAAGAGAUCGUAGUGAUACUAUGCGAGCUUGAGAUGUACUUCCCGCCCGCAUUCUUCGACGUUAUGGUGCAUCUGCUGGUCCAUAUCGUGGAGGAUAUCAUCCAACUCGGGCCGACGUUCCUGCACAGCAUGAUGCCGUUCGAAAGGAUGAAUGGUGUCAUCAAAGGAUACGUUCGCAACAUGUCACGUCCAGUGGGAAGCAUAGCCAGGGGCUUUCUGACCGAAGAGUGCAUCUCCUACUGCACGAAUUAUCUAGGCAUCGAGAACCCCGUUGGUCUGCCCGCCAACAGGCACCUCGGCAGGCUCGCUGGAUGGGGUCAUCGUGAGGGUUGCCGCGAAAUGCAUGUCGAUUUCGAGGGUCGACUCGCCGACUUUGAAAGAGCAAACCUAGUCGCGCUACAACACAUAGACGUGGUCGAUCCUUGGGUGGUAGAGCACAAAACCUUUAUUGAGAAGACGUACAAUGACCGAGACCAACAGAGGACGGACGGAGAUAUAAUCAAAGAGCACAACUCAUAUUUCACGCGUUGGUUCAAGCAGCAUGAGGAUUCUUCCGCGGAAGAACAACUCAAAUUCGCCUUGUCACAGGGCGCCGAGCACAACCUGAUGACGUAUGAGGCGUACAAUAUCAACGGCUACACAUUCUACACCGAGGGAAAGGACAUGAAGAGCGAUGGUUAUCAGAACUCUGGGGUAACGAUGGAAUCCUACACCGGUAACGAUAAGGACAGAUACUACGGAAGGAUCGAGGAGAUCUGGGAGCUGAGCUAUGCUGGAGAGAAGGUCCCGAUGUUCCGUGUCAGAUGGGCCAAGAGCGUCCUAAAAGAAGACCGGUAUUUCACCACCAUGGUUAUACCCGAAGCCAAAUCCAAGACCGCGGGCGCAAACGACACCGUGAAAAAUGAGCCAUGGGUACUGGCUUCCCAAGUGGACCAAUGCUUCUUCAUUACCGACCCGUCAAAGCCCAGUCGUGUUGUCGUGAGGAGAGGCAAAAGGAAGAUCAUCGAAAUGGAUGGAGUCGCCAAUGAGCAAGACUUCGACAAGUACGGCGACCCGAAGAUGGAACAUGACGACGAUGAUGAAGUACCAGCAUACACCACAAGAAGAAGCAGGACCACCCUACCUAAAGGACGUCCGUUCAAGAGAAGAACUCCAUUUACGAAAAAUAAGGGCAAGAAGAUUGUGAACAGAUAGCUAGCUAAGAUCGAUUGUAUUUAAAUUGUAGCCUUCAUUUCUCGAUUGUAUUUCAUGGGCACUUUUUGAACUCAUGAAUAUUUUUAAAUUUCAUGGGCACUUUUUGAAUUCAUGAAUAUUUUUUCAAAUUUCACCGCCGCCGCCGCCGACCCCCCGCACCCUCCCCCGCUCCACCGCCACCGACGACCCACCGCACCCUCCCCCGCUCCACCGCCNNNNNNNNNNNNNNNNNNNNNNNNNNNNNNNNNNNNNNNNNNNNNNNNNNNNNNNNNNNNNNNNNNNNNNNNNNNNNNNNNNNNNNNNNNNNNNNNNNNNNNNNNNNNNNNNNNNNNNNNNNNNNNNNNNNNNNNNNNNNNNNNNNNNNNNNNNNNNNNNNNNNNNNNNNNNNNNNNNNNNNNNNNNNNNNNNNNNNNNNNNNNNNNNNNNNNNNNNNNNNNNNNNNNNNNNNNNNNNNNNNNNNNNNNNNNNNNNNNNNNNNNNNNNNNNNNNNNNNNNNNNNNNNNNNNNNNNNNNNNNNNNNNNNNNNNNNNNNNNNNNNNNNNNNNNNNNNNNNNNNNNNNNNNNNNNNNNNNNNNNNNNNNNNNNNNNNNNNNNNNNNNNNNNNNUCCACCGCCACCGACGACCCCCCGCACCCUCCCCUCUGCCCUCUAUCACAGCGGGGACAACAGGAAGCCGCCGUCGCGCCCCUCUGCACCGGCUGCCCACGGCGCCUCCGUCCCGAAGCCGCAGCCCAAGUGCCCACCACUCUCUGUCCACGGUGAGCCAUCCUCUCUGUCCCAACUCUCUGUUCUUCUUUUUUAGCUAUCCUUUGUUGAAACAGUAGUUGCUGUGUAGCAAAUCUUUGGGAUUAGUGUUCAGUACUUUGUUGGGUGAGCGGCCAUCUGAGACAUCCUGCUUACAUAGUCUCCUUUUUAAAACUCGUCAAAUUGGUUUUAGAUAGAAAUGAUCAACACUCAAUUGGCCAACUGCAUGUGGAAUGAUUUCGAAGGGCGCCAUAACUUAUUGUAGAUGCUGACUACAAUAACAAUACUAAACUCAGUGUAGUCUGUUGUAAAGACACUUGUGCUUCUUUCAUCUGGAAAGGGGUCGUCUGGCCUCCAAAACUGUCAGAUUAGGUUGUGCUGUAACUCCUCACAUGGCCAUGUUUUUGGAAGAUUGGUCGUUUGUCACCGGCCCUUUGGUCACCCAGCAAUGGGACUUGUAUCAUAUUGCCAAUGAGGUUAAUAAAACAGUAGUGCAUCAGUACUUUGUUGGAACAGAAAGUCAGAAAAUCAGAAAAUCCACGGUACUUUGUUUAGAUCUUCACUGUUGACAAACGCAGUCAACUAAAAAUCCAGUUCAGUGCAUAAUUAGUGUUGACAAAUACACUGAUCUUUAUCUGCAGUAAUUCAGUUUAAACUGAAAAUUCAGUGUUGUAGUACAGAAAAUUUAAACUGAAAAUUCAUAGUCUCCUGGUGCAUAUUGAUCUCAGUGUAUGAAUUCAUAGUGUUUCAAAUUACUGAUGCUAUGGUCCAGGAGUAGAAAAAUUUGUACUCCAAGAUCAAUAUGGUUCAAUUUCUACUGUACUGUAAUCAAAGUGGAUAUAAAUUGCAGAGUGUUUAUGUUGGCAUUCGACAACAUCUAAAUUUACCAAAUGAUUGUGAACUCAGUUUAUGUUUGCAACCAAAUGCUUAGUUCAUUGUUUACUCCAAAUGAUUGUGAACUUAUUCAAAGUUUCCAAUAUUGUUCAGACACUACUUGUACUGGAACUGGAACUACUACUACUGAUGCAGCACCCCAUGUAGUUUAAGUUUUCUUUAUCUUAAACUCAGACAGCUCUCUAAUUAUUGGAGUUUAUAUCAUAUAUAUUGCUGGCAUGUAUUUCAUAUGUUCUGUAGCAUUAAGGCUACAUAGCAUUGCUUUUGUCUCUGACCAUCGUGUCGUGAUGAUAUUGUGGGGUGUUGUGGGGUUGCAGAGGCCCUUGAGUUUCAUCGCGAUGAUGCUAAUCGUGAUGACCGCAGCUCUCUUCUAUGUGAUGGUAGUUUAGAUGAUCGAUAUCGACUUGUAAUGUGAAGACAAACUCGCUACUCGCGGUUUCGAGACUUGUAGUGUUCUAACUUUGUUUGGUCUUUUGAAUUCGGAGACUAAUAUGAUGAAUUGUAUUCGGAGACUAAUCUUCUAUUGUAUUCGAUAACUCUGCUGUUUAUAUGUUGUGUGUCUAUAUUCUGUGCAGUAAUAUGUUUUGUAACCUGUGCAAAUAUCAGAAAAGAAAAAAAUCCCUAAUAUUCAUACUAGUGGCGCACCACCCAGAACUUUAGUGGCGCACUGCAAAAUGCAUACUAGUGGUGCAUCAGCAAGCAGUGCGCCAUUAGUAAGCCAGAGACAUGGUUAAAUAUGGCCCCCUGGGAGGCAUUCUAAUGGCGCAUCAUAGGGUGUACUAAUAGCGCACUACAUGGUGCGCCAUUAGUAUCUGAUAUACUAAUGGCACACUUGUGGUGCGCCAUUAGUAAUAAAAUCUAAUGGCAUGGUACUAGUGGCGCACCUGUAGUGCGCCAUUAGUAGGCAAAACAGGUGCGCCACUAGCAGCCCUUUUCCUAGUAGUGUCUAAAACGAUUUUCGAAAAAUUUGUCUUUUCUUCGCCCCUCUUUCGUGCGUCUUCUUCUUUUGCUCUUUGUUCGCUUGUCCGUUUGAUCUUUUAUCUUGCUGUCAUGGCUAGUUUUCCAUCCUUGUUAGCACUCCCAAUAAUAAGGUCCUCAACUUCAAACAAAGGGAAGGAGAAAAUUUAAAAGAUGCUUGGUAUAGAAUUUAUAAUGCUCAAAUUUGAUGAUUACUGCUGGAGAUGACUAACAUCCUAGAUGUUACUCACUAUGUCUAGAUACAUUCGUUUGAGUGUCAACUAAUUCUGAACAUCUUAGGUGUUACUCCCAAGUCUAGAUACAUUUUUUUGAGUGGCAACUAAUUCUGAAUGGAGGAAGUACACAAAGCUAAGCCACAGCCAUGAAAUAUAUAUAGGGCGGGGGGCGCUCGUUCCACAAGGAGCGGCGGGUAGCUUAGCUAUAGCUCGAUCGAUGAAUAUGGCUGUAGAUGGGUUUGGUGAGCUGGGCAUUCGUGUGGUGAGUCGCCGGCUGGUGCUCUGCCUGCCAGCUACUGCUCUGCCUGCCGCUCCACCUCCUUGUCGAUCGCGCCCACCCAAACGGACGUCCAUGACACAUACACCGACAAUGUGCUCCUCCACGGCCACGACUACCCAAGUAGUGGCCACGGCACCUCCUCCACAGGCUCGGGCGUGGGCGGUGCUGGUGGUGGUGGGGGCACGUUGGCCUCCACUCCGGCCGCCAAUUGGGCCAGCGCCUGCGCAAGGCCAGGCCACCUGGCCUUGCUCCUCGCGCUCGGCCUCCACGAUGGCCCUCCAUGUGGCCUCCUCGAGGGACACAACACAGGCCUCCUCGGCAUCCUAAUCCUCCUCCUUCACCACUCCCGGAAGUGGUGGUGGAGUGGCAAGAACGCGUGGUGCACCGGGCGCACACUUGACGCACUACCGGCAAUGUUGGUCGUGCUCGGUGGCAAACCACGCGUCCUAGUUACCGCAUACGUUGGGUCACGGCGGAGGUUGGCUAGGAGUAGAGCAUGGGAUCUCCGUCAGCUGUGCGCGGCCUGAGGCCGGCACCGGAACCCUAGCAAGGUUGAGGUCCCACCCGUGCGGUAGGUUCACACUGGGCUAUGGCGCAGGCACGCCAUACUCCCAAAAGUACUGGUAGCGGUGCAUCGGCAUGUAGUGCCGAAACCAUGGCUGCCGACUCAAGGUCGAUUUAUCUGUUCUUAUAAACUAGCGAAUUAGCAACUAUAUUACCCAAGAGUAACAACCAAGUCAUAUAUACAAUGUACGCUUGCAACCAUUGAAUAAAUUGUACAGAAUACCAAACAAAGAAGAUUGAACGAGGUCGUGGAACAACUCACAUGCACCAUCCACAGGUCAAGUGGAUGAUCCCAAUGAUGAGCGAAUGAUCCUAAUGACGAGCAGUUGGCGAGAUUAUGUUGCUCUUGUGAUGGUUAGUGAUGUCUGCGCUAGAGCUUGCUUACAACCUUGCGAGGUAAGGAGCUACGGCUACAUGCGUAUUAGGUUUUAUAAGCCGUGAAACCUCGAUAAAAGUUGCCGCUAUAAGUUUUUUCUUCAUGUCACUAUAAACCUUAUNNNNNNNNNNNNNNNNNNNNNNNNNNNNNNNNNNNNNNNNNNNNNNNNNNNNNNNNNNNNNNNNNNNNNNNNNNNNNNNNNNNNNNNNNNNNNNNNNNNNNNNNNNNNNNNNNNNNNNNNNNNNNNNNNNNNNNNNNNNNNNNNNNNNNNNNNNNNNNNNNNNNNNNNNNNNNNNNNNNNNNNNNNNNNNNNNNNNNNNNNNNNNNNNNNNNNNNNNNNNNNNNNNNNNNNNNNNNNNNNNNNNNNNNNNNNNNNNNNNNNNNNNNNNNNNNNNNNNNNNNNNNNNNNNNNNNNNNNNNNNNNNNNNNNNNNNNNNNNNNNNNNNNNNNNNNNNNNNNNNNNNNNNNNNNNNNNNNNNNNNNNNNNNNNNNNNNNNNNNNNNNNNNNNNNNNNNNNNNNNNNNNNNNNNNNNNNNNNNNNNNNNNNNNNNNNNNNNNNNNNNNNNNNNNNNNNNNNNNNNNNNNNNNNNNNNNNNNNNNNNNNNNNNNNNNNNNNNNNNNNNNNNNNNNNNNNNNNNNNNNNNNNNNNNNNNNNNNNNNNNNNNNNNNNNNNNNNNNNNNNNNNNNNNNNNNNNUAUAUAUGUAUAUAUAUAUGGGGCAUGAAACUGCAAACUACCACUAUUGUUGCCGGUGGACCUCCCGGCUCCGGUGCACAUCCCAACGUCGCCCUCGUGAAGCAAGCGAAUGGCCCCGCGAGCAUGUGGACGUUGUCCAUGUGGCAUUGGGUUCCCGCUUCUUGAGUGAACCGGAAAAAAAACCCAAAGCUGGUCAAUCUUCGGCUCGAAAGGAAGCCUGGCUUAUGGUUUUGUGUUUUCGCGCCGGCGUAGCCGCUCUCCGUCUGGGUGAGCGAGCGGUGGAGGACUGCCGCAAUGGAGGAGAUGGUGGUCCUUGGGCCCCGAUGCCUUUCGUGGCAUGAGGGCCGUGUCUUGUAUUCGAUGGCCGGGGACGCCAUCCGGAGCAGCUUGAGAAGGCACCGUCGGGGCUUUGCGCUUGCACCCCUAUGCAGCCAUGCCCGGCGCAGCGGGCUGUCCGCUGUGUGUCUUGCGGAGUCUGAGUGCAUCCAUCGGCUGAUUUUUAUUUUAUUCUUUCGAUGAGGAUUAGUAGUCGGAGAGUAGAUAGGUUCUUCCUCGAUCCCAUGAUAUAAAAGCUUGGGUGUUCGUUGACGCUAGCAAUGUCAAAAACGCUCUUAUAAAAUGGGAGGGAGUCCCUCGCAAAGAAAAAAAGAGAGUAGAUAGCUACUUUAUCUUUUAUUUUGAAGGUGGGAGUAGAUUGAUAACUACUUAGUGCACGUACGAAAAGAAAGACACGAUCGCCUAAAAAAAAGAAAUACUAUAUUGAGAUAUAUAUAGGGCGUGCGGGCGCUAGCAGUUCCACAACGAGCGGCGGGUAGCUAGGUUCAACAUCCAUAUAGGUUGAAUAUGGCUGUAGAUGGGUUUGGCGAGGUGGGCAUUCGUGUGGUGAGUCGCCGGCUGGUGAAGGCAUCCGACCCCUCCAUCCAACCGCAGGUGGUGCCCCUCUCCAACCUCGACCUGUACGUCGGCAACGUACAAGUCGCCAUACUAUGCCUCUAUCCCAAGCCUCCGGCGGGCAGGGAUUUCGCCGGCGUGGUGGCCACCUUCGAGUCCUUGCUGCCGGCUUUACUCAACGAGUUCUACCCUUUCGCCGGCCGCAUCGGCACCAACCCAAGCUCAGGCCUCCCCGAGCUGCUCUGCCAGAACCAGGGCGCAGAGCUGGUCGUGGGAGAGGUCCGCGUCGCUCUGGGGAGCCUGGACUACGGCCUGGCGGACAAGUCCCUGAAGAAGCUGAUGCUCCCGUACGCGGAGGACGUCACCUUCUCGGUGCAGCUGCUAUCCUUCGCCUGCGGCAGCUUCUCCGUGCUGUGGGCAACCAACCACCUCGUCGGCGACGGCCAUGACAACAUCAGGUUCCUGCGGAUGUGGUCUGAGCUCGCACGAACGGGCAAAAUCGUCGCCGACGGCGGGGACGGAAAGCUAAGCCACGACCGCUCGGUGUUCCGCCCUCGCAACCCGCCGUCAUACAGAGCCUCGCUCGCCACCGACCUAACGACGUUCGACCCGCGCCGGCUGGUAAACGUCCUGACGGCCCACGACAGCUUCGUCGACCGCCUCUACUACAUCGACGCGGCCGACAUCGCCAGGCUGCGCGAGAUGGCGAGCACCAAGCUGCAGCGCUCGUCACGCGUCCAGGCCGUGUCCGCGUACCUGUGGAAGGUCCUCGCCGGCGUGGUUGCCGCUUCCCGCGUGCCCGAGGAGCGCUGCCGCAUGGGGUGGUGGGUGAGCGCGCGCCGUCGUCUCACGUCGCCUGACCUCGCCUCUGCGAUGCGCAACUACUUCGGCAACGUCACGACCUAUGCCUACGGGGACGCGACGCUGGAGGAGAUCCAGCGCAAGUCGCUCGCGGAGGUGGCGGCCAUGGCGCGGGAGCCGGUCGCCUCCGUCAACUACGACGAGUACAUCCAGGAUCUGGUGGACUUCGUGGAGGUGCACAAGGGACAAGGGCUGAUGGAGACGGCCGUCGUCGGGCUGGGCAGCCCGACCCUAAGCCAGUCCGUGUUCGACUCAUUCCCACUCGACACCGACUUCGGCUUCGGCCAAGCUGCUCUCGCCAUGCCCAUCUCCGACUUCGCCAACCUCUGCUCAGCCUACCUGUCCAUCAGCGCGCGGCCGGCAGGCGACGGCUCCUGGCUCGUCAGUGCCUACAUAUGGCCGCGUCUCGCCGCCGCCCUCGAGGCCGAUGAGCAGCACAUCUUCAAGCCUCUCACGGCGGACUACCUUGGCCUCACAGCCUGCUAGACAACACCCACGCUAUUCUGUGUGUUCUUUUAGCCAACAAUAAAAUUCCUUGGUGUUUUGCUCUUCUUCCAACAAUAAAAUCCUUGUGUUGUGUUGUGUGGUGCUAUGUACUUUGGUUUUUUUCUUCAUCCAACAAUAAAGUUAGGAAGCGUUACUUUUUGAAAAAUAGCACACCUUAUAUAUACAUUUACUUUGAAAGUUAGAGAGGAUUUACUUUGAAAGUCACAGGUUUGCCAAGCACCUGAGGAAAAACACUCGGCAAAGCCAGCCCUUGGUUUCCGUCAGCCAAUAAAAGAUAGAUCACACGCGUGGCCGCCUGCUUAGCUAUAACCAAGGGCUCGCCGCCGCCAUACCCCCUUCACCUCCCCGCUGCCCCCAUCGGCCUCCUAAUUCCGACCACAGCCGCCUCUAUCCCCCACUAGCCGUCCAACUUUCUCCUCUUCAUAGAUCUAAAACUAGGAAUGGGUUGGAGGGCUCAAUGAACUAGAUCUACUAUAUAGUCAUCUUUGAGCUCAGCUAUUGGGCAUCAUUGCUAGUUGCAAGCUCCCAAUUGGUCACAUCACUGCUAUUCAUAUACCAGCGGGAUCAAAUUGGCCUCUACACGAGUAAGUUGGUCCCUACGGUGAAGUACAGCAGUGGGCCCAUAUUGGCACCCACCACUGAUAGGUGGCAAAGUAAAAUUGGCAUGUGAAAAGAAUUGCCAUGUACUGAUAAGAAUUUACCAGUGCGGUCCCACUUUGCACACACCACUGGGAAAAAAAUGAGACCAACCCAAGGGAUAACCCUCGUUGGCAUUUUCUUUAUAGGAGAAACUUCGCGAGCACCACACGUCCAAGCCGAAGCUCGAACUCGCGUGGGCUGGCAGCUACCCCAGCUACCGAGCCGACGGGUCGACGCCCCGUCCUCGCACACACCUAUGUGAUUUGGCUAUAUUAUGAGUUGGUGGGCCAUUAGUGUUUUAUGCAUAUUCCAAAAAAUCACAUUGUUUUACCAAUAUUCUGCGGCAGAAGCUUAUCCUCAAAGUGCACAUAUCCCAUAUUUACGAAAAAUACUCGUUUAUUCGUUUUUCUGCAGACCGCUCGGCGUUAAGGUUGGUUUACAGCCGAGCAAGCCGACUGCUCGGCGGGAUGAAGAUGAAAAGGCAGUGGGCUAAGCCGCGUGUGUUUUAUCAACUACAUGGGCUACAUUUAGGUAUUUCAAAACCAAAGGGCAAUAUAUAAGCCGAGUAAGGCGUUAGAGGACACUCGGCCAAUACCAAGACGUCGUCAUGGAGCCGUCAAGCACGUGGCAAUAGAAACACUGCAGUUGCUUGCGUGAGCCACACGUGUAUGCCGUGGUUUUUCUACAUAAUAUAUCGUGUUCUUUCUGUAGGCCAUGCGUCUUUUUACGUUGUAUUCGGUUUACAUGGAGCUAAGUUGAGGGACCUGCAAAUGCCGUGUGUUUUCAAGAUGGUACUCGGCUUAGGGUCUCUUUGAUUCAAAGGAUUUUGAUAGGAUCUUUGAAGGAUUAAAAUCCUGAGGAAGUUUUCCUAUGUUGGUCGUUUGAUUUGUAGGAUUGAAUCAUGUAGGAUUUUUUUCUAAAGAUGUAUUUGUACUACAUUUUACAGGAAUUCUAACAUCCACUCCAACCUUUUGGAAGAAAUCCUUUGUUUUCUCCAUGACACAAUCAAACAAACUCAAAUCCUAUAGGAAUCCAAUGGACAUGUCAUUCCAAUCCUACGUUUUUCCUAUGGAAAACUAUUAAAAUCAUCCGACUUAUUUUUCACGAACGUAAACCGUCUUUGACGGACGCCACGUGUCCCUGCUGGUCGCUCACUCCUUAUCCUUAUCUUUUCUCCAGAAGAAGCGUGAGCCACUCAUUCCUUUUCCUCCUUUUUCUUCUUCCUUCGAGCAAACAUGCUUUCCCAGGGACGGCUCUCUCCAGCAAUCCCAGUCGCCGCUCACUUCGUGUUGAUGUAGGGCUAGGCUGAGAGGAUGCUCCUUCCAUGGCCGGCGGCGGAGCUGCGUUUGGUGAUGCGCGACGAUGUUGCGGCCACGUUGACGGCAAAGCUGCGUUGGAGCAGAAGGUGCUACGAGCUGCUGCCAUGACCGGCGGCGCUACUGCACAGCAACGGCGAAGCUGCGUUUCAGCAGCAAACAGCUAUGAGCUGCUGCCAUGGCGGGCAGCAGAGCUACAUGGCAGCAUGCAGCAGGCGAUGCGUCAAUGAAACUUGGCCGGAGCUCCAUUGAAGCUUCGCCGGUGCGUCAAUGAAACUUCGCCGGAGCUCCAUUGAAGCUUCGCCGGUGCGUCAAUGAAGCUUGGCCGUAGCUCCAUUGGAGCUUCGCCGGGGCGUCAAUGAAACUUCGCCGGAGCUCCAUUGAAGCUUCGCCAGUGCGUCAAUGAAGCUUCGACGGGGUGGCUCGGUGUUGCUAUGGAGCAGCACCCGGUGGCUCUCGGUGUUGUGAUGCAGCGGUCGCCGGUGGCUCCGGGGACGCGAGGUCGCCGAGGCAGGGUGACAGGGGAGGGUCUGCGUUGCUCUGCAUCAGGAGGAGUUGUUGUGCGCUGCUCUGUAUCAGAUGGCUGGGGAUUAGUGGAGAAAGGCCCAGGUUGUGUCGCGGCGAUCGAACGACCAUCUGUGCGGACCGAACGGCUGGCUGGGCGGAUGAUAUCUCUAGGAAAUCAUCCGCCUGAUUUGUAGCAGCCGCCUCCUAUUCCUGUGUUUUUGCAAUUCUAUGAAUCUGUCUAAGACGAGUAUCCGAGAAAAUACACCCGGCUUACCAAAAAGCACUAAGCAACAUGUCUUUUUCUCGUAGUGGCCUUUUAAGGUUUUUAUUUUACUUCAUAUAGGGCUCAAAGAGCCAACCUCGCCACCAACAUCGCCUACCAAACUUUGCCCAAGACGUCAUGUCCAUGAUCACAGACCAGUCAGGUUUAAACAUGUUUUCAUCUCUAUGAAAUUCACACAAAAAUUCCAAAUUGACUAGGUGUUUAAACUUAUGUUUCGACAAAGACUCAGACACCUGGACAUUUGAAAAUAGGACAAACGUCGACGCUCACAUGGACGCACCUAGACUCACAUCUAUGAACUUAUACACUAUCUCACUAAAUAGCAUAAAACUACUACAAUUCGGACUAGAGUUUCAAAAAACUACUAAAUAUAUUUUUCCGCUCAUAACUACUAAAUCAGGGGUCGGCUGUUUCAAAAAACCCAAAUCAUCGAGUCUUUAGUAAUUGAUCACGAUUAUGACAGUUGGGGCCAAGCGUAAGAUAACCGUUUGUUUGACCGUUUAGUUUGAAUGUUAACUUACAUGUGGGUCCCACAUGUUAGUUUUUUUAAAAGCAAUCAGGUCCCUGUAAGUUUUCUAAAAUAGCAACCGGGUACAUGUGAGUUUUCUAUAAGGUCCCUAAAAGUUUUUGCAAAAAGCAAUAUAAUCAGGUCUCCAGAGGAGCCGCGCCCGCGGCAGCCUGCUCGAUCCCGAGCGCUCUGCCCGAACCACGACGCUGCCUCCAUCGGCCGGCCAGCCGCGCCCGCAACGGCCGAAUCCACGCCGUGCCUCGCCUGCCACCAUGGCGUGACUCGCAUGCCGCCAUGUCAUGCCUCGCUGGCGGCCGCUGCCACGCCGUGCCUCACCUGUGGCUGCCGCCAUCCCCUGCCGCGAGCUCCUCAAGCUAGACGUGGACGGCCUGCGCCGCUGCUGGAGUGCGCACCUCCCAUUGCCGCGGACGAGGUCGCUGUCUGCUAUGCCUCCUCGAAGCCACCGUCACCACCAGGAGCUACGGUGAGCACCUACCACGACCAUGGGGAGGGUGGGAAGGAGAGGGAGGGUCGCCGCCAGCCAGGCCCGGCCCGGAUGGAGGGGUAGGGGGCGGCCGCCCCAGGCCCCCGAAAUUGAGGGGACCCCACGUUCGUGUGCUCUCUGUAUCCAGCCCAUGUGCUCUCUGUAUCCAGCUGAUGAGAAAAAAUGAUUCUGGGCUACUUUUGAUGAAACAGACCUGUACAUGUAGUGGAACUUGUGUUUCCCUCGCGUAGGUCCGCGGAUGACGACAUGAGCGAUCAACCUAGCGAUAUAUCCUACAAGCCCGAGGGAAACCCCGCCGCCGACACAGCCUCCUCCCGUGGAGGCCUCCCCCGAUGAUUUCUCGUCCAAUGGCGGAUCGAGUAAUUUCAUGUUCAUCGCCCUGGACAGGAGUAACAACACCACCGGCCCUGGCAGGCAGUUUUAAACUACAGAGGUCAGGUUAGCAUCUUCCUGAUGCAUCAUCCAACGGAGCUAGCUAGAUUGAUAUGUGACUAGUUGGUGGCAGAAUUAUUAGAUCUAGUGUAUUAGCGGAGAGGAGUAGGACGUAGUUGUCCUUCUGACUAAUUUUUUUAAUGCAAUCCUUCCGAUUAAUUAAUCUGGUCGUGUUGGAGAUCGAUGAAAGAUGAGGGGAGAGGAUGUCUAGAAUCCAUGGGAUAAUGAUAAUUGGCAAGCUGAAAUUAAUUGGAGGAUUCAUGGUCGAUUCAAUAUGAUUAGGUGGCAAAAUUAAUUUUUAGUAGCUAAAAAAAUUAACUUUUAGUGUUGCAAACUAUGAAGCUAUUCUACCUGCAUGCCACCAAGAGCAGUUCAAAUUACUUUUUGUUUGCCAAACUAUGAAAUAUACAAUGCAUGAAACUUCCCUAUCAAAAUCUUAGCAAAAGUGAGAAAUAAUAAUUAUAAUAAUGUAUAAUUAGAACCCGGAACUAGGUCGACCAGCUGGUUUUGCACGCCAUGAUAAAAAAAUUAACAACAAUUCAUGUUUAAAAUUUAUCUAGACAUGCACAUAAUGAUUAUAAUUUUGGAUAUAUAAAGGGCCUCCGAUUGUAUUUUUGCCCCGGGCCCCUGAAAUCUCAGGACCGGCCGUGCCGCUAGCUUGGGAUGGGAGGGGACGGUCGUCGGCUUGGGAGCGGAGGGGAGGGUCGCCGGCUUGGGAGGGGAGAUGGCCUGCUCGGGAGACACCAGAAGAGAGACGAGAAGAGACAAAGAGGAAGAAGAAAGAGAAUAGCAAGAGGAAACUUACAUGUAGGCCCCACAUGUAAGUUAACGGCCAAACUAAGGUCAAACUGACAGUUUGUUUAGGUGCGGGCCCAACCUGUCGUGACCGUGAUCAACCGAUAAGGACUCGGGGAUUUGGGUUUUUUGAAACAGCCGACCCCCCGGCUUGGUAGUUAUCAGCAAAAAGAAUUUGGUAGUGUUUUGUAACCCUAACGUGAAUUGUAGUAGUUUUAUGCUAUUUACUCAAACGAUCUCUAUGAGCAUUUUCAAGAUACUGAACCGGCACAUCAUUUUGAGAUUGGUGAACACCACAGACGUCUUCAUAGUUGACAGAAACGUCUCCUCCCAAUGAACGAACAUCGCAAAAGCCUGAAAUAAAUCCCAAAAACUGUCAGCACCAUUACCAAGUUUAAAACUUGAACCCUGAUAGGGUUGGUUCCACCACAAGAAAUCUAACUAUUUGAGCCAUGCACAUCUCAUAGUUUUCCCUGUGGCCAUGGAGGGUGCCACAUAUGUAACCCAUUAAUAUGGGAACCCAUACCUGUAAGCUUGUCAGCAUUUAUAGGCUAUAUAUGCUAAUCAAUUAUAAAAAAAACUGGGAUAACAAGUUUGAACUACACCCAUUAUUCCUCCGCCUAUAUAUUGUCGUGCAUGCAUGCCAGUGCCAUAUACGGAAACAAACCGACCGAGAAGGCCCUUAAUUAACAGCUAGCUAGCUCUCUUGGUCGAAUAUGGUAACUGCUAAUGCUAUUGGCUCCGGCGACCUGAGCAUCCGUGUCCUGAGUCGCCGCCUUGUCAAGGCCUCCGACCCAUCUACCAAGCCGCACGUAGCCGCCUUCUCGAACCUCGACCUCUACCCUGGCAACGAGCAGGCCUCGAUAGUAUGCCUCUACCCCAAGCUCCCAAACGCCGGUGACUUCCCGGCGGUUGUAGCCACCUUCGACUCCAUCCUCCCGUCGUUGCUCAACGACUUCUACCAUUUCGCCGGGCGCAUCCGCACCAACCCAAGCUCCGGCCUCCCCGAGCUGCUCUGCGACAACCAAGGCGCAGAGCUGGUGGUCGGCGAGGCCGGUGUCGCCAUGGCCAGCCUGGACUACGGCCUGGCGGAGCAGUCGUUGAAGAAGAUAAUGCUUCCGUACGCCGAGGACGUCACGCUCUCGGUUCAGCUGCUCUCCUUCGCCUGUGGCGGCUUCUCCGUCGUGUGGGCGACCAACAACCUUGUGUGUGACGGCCAAGCCUUCACCAUGUUCGUCAGGAGGUGGUCCGAGCUCGCCCGAACUGGGCGCAUCGUCGACGGACCGCCCAACCAUGACCGCUCGGUGUUCAGCCCUCGCAGGCCGCCGUCGUACGGAGCCUCGAUCAGGGACAUGUUCGCGACGUACGACCAUGACCGGCUGGUGAACGUGCUGACGGCGCACGACAGCUUCGUCGAGCGCCUCUACUACAUCGAGGCGAGCGACAUCGCUGCCCUGCGGGAGGCGGCAAGCAGCAAGCUCCAGCGCCCGUCGCGCGUCCAGGCGGUGUCCGCGUACCUGUGGAAGGCCCUCGCCCGCGUGGUGGCCGCGUCCCGCGUGCCGGAGGAGCGCUGCUGCAUGGGGUGGAUGGUGGACGCGCGGCGGCGGGUGAAGGCGCCGGAGCUCGUCCGGGCGAUGGGCAACUACUUCGGCAACGUUACGGCCUACGCUCUCGGGGAGGCAGCCGUUGAGGAGAUACAGGAGAAGGAGCUGUCGGAGGUGGCGGCCAUGGUGCGGGAGACCAUCACGUCUAUCGACUACGAUGAGUACACCCAGGAGCUGGUGGACUGGGUGGAGGAGCACAAGACAGAGAGGCUGAUGGAGAAGGGCGUCAUCGGGCUCGGUACGCCCACCUUGAACCAGACGGUGUUCGCGUCGUUCCCGCUCGACACCGACUUCGGCUUCGGCCAUGCCGUGCUGGCAAUGCCCAUGUGCGACUACGGGAGGCUCAGCUCGGGGUACCUGUCGAUCGGAGCUCGGCCGGGAGGCGACGGCUCCUGGCUGGUCAACGCCUACAUAUGGCCUCGCCUCGCGGCGGCGCUUGAGUCGGACCAGCAGCGCAUCUUCAAGCCUCUCACGGCGGAGUAUCUAGGGCUCGUCUAGGCGUACCACUCUGCUGUCUGCCCGGUUUCUUCUUCAAUAAGUCUUUGCUUCGUCUUUUGAGGCAUGAAAGCAGCUCGUGCUUGUUUUACUUCCACCUAUUUUGCAAUACCCCAAAUAAAGCCCUUCUGUGUGGAGGGUAGUUUGUUUGAUCAAUAAAUGUUUGAGUCGUUCAUAAGGUUUCCUUGAUUAGUAUACAAAUCAGUUGAUGACUACGUUUCACAACUCAUGUGCAUGGAGAUGCUAAACCGAUAGUAUGGACUCGGGGAUGGAGACCACGCAGUCGGACAUACCAACUCUGAGACGCAGCGAGAUGUUGUCAUAUGUUAGUGUCAAGCACAAUGUUUAUGCCAUGUCCUAGACCUAAGGUCCUCGCAUGUUCUCGGGAUGAGUAUCGACUCACUUAAGGUCUAUCAAACGCUACUCCAUAACUGGCUAGAUAUAAAUGUAGCUUUUGGGUGGGUGGUGAGAUAUGCCGCGAGACAUGGCCGACCAAGAUGGGAUUUACCCCUCCUAUUUGAAGAGAUAUUUUCUGGACCCUCUCGAGGGAUCGGAUUCGGAAAGCAUGACCAUGCGACUUGGUUAAGUGUUAACCCAGUGCGGGAAUCUAUAUCACGGUGUCAAGAAGAGAGGUCGAGCUACCACAAGGGUGACAAGUACUCACCUUGAGCUUGACAACAUAUAUCGUGAGGCAAAAGGAAUGUUGCAGAUGAUACAUUGUCGAGGUUCUUCGAACGACUUUACACGCACAUGAGAGUUGGCACGUUCAGCGAGGAGCUGCUACCAACUAUCGACUCUGGUCGUGUCCAUGUGUACGUAAACCUAUAGGGUCGCACACUUAAGGGGCUGCAGGCCAUUCGGAUUGGAUUCGAGUGGAAAUGGUUUUACUCCUAGUGGGCCUCAAGUAUUGAGCCUAUCUCGGAGGUCUAUAUAUAGGGGAGUGGCCGCACAACUGAGGUUGAUCUUUUUCCACCAUGGACAGCCUCCAUCGCAACUCCCCACGCCCAUCCCGCGCGACCUAACCUAGAUGCCUACCGCCCGACGCUGCUCCCCGUACGUGUGGAUACCUUGCAGGCAUCGCAUCCGUGGUGCUUGGAUGAACUGUUCGAGGGAACCGCGAGGUGCCGUUCGCGGGAGAUCAACGUUCACAGGUCUUUGUUGUUCGCGGGAGAUCGACGACGCGAGGAGGAGACGCCUCGGGAGAUCGUCUACAUGCAUCUCCAACUCUAUUUUCUGCUGCGGUUACUGCGCGUCUAGUGGUAAACUCGAUCUCAUGAUCUAUUUCCAGCAACUUGAUCUUGGGUGCGUGGUAGAAUUUUUUUUAUUUGGCUCUAGCUUAGCAUACCGCGUGUUUCUACAGUCGUAUCAGAGCCUAUGCUACGUGGUAUUAGAUUCAAGGUAGAAUUUUCAAAUGAUGAUAUGUAGAUUGCUUUAUGUACUGGCCGAUGAGAUCGGUUGUCAAUAUGAUUGACUAUACAUGGUGUCAGGCAUUCGAAAUUGUGAUCUAAUUUUCCGUGAUGAUGUUGUGGAGGUCGUGGCACAAAUUACCUAUACCGGUCGGUUUCGGCCAUCGGGUAAGACAGUGGAACGUAAAGUCGGUCACAACACGCGAAGACCAAUGAGAUUGGUUGAAUCAGAUAGAUGGUCAAAAUAGGAUAAAUAUGAUUUGCCGGUGAAAAUUCCCAUGCAAAAAUGCAUAGAUAUUGCAAGGGCGCUGCCAGUUGACCCCACAGGGGGCAAAGCCCCAUCGACCCCCAUCCUGUUAAUCUCUUAGGGCGGUGGAUAACUUGUUUUUGCAGGUAAUGCUUGUGAUUUGGUACAACCCGGGUAUGUUGCAUGUACGUAAUUAUAUCAUGACCUGCGUGUCGAGAGUACAAUAACUGGUUGGAGCCAUAUGGUUGUCCCAUUAUUGUAUUAAUGACCUUCAUGUCAACAUGAGAAGCAUUGUAUUGUUAUUUACUUUCAAUAGCUAUUAGUUUGUAAUAGCGUAGUAUCUUAUGUAACACUUGGCGGUUGACACCAUGGCGUGGAGAUGAAGAUCUCCACGAGGACAACCAUGCAUGGAGAUGGAGAUCACCAUGGGCAGGCCGUGCAGGUGGAGACGAAGAUCACCAUGCGAUAUCAAAAGGGGCUAAACCAUAUCACACAUAUAAACUGCCUGUGAAAGUUUAUCUCUGUUAUGCACCCUUCUUUUGCAUGGUAGACGUUUCAAGUAGGGUGAUCCCUCAAAGAAUGUCAAGUAAAAAUGCCUCUCCAAAUGUUGCACCAUCACACAUCAAGUAUACUUAGUGGUGGGAUUAUAAAAUUAAGGUGCCAUUUGGUGUCCUUGAAGUGAUGGGUUCGGUUCGGACACUUACAUGCAUAGCAUUGGUUAUCUUGUCGUGGCUAUCAAAACAGUUUUGGGCCUCGAGGCGUAGGAGUUGGUGCGACAUGAGAUGUCCCCAACAACAAGAGUCGUAUGGAGACACGAUUAGCAAGAAAUACUUAUGGAGUGAUCUCGUCUUCUAGCAGUGAUGCAAAUGCUCACUAGUUAACAUGUUGAUCUUGGAUCUUGAAUCACUAAGUAUCAUCUGAGGGAUGUUGAUUUUAUUUGGAGUGAUGAUCUUAUUAAAAUGUUUAAUAUGAAUUACUCUUCAUGAAUACAUGUCUUAGUGUUUUGCAUCUUUCUGUUGGAGAUCAGAGGCACCACCUGCUCAAGUUACUCCUUUUGCGCUGAAAACAAUCCUAGAAAAAGAUAAAUGGAAUGGGACAAACUUUACGACCUGGUAUAGAAAUCUGGGAAUUGUUCUUAGGCAUGAGAAAAAGGACCAAGUUCUAGAAAAUCCGCUUCCAGAUGUACCUGCCAAGAAUGCUAAUGCCACAACCAGGAGUGCCUACCAGAAACCCAUUGAUGAAUAAAAUGAGAUCAUCUAUCUCAUGCCGGCUUCAAUGGAGCCCGAUCUACAGCAGCAGUUCGAAAACAUUAAGGCUUUCGAUAUGAUCGAGAACCUCAAAAGCAUGUUUCUGAUGUAGGCUAGGACCGAAAGGUUCAACGUCUGGCUAUCCUUGAUGGAUUGUAAGUUGAAUGAAAGUGAUCAAGAUGACUAGGUACAUGCAAGCUUUGGAUUGGUUGGGCUUCCCACUUGGGAACGUUCAACUCGAACUACCAUAUGCAUGGGAUGGAAAAGAAGCUCACUGAAUUGCAUGGGAUGCUCAAGGUGGCAGAGCAGGAUAUAAAGAAAGUUACGCAUCGUCAAGUGUUGAUGGUGCAGAACUGGGCUAAGUUCAAGAAGAGAUGUUCCAAGAAAAAGCAUAAGGCAAACGGCCAGGAGGAGAAGGCAACUCCAACUUCUGCCGUUGCGCCUAAGUCAGGGCCAGCCGGGGACCGUUUUCUUUCACUGUAAGGAACACGGCCACUAGAAAAUGAACUGCAACAAGUGGCUUGUCGAGAAGGGCAAGAAGACUGGAAGUGUCACUUCUUCAAGUACACUUAUUGUAUAUGUUAUAGACAUUUAUCUUGCUGAUGUUUCUAGUAGCUCUUAGGUAUAUGUUACCGGAUCGGAUGUUCACAUAUGCAUCUCGAUGCAGAGUCUAAGAAGAACUAGGAAUGUUGGAAGAGAAGUUGACAUACACAUCGUGAAUAAAGCAAGAGUUGAUGCAUUGGCCGUCAGCACUAUGCAACUUAAUUUACCUUCAGGAUUUGGAAUGGAACUUGAUAAUUGUAAUUAUGUUCCUGCUUUGAGUCAAAACAUUAUUUCUGCCUCAUGUUUGAUGAUACAAGUUUAUGAAAUAAGUAUUAAGGACAAUGGUUGUUCUAUGUACUUGAAUAAAAUGUUUCAUGGCUUUCCACCUAUUGUGAACGGGUUAUUAAUCCUAGAUCUUGAAGGUGAGCCAGUCUAUAACAUAAAUGUCAAGAGGCAUAAGCCUAACGAAAUAAACCCGACUUACAUCUGGCAUUGUCGACUAGUACACAUUAGUAAAAGUGCAUGAGGAAGCUCAAUGAUGAUGGAAUUCUAACUUCAUUUGAUUUUGAAUCAUUCGAGACAUGUGAGUGUUGCCUUCUUGGCAAGAUGACUCAGACUCCUUUUGCAAGGAGUUGCGAAAGGACGUCCGAGUUAUCGAAACUCAUCAUAGUGAUGUAUGUGGACCAAUGAGCACGACAGCAGGUGGUUUCCAAUAUUUCGUGACGUUUACAGAAAACUUGAGUAGAUUUGGAUAUGUCUACUUGAUGAGGCACAAGUUAGAAACUUUUGGAAAGUUCAAGGAGUUUGAGAGCGAAGUGGAGAAUCAACUCGGCAAGAGAAUCAAACUUCUACGAUCUGAUCGUGGCGGUGAGUAUAUGAGCCAGGAGUUUGAUGAUUAUCUAAAGAGUCGUGGAAUAGUUCCACAACUGUAUCCUCGGGGUAUGCCACAGAGAAAUGGCGUGUUGGAACGAAGGAAUCGGACUCUGUUAGACAUGGUCCAAUCAAUGACGAGUCGGUCGGAUUUACCUUUGUUAUUUUGGCGAUACGCUCUAGAAACUGCGUAUUUCACACUAAAUAGGGUACCAUCCAAGUUUGUAGAUAAGACGGCAUAUGAGAUAUGGACUGCGAAGAGUCACAGUUUGUCUUCUCUAAAAAUUUGGGGUUGUGAAGCAUACGUCAAGCGACUCCAGUCAGACAAGCGCACACCCAAGUCGGACAAGUGCAUAUUCGUGGGGUAUCCAAGGGAAACCUUGGGAUCUUACUCCUACAUCCGUGAAGACUGCAAAGCGUUUGUCGCUCGACAUGGAGUUUUCCUUGAGAAAGAGUUUCUCAAUCAGAAGGCUAGUGGGAGGAUGAUACGACUCGAGGAAAUUCGAGAACCACAUGGAGUUAGUCAGGGAACCCAUGGUGGAGUCGACGCCAAUUCCACGGAGGUCAGAAAGGUUGCGCAAUAUGCAUGACUGCAAUGUGUUGUUCUUGGAGAACAACGAGCCGGCAACGUAUGCGGAAGCCAUAGAGAGCCCUGAUUCCGAGUUAUUGCUUGAGGCCAUGAGAUCCGGAUUAAAGUCCAUGGAUGGCAAUCAAGCUUGGAACUUGGUUGAUCUGCCAGAUGGCGCUCGAGGCAUUGAGUGCAAACUGGUAGUGAUGCCUAAAUAAAUUAGGACCAUUCUUGCUAUAUCUGCAUAUUUCGACUAUGUUACUAUUAUGUUCUUCAACAGAAGGUCCCAAAUGUUGUUGUGCCUCUGCUGAUGGACGCCGAAAGUGAGAUGACAAUUGUUUGCCCUUUGAAGAUCAGAUUCAAAUAUACAUACUCGACCGAGCGUUAAUCAAAUGGAUGCCUCAAAAUUGAGUGAUGGAGGCAAAUAGUCAAUGAGCUCGGGCCACAAAUUGGAGACCGGGGAUCUCUGUGGUCCAUCAUGGAGAUGUAGUUUUUUUUCUCUGUUUUAUUCUAUUUUACCUAAGACACUGGAGUAGGUCAUAGUACUUGUCAUGUGCUUGAAAGUUACUUACCUAGGAUGAUGACAAUUAGUUAGUAGUGGUUAACUUAUGAUGAUGAUGAUGGUGAUGAUGGUGAUGAUGAUGAUGAUGAGACAUUUUUAUAUAAUUAUGAUCAUGAUGAGCUGUUAUAUCACUACGAUGAUGAUGAGUUAUAUCAUUUUGAUAAUGAUGAGUUGUUACAUGAUGAUGAUGAUGAUGAUGAUGAUGAUGAUGAUGAUGAUGAUGAUGAGUUGUUAUAUAGUUGCUUGUGUAUAAAAAUCUGUAUAAUUAUUGUAUAAAUAUAGUAUAAUAUGUAGAAAGGAAAUACAUAGAGUUAGUAGUGGCGGGGGGCCUCGCGCUAUAGCUAGUUAUUAGUAGCACGGGCCAAACACCGCGCUGCUCCUAAUGUAAGUAGUAUUAGAGCCGAGCCUGGCCCGUCUUACUAGGAACCAGUUAGCUACACGCUGAUGAGUUGUUAUAUGAUGAUGAUGAUGAUGAUGAGUUUUUAUAUAGUUGCUAAUGUAAGUAGCGAGGCAACCCGCACUACUCCUAUGCCUUUAAACCGCGCCACUACUAGCCUUAUCCCUUGUAGUGACGGGCAGAUGGAGCGAUGAAAUGCGCAUGUCCUCAAUGGGCUCCAAACGAGAACAUUCGCCUAACUCAAGAAGUGUGGCCGGUGAUGGAUCGAUGAGCUUCCCUAUGUUCUAUUUAGUGUAGAUAUCACUCUUAAUUAACUUGUUUUUCUGCGGAUAGUAACUAACGCUUUGAGCCUUUGUGGUUUAUCUCACAAUUUUUGUCUUCACAACUGGAGUAGGCCACAAUGUUGAGAUGCAAAAAAAGGUCCAUAAACUAAUUAAAUGGAAUAUCAUUUAGAUACGACACUUAUAAGAUACACUAAAUAUUAAGAGACGUGUUGAGUAUAUAAUGAAUAGGGGUCAUUGUCUCUAAAUAGUUUUCACUAAAUAGGAUGAUGUGUUAAGAGACACUGCGUUGUGAGUUCCCUUUCGCUAAAUUAAUUUGCCCUGGUUCGAUUGCAGAGAUGUGUGCGGAGUUUCUUGGGGGAGUUUGGCAGCCAAUCGAUGAUAACUAGUUCUAGGACGCUACUAGGUCAGAUUCAAAACUGAACAUAUGGCUUGGUCCAAGAGUUUCGGCUCUCACAACCUGAAAAUCUGCAGCUUUCACACUAAAUAUUAAGAGAUUCGAAACUGAACAUAUCUGUCAUUGGUUUGAUGCUGUGGGUCCGUUUCAUUAUCUUUUUUUUUAUCAGGUAGUUGGACGGCCACACCAUGCCCUGAAAAUCUGUCUAGAUCUUGAUCGGGAGGCAUAAGAUUUCUUAUUCUGACAACCCUGAAACUGUUUGCCAUGCAUGCAUUAUCCUUCGCAAAGCGAAUUAAGUUGCCCCUAGACAAGGGCGGAUGGAGUAUAGUUCACUGUAGCUUCAUGAUUCUUUUGUCAGCUUAUUUUUUAGAGCUGCGGCUAUCAUAUUUACACCUGCUGUUAUAUCUGUUUCCAGAACCAUGUGUCAGCAGCUUCUGUUAUCAUAGCCAAUAAAACUAUCACGAAGCUACAGUGUGAGCAAUGAAGACGUUAUAUAAACAGGGAUAAAAUAUAUUGUGCUAAACUGCUCUAUCCAAAACCAUGUGUCUGCUCCUCUUGUUUGUUUCUUUACUAUUUUUCAUAUUGUGGAUGAUCAUGACGAUACAUACUAAAGAGUUUUGCAUAGCAUAUGUAAUUUCAUGCAUACAGACAAUGUUUUUUUAUUGGUGUAUUAUUUCACUCUGUUAAGACAAAAUUAUAUUUUGGAAUAUUGAAAUAAUAAUAUUAGGUAAAUCAUACAUGUGCACUAUGAAGCUAACUUUGUGCAAGAGAAAUGAGUAAAAUUAAGGACAAGAUUUAUACCUAUGCAAUACAAAAAAAAACUAUCUGCAGCAGUAAAUUCAUGUAGCUGGCAACAUUACUGGUACAAAUUAGAUCUAAUUAUAGUGCAUACAUGUACCUUUUUUAGAAAACAAAUCUUGAAACUUCGAUAGAAAAUUUUACGAUUUAUGAAAUUUGAAUGGGAAAACUAAACCAAAACCAAAAGGCCGGGAGUUAAAUGUGAGUGAAAAUAAAUGUCAGGAGGUAUUUGUCAGUGAAAAUAAAUAUGAGUGACACUUCUCCAUGCAAAAAUGUUAGUGAAAAAACUUGAAUUUUCACUGUAAAAACAACCCCAAAAUAAAGGAGGAAGCAGAACCAUCGAAAUGUUUAUGAAACGAACAACCACCAACAUAAGAGAGAAGUCACCAUACUCAUUAAGACGCCCAUGUUCAUCUGAGUAGUUAAGCCACUGCAUAGCAAUUAAUAGAAAGAAAACUGCAUAGAAAUUAAUUUUGAUGGGCUCGUGGAUCACGGCAGAAGCAUGCAUGAAUGCAUAUGUCUAUCGUUGCAGGUCAUUCAUGAGAGCAAUGCAUUCAUAUCUAUCUUUGCACGGAUGGAAAAAUUAGUCUGGCGCCAUAUAUCUUCUAUUUGUUAUACUACAGAAAGACAUAUUAAAAUAAAGUUGCCCCUAAACAAGGUGGAUGGACGACCACUCAUUUUGGCAGACUGUACUCGCACAAUUCGUUUUCCCAAUAAUAAUGUGAAUGGAGAGAGUAUAAUUCACACUGUCGCUUCAUGAUUCUUUUGUCAGCUUAUUUUUUAGAGCUGCCUUUUUUUUUGCGGGAAUAUUUUUUAGAGCUGUCAGCUAUUAUAUUUACCCCUACUGCCAUAACUAUUUCCAGAGCCAUGUGUCGGCAGCUUUUGUUAUCAUAGCCGACAAAACUAUAACGAAGCUACAGUGUGAGCCAGGAAGACGUUAUAUUUUCAGGGAUAACAUAUAUAUUGUGCCAAACUCCUCUAUCCAAAACUAUUUGCCGGCACCUCUUGUUUUGUUUAUUUACAAUUUUAAUAUUGUGGAUGAUCAUGACGAUACGAAGUAAAGAGUUUUGCAUAGCAUAUGUAAUUUCAUGCAGGCAGACAACACUUUUUUAUCAGUGUAUAAUUUUGCUCUGUAAAGACAAGAUUUUAUCUUGUGAUAUUGAAAACAUAGUGUUAGAUAAAUCAUAGAUGUGAUCUUUGUGGAUAAAUUUGUGCAAGAGAAUUGAAUAAAAUUAAGAACAAGUUGUAUACCUGUGCAAUAAAGAAAACUAUCUGCAGUAGUAAAUACAUGUAGGUGGCAACACUCACAUUUUGGUUAUUCCUGUAUAAACAUUGCUAGUGCAAAUUGGAUCCUAUAUAUUGUGCACACGGUGUUCCCGUCCUCGGAUGGUUUCCCCUUGUUCGGUCUUGCUCAUUCUCGUUGCUCACAAGCUCAUGCAAUUGAGAACCUGAGAUCUUCAAUCUGGCCAUCUGGGAUUUCCGGACUUCUCCUUCGAAGGAAAACAAGGACUGGCACAUAUGGCGCUCUUUGGACACCUUGACUAGAUAGGGGCCUGUCGUGUGCACCCGCAACAUCAGCAUAACCAGCUUUACCGGGGUAUCGUGCAGCUCUGUUUUUGUUGGCACCUUGGGACAUGUCUGCACCAAGAUUCCCAUGGGAUCAACACAUGUGGAGAAUGUCAUGGCGUGAUUGAAGGACUUGCAAGUGGCAAAGGCGGGGUCUUGGAUGCGAUGAAGACUUUGCUUCAUAGGCAGUUGUUUAGACAUGGCUUACGGGAUAUGUUCCCAUCCAGACGGGACGUGAAUUCCUGUGAGCCUAAUGGUGCGUGACUUGCAGUAGUAGCCUCCGCAAGUGGGGGUGGCGGCAUUGGAGGACUUCUUUGUUAUUCGGUGCUCCUCUGAGUACCCAAUCAGGAUUUCCAAGGUGAAAACCCAAGGUCUGGCCUUUAUUGGUUGUGCCUGGCAGUAGUCUUGUUGAAGGCAUUAUUGUUGGGAACCUCAUCUUUCUCCAGGGUGAAAACGUAAUAUCUUUGAUCAGGCAACGACAACGCUUGUGCUUUGUUUCCUUCCUGGAGGCAUUGCUUUUGGAGAACCUAUUUUGUAGUCCGGGUGCCAUCUUUGGUGGUGGUUAGAGUGCGGCUACUUCGGGUAUUGAUCACCGUGGUGGGAUAUUUUUUCUUCUCUUUUUAUUUUGAUUUUUAGUUGUGUGCAUCCUGGAUGUUUUUAGGCAUCUUGUUGUUGCAGAGUCUGGGAGUAAUUGGUAUCUGCUUGAUAUUAAUACAUUCUCCUUUACAAAAAAAAAUUACAUAUGCCUUUUCUAGAAUUUUUUUCCUAAAACUUCCAGGGAUGAUUCUAUCAUUUGUUUAAUUUUAAUGGAAAAAUUAAACCAAAACCAAAACGUCAGGAGGUAAAUGUGAGUGAAUAUUAAGGUCAAGAGGUAAAUGUGUUUGAAAUAAAUAUGAGUGACACUUCUCCAUGUGAAAUUGUUAGGGAGAAAACUAGACUUCUCUCUGUAAAAAUAACCCCAAAAUUAUGGAGGAAACAAAACCAUCCAAAUAAACAAUAUAUUGAGAAGUCUAUGAAACGAACAACCACCAAGAUAAAAGAGAAUUCGCCAUACUCAUCAAGACGCCCACAUGUCAAUAGCUCAGUCAGUCAACAUUAUAGCAAUUAAUUUUGAUAGGCUCAAGGAUCAUAGUAGAAGCAUGCAUGAAUCGUUGCAGGUCAUUGAUGAGAGCAAUGCAGAUCACUAUCUUUGCAUGGUCAGAAAAAUUAUUCUGGCGCCACCUAUCUUCUAUUUGUUAAACCAUAUGAAGGCGCAUAUCUCAUCACGAACGAUUAAUCAACAAUAUAUACUACACAAUGACACAUUAAAAUUAUUGCACAUGGGCGAGAUUGAUGGCUUUAUCCUUCAUAUGAUCCAAAUAAUCGUAUUUAUUGUUCACACUGUAACAACAUAAUGGUUUUGUUGGCUAUCUACCCCUGCUACCAUUCCUAUCUCUUGAGCAACAUGCUAGUAUCUUUUGUUUAGUUUAGCUAAAAAGAUUGGAAUGAGAGAUUUCCUUUUUUUGUGCAAUAACAUGAUAGUACAAACUACUGAACUUUACAUAUUUAGGUACUCAAUAAAAUACUGUUAAAGAUAGCUAUAGACAUUAGUCAUAUUAAUUCAACCAUAAGAGAUUAUCAUGUACCAUAUUAGCAUGAUUACUGGUCCUGUUCAAGAAUUCGUCCGAUUAACCAGUUAACUUGGAAAUUAAUCCCUACUUGUAAGGUCAUCGUGUAGCCAAUAAACUGAUAAAUCCUCCGUUUAAUUUCUUAACAGGACAAUUAACUUGCCGAUUACCCUAUUAAUCCCCUACUCCCUAGCCAACCAAGCAGCUACCAGUUAACAAUUUCCUCAACAAAUUUACUGGUAUGUUCCUGUUUAGAUGGUUCACCAAUACACUUCCAAAGUUAUUUUUGAGAAUGAUGCACCCUUUUUACAUUUUUUUGGUAUUAUUCCAUCAAUGCUGCACUACAUCAUAGCAUCUUCUUCUUUUUGGAAUGGCUAUGAAAGGACACGAUAGGUAUGUCUGGUGAACUUUUUGUGGAGAUACUUGGGCUCAUGUGUCUGAGAAUAAGAGGAUGUCCUCCCAUAGGAUUUACAUAUACCAACAACUAUUAACCAUGUCUCAAUGUGAGAUUGGAGACUAAAGAGUCUAGAUUUUAUAAGAUUAACCGGAAGUGUUGACUUCAACCGUGUAUUACUAAUCCACUGCAGUUGAAUUUUUGCAGUUGAAUUUUGCAUAUGGCUAAUUUAUUAAUCAACACCUAGGAGGAAUAGUUUGUAGGAGUUACCUAUAGCGUUGCCCUGGCAAAAGGAAAUGUGAUUGUUUAUCAAAAUUGUUUCUACUUAUAUUGUUUUAUCCCGUUACUACUGCAGCACUAAUUUUUAGUUAACUAAUGAAAGAAAGGCAUCAUAUUGUUUUAUCCCAUUGAUACCAGAGCACCAAUUUUUAGUUCAUUAAUUAUGUUGCUAUCUUCAAGUAUUUUUAAUCUGGAGGAAGUUCCACAAAACAAAAAUGUGAGAGUCAAAAAGGUGAGGGGAAAACGAGCUGAAUACCACCUUCUUUGUCCUGUCUUGCUUAAUCCACUUGAAGCCAGAUUACCACUUCGGCAGGGUAUGCUGAUGGAACUCGAACUAGGAACCUCAGUGACAUUUGUAGCCAUACAUUCAAAACACCUCCAGGCACAUGAUUUCAAAAGAUAUUUUUGAAGCAACAGGUCACCAAGCGUCUAAUUGAGUGUUGUAGACAUGACAAUGUCUAAAAUGGCGACUUUGAGGAAGCGUAAUGGAACAAACAUUGUGUCAUGCAUGUGCUCUCUACCACACCCUCGACAAAAAUCAAGAUCCCAGUCCAGUGGAAUGAGGAGGACUAGGAUAUGGACGACGAAGGGCCCAGCAACUAGAUAGAGACAACUUAGGAGUGAGCCAUAGGAAGAUCAUCUAGUGCACUGGGUGUGUGGAUUUGAGGGCCCACUUGUAAGAGAGUGCGUAUGCGUUUAAAAGGGGCAAGUGAAUCAGACAUGUGCCGUAACUUAUCGAUGAAAUAAUAAUUGUUUGAACUCUCACCUACUCUGUUCUGCAUCUCACCCUCUUCAUCUGUUCUUCAACUUCUUCUCAUCCCCUACUCCAUAUUAUCCUCUCCAAUAUGUGAUUCUUCCACCAACACUAGUUGGACAUCACAGUUUGACAAUGGAAAUCUUGGUAAAUUUUUCUCUUUGACAGCACUCGGAAACAAUUGAUGCAGGCGCAAAUCCAUGAUAUAAGGGAUAUUUUCUGUAGCAUUGUUUGAAAAUACAUCAGUUACGCAAGGGCCCUUUUGCUUCUUUACUUCUUGUUCUGUGUGCACUCUGAUGUUCGAAGGUGCAGUGAUGGUAGACAGAUAUUUAGUUGGAAGAAAAAUAGAUAAACUCAGAUUUCGUGUAACCCGGGCUCACUCUUUUCAGUGAAUAAAUUAUUGUCACAAAAAACCAGCCUUUUGCUUCUCUUGAUGACAUUAUUCUUAGAAGUAAGAAUGUGCAUUUCUGCAGCCCAUGCUCAUGUGCUAUUUUUUCUUUUUAACUAGUGUAACAAAUGGGGUAGAUGUUUUUUUUUCUGUGCCAAUAAUGGUGUUAAGACUGCUAAAAUCUUGUAAGGGAAGAAAACAUUGAAGAGCAGAAAGAAGAAGAAAAUCAUUUAUUUAUAUAGAACUGACAUGCAUUUGAACAUCAACAGUCAUUUAUUAUUAAUAAUUCCGCAUUUUGUGAAUUCCUUUCUCCAAUGUUUUCUUCCAGGUUUAUUUACUAUGAUAGGCUCACCAGGAAAGGAACCUGAAAAUUUAAAUCGUGUCAAUUUCCUUUUCACACAAUUCUCUCAUGAUGCAAUGGUUUCAGAGAACGCUGUUGUUAUUUGCCAGACAUGUGAUGUUUAGUAUGACUUGAACUAACAUAACAUGCAUAAUACGUUUAUUGAGUACAUGAAGGUUGGUUUCUUUGAAUCAUUUUGGAUUAGCCUGUUUGCAAAGGCUAUUAUCAUUCCACCACUCAGUGAUUUAUGAAUAUCUCCCAUUCAUUUGAUGUGAGUUCCCUGCAACCACACACGAUAUUUCCCUUACUCCGUUUUCGGUAAGAUAUGGGAAACUAAACAUUCAAGGAUAUUGUUCCCACAAGUGGAGAGACUGAAAAAGUCGCGCGCGUUGCUCUCCNNNNNNNNNNNNNNNNNNNNNNNNNNNNNNNNNNNNNNNNNNNNNNNNNNNNNNNNNNNNNNNNNNNNNNNNNNNNNNNNNNNNNNNNNNNNNNNNNNNNNNNNNNNNNNNNNNNNNNNNNNNNNNNNNNNNNNNNNNNNNNNNNNNNNNNNNNNNNNNNNNNNNNNNNNNNNNNNNNNNNNNNNNNNNNNNNNNNNNNNNNNNNNNNNNNNNNNNNNNNNNNNNNNNNNNNNNNNNNNNNNNNNNNNNNNNNNNNNNNNNNGAGGCCGAACAGGUGAAGCCCGCCUCGGUGGGCGGCGGCAUCAGGGCAGUCUAUUCCCGCGGCAACUCAUCGCCCUGGACGGCGGAGCCCGCUCGCGGCACGGUGGCGAAAGUCGGCGCGUUGGAUCCCACGGUGGACCCCUCGUCAGCGUGGAGAGAUGCUUGUGUGUGGCUGACCGGGGUCGAGCACGAGGGAUUCGGGCCUUGUUCGCCGUAUCAAUCUCGCGACGACACCUAUGUCUUCAGCUGGUGCGGUCAGGGUGGUGACCCGGGCUGGCGGCGGCGACCGGUUCCUCCAUGGCUGGUGGGUUAAGUCCUUGACCUGGACGACCAUGUGACGAUGGGUGGUGGCAGAGGCCGCAGAACUAGCGUGCCAUCCAGAUCCAUCUCGGCGUGGCCUUGGCCGGCAGGCGAUGCGUGCAGGGACCGAUCUGGGGCGGCUGGAGGCCCUAUGCCGACGUUCCAGCGAUAGCUUACGUCUCCAUGGCGACGCAACUUCUAGUGAAAAUGUGCUGACUGCGGUCAUGGAAGAUGGUGGCAUCUCUAAUGUCGUUUCCUUCUUCGAGGCAUCGUCGUUUGUAAGCUGUGUCACUACGCUCGGGAUGUUCCGGGGGGAACUCUAUUUCUGGGUAUCCCGGAUCAGACGAUGACGGUGCCUUCAGCGCCAUUCUCCCUCCUAGGGGCAUUGUUCUGGAGCAGGUGCCGACUGGAAGAGACAAGUGGAGGAGCGGUGUUACAUCUACCGCAAGGAUGACGCAGGGUCUCGGUGGCGUGGCAAGGCAGAGUGUCGGCGACGAGCGCCCACGCUAGAUGGUUGAGCUAUCUGGUGUCGAGAUGGCCUGGCGAGAUGAAUACGUUGAUCGCUCCUGAAGGUGGGACAGCAGAACAUGGCGGUGGCUUAAUCUAAAGUGUGUGCAUGCUGUGCGCGCAAAGGGUCUAGCUAGACCAGUUGGUGCUCUCGAAUUGCCGGCAGACAUCUUGGUGAGGUGACCGGAAUAUAUGAUGUGUGUUGAUAAGUGGUCAGGGCACGGCAUUAAAGCUUGUAGGUGUAACGACAAUAGUUUCUAGGGAGGUGGCUUUGCCUUGAUCCAUAUAUUUGUUUUGUUUGGUUCCGUUGAAUAAUAUAAUAAAAUGGUUGUGUGCAUGGCCCGAUGCAUAGACUAGGGGUAAUCGUCUUUUUCGAAAAAAAGUAGAAUGGUACAGUCACACCAUUUUGCCAGUGACAUGCUAAAAAUGGCAUGAUAAACAAUUCCUGAAUGAUAAAUCACAUGGUGACAGUAUAUCUAUUUUAUAGGAAGAGCUGGAUAGAUUAGAGUAUACUGCCCCAGGAUUUUAAAGUGAGUGCGAGAGUUCAGAUUUAUUUACAUGUUUAGCUUCAGAGCUUCAGAACGUCUUUUUUUCACGAAUACACAAAGCUUGAAUAUCUUUUAUUGAUAGAAGAAAGAGAAUGAGUACAACAGAGGAUACAACACAUGGCAUGAACCCAAAGAGGCAUGAUCAUGGAACCCGGAGUAGAGAGACAAGGGGUGCUCAGCCCGAAUAGGGAAAUGACACAACUACACCCACAAAUCCUAAACAGAGAGGCAGGCCGAACAAGCACGGCGUCGAACAUCUCAAAAUCCAACACCAGGGACACCACGAGCGAACAAGAUAGCGCCUUCAGGAAGGGGUGCGACGUCGUGACACCGCCGCCAUCCGAUCCGAGGAACCGGAUCUAGGGUUUCCCCCAGCGCUCAAAGAGGGGCACGGAUAAAAGCCAUGGCAAAUAACUCACGAGUGUCGCCUCUGCCAACAUCGGCAAGAAGAGCAUGGAUUUCGCCUGGCCCAAGUCCGAGCAAUCCCAUAGCUGCCAAAUCAGGAUCCGAAGAUGAGGAAGACAAUCCGCUAGUCAACCACCGUCCCAGUACGGAGGUGGUGGGGCUGCACCUGCUGCCAAAAGAACACGAGCUUUGGAAAUGACAUGCCGUGGGUGUCGACGGGGUCGGGGAGGCAGCGUGGUAGACAGCUUGCAUGGAGGGUGGGAUGGUGACCGGCGCCGCUGACGAGAUGGAGCCGGAAGGGAGCACAAGUCCGAGCUGCCGGAGGUGAAGCCGCCAGAACACCGGCAAACCGAAGAUGCCGGAAGGGGACGCAGCGACCGGGGUGUUGGGGCUGAAAUUGAAGGAAAUAUGCCCUAGAGGCAAUAAUAAAGUUAUUAUUUAUUUCCUUAUAUCAUGAUAAAUGUUUAUUAUUCAUGCUAGAAUUGUAUUAGCCGGAAACAUAAUACAUGUGUGAAUACAUAGACAAACAGAGUGUCACUAGUAUGCCUCUACUUGACUAGCUCGUUAAUUAAAGAUGGUUAUGUUUCCUAACCAUAGACAUGAGUUGUCAUUUGAUUAACGGGAUCACAUCAUUAGGAGAAUGAUGUGAUUGACUUGACCCAUUCCGUUAGCUUAGCGCACGAUUGUUUAGUAUUCUGCUAUUGCUUUCUUCAUGACUUAUACAUGUUCCUAUGACUAUGAGAUUAUGCAACUCCCGUUUACCGGAGGAACACUUUGUGUGCUAUCAAACGUCACAACGUAACUGGGUGAUUAUAAAGGUGCUCUACAGGUGUCUCCACAGGUACUUGUUGGGUUGGCGUAUUUCGAGAUUAGGAUUUGUCACUCCGAUUGUCGGAUAGGUAUCUCUGGGCCCACUCGGUAAUGCACAUCACUUAAGCCUUGCAAGCAUUGCAACUAAUGAGUUAGUUGCGAGAUGAUGUAUUACGGAACGAGUAAAGAGACUUGCCGGUAACGAGAUUGAACUAGGUAUUGAGACACCGACGAUCGAUUCUCGGGCAAGUAACAUACCGAUGACAAAGGGAACAACGUAUGUUGUUAUGCGGUUUGACCGAUAAAGAUCUUCAUAGAAUAUGUGGGAGCCAAUAUGAGCAUCCAGGUUCCGCUAUUGGUUAUUGACCGAAGACGUGUCUCGGUCAUGUCUACAUAGUUCUCGAACCCGUAGGGUCCGCACGCUUAAAGUUUCGAUGACAGUUAUAUUUUGAGUUUAUAUGUUUUGAUGUACCGAAGGUAGUUCGGAGUCCCAGAUGAGAUCACGGACAUCACGAGGAGUCCCGAAAUGGUCGAGACAUGAAGAUUGAUAUAUUGGACGACUAUAUUCGGACACCGGAAUGGUUCCGGUGGUUAUCGGAUAUAUACCGGAGUACCGGGAGGUUACCGGAACCCCCUGGGGGUUUAAUGGGCCUACAUGGGCCUUAGUGGAGAAGAGGAGAGGCGGCUAGGGCAGGCCGCGCGCCCCCUCCCCCUCUAGUCCGAAUUGGACAAGGAGGGGGGCGGCGCCCCCCCUUUCCUUCCUCUCUCUCUCCUCUUUCCCCCUUCUCCUAAUCCAACAAGGAAGGGAAGGGAGUCCUACUCCCGGUGGGAGUAGGACUCCUCCUGGCGCGCCCCUCUCCUGGCCGGCCGCCUCUCCCCCUUGCUCCUUUAUAUAAGGGGGCAGGGGGGCACCCCAAAGACACAACAAUUGAUCAUUGAUCUUUUAGCCGUGUGCGGUGCCCCCCUCCACCAUAGUCCACCUCGAUAAUAUCGUAGCGGUGCUUAGGCGAAUCCCUGCGUCGGUAGAACAUCAUCAUCGUCACGACGCCGUCGUGCUGACAAAACUCUCCCUCAACACUCGGCUGGAUCGGAGUUCGAGGGACGUCAUCGGGUUGAACGUGUGCUGAACUCGGAGGUGCCGUGCGUUCGGUACUUGAUCGGUCGGAUCGUGAAGAAGUACGACUACGUCAACCGCGUUGUGCUAACGCUUCCGCGUUCGGUCUACGAGGGUACGUGGACACACUCUCCCCUCUCGUUGCUAUGCAUCACCAUGAUCUUGCGUGUGCGUAGGAAUUUUUUUGAAAUUACUACGUUCCCCAACAGUGGCAUCCGAGCCAGGUUUUAUGCCUAGAUGUUAUAUGCAUGAGUAGAACACAAGUGAGUUGUGGGCGAUACAAGUCAUACUGCUUACCAGCAUGUCAUUCUUUGGUUCGGCGGUAUUGUUGGAUGAAGCGGCCCGGACCGACAUUACGCGUACGCUUACGCGAGACUGGUUCUACCGACGUGCUUUGCACACAGGUGGUUGGCAGGUGUCAGUUUCUCCAACUUUAGUUGAACCGAGUGUGGCUACGCGCGGUCCUUGAGAAGGUUAAAACAGCACUAACUUGACGACUAUCGUUCUGGUUUUGAUGCGUAGGUAAGAAUGGUUCUUGCUCAGCCCGUAGCAGCCAUGUAAAACUUGCGACAACAAAGUAGAGGACGUCUAACUUGUUUUUGCAGGGCAUGUUGUGAUGUGAUAUGGUCAAGACAUGAUGCUAUAUUUUAUUGUAUGAGAUGAUCAUGUUUUGUAACAGAGUUAUCAACAACUGGCAGGAGCCAUAUGGUUGUCGCUUUAUUGUAUGCAAUGCAAUCGCCCUGUAAUGCUUUACUUUAUCACUAAGCGGUAGCGAUAGUCGUAGAAGCAUAAGUUGGCGAGACGACAACGAUGCUAUGAUGGAGAUCAAGGUGUCGCGCCGGUGACGAUGGUGAUCAUGACGGUGCUUCGGAAAUGGAGACCACAAGCACAAGAUGAUGAUGGCCAUAUCAUAUCACUUAUAUUGAUUGCAUGUGAUGUUUAUCUUUUAUGCAUCUUAUCUUGCUUUGAUUGACAGUAGUAUUAUAGGAUGAUCUCUCACUAAAUUAUCAAGGUAUAAGUGUUCUCCCUGAGUAUGCACCGUUGCGAAAGUUCUUCGUGCUGAGACACCACGUGAUGAUCGGGUGUGAUAGGCUCUACGUUCAAACACAACGGGUGCAAAACAGUUGCACACGCGAAAUACUCAGGUUAAACUUGACGAGCCUAGCAUAUAACAGAUAUGGCCUCGGAACACUGAGACCGAAAGGUCGAGCGUGAAUCAUAUAGUAGAUAUGAUCAACAUAAAUGAUGUUCACCAUUGAAACUACUCCAUCUCACGUGAUGAUCGGACAUGGUUUAGUUGAUAUGGAUCACGUGCUCACUUAGAGGAUUAGAGGGAUGUCUAUCUAAGUGGGAGUUCUUAAGUAAUAUGAUUAAUUGAACUUUAAUUUAUCAUGAACUUAGUCCUGGUAGUAUUAGCAUAUCUAUGUUGUAGAUCAAUAGCUCGCGAUAUUGCUCCCCGUUUAAUUUUUAUAUGUUCCUAGAGAAAACUAAGUUGAAAGAUGUUAGUAGCAAUGAUGUGGAUUGGAUCCGUGAUCUGAGGUUUAUCCUCAUUGCUGCACAGAACAAUUAUGUCCUUGAUGCAGCGCUAGGUGACAGACGUAUUGCAGGAGGACAUGCAGACGUUAUGAACGUUUGGCUAGCUCAAUAUGAUGACUACUUGAUAGUUUAGUGCACCAUGCUUAACGGCUUAGAAUCAGGACUUCAAAGAUGUUUUGAACAUCAUGGACCAUAUGAGAUGUUCCAGGAGUUGAAGUUAAUAUUUCAAGCAAAUACCCUAGUUGAGAGAUAUGAAGUCUCCAACAAGUUCUAUAGCUAAAAGAUGGAGGAGAAUAGCUCAAGAAGUGAGCAUGUGCUCAGAUUGUCUGGGUACUACAAUCACUUGAAUCAAGUGGGAGUUAAUCUUCCAGAUAAAGAUAGUGAUUGACAGAAUUCUCUAGUCACCAUCACAAAGUUAGUAUAACUUCGUGAUGAACUAUAGUAUGCAAGGGAUAACGUAAACGAUUCCCGAGCUUUUCAUGCUGGUGAAAUCAGAAAUCAAGAAAGAGCAUCAAGUGUUGAUGAUUAACAAGACCACUAGUUUCAAGAAAAUGGCAAAGGGAAAGAAAGGGAACUUCAUGUAGAACGGCAAGCAAGUUGCUGCUCAAGUGAAGAAGCCCAAGUUUGGACCUAAGCCUGAGACUGAGUGCUUCUACUGCAAAAGGACUGGUCACUGGAAGCAGAACUACCCGAAAUAAUUGGCGUAUAAGAAGGAUGGCAAAGUGAACAAAAGUAUAUUUGAUAUACAUGUUAUUGAUGUGUACUUUACUAGUGUUUAUAGCAACCCCUCAGUAUUUUAUACUGGUUGGCAACCUCUGCUUGCCUCUGCGAAGGGCCUAUCUUUUACUUUUAUGCAAGAGUCAUGGUGAUCUUCACCUUUCCUUUUUUUCAUUUUAUCCUUUGGCAAGUACCUCGUGUUGGAAAGAUUCUGAUAUAUCCAAUUGGAUGUAAGGCAUCAUGAACUAUUAUUGUUAACAUUACCCUUGAGGUAAAAGGUUGGGAGGCGAAUCUAUAAGCCCCUAUCUUUCUCUGUGUCUGAUUAAAACUUUGAACCCAUAAAUAUCGCGUGAGUGUUAGCAAUUGUGAAAGACUAAAUGAUAGUUGAGUAUGUGGAGUUUGCUAAAUCAAAGCUCUGACAUAGACUCUUCCUGAAAAUAAGAUGAAUUGUAAUUGUUUGAUGACUAAUAACACGGCUUGUUAGUUUUCAAGAAAGUUUAUGAUCUAUACUUUAACAUGUGAAUAGCUUGUUACUUGAUCAUGAAAAGUUCUAUGAGUUGAGCUACUGUUAUGACAUAUGAUGAUGCUAGAAAAAGUGAUUGAAAUUAUCAUUGAUCAAACUUGUGCACCUGCUAGCAUUCACACUUCAUAAAUUCUUUCUUUUAUCAUUUACCUACUCGAGGAUGAGCAGGAAUUAAGCUUGGGGAUGCUGAUACGUCUCCAACGUAUCUAUAAUUUAUGAAGUAUUCAUGCUAUUAUAUUAUCUGUUUUGGAUGUUUAUGGGCUUUAUUGAACACUUUUAUAUUAUUUUUGGGACUAACCUAUUAACCUAGAGCCCAUUGCCAGUUUCUGUUUUUUGCUUGUUUUUGAGUUCUACAGAAAAGGAAUACCAAACGGAGUCCAAUGGACGUCCCAAUUUUUGACGAUUUUUUAUGGACCAAAAGGAGACCCCGGAGCAAAAGGGUUGGGACAGGAGAGUCCCGGGCUGCCCACGAGGGUGGGGGGCGUGCCCUCCCCCCCUGGGCGUGGGCCCCUGCCUCGUGGACAACCCGGAGACCCCCCUGACAUGAGACCUACGCCAAAAAAUCCUAUAAAUACUGAAACCUCCAGAAAGCAGAAUAGAUCGGGAGUUCCGCCGCCGCAAGCCUCUGUAGCCACCAAAAACCAACCGGGACCCUGUUCCGGCACCCUGCCCGAGGGGGUAUGUCGGUGUCAAAACCGGCGGAUCUCGGGUAGGGGGUCCCGAACUGUGCGUCUAAGGCGGAUGGUAACAGGAGGCGGGGGACACGAUGUUUACCCAGGUUCGGGCCCUCUCGAUGGAGGUAAUACCCUACUUCCUGCUUGAUUGAUCUUGAUGAUAUGAGUAUUACAAGAGUUGAUCUACCACGAGAUCGUAGAGGCUAAACCCUAGAAGCUAGCCUAUGGUAUGAUUGUUUUUGUCCUACGGACUAAACCCUCCGGUUUAUAUAGACACCGGAGGGGGCUAGGGUUACACAGAGUCGGUUACAAGGGAGGAGAUCUGCAUAUCCGUAUUGCCAAGCUUGCCUUCCAUGCCAAGGAGAGUCCCAUCCGGACACGGGACGAAGUCUUCAAUCUUUUGUCUUCAUAGUCCAACAGUUCGGCUAAAGUAUAUAGUCCGGCUGUCCGAGGACCCCCUAAUCCAGGACUCCCUCAGUAGCCCCUGAACGAGGCUUCAACGACGAUGGGUCCGACGCGCAGAUUGUCUUCGGCAUUGCAAGGCGGGUUCCUCCUCCGAAUAUUCCAUAGAAGAUUUUGAACACAAGGAUAGUGUCCGGCUCUGCAAAACAAAUUCCACAUACCACCAUAGAGAGAAUAAUAUUUCCACAAAUCUAAUCUACUGACACAUUCUGCAGCAUGACAUCACACCAUGGCCCGGUCAUUAUUCGGACCGUUUUUCUUAACCAGCCACUGCACAUAUCGCGAGGCGGUUUUCUUGGCACGUCUUGUCGAAGCAGAGAUCGUGUCCCCCUAUCACGGGAUUGUCAUCAAUACGGGUGUGGGUAACCUAACCGCGCCAUCAAUUACAGCUCUUGGGGAAUAAGCGAGUUUACCAGGCAGGUGGGGAGGCGCAUAGUUCCUUCCGCCCUUAUAAAGAGACAAGGAUUCAUCUUUUUCACCCACGCCCUCUUCCUCCUUGCUCAUCCGUUCUUGCGCACUUGAGCUCCAACACCCAAGUUCGCAUUCUCUCCUCAAACCACUCCAAGCAUGUCCGGAGCAGGAGGCAAGUGGAUGGUCUCCUCCGUUACGAAGGAGGACAUCACAAGGCUAUGGGGAGCCGGAUACCUGGCCGCGGAUAUCGCGCACCGGCUACAAGAUGCGGGGCAGAUCGUCCCUACUCCAGAACCCCAUGAGAGGGUGAUAUUUCUUACCCACUUUGUCCGCGGACUGGGAUUUCCCCUCCACCUGUUUGUCCGCGGGCUCAUGUUCUACUACGGGCUGGACUAUCACGAUCUGGCCCCCAAUUUCAUCCUCAACAUCUCGGCGUUUAUCGUCGUGUGCGAGGCCUUCCUCCGCAUCAAGCCCCACUUCGGCCUGUGGCUGAAGACCUUCAACGUUAAACCGAAGGUGGUGGCCGGCCAGCAAGCGGAGUGCGGAGGCGCCAUGGUGGGCAAAAUGCCCAACGUCACCUGGCUAGAAGGCUCCAAUGUGGAGACCGUAAAGGGGUGGCAAUCGGGGUGGUUCUACAUCACCGAGCCGCGCGACACCAACUGGGUAGCGGCCCCCGAAUUUUUAUCCGGAAUCCCCAUGCGGCUCACCUCCUAGAAAGAGAAGGGCCUAUCCUGGGGUUCCUCGGUAGAGCUGACCGGACCCCAGACCUGCGUCAAAAACAUGAUGAGCAAGAAAAUCAAGCUUGUCAACAUGGUCCAAGUCAUGCUCUUCCGCCCGAUCCUCCCGUGUCAAAGACGGGCAUUCAAUUUGUGGGAGUUCGACCCGGCCGAGCACCAGACGCUGCGAGAGCUCUUCGACACGGCGCACAAGGACGUCUGGAAGGUGAUGUUCAAGGGCGCUGAGGUACCUCCUCCCCUUACCAAGGACCGCGGACUCAGCGCAAAGCGCCCUGCCAAUCCGGUAUGUCUUUUAUAUUUCAUAAGAUGUUCUUUUCCCCAGUAUAACCACACGCGGGAUCUAAGCCCCCACGCCAUUUAACAGGACUGGGUAGCGACAGCGGAGCAGAUCGAUUGUCCAGCCCCCCUGCCUGAAGAUCCAGCGGAUGCUCUCCUAACGGAGAUCCUGGUUUCGGCGCCUUAUGAGGUGCCGGAGAAGAAGGCCACGGGGACCAGGAAGGGUCUCCGGCGCAAGGUUAUAUCGGACUCAUCGUCCGAAAACACCGAGGCGCACUCCUCCCACGAAAACGGGGAGGAAGAGGAAAGUUCUCCCCCCCAGCCAGGGGGGACAGGACAAGGAAGGCUGCCCCAUCAGGGGAGGCCGAAGGGUCCAAGAAGGGAAGGACCCUCCUCCCGGACUGCUCCACAAAGGCCGCUUUUAGCGACGAGGAGUGGUUACCCAGGGACAAGCCCCUGGCAAAGUCGUGAGUAUCCGGAUACCAUAAUAAUUCUUGGUACGUCUUAUUGUACUGUUUCUUAUCACGCCGCGCAUGAUUAUGCAGUCCGUCCCGAGCCCAUAUCGACGUAUCUUCGUCGGAUGAUUCUUUGGGCCCGUCAGAUAUGAAUAGCGAUUCACUCCCGACUGCCUCCUCCCCCCGCCCUACGGACGACGCCGAGGUGUUGUCUCAAAGGGAACUAAACCAAGGGGAGACAGUUCCGGAGGCGCCCCAAGGCGACAUUCCAGGCGCUAGGUGCACGAGGGGCAAGACUCCCCUAGGCCCUAACACCGGGGGCAGUAAGUCUAGCCCCAAGCCGAAUACGGCGCCGGAACCUCCAGUGGUUCCGGAUUCUGUCAGGCAACCCCUCGCUAAGGGGGGUAAGCCGUCUGUGCCGAUGGCCUCUGUCCAUCCAGAGGCAUCGGACAACUUGCUAGAAGUGCUUCGCGGCGCUUCCAUUGACGAAGAGCACCGCACUAUUAUGAGUGCGGUAGUUAAGAAGGUUCAGUCCGCUAAGAGCGGACUGACUGAAGCCUGUGCCAACCUCCUAACCGGCUUUGAGGUAAGUAAUCAAAUUGUAAGAAAAUGUUACAGCAUAGACAGUAGCCCCUGAUGCUCUGUUUGGCGUUCGCGGAGAAAGGCCGAAUAGAGGAUCAAAUAAUAAUCGCAGGAGUCUAAUCAGAAUGUGUCUAUGUGAAUAAGCGGGCUUCACUGCUGGCCGCCGCCGCUCGUACUGCGGAGGUCACCGCACUGAAGCGGGACCUUGAGCGGUCCAAGGAAGAGCUCGGCCUUACCAAGAGGCAGCUCGAAGAGAACAAAGGUAAGUGACACCCCGUCUGAAUAUUGGUAAAGAAAAAUUUGGUUUUGGAAUAAUAGGAUCCUCAUGAAUUUUGCUAGGGGCCACGACCGAAGUGGCGGCCCUGCAGAAGGCGCUAUCUGAGGCCGAAGACAAAGCGGCCAAGGAGCACAUCGAGCGAGAGAAGCAAGAGGCCCGAGUAGGCGAGGUGCGGCAAGAGCUCCAGGCUCUCGUCAAGAAACACGAGUCCUUGGAGCUUGACUCUAUGACGCAAGGGUCCGAGCUUGCGAAGGCCCUCGAAAGCGCACAACAUGCCAAGGCCAAAGCCCAAAAGGCCCUCCAGGAAAUUUAGGCGGUUAAGAAGAUAGCGGCGGGUAAGGCAUUCAUUAUGCAAAGCAAGCAUGUGAAGGAAACUUUCUUUUUACUUACCCGAGUUCGGAGUUCUCCAGAAGCGUUCGCAGAUCUACCCCGCAGUGUGUCGGAUGCCACGGAGUUCUACCGGGCCGAGGAGGGGAGCUCGGCGGAGAAGUUGUUCUGGUCUCAGUAUACUGGGACCGAACAUCCAAUGCCCUUGAGCGACCAGUUGAAGCAACUGGUCGAGCUUCACAAGGCGGCCGAACAGGCCAUGAAGGGUCUUAUGGUCUGGAUGUGGCAUGGCGACCCCUGCCUGGUAGCUACUUCGGUCUGGUGAGGCGGCUUGUGAAUGCCUGCACACGGUUUGAAGUCAUAAAGCGGUCCGUCUGCAUUGAGGGUGCGCGCAGGACUUUUGCCCGGGCGAAGGUGCACAGGGCGAAGCUGGACGCCGAAAAGCUGGUGAAGGAGGGGCCGCCGGAGGGCAAGGAGCAUCGCCACCCCGAAAAGUAUUAUGAUAGUGUCCUGAAGGGUGCUCGCCUUGUGGCGGAGGAAUGUGCUAAGGAUGUAAUAUUUGAAUGAAUGUACUCAUGUGAUCCUGUAAUAUGAAACGAGUUCAUUUGCGUACGCAAUGCUUGUUAAUUUAAAAUAUUACCUUCUAUGCGGCCGUUUAUAAAAUCUGAGAGUUGGCCAGUCGUCGGCUUCUGCCCCCAUGUAACUAGUACUAAGGUGUUCGGGGUAAACCUGAGCACUCUUUAUCCCAAUUUUGGGUCCUUCGAAGGAGGUGUUUAGCACAAUGAACCAGGCAAUCGGACUAUAAAGCUUUAUCACUCUCACUUAGCCAUAGAAGUCUACAAUUUUAAAUUUUGGCGAAGCCCCUAGUAUUUCGAAGGCCGAAUUUGGGGCACUAUAUACGCCUAAGUCGGGCAAGACGACUCCUUGCCCGAAGCGGAAAGAGACUUUAAGGACUUGAGACCUCUCGAACAGCGACCAGCUCUCGCCUCAUUAUGACAGUCAGUUUUCGGCUUUCUCUACUGAGGUGCUCGUCCGGAAGAACCGGGACACAAUCGCAGUAGUUCUCCCAAGGCUACCUUAGCCGAUAUUGCGGAACGUAAGGUACCAAAACAUGGGAGCCGGGCAAACCCAACUAUUGACCCAAGACAUGAUUCGGAGCUGGUGCAUAUAAUUCUAUAAGUUCGGGGUGCCGCACUGUCGAAAGUGUUCGGACUUCUCACACUGUAUUAUGGGGUAUACUAAAGCCCCUGGCGCACUGGUCAUACCAGGAUGUACGGGUGCAAUUUGUCGUAAAUAAGCAGACAAGGAAAAAAAAGAAAGGGGAAUGCAAUAAUAGACUAACGAUAUGCAUUGUUAUUAAAUAAUACGUCAAAGCGACGGAUACAAGUAGUGCAAUAAGCAAAAAAUAAGACUAUUUGACAUGUCCUAUCCAAGGGCAAGCUGCGUAUGGGUAUGUAAAACAGGUAUUUCGAUCGUUAUCAGAGACCACCUAGGGAUUCCCUUGUACGUCAGAGCGUCUUGCUUCCUUGGUAUUUCCUUACCGCGAUGGGUCCAACAAUUAGAUUGCCGAAAAGGGCUUCCAGAGAGUAAGGUCCUGAAAGAGAGAAAAUGAUAAAGGUAUAUGGCCCCUGGGGCGGUUGAGCCACCUUGUGGGACGUGCCGUAGCUGUGCCUCCGCCUAUGCCCAUGGUAUCUUGAGUGCGUAGUUAUGUACGCGCGGCGCAAAUUUCGCCACUUGACUGGGACUAGGACGGAGGCCGAAUUGCUAGGCGAGCUCAAAACGUGCAUGGCGAUCCUCCUGCGGGGUACCCCGGACUCGCUUGAAGGUGUCCGGGGUCUUUUUCGCCGAAUUGGCGGUUUGCCUAUUAAGGCUGCUUUGCGCUUCUGCUGCGAGGGCUGCAGUGUGCUCCUCCGUGCGGAGCGAGCGCUCUGUGUUUCCAUUAACUGUUAUAACCCCGCGUGGUCCUGGCAUUUUGAGUUUGAGGUAUGCAUAAUGCGGUACCGCAUUGAAUCUGGGAAAUGCGGUUCGUCCGAGCAGUGCGUGAUAGCCGCUGCGAAAGGGGACGAUGCCGAAGAUUAACUCCUCGCGUCGAAAAUUGUCCGGAGAUCCGAAGACCACUUCCAGUGUGAUUGAGUCCGUGCAACAGGCCUCUACACCUGGGAUUACACCUUCAAAGGAGGUUUUGGUGGGUUUGAUCCUCGAGGGGUCUAUGCCCAUUUUGCACACUGUAUCCUGAUAGAGCAGGUUCAGGCUGCUGCCACCGUCCAUAAGGACGCGAGUGAGGUGAAAUCCGUCAAUGAUGGGGUCAAGGACCAAUGCGGCAGAUCCGCCAUGACGGAUACUAGUGGGGUGGUCCCUGCGAUCGAAGGUGAUCGGACAAGAGGACCAUGGGUUCAACUUUGGGGCGACUGGCUCCAUAGCAUAGACGUCCCUUAGUGCACGCUUCCGUUCCCUCUUGGGAAUAUGGGUUGCGUAUAUCAUGUUCACCGUUUUCACUUGUGGAGGGAACCUCUUCUGUCCUCCAAUGUUCGGCGGCCGAGGCUCCUCCUCGUCGUCGCUAUGGAGCCCCUUGUCCUUGUUUUUGGCAUUUAACUUGUCGGCCUGCUUGAAUACCCAGCAUUCUCUGUUGGUGUGAUUGGCUGGCUUAUCGGGGGUGCCAUGAAUUUUAACGAGCAAUCGAGUAUACGGUCCAAACUGGACGGGCCCGGAUUGCUUGUUUUGAACGGCUUCUUCCGCUGACCGGAUUUAGAGCCACUGAAUCCGGCAUUGACUGUCGUGUCUUCGGCGUUGUCGCCGUUGUUGUGGCGCUUGUGUCUGUUGCGACGUGGUCUGCCAAUAGUAUCUUUGGCGUCUGAAUUGCCGGGAUUUCUUGAUGUGCUGUUGCUGCGAGCUAGCCAGCUGUCCUCGCCCGCGCAAAAGCGGGUCAUGAGUGUCGUGAGGGCUGCCAUGGACUUCAGCUUCUCUUGGCCGCGGUGUCAGGCGAGCCACUCGUCCCGGAUGUUAUGUUUAAAUGCCGCUAAGGCCUCGGCAUCCGGACAGUCGACAAUUUGGUUCUUUUUAGUUAGGAACCGAGUACAGAAUUUCCUGGCCGAUUCCCCUGGCUGUUGGGUUAUGUGGCUCAAGUCAUCAGCAUCUGGUGGUCGCACAUAAGUGCCCUAGAAGUUGUCAAGGAAUGCGUCUUCCAAAUUCUCCCAACUGCCAAUGGAGUUUGCUGGCAGGCUAUUCAGCCAAUGUCGAGCUGGUCCUUUGAGUUUUAGUGGGAGGUACUUGAUGGCAUGUAGAUCGUCAUCGCGGGCCAUGUGGAUGUGGACGAGGAAAUCCUCGAUCCAUACCGCGGGGUCUGUUGUACCAUCAUAUGACUCAAUGUUCACGGGUUUGAAUCCUUCUAGGAAUUCAUGAUCCAUUACUUCAUCGGUGAAGCAUAGUGGGUGUGCAGCGCCUCUGUGCCGGGCUAUGUCACGACGCAGUUCAUACGAGUCUUGUCUGCUGUAUUCGGCCCCGCCGGAUUUGCUUUUAGUGUAUCCGGCAUGACGAUCAUCAUCACACAUUGGGGCGCGACCCCGUGAUCCGUAGAUCGAUCUUGUUUGUCCUGCUCUGUUUUCCUAUACGUCUCGCAGGUCCCGCGUGUUGCCCCAGGCCUUGGUAUUUAUGUUUGAAUGGCGGCGGGGUGCGGGCUGGACUUCGGGCUGAUAUGCCCCUCUGUCUCGGCCACGAGGUGGCCGAUCAGCCGCAUCAUACGCUGGUGAUGUAGGUUUUAAUGCUUCCUCCUCGAUUUGGGGUAGCAACCUGCGCUUUGGGUAACUCUUGGUUGGGCGCUCGAGUUCGUAUUCCUCUACCUCCAGGACUUCAGUCCAUCUAUCCGCUAGCAGAUAUUGAUCAGCUCGAAGCUGUUGUUGCUUUUUCUUCAGGCUGUUUGUUGUAGCUAUAAGCCGACGCUUGAAGCGCUCCUGCUUGACGGGAUCCUCAGGCACGAUAAAUUCUUCGUCGCCGAGGCUCACCUCGUCUUCGGAGAGAGGCAUGUAAUUGUCAUCCUCUGAUUCUCCGUCUGCUGCCUAUUCCGGAGGGCUAGCUUGUUCAUCCUCUCGCUCGAGGUCUGGCUGGAGGGGAUUGUCGUCGUCUUUGGCACUAUCCGGAGCGUUAUUGUCUCUUGUGCCGGUAUCGCUGCUUUUGCUAUGGCGGGACUUAGAGCGGCGCCGCUGACGUCGGUGCUUGGGUUGCUUCUUGGAGGGAUUAUCCUCGGUUGUCUUAUCGCCGUCGCCUUCUUUGGGGGUGUCCACCAUGUAUAUAUCAUAUGAUGAGGUGGCAGUCCAGCGCCCUGUGGGCGGUGGUUCCUGUUCGUCUCCUGUAUCGUCGUCCAUACCGUCGAUGUUUUCGGAGCCGAAAUCGAGCAUGUCGGUUAAAUCGUCGACAGUGGCUACUAAGUGGCUGGUGGGUGGGGAGCGAAUUUCUUCGUCGUCCGCAUCCCAUUCUAGCCAGACAUAGUUCGGCCAAGGGUCUCCUGACAAGGAGAGAGACCUCAAUGAGUUCAGCACGUCGCCCAGUGGUGAGUGCUGAAAGAUAUCCGCGGAGGAAAACUCCAUAAUCGGUGCCCAAUCAGAUUCGAUAGGCACAUACGCAGGCGGCUCAGAGCCCGUGGCCGGGGAUGAAUCCAGGUGUCCGGCGACACAGGUCUCAUAGGAGGUGAAGUCAGUAUUCGGCUCUAUCGCCACUCAGUGUGUGGCCUCCGAGGCGGGGUCCAUCCACCCGUCCUCGGACGGCGCAAUCGACUCCGGAUCUAGGGCCGGAGUAGCCAUGGGUGUGAUCUCCCGAACACCGUCCGGCGGCAGAGCUAAGUCGUGCUCGUCGUGACUGUGCGGCGCACCUGACAUGGGCUCGAAUCCGUCAAAGAUAAAGUCUCCGCGGAUGUUGGCACUGUAGUUUAAAUUUCCAAACCUGACCUGACAGCCAGGGGCGUAGCUCUCGAUCUGCUCCAGAUGGCCAAGCGAGUUGGCCCACAGUACGAAGCCGCCGAAUACAAAGAUCUGUCCGGGGAGGAAAACCUCACCCUGGAUCGCAUCGUUGGCGAUGAUUGAAGGAGCCAUCAAGCCUUUAUCGCGACGGCAGAGUGGAACUCUCAAUGAAAGCACCAAUGUCGGUGUCAAAACCGGCGGAUCUCGGGUAGGGGGUCCUGAACUGUGCGUCUAAGGCGGCUGGUAACAGGAGGCGGGGGACAUGAUGUUUACCCAGGUUCGGGCCCUCUCGAUGGAGGUAAUACCCUACUUCCUGCUUGAUUGAUCUUGAUGAUAUGAGUAUUACAAGAGUUGAUCUACCACGAGAUCGUAGAGGGUAAACCUUAGAAGCUAGCCUAUGGUAUGAUUGUUGUUGUCCUAGGGACUAAACCCUCCGGUUUAUAUAGACACAGGAGGGGGCUAGGGUUACACAGAGUCGGUUACAAGGGAGGAGAUCUACAUAUCCGUAUUGCCAAGCUUGCCUUCCACGCCAAGGAGAGUCCCAUCCGGACACGGGACGGAGUCUUCAAUCUUGUGUCUUCAUAGUCUAACAGUCCGCCUAAAGUAUAUAGUCUGGCUGUCCGAGGACCCCCUAAUCCAGGACUCCCUCAGGGUAUCCCUCACCGGUGGCCAUCUUCAUCAUCCCGGCGCUCUCCAUGACGAAGAGGGAGUAGUUCACCCUCGGGGCUGAGGGUAUGUACCAGUAGCUAUGUGUUUGAUCUCUCUCUCUCUCUCGUGUUCUUGAUUCAGCACGAUCUUGAUGUAUCAUGAGAUUUGCUAUUAUAGUUGGAUCUUAUGAUGCUUCUCCCCCUCUACUCUCUUGUAAUGGAUUGAGUUCUCCCUUUGAAGUUAUCUUAUCGGAUUGAGUCUUUAAGGAUUUGAGAACACUUGAUGUAUGUCUUGUCGUGCUUAUCUAUGGUGACAAUGGGAUAUCACGUGAUCCACUUGAUGUAUGUUUUGGUGAUCAACUUGCGGGUUCCGCCCAUGAACCUAUGCAUAGGGGUUGGCACACGUUUUCGUCUUGACUCUCUGGUAGAAACUUUGGGGCACUCUUUGAAAUACUUUGUGUUGGUUGAAUAGAUGAAUCUGAGAUUGUGUGAUGCAUAUCGUAUAAUCAUGCCCACGGAUACUUGAGGUGACAAUGGAGUAUCUAGGUGACAUUAGGGUUUUGGUUGAUUUGUGUCUUAAGGUGUUAUUCUAGUACGAACUCUAUGAUAGAUUGAACGGAAAGAAUAGCUUCAUGUUAUUUUACUACGGACUCUUGAAUAGAUCGAUCAGAAAGGAUAACUUUGAGGUGGUCUCGUACCCUACCAUAAUCUCUUCGUUUGUUCUCCGCUAUUAGUUACUUUGGAGUGACUCUUUGUUGCAUGUCGAGGGAUAGUUAUAUGAUCCAAUUAUGUUAUUAUUGUUGAGAGAACUUGCACUAGUGAAAGUAUGAACUCUAGGCCCUGUUUCCUAGCAUUGCAAUACCAUUUACGCUCACUUUUAUUAUUAGUUACCUUGCUGUUUUUAUAUUUUCAGAUUACAAAAACCUAUAUAUACCAUCCAUAUUGCACUUGUAUCACCAUCUCUUCGCCGAAUUAGUGCACCUAUACAAUUUACCAUUGUAUUGGGUGUGUUGGGGACACAAGAGACUCUUUGUUAUUUGGUUGCAGGGUUGUUUGAGAGAGACUAUCUUCAUCCUACGCCUCCCACGGAUUGAUAAACCUUAGGUCAUCCACUUGAAAGAAAUUUGCUACUGUCCUACAAAGCUCUGCACUUGGAGGCCCAACAACGUCUACAAGAAGAAGGUUUUGUAGUAGAUAUCAGGGGGAGGGGGGUGAAACCGCCCCGCCGCCGCCGUCCCCGAGCGCGGCGCGGCUUCGCUGGCCGGCCCUCCGGCGGCAGCGAUGCGGGGGGAGGGGGGCACUGGCGGAGGAAGGCUACCGGUGGCGAUGAAGGUUUCCCCCGUAUCGCCUGUUGCGGGCGACGCGGGGGCAGGGUUGACCAGCUCGAGGAUUUCGGCUGAGCUGUAGAACGUAUGAAAUAUUGAAGGAAAACAAAAACAUGAGAAUCAACAGAUAUUGGAGAAGUUGGUACAGAGUGGUACAUGGAAAGGAAAUUUUACUUUUACUGGAGGUUGAAUGAAGUUAUGUUUACACCUUCCAUUUCACUUUGUGGGCACUCCGAAGUUGCAAAGAAAAAAUAUAUAAAAUAUCAUCAUUCGUACGCAUUUAUAUGCAGGUAAUGAAAAUGGCUCCACCUAAUUAUAAGAUUAUUAAGCACUUUUAGUACCCGGGAGUCCCUGGUACUGUGAAGAUGAUAUUAAGACUAAUUAAUGGACAUGGAUUUGUUCUGAUCACACAAAGAUAGCUCAAACACCCAUCCGCUUACUUGCUUGCAUUUCAAAAGAUUGAUAACCACAUUUCAUCAUUUUUCCCCACUUCUCCACCUUGCUGGUGAUAUAUAUCCAGCUUCCGCAUAUAUGAUAUUUUUCACUCUAGCACUUUCAGCUUCUUUUUGAAAUGAAGAGUACUUUUCUUGCUGAUGCAGCAACAAUAGUAAGUCAGAGCUUUCUUAGGCCUUGUACAAUGCAAGGUGCUUUGAGAAAUAAACUAGGCUUUCCUUAAGCACCGAUACUUAUUUGUACAGGAUACUUUAUUAAUUUUUCUCACAAGAUCUUACAAAGUCAUACAACAGUAAGACUAAAGCCGCCGUCUAAGCAACAAACUGUCGCUACACCUAUCCAGUUGAUGAAGGGACGCAGAUAGCCUGGGCCUAAUACCAAACAGACAUCGCAUCCAAGCCUAACAUCUAAGACCUGAGACCCCAACCUAGCCACUUGCCGGGUCUGGGGCACACACUGGUCCGGCGUGCUCUCAGAGGCCGCCGCCGCCAACUGCCACCGCUCCAUCUUCAGAAUUGUACUGAUGCAUCAACCUUACUCGGUCUAGCUAUCGUCGACGCCACCACUGCGCCCAGCGGCACCUCCUCCCUGCCCGCAAACAACUGAGCACAUCGCGGUCGCCACUGAUACACCUCAGCACCAUGCUGCCAAGUACCACCAGCUGACACAGCUUGAAGUCCUUGGAAGAUCUUUCAUGCGUAGCACCUGCCGACCAAGUAUGACAAAGUGUAGCACCUGUCGGUCAGGCAUGACUUGACAUCUCCACCGAAGCUCCGUGCAAGACGAAGCCGCUCCACCUCCUGCCUCUGACUUCCAGCGCUGCUCCACAAACGAUGCUCCCAAGAGAGAAACGAGACAGCGGUGCCACAAUCGUCCGAUCUGGAACACCAGAUCCUAGAGUUUCCCGUGGAGCAGCACGAGUGGGUCGACAGUAGUUACACGAUGAUGCCUCCAUCAAGGUAACGACGAGAACGCCGCCAUCGCCUACCGUCGGCUCGAUUUUCACCGGCAACCAUGUCUCCCCUACUCGCAGUCGGGACUAGAUGAUGGAUCUCGAGAUCCGAUCACCAAGCCUCUGGCCGGCCAUCUCUGGAAGAAGAUGACCACCACGUCCACCAGCGUCACCACACCGGGCACGCGUUGCCGCCGGCACCCCCAUGGUGCCUAGAGGCCGACAAGCCCCGACGAACACCACGCCUCGCCAGCCGCCAUAGCCCAGGCCCAAGCACCACCAGAUCCAGAUCAGAUCGGGGUCAAGGGCCCCAAGCCGCAGCCGUCGCGGAGGCAGCACCACUAGACGGUGCCCUGCCCUCCACCCCGCUGUAGGAUCGAGUCAUCGCCGGAGCUCCGCCACGCCACGCCGCCAAGACGCCGCCGGAAGAACUCGCGCCGCCGCUAGGGGAGAGAGAGACGCGCUAGGGAGAGGCCCCGCCGCUGGCACUGCCUUGGCUUUGCCCGGCUGUGUCCCUCGGCGGCGGCGAGGGGGGAGGGAGGGUGGAGGAGGGCCGGCGGCGGAGGGGGCUAGGGUUCCCCCGAGUCGCCUCAGAGAGGGACGCAGGCGACGGGGUGAGAAAACUGAGAGAGUGGAUAUGGCCUUUACUCGAGCUCAUGGGGUGGCCCGACUGCUGGUGAGUGUUCUCGAUAUUGAGUUCGUGCCUGAUGUGGUUAAGUGGACAUAUAGGGGACAGAUUUUCAACCUCGAGAUUGAGUUUGAGGAUGCCGCUCUCUUCGCUGAGGCUAUCAAUGGGACUGAUGUAGAUAUGCACGAGGGUGAUGACAGCUCGGGUGCUAAGGAGGCACCGGUUGAUGAUGUUGGACGAGAGUUGUCCAACUAAUCGGGGCCCGUUCCUCAGACGCCCAGGGACGGGACGGCACCAUCCUCUUCGGUGCCUAUGAGUUCUCUGAGAUUUGGGUCGUUUGAGCCAGCUUCUGCUCCUCCCAGACUCUGGAGUGACCGGGUGGAGUCCGAUGACGUGUUUGAGCGCACGCUACCUACCCUGGAUUUUGUUGCUGCUGAUAGUCCCGUGCUUGGAGGUUUGGAGGGGAUUAUCUCUGUGCAGACCUCGGUAAGGGGAGGGGAGGCGGAGCUUGGGCAGGUGGCCCCUCUUUCCCCCGCUCUCCCUGCGGUGUCACCUCGGGAGACGGAGUCGACUAUGGAGGCUGUCCCUAGGGAGGGAGUCCAUGGCAGGUGGCCUCGGCUCCUUCUUCUCUUCUCGCGGUGCCGGAGCUGCAGAUGGCGGUUGUGCUUAGGGGAGGCGGUCCAGGGCAGGUGGCCUCGGCCCCCUCUUCACCUCUGGCGGCUAGGGAGGCCACACCCCCUAUGGCGCCGGAGACCUCUUCUAGCCAGAGGGCUGGGGCGGGAGGAGCGUACGGGCAGGCGGCCCACGCGCUUCCCUCUCCCGGCGCGCCAACGUCCCAGGGCCUCGGUUCGAGGUGGACGUCAGUGGGGCCGGGGAGGUCCCCGCCGCUGCCCCCGGCAGCUCCCGCCGACUCUUCGACGUGUGCAGCUUCGCGGUGUGCUGGGGGUGAGGCCGGUGGCUUUACUCCGAGCGGGGUCACUCGGGAGGAGGUCAUCGCCUUUGGAGGGAUUCUAGAUCCUGUCUCUGCGGGGCGACGGAUGAGCUGUCGUCUCUAGGAUCAUCCGGAGGUUGAUGACAUGCAGCAGCGGUGCGCCAUGAGGGCGGCCAAGCUUCGUGACAUUGAGGUCACUACUGGUAUGUCGGUCAACACUUCUAAUUCCAUUCUGCAUUUUUCUAAUAAUGAGAUUAUUAAUAAUUCAAAUCAAUUGGGAGUUUCACUAGGUAGUAAUGAUAGUGAAAUUUCUAACUUUGUAAAUGAUAUCCUGGAUUUGGAAGCGGAACGCGCUUUAGAAAUGAUUCAAAACUUAGCAGCGGUUAAACCCAUGAAUGAUGCAGAUAUCGAUGCGUUGGGGGUCAGGGUGCUCGAUAAUUUUUGUGCAGAUCUUGCACCAUCCAUUCCUGAGUCAGAGGAAGAGGAUAACACUUUUGAGGCUGCCGUAGAUCGAUCCAUGGAGCCCGGUUGUGAGGACUGGGUGGAGGAUCAAAACAAACCUAAACGCAAGUGGAAGCGGAAGAUCUACCCUGCUUCGGCGGUGCGUAGGAGUGCUAGGAUCCGUACUAUUAAAACAUUUCAUGAUGAAAUAUGAAAGGAAUCUUUUGGAAUAGCAGAGGUCUGAAAGACUUGGCUAAAAGAAGGUUUCUUGCAGAUGCGUCUAUCGAGCAUAGGUUGGAUUUUAUCACUCUCUCGGAAACUGGUAGAGAUAAUUUUUCGCCCCAGUUUCUCAGUACUUUAUCGGGAGGUGUUGAUUUCAAUUGGCACUGCCUGCCUCCGAGAGGAAGAUCGGGUGGGAUCUUACUUGGAGUGAGAUGCGAUUCGCUAGAAGUCUGAAGUGUAGUGAUGGGAGAUUUCACAAUUAAGUUCCGGGUUAGGUCGAAAGCCAACGGGUUUAAUUGGGCUCUGAUGGCGGUUAUGCUCCCGCGCAGCCCGAUCUCAAACCAGAGUUCUUGGCGGAUCUUGUUCAAAUUUGCGGCUCUGAGCAGCUCCCAAUCCUGGAUGGGGGUGAUUUCAACAUCAUUAGGAGGAGAGAGGAAAAGAAUAAUGAUAAUUUCGACGGCAGGUGGUCGUUUAUGUUUAAUACCAUUAUUGAAAGCUUGGAUCCUAGAGAGAUAGAGCUUUCGGGUAGAAAAUUCACCUGGGCUAAUACUUUGCCAAAUCCGACGUUUGAGAAGCUGGAUCGAGUCCUAGUGAGCGUCGAAUGGGAACAGAUAUUUCCUUUGGUAACGGUCCAGGCUCUUUCGCGUGGUAUUUCUGACCACACGCCUUUAUUUGUGGACUCUGGUGAGCCAACCCACAUGGGGAACAAAAACUCCUUUUCUUUCGAGCUGGCAUGGUUUGAACGAGAAGGCUUCUUGGAUAUGAUAGCCAGGGAAUGGGCUAAGGAUGCAGGAGGUAGGACUUCGAUUGAGCGCUGACAGAAUAAGAUAAGGCACUUGAGAAGUUUCUUGCGUGCGUGGGCUAAGCAUCUUAGUGGGGUUUAUAAGGUCGAAAAGGAAAGGCUCCUUACACUUAUUCAGUCUCUAGAUUUAAAAGCCGAGUCCACAAUUUUGCAAGCCACAGAGCUUCAUGAUAAACUGGAGGCGGAGAUGAGAUUGAAAGAGCUUCUCCGUGAAGAGGAAUUAAAGUGGGCGCUGCGGGCUAAGGUUCGCAAAGUUGUCCAGGGGGACGCGAAUACUCAAUUCUUUCACAUGAUCGCUAAUGGCAAGCACAGAAAGAAUAGAAUCUUUCAGCUUGAACCAAGAUGAAGGAACGAUUUUAGGACAGGAAAACCUAAAAUUAUACAUAACCGAAUACUACAAGCAGUUGUUUGGGCCUCUGGAGGAUAAUUGUGUAUCCCUGGAUGAGUCUAGGAUUGAGGAUGUGCCUCAACUUACUGCUGAUGAGAAUGAUAUUUUGAUUGCCCCUUUUUCGGGGAAAGAGGUGUUUGAAGCCAUUACACAGAUGAAAAACAAUAAGGCUCCAGGGCCGGAUGGAUUUCCGGCGGAAUUCUAUAAAAAGUGUUGGCAUAUUAUUAAGGGGGAUUUGCAACCAAUGUUCCAUGAUUUAUUCUCUGGACAGCUUCAGUUAUUUCACUUGAACUUUGGAAUGAUAACAUUGCUUCCUAAGAAAACAAAGGCUGUGAGAAUUGAGCAGUUCAGGCCGAUCUGUCUUCUCAAGGUUAGUUUCAAAAAUUUCACAAAGGUUGGGACUAAUAGGCUCACGCAGACUGCGCAUUCUGUGGUGCAGCAUUCCCAAACUGCUUUCAUGCCGGACAGAAACAUCCUAGAAGGGGUUGUGGUCCUUCAUGAAACGCUCCACGAAAUUCACACGAAAAAACUAGAUGGAGUUGUUUUCAAGGUGGAUUUCGAGAAAGCGUACGAUAAAGUCAAAUGGCCUUUCCUUCAACAGGCCUUACAUAUGAAAGGUUUUGAUGAAGCCUGGCGACGCCAGGUAGAAUCUUUCACGCAAAAAGGGAGUGUUGGAAUUAAAGUGAAUGACGACAUAGGUCAUUAUUUCCACACACAUAAGGGCCUGAGACAAGGGGUUCCGAUGUCUCCUAUUUUGUUCAACAUUGUAGUUGAUAUGUUGGCAAUUCUAAUAGGAAGGGCUAAGGAGGUUGGUCAGGUGGGUGGCUUGGUGUCUCAUCUAGUUGAUGGAGGUGUGUCUAUCCUACAGUACAGCGAGAAAUAUGAAGCUGGUGUUAUGCUUAUUUGAACAAUUGACCGGGUUAAAGAUUAACUUUCACAAAAGCAAAUUGUUCUGCUUUGGAAGAGCCAAUGAGGAACAAGAGGCUUAUAGGCAAUUGUUUGGGUGCGAAUUGGGGACCUUACCAUUUACGUAUUUAGGUAUACCAAUUCACCAUCGUAAGCUGACAAACACAGAAUGGAAGUGUAUCGAGGAUCUCUUUGAGAAGAAACUGAGUUGCUGGAAGGGCAAGCUCAUGUCAUACGGAGGCCGAUUAAUUCUGAUUAAUUUGGUUCUCACGAGUAUGCCUAUGUUUCUCUUGUCUUUGUUCGAAGUCCCAGUUGGAGUUAGGAAAAGGCUGGACUUCUAUCGAUCCCGAUUCUUCUGGCAGAGCGAUGAACUAAAAAGAAAAUACAGACUCACCAAAGGGAUAUUAUCUGUCGACCGAAAGACCAAGGGGGUCUUGGCAUUGAAAAUCUUGAGGUCAAGAACAGAUGUCUUCGCAGCAUGUGGCUGUCUAAGUUAUCUGUAGAGAUCGAUGCCACAUGGGCGCAGAUUCUUAGUAGUAAGUAUCUUCAUUCCAAAACUUUGUCCCAGGUGACAGCGAGGCCGACAGACUCACCUUUUUGGAAAGGGCUUAUGAUAGUCAAAUUAGCCUUUUUUAAUAGGACAAAGUUUAUUAUCGUCAAUGGCGCUAGCACGCGAUUCUGGGAGGAUACUUGGCUCGGAGAGACCCCCUUGCACUUCAAUACCCGUCUCUGUAUCGUAUUGUUCAACGACGUGAUGCUUUCGUUGCAACGAUACUUCAAUCCAUCCCCCUUAAUAUUUAGGUCAGGAGGACGCUAGCCGGUAAUCGUUGGGAAGAGUGGCUCCAUCUAGUGAGUAGACUGAUGGAGGUUCAGCUGUCUCAACAGCCCGAUCAAUUACGCUGGAAACUUACUAGGUCUGGAGAGUGUACAGUUAAAUCAAUGUAUCUCGAUGUGAUCAAUUCUAGCUCUAUUCCUAGUUCCAAAUAUGUUUCGACAGUCAAAGUUCCAUUGAAAAUUAAAGUGUUUACGUGGUUUGUACAUAAACAAGUCAUCUUAACCAAGGACAAUUUGGCAAAGCGUAACUGGACAGGACCUACUAAGUGUAGUUUUUGUGAUCGGGAUGAAACUAUCAAACACCUUUUUCUUGAUUGCUCGAUGGCCAAAGUUCUAUGUCGGACAGUCCACAUAGCCUUUGACAUUUCCGAGUUCUGUUAGCACGUUAUUUGGAACGUGGCUUAAUGGGAUAGAGUCCGAAACAGCGAGACACAUUCGCGUAGGAGUAUGUGCUUUAUUGUGGGCAGUCUGGAACUGCAGAAAUGAUUUGGUUUUUAACAGAACAACAAAUAUUCAUUUUUUGCAGGUUAUCUUCCAAGCCACUGCGUUGAUCCGUACGUGGUCACUACUCACUCCGACGGAGGCCAGGGAGCGUUUGGUUACUGGAUCUAUCCGGUGGGAGAUGGUAGCACGGGAUAUCUUCAACCGGUUUGAAUGGCGGUCAUGUAAUAGGAUAGGCAAUUAGUUUACCUAUCUUUCUUAUGCCGGCCGAUUGUGGCUUUUUGGCUAGUUUGUUAUUGGCCCUUUGGCUCUUUAUGAGCUUUCCUUUACUUUCGUUUGAGACUUUAAGACCUUGUUAAACCUAUUUGCUUUUUUAUAAAGUUGGCCGUAUGCAUCGUUCUGAUGCAGAGGCCGGGGAGCCCCCACUUUUCGAAAAAAAACCUCUUGUUAUCUUGUAUUCUUGUGUGACAAUGCUCGAAGAAUAUAAAAGGGCUAGGUGGAAAGACCCCCAUAUCGAAAACUUGCCUACCUACGAGUUUUAUAGACACAGAGCCUCAUUGGAUUGUACUAGAUGGAGCCUCCAGUGAGAGCUGAAGACGAGGCGAUGAGCACGGAGGAGCUGCUCCAAGCCCAGACGGAUCUCUACCACCACUCCCUAGCCUACAUCAAAUCUAUGGCGCUCGGUGCCGCCACAGAACUCAGCGUCGCCGACGCCAUCCACGGCCGUGGCGGUGCCAUCACCUUGUCUGACCUUGCGGCCGCGACCGGCGUCCACCCGACGAAAGUCCAACACUUCGGGCGGCUGAUGCGCGCGCUUACCGUCACUGGUGUCUUCACCUCGGAAGAAAAAGAAGGCGGUGGUGGUGCCCUGUACAAGCUCACUCGGAUUUCACGCCUCCUUCUCGGAGUCGGCAAGCGUCGGCUCUCCCCGAUGGUGCGUAUGCUUGUCAGCGAGGUCAGUUUCACUACUCCCAUGAGCAUCUGCGAGUGGAUCACCACUGAGACGCCGGCCAGGGCCAUGUUCGAGGCCCAUUUUGGCUCUACGCAAAAUGGGUUGUGGGAGAAGGACGACGCGUAUGGUGCCCCCUUCUACUCAGCAAUGGCUGCGGACAGCCGUCUCGUCAUGGAGGUUCUGCUGAGAGAGUGCAGCAGCGUCUUUGAGGCCGUUGCCGGCUCACUUGUCGAUGUCGGCGGCGGCAGCGGAGGAGUCGUGGCUGCCGCCAUUGCCACAGCGUUCCCUCACAUCAAGUGCUCCGUGCUGGACCUCCCCAACGUGGUAGCCGCGGCUGACGACACCACCAACGUGCAGUUUGUCUCCGGCGAUAUGUUUGACUACAUUCCACCAGCGGAUGCCGUUCUACUCAAGGUACGUACUUACAUAGUACUCCCUCCGUAAGGAUAUAUAAGAGCAUUUAGAUCAUUAUUAUUUUAGUGAUUGAUCCAAACGCACUUAUAUUUCUUUACAGAGGGAGUAGCACAUACAAAUGCAGCAAGCUAUCCAUUUCUUAUAUAUAUAAUGAACCAAAUUAAUCAACCAAUCCUUCCUAUAAAUUUUGUAGUGGAUUUUGCAUGACUGGGAAGACCAAGACUGCGUCAAGAUACUGCGCAAGUGCAGAGAGGCCAUCCGCACAAGAGGUGCUGGGGGGAAGGUGAUUAUAAUCGAUUUCGUCGUCGGUGCUGGUUCUUGCAAGGAGACGGAGACACAGGUUCUGUUUGAUCUUUACAUGAUGAUGGAGAAUGGGGCUGAGCGGGACGAGCAAGAGUGGAGCAAGAUUUUCUUUGAAGCUGGAUUUAGUGACUACAAGAUCAUGCCAGUCUUAGGCGCUCGUUCACUCAUUCAAGUAUUCCCAUGAAUUCUGGCGGUUUGAUGUCCAAAUGUACUUCCUGUUUCCAAAUGUUUGUUUGCUUUCACAUCAGAAUAAUGCCUAGGACUAUACUAUAUAGUCUCGACUUUGAAUCUGAAUAAUGAAACUGUUUGUUAUCCUACGUGUUGUUUUCGUUCAUAAUUCAUAUGCUCACAAUGAAAUACAGUCUGCUAUUUUUGUUUACAUUAAAUUAUACUUUACCUAGCAAUAUGGUAAACAGGCUCACUUAGCAGAGGCUGGCUUGUUCGCUUAUUCGCCGCCCUAGGAAUGCGAGCUCCUUGCCGAAAUGAAAUUCUAGUAGCACUGGUUACUAUCGGGUCCUGCAUGUUCGUCAUUUGUGCAAGUAAACACAAUGCAUACGAGUACUCUACUGAAUUGAACUUUUUUGUAUUGUUUUCAUUGGACCAUCCACUGUAUAGUAACAGAGUAUUUAUUGCACACAGACUAUUUUAUUCUUUCAACCCAUAGUUCAUCCACCCACACUUUUAGUCUGAUUCUAAAAUUUGUAACACUUUUAAAUUUUGAACUUGUUCUGAACAAGUAAAAUUCCAAAUUUGACACCAUAAUGAAACUUAUGUCAAAUGUGAGAUCAUAUGAAAUGAAACUGAAGUGAACCAAUAAUAAAAAAUGCAAAAAUAAUUUAAUAAACCAUAAUAAAACUUAUAUCAAAUUUGAGAUGAAACAUAGACGAAUUGUGGAUUGAAACAAUAACGAAAACAAGCUAAGGGGAAUCUAUGAAUAAAUAAUGAGAACAUGUAAAAUUACGAUGACACGGAAAUGAUAUCGUAUGGAAAAUAUGCUAAGAGAACACUUUCAUUGGCCAGCCCAACCAUGAAAGGUAAUUUAACAAAAUGAUAUGAAACUUAUUUGAAAGCUCGAAAAAUAGAAAUAAAACCAGAAUGAAAAUAAUAAUGAAACAUGUAAAAAUACGAUGAAACACAUAUGUAAAAAUAAGGCCGCGAGAUCGUCGUCCUCUGAGUUGGAAGUUUAUGGUGAAGGUGACGUGGGAUCCAUUGCAGGCGCGCCCGGGGUCUGGUGUGGUUGUGGAACACAUAUGUGGAGAUCAUAGUAGCGGUGAAUGACGAACGUGAGCGCUCCGAAGAAUAUGGUGCAGGAAGGAGAAGUCGGUCUGUUAGUGUAGAACCGGCCUUCUGCGAUGAAGGUGAGGAAGCCGAUGGUUAAGCCGUGAGAUUGCCAGCCGUUAUUGAGGAUCUGAUCUAGAGUCGGUCCCCAGCUGACAUAGCCCCUUCCUGUGCUAACUGAUGGUAUGGGAAUUUGCGAGUAUCCUUUGUAGGGUGGCGAACAUGUCCGGAAGUACAAGAAGGGAGUUCGCCAAGGGGGUUUUCCAGAUUUGCGCCCUCAUGGCGAGGAAAUACCUUACGUCCUGCUAUUUGUUUUCUAUUGAUGAUGGAGAACGUUGAGCGAGGGGUUACAAGGGACAUAAAUAUGGCCAUAGGAGUAUAGUCUACGGGAGUAGAUUGGAAUCGCUACCCCUAUCCUCACCUUAUAUAGGUGACGGGGCUAGGUUUUACAUGGCGCCUACAUGAUCUCACACUGCCAUCAUCUUGGCUUCCACCCAAGAUGGUCUUCUGGCUUCCAGGACCCCCGGGCUGUCUCUUGAUGCCAGACCUCCUUCAAGACUUUUGGGCCCGAAGGCCGGCCCACUAUUGGGUUCAUAUCUAGUGUGCCAUCCACGUUGUAAUGCACCAUCACCAACCCCGAUUUCUGGGGCCUUAAGAGUGAAGCGAUUCCUAAUUCUUCUUGGUAACAUGCCAAAGUGUUGUGUCCCAAAGGCUCGACUGGGUAUUUUCGUCAUUGCGGUUGAUAUGGAGAAGGGGUGGGUCGCAUGGAGGCAGAAAUGGGUAAAUGAAGACAGAAACGAGGGGCUGGCCUGACAGUGGUUCAUGUAGACGACGAGCAAGAGCAUGUGGCCAAUUUUUCCGCAAGCGUUAGAAGCAUAGCCAUAAUUCCAGAAAUUUUAGUGGCGGCAACUGAAUUUGCCCUAUUAUAAGAAGGUAUUGCCCCACAACGGUGCGCACACGGGUGACCUUCCUCUUGGUCCAAUGACAGGUGGGCCAUGGACUCGCCGGGGGCCAUAUUAAUGGGACAUUGUCUAUCGUGCUCUUGUGAUUUCUCUCUCGGGUGAUGGGCGGGCUAGACCCACCUGUCGGUUUUUUCGGACACCGUUGGGCUGGCUCAGGUGUGCCAGGGGGCCAGGUCAGACUGUGGUGGGCCUAGACCCCGGCGGGUGUGCGUCGUUCAGGAUGGCCGGCCACGCGGGUGUGCCAUGCUGUUUGAUCGCGAGAGCUGGCAAAGCACGGGCACCAGGUUGUUCGGCUUGUGUGAGCGAAACAGGCGACGGUGAGUCUAUCGUCCAAGAGACGGGCCGAAUAUACCGACAGGCGGAUCAGGCUUCCUGCUCUUGUGCAAUACGAUGAGAAAGGGUUCUCGCGGGAGCACCGAGGCCGCUCCAUGAGAGUGGCCCUGCACGCACCCGCGGUCCACCCGUCAUGGACCCCCGAGUGCACGUCCACUAGUUGAAAACGGAGUUUUAUCACCGGUUCGUAAGGGCCUUUAGUGCCGGUUCUGCAACCGGCACUAAAGAGUGGGGACUAAAGGUCCCCCUUUAGUACCGGUUUGGCACGAACCGGCGUAAACGUGCCACCACGUGGCACGAGCCAGGCCUGGGUGCGUGUAGGACAUUAGUACCGGUUGGUAACACAACCGGUACUAAAUGUUUGGGUGUGUUUUGGUUUUAAUUUUUAUUUUUCCUUUAGUUUUGUGUUUUCAAUUUAAUUUAGUGAUUGUUUUACAUUAUAAUGAGUUGUUAAAUCAUUAGGUGAAAGUACCGCAGAUUAGUUUCGACUGGAUGCAUGUGGAUCCUAGCUAAGUGAUAAAGUAUAUGCCAUAUCCAUAUUACUUAGAUCUAAGUAAUAUGGAUAUGGCAUAUAGUUGAUCACUUAGCUAGGAUCCAUCCAGUUGAAACUAAUAUGCGGUUUCUUUCAUAAAUGAUAUAAUAACUCAUCAUCAUCAUCAUCAUAUUAAUAUAAAAACUCUUGCAUCAUAUCAUCACCAACAACAGUAUAUACUAGCUAGCAAAGAUAUCAUCGAGUUCAACAUGGUCAUGAUAUUAUAAGCAUUCAUAACACCACAAAAGCAAAUCACUCUUUGAGAUUAAGUUCAUGACGAAGAACACGGACACGCAUGAGAGGACAAGAAGUACUAAGAGCAUGAUAACUAGCUAAAUCACUCCUGCUGCUCUCUCUCAGGUAAAAUAGCAUAGAACAUGUAUAGCUCUCCUGAUUCAUCAUAUUGGAUCAUGCAGAUGAACCUGUCUCCUAAUCGUGGGCUGCGCUUCUGAUUGCUGCCCCCUAGUACUUCUUUGCGAUCGUUAACAAUUUUGCUCCAAUCUUUCACUAUUAAGCAUUCAUCGCUUUCAGAAAUUCUGAAUGCACUCAUGUGCACUGUAGGAUAUCUUGGCCGUAAGCUAACAAUUGACAUGCGACCUUUAGUCUUGAUCCACUGAGGCACAACUAUUAAGCAUUCAUCGCUUUCAGAAAUUCUGAAUGCACUCAUGUGCACUGUAGGAUAUCUUGGCCGUAAGCUAACAAUUGACAUGCGACCUUUAGUCUUGAUCCACUGAGGCACAACUGUCAUCGGGAGUCCCUGUUGAAGAACAUCGUAUAGUAAUUAAUAUACUUAGCAAUGAAAGUUUAGCUUGAAAAAUAAUGUAUGCAAAAGAUGCACUGAGGACUAAUAGUAAAAAUCUUACCAUCUUUCCUAAAUACAUGUGACCGUAGUUCAAUACGAUCACUAUUGGUCGCACGUUUUGAGUACUAAGAUUUUCAAAUUCAGGAAAAUGAUUUCUCUUAACAGCAUCAAGAUCCUCAAGCCAUGAAACAUAAUGACUUAUCUCCUCGCAGUUUAGUUCAGCCCCGGGACAGUGGAUGGUCCUGUCUACCAAGCGCCGAACAUGUUUGCUUGAAUCAAAAUAAGCUGUCAAUAGAAAUUACUUGUCAACUAUUUUUGAAUAAACAAUAUCGAAGACAUAAAUAUGGUUGAGAAACUCACAUAAUGGUAGAACUGGAGGCAUCUGCACAUCGACCCAGAUAUCUCUAUUACCUUCAAUAUCAUCUUCCGGACGAAUAUCAAAGGUGAUAACCAUAUCAGGCUCAAAUGCAUAAGUCUUGCAUAGUGCUUGCCAAGUUUUGCAUUCAAAAUAGGUGUAUGUGUCUGCAUUGUAUAAUUUGACGUUGAAAGUAUAACCAUGCUCGGUCUUCAGGUAAACUCUCUUUGCCUCCAUAGUUUCCAUAGCACUGAAACCUAUCUUAUCCAAGACAAAAAUUCUUGCAUGGCAGGGGAUGCGCUACUACAAUAGUGAAAAUUAAAAAUUAUAAGUUGAAGCAAAUGAAGCAUAAGUCAUGCUUAAUUAUGAAAAAAGACUUGUCGUUGUGACUUACUGUAUCCACUUCGAAGGUCUCAUCCAGCUUGAUGCUGAAGCGCCUAUCAUCAACAAGGAAAUUUCUGUCGCACAGGCCGCGCUGGUCUUCACAGUAUUCGCACUUAAUGAAAUCUUUUUCGUCGUCAGACGACAUUUCCUAUGUUCAUAUAGGUGAAACAUUAAACACUUACUAGUUCUAUUAAUUCAACUAGUUCAACUACUUCUAUUAAUUCAACUAGUUCUAUCAAUUCAACUAGUUCUAUUAAUUCAACUAAUUCAACUAAGCAUUUACUAAAAAUAAACUAGUUCUAUAUAUAUAUAUAUAUUAAUAUUUUAAUUAGAUCAUCAAAUCUCAAAUACCUAAAUUUUCUUACUAAAAAUAAACCAGUUCUAUUAAUUCAACAAAUUCAACUAAGAAUUUACUAAAAAUGAACUAGUUAUAUUAAUUUUCUUACUAAAAUAUAUAAAGUAGCUAUGUAUAGUAAUAUUUUAAUUAGAUCAUCAAAUCUCUUAUACCUAAAUUUUCUUACUAAAAAUAAACNNNNNNNNNNNNNNNNNNNNNNNNNNNNNNNNNNNNNNNNNNNNNNNNNNNNNNNNNNNNNNNNNNNNNNNNNNNNNNNNNNNNNNNNNNNNNNNNNNNNNNNNNNNNNNNNNNNNNNNNNNNNNNNNNNNNNNNNNNNNNNNNNNNNNNNNNNNNNNNNNNNNNNNNNNNNNNNNNNNNNNNNNNNNNNNNNNNNNNNNNNNNNNNNNNNNNNNNNNNNNNNNNNNNNNNNNNNNNNNNNNNNNNNNNNNNNNNNNNNNNNNNNNNNNNNNNNNNNNNNNNNNNNNNNNNNNNNNNNNNNNNNNNNNNNNNNNNNNNNNNNNNNNNNNNNNNNNNNNNNNNNNNNNNNNNNNNNNNNNNNNNNNNNNNNNNNNNNNNNNNNNNNNNNNNNNNNNNNNNNNNNNNNNNNNNNNNNNNNNNNNNNNNNNNNNNNNNNNNNNNNNNNNNNNNNNNNNNNNNNNNNNNNNNNNNNNNNNNNNNNNNNNNNNNNNNNNNNNNNNNNNNNNNNNNNNNCUGGGGCGGCGAUGGGGGCGGCGACGACGGCGGCGACGACGACGGCGACAGGAUGGGCUGGGGCGCGAUAGGGGCGGCGACGGGGGCGAAGAACAAACUGAAACGAACUGAAAAUAUUCGUAAGUGGUGCUUAUAUAGCGGUGGCCAUUAGUACCGGUUUGAUACUAAAGGCCUAUUUUGGCCAGGCCAAGAGGCGGGAAGAGCAGGCCUUUAGUACCGGUUGGUGGCUCCAACCGGUACUAAAGACCCACCUUUAGUACCGGGUUGGGCUACCAACCGGUACUAAAGGGGGUGCGCUGCCACCCGCGGUGUAGAAAGUUUAGUCCCACCUCGCCGGGCGAAGGGCAGCCGCACUGGUUUAUAAACCCAGCCGCGGCUGCUACUUUGAACUCCCUUGUAAAGCAGGCUUCUGGGCCUAACUAUGGCACGCUGCCCUGUGAGCCUGCUGGCCCUUGUGGGCCUGAAUUUCCACGCCCGUGGUCUUGUAGGCCCAUUGGGAAGCGCCCCAAUAAUUUUUUAUAUAGUUUGUUUCUUUUCUUCUUUAUUUAUUUUCUUCUAUUUAUUUCUGAGUAGUUUUUUAUAUAGUUUUUUCUUUUCUGCUUUUUUUUAUUUUCUUCUAUUUAUUUCGGAUUAGUUUUUUAUAUAUUUUUUUCUUUUCCCCAAAUCGGUAAAUGACUGAAAAAUAGCAAAUGUUGUCAGAAAGUGUUGAAAAUUGAUGACGUCGCUUUGAAUGGUGUGUAUGGAACGCAAAAAAGUCUGGAGUUGUAAUAAGUUUAAAAAAAUGAAGUGCCCAUGUAACAGAUGAGUUCUCGUCAGAAACCCUGAUACUACAAAAAAGAUAGUCCAGUUUGUACACGAAGUGCGUCCAGUUUUUGCCAUAACCCUCUCUACUCUUUUGCACAUGCUAUGUGGGUGAAAUGAUGAUACCAUGCCAAGUUUUGACAUUUUCAGAGUUUAUUUUGUAGUGAUUUUCAAUUUCACGGUCAUUUAACUCUCUAAACAAAUCGGUAAAUGACUGAAAAAUAGCAAAUGAUGUCAGAAAGUGUUGAAAAUUGAUGACGUCGCUUUGAAUGGUGCGUACGGAACGCAAAAAAGUCUGGAGUUGUAAUAAGUUUAAAAAAAUGAAGUGCCAGUGUAACAGAUGAGUUCUCGUCCGAAACCCUGAUACUCCGAAAGAGAUUGUCCAGUUUGUACACGAAGUGCGUCCAGUUUUUGCCGUAAUCCUCUCUACUCUUUUGCACAUGCUGUGUGGGUGAAAUGAUGAUACCAUGCCAAGUUUCGACAUUUUCAGAGUUCAUUUUGUAGUGAUUUUCAAUUUCACGGUCAUUUAGCUCUCUAAACAAAUCGGUAAAUGACUACAAAAGUGCAAAUAAUGUCAGAAAGUUUUGAAAAAUGAUGACGUCGCUUUGAAUGGUGUGUACGGAACGCAAAAAAGUCUGGAGUUGUAAUAAGUCUGAAAAAUCGAAGUGCCAAUGUAACAGAUGAGUUCUCGUCAGAAACCCUUAUACUUCGAAAGAGAUUGUCCAGUUUGUACACGAAGUGCGUCCAGUUUUUGCCGUAACCCUCUCUACUCUUUUGCACAAGCUAUGUGGGUGAAAUAAUGAUACCACACCAAGUUUCGACAUUUUCAGAGUUGAUUUUGUAGUGAUUUUCAAUUUCACGGUCAUUUAGCUCUCUAAACAAAUCGAUAAAUGACUGAAAAAUAGUAAAUGAUGUUAGAAAGUGUUGAAAAUUGAUGACGUCGCUUUGAAUGGUGCGUACGGAACGCAAAAAAAGUCUGUUGUUGUAAUAAGUUUAAAAAAAUGAAGUGCCAGUGUAACAGAUGAGUUCUCGUUCGAAACCCUGAUACUCCGAAAGAGAUUGUCCAGUUUGUACACGAAGUGCGUCCAGUUUUUGCCGUAACCCUCUCUAAUCUUUUGCACAUGCUAUGUGGGUGAAAUGAUGAUACUAUGCCAAGUUUCGACAUUUUCAGAGUUCAUUUUGUAGUGAUUUUCAAUUUCACGGUCAUUUAGCUCUCUAAACAAAUCGGUAGAUGACUAAAAAAUAGCAAAUGAUGUCAGAAAGUUUUGAAAAUUGAUGACGUCGCUUUGUAUGGCGUGUACGGAACGCAAAAAAUUCUGGAGUUGUAAUAAGUUUAAAAAAAUGAAGUACCCAUGUAACAGAUGAGUUCUCGUCAGAAACCCUGAUACUCCAAAAGAGAUUGUCCAGUUUGUACACGAAGUGCGUCCAGUUUUUGCCGUAACCCUCUCUACUCUUUUGCACAUGCUGUGUGGGUGAAAUGAUGAUACCAUGCCAAGUUUCGACAUUUUCAGAGUUCAUUUUGUAGUGAUUUUCAAUUUCACGGUCAUUUAGCUCUCUAAACAAAUCGGUAAAUGACUAAAAAAUAGCAAAUGAUGUCAGAAAGUGUUGAAAAUUGAUGACGUCGCUUUGAAUGGUGCGUACGGAACGCAAAAAAAGUCUNNNNNNNNNNNNNNNNNNNNNNNNNNNNNNNNNNNNNNNNNNNNNNNNNNNNNNNNNNNNNNNNNNNNNNNNNNNNNNNNNNNNNNNNNNNNNNNNNNNNNNNNNNNNNNNNNNNNNNNNNNNNNNNNNNNNNNNNNNNNNNNNNNNNNNNNNNNNNNNNNNNNNNNNNNNNNNNNNNNNNNNNNNNNNNNNNNNNNNNNNNNNNNNNNNNNNNNNNNNNNNNNNNNNNNNNNNNNNNNNNNNNNNNNNNNNNNNNNNNNNNNNNNNNNNNNNNNNNNNNNNNNNNNNNNNNNNNNNNNNNNNNNNNNNNNNNNNNGACUAAAAAUAGCAAAUGAUGUCAGGAAGUGUUGAAAAUUGAUGACGUCACUUUGAAUGGUGCGUACGGAACGCAAAAAAAGUCUGGAGUUGUAAUAAGUUUAGAAAAAUGAAGUGCCAAUGUAACAGAUGAGUUCUCGUCAGAAACGGUGAUACUCCGAAAGAGAUUGUCCAGUUUGUACACGAAGUGCGUCCAGUUUUUGCCGUAAUCAUCUCUAUUCUUGUGCACAUGCUGUGUGGGUGAAAUGAUGAUACCAUGCCAAGUUUUGACAUUUUCAGAGUUCAUUUUGUAGUGAUUUUCAAUUUCACGGUCAUUUAGCUCUCUAAACAAAUCGGUAAAUGACUACAAAAGUGCAAAUAAUGUCAGAAAGUUUUGAAAAAUGAUGACGUCGCUUUGAAUGGUGUGUACGGAACGCAAAAAAGUCUGGAGUUGUAAUAAGUCUGAAAAAAUGAAGUGCCAAUGUAACAGAUGAGUUCUCGUCAGAAACCCUUAUACUUCGAAAGAGAUUGUCCAGUUUGUACACGAAGUGCGUCCAGUUUUUGCCGUAACCCUCUCUACUCUUUUGCACAUGCUAUGUGGGUGAAAUGAUGAUAUCACGCCAAGUUUCGACAUUUUCAAAGUUGAUUUUGUAGUGAUUUUCAAUUUCACGGUCAUUUAGCUCUCUAAACAAAUCGAUAAAUGACUGAAAAAUAGUAAAUGAUGUCAGAAAGUGUUGAAAAUUGAUGACGUCGCUUUGAAUGGUGCGUACGGAACGCAAAAAAAGUCUGUUGUUGUAAUAAGUUUAAAAAAAUGAGUUGCCAGUGUGACAGAUGAGUUCUCGUUCGAAACCCUGAUACUCCGAAAGAGAUUGUCCAGUUUGUACACGAAGUGCGUUCAGUUUUUGCCGUUACUCUCUCUACUCUUUUGCACAUGCUAUGUGGGUGAAAUGAUGAUACUAUGCCAAGUUUCGACAUUUUCAGAGUUCAUUUUGUUGUGAUUUUCAAUUGCACGGUCAUUUAGCUCUCUAAACAAAUCGGUAGAUGACUAAAAAAUAGCAAAUGAUGUCAAAAAGUUUUCAAAAUUGAUGACGUCGCUUUGUAUGGUGUGUACGGAACUCAAAAAAUCUGGAGUUGUAAUAAGUUUAAAAAAAUGAAGUGCCCAUGUAACAGAUGAGUUCUUGUCAGAAACCCUGAUACUUCGAAAGAGAUUGUCCAGUUUGUACACGAAGUGCGUCCAGUUUUUGCCGUAACCCUCUCUACUCUUUUGCACAUGCUGUGUGGGUGAAAUGAUGAUACUAUGCCAAGUUUCGACAUUUUCAGAGUUCAGUUUGUAGUGAUUUUCAAUUUCACGGUCAUUUAGCUCUCUAAACAAAUCGGUAAAUGACUGAAAGAUAGCAAAUGAUGUCAGAAAGUGUUGAAAAUUGAUGGCGUCGAUUUGAAGGGUGCGUACGGAACGCAAAAAAAGUCUGGAGUUGUAAUAAGUUUAAAAAAAUGAAAUGCCAGUGUAACAGAUGAGUUCUCGUCCGAAACCCUGAUACUCCGAAAGAGAUUGUCCAGUUUGUACACGAAGUGCGUCCAGUUUUUGCCGUAACCCUCUCUACUCUUUUGCACAUGCUAUGUGGGUGAAAUGAGGAUACCAUGCCAAGUUUCGACAUUUUUAGAGUUCAUUUUGUAGUGAUUUUCAAUUUCACGGUCAUUUAGCUCUCUAAACAAAUCGGUAAAUGACUAAAAAAUAGCAAAUGAUGUCAGAAAGUUUUGAAAAUUGAUGACGUCGCUUUGAAUGGUGUGUACGGAACUCAAAAAAGUCUGGAGUUAUAAUAAGUUUUAAAAAAUAAAGUGCCCAUGUAACAGAUGAGUUCUCGUCAGAAACCCUGAUACUUCGAAAGAGAUUGUCCAGUUUGUACAGGAAGUGAGUCCAGUUUUUGCCGUAACACAAGAAGUCCGGAGUUGUUAUAAGUUAUUAAAGAUAAAAAAGAGGCACAAUGCUCGUUAAUUAGCUUCAAGCCUUUCGGAAUAGUGCAAACUGCACUGCACAUAGCUCCGUGCAGUCUACACUAUUCCUCAAGGCUUAAAGCUAAGCAACGUGUAGAUGAGCAUUUCACGGUCAUUUAGCUCUCUAAGCUAAUCUAGUAGCCAUGUUAAGUCGAUAAUGACGUGGAAUUGUUAUAUGACAUGCAAAUACCUUCUGAGUUAAUGGCACUAGUCAUCAACCCGUGCAACUGCAUGGGCUAGUUUUUUAAACGGUUCAUAGUUACAAUACUUUUCAUGACCACUUGUUUCUUUGCAUCCAGCAAGAAUAUAAAUUUGUUGUGUGUGAACCAUUAAAUGAACAAUUAAUAUGAAAAUAGAAAACUUAUAUCCUGAAAGUUUACAAUCUUCAUAAAAUAUUUAUAUUUUAUUUUAAGACAAACGGGAAAUUAAAAAUCCUACUUAUAGAGAUCCUGAAACAUAAUUCAAAUGUCGCAUAAAUUACGUAAUUUUGAAUGAUAAGUACUAAAAAUGUAAUAAUUUGUUUAGUUAAUAUUAAUCCUUUUUUUAUUUGGGAGUCUACUUAAUCAUGGGGUAUUUUGCAUAAUGCUUAGGCUUGUCAAAUGAAAUAAGCAUUUCAUAACAACAGUGUACCUCCCUACAGUUUAAUAACAAACUUACUCUACAAACACCGAAAACCGAACCAAAGACUGAAGAAGCAAUCAUAAGUGUCAUACUUCUUAAAUUCUCCUUUUUUUUCCCGGCACCACCCAUGGAGUAGUCUUUCCACCGUGUUUGACUCUCGUUGUGGUAGCAAAUGAUGGGUCCAAGUUUUCGCAUAGUAUUGUCCGUUUGUUUUAUCAUGAUAGAGUACUCCAUUAGUUGGCACCGCUCUUAUAUUUGUGUGUGAUCUUUUAGCAGUUCAACAUUAUAGUUCUUCCACCCAUAUGUUCGCAAUGUUAAAUCUAUGGAGAAAAAGAUUCAAAUCUUCACUAUUGUACCACAAAAGCAAGUCACAUGAAUAGCUCGCAAUUAUUUAACUACUGGUGGUUGGUGCCAGGUAUAUUAGCGUUAGGAAAGUAAAUGUACAUACUGAACAUUUGACUGUGGAAGAAAAUGAAUUUUCUUAUUUACUCUUAUUGAAUUCUAAAUAUAUUUUGGAUAUUUGUUUUCAGUAAUACACCUAAUUUUGGAAAAUCUAUUUCAUAGCCUUGUAUUUUUGAAAUAUUUUACAAAACAUGACACAAAUUGUUGUGUUUUUUCACAUACAUAUUUAUAACAUUAAUACACUCUUUAUAUGUAAUGUGAUAUUUAUUAUAUAAUUUUUUAAUCAUACAUAACUAAAUUCUUAUUAUUUUCAAAUCACAAAUUUUAAAUGAUAUGAUAACUUACAUUUUAAAAGCUCUAUUUCGGGACAUUAUAACUAAAAACUAUCUGAGCGAAUCGGGCACCAUAAUGUAUUUGGUGUCUACACUUUGUCGCAUACAUAGCCUUUUUUAUUUUUAAUGUAAUUGCUAAAAUAUGUAAUUAUGUAGAACUUAAUAUUACAUUCUAUUACACAGAUUGGACUUAUAUAGGUUGGAAAAGAAUUAAAUCUAUGCUGUCAAACCUACCGAAUAGCAUUCCUCCGGCACAUUGUAUAUCUGGCAUUUAUUAGUAAUGUGUCUAAAUCAGUUCGGGAUAAAUUCACUCUACAUCGUCAUAAUGGCUUGUUGUUAAAAUUUGGCAUCCUGACGCAUUACUUGGAAUUUUUAUAAACUCAGUGUAAACAGUUAUGUUAUCUUUUUAAACAUAAGUUAUUUAGUUCAAUUCGGAGUACUAUAUAGUAAUUUUCAACAGUAAAUCUAGCCUAUUUCAACUCGGUCAUUAUAAACAAUAAAUCUAGCCUGUUUCAACUCGGCCAUUAUAUUUAACUUAUUUAAGACAUAAGGUAAUCUAACUUUUGAACAAUCUUUAGAAAUCUACAUAUGUAGAGGUCAAGUAGGACAUACAUAUGUGAAAUUCCUUAAAAUAAUUUGAUAAUUGUUAUAUUAAAGAAAAUAAUAUUAUAAUUUAUUAUCUGUACUUACUAUAAUUGCAAUACUUUUUGAUAGCAUGUUCCCGUUGCAUAGUGUCGCUUACUGCACAAUAUCUUAAUUUGUUAUGUGUCUCGGAUAGAAAAAUAUUGUAUUUCCGCGUAUGUAUAUGCAUGUCUAUAUAUGUUUCACACACAUGAAAUUUUUUUAUAUAUUAAAAAAUGAUUUCGCCUGAGUUACAUCCAUGCAUGCUAAUUUCCUGUCUAUCAUUGGAGUUUAGAUCUAUGCAUGUAUGUGCUUGACUAAGCUCUGCACAUAUAUACGUGCCGGUCAAAUCAUAUACAUGAACGUACAUCACUCUAUUCUACUAUUAAGGGAUUCGUUGAGCACCUCGUCAAAGAAACAAACCUUUCAGAUCAACUUGUAAAUUUUCUUUUUACAUAUUUGCAUUUUUUUAGCAUAUUUGCAUUUCUUUCCUAAAAUAUUGCAAUAUUUGCAAAUAUCUGAAUCAUAUUCUUUUGAUUGACAAUAACACAAUGGCUUACCAGCAGAUCAAAACAGAUAUCUAGCUAGUGCGAAGGUUGUGCCACCUCUUGAUUGUUUCCUCCAUGAGCAAGCAAGCUUCUGGUAACGGUAACAGUCAUGGCGACGGAACAUGAUGUGCCGGCGAGCCGCAGACAUUAGAAAGAUCUGAAAAGAAGCAGAUAGGCAUGAUGCAUAAAUCUGGAAAGGAAGAAGAAUAUGCAUAACUCAAAAGCAUUGAAGCCGUCGGUUUUUGCAUUGCUCUACGAUCAGUUAAUGUACGCAUGCAUCGUAUAUGUACGCAUCCAGCCGCCGGAAUUUACUUCUCCUGCCUUCGUUUGUCAAGGGCAAAAAUACUGGCCAGCAGCACAAAUUGAAGACCAGCUUUCGGCACCUCCAUAACGCUCGUAGAAAAGUUCUCAAUGACUUGCAUCGGGAAUAUCUCUCCAGACCAGGGCAUGCGCCAAUUAAUGCUUCUUGCCGUGUCAUGUAUGCCGGGUCAUGUAUCUCUACGGGGACAACAAAAUUCAACUUGUUUAUUUUUGGAUAAUCAUUGGGAGAUAGAGACCCAGCACAGGACGUCUCCCAUGCGUGGGACAACCGAGGUUUUUUUUUUCAAUCUUAGGCUUCAUCAACGGCUAAAAUAUAUUAUAUUUUAAUCUGACGGAUGUAAAUCUUUAACUUAUAAAAUUGACGUGAAUCCUCGUAUGGCUCUUCCAAUUAGUAAAUAUAUAAGAUAGUAGUAGACGUGAAGAAUAAAGGGGCAGUAAUGGGAUAUUAAAUGUGGCAGCUAACUUGCUAGGCCUUCGAGUUAUAUUUUGUUCAGCAUUAAGUGGAAAACAUAUUUUGGCAUCCUUUUCCUCCUCUCGACUCUGACAAAAUGUUAGUGAUAUUCAAAUGGAAAAGCUUAGGCAAGAAAUAUUCCGAGGAAAAAUAAUGCAUCUACUCUAAAAUAUAUUUUCAUCAAUAGUAGUCCACUACUACCAUGAGCCAAUGGCCAUGGUUCUAUUCAAAAUUUUAAUUUAUCAAGAUCAGGCGUAGACUUGAUGUUGACAUCAAUGGCUAUCUAGGCUUAGAGAGAUGAGAGGAGUGAAGAACAAAAAAGGAGCGCCAAUAAUGGUUAUAACCCAUAGGGGAUAAAAUAAGGACGCCGCUAGUUGGCAUGAAUUGAUACAGGUAGACAUCACUUACUCUGCGUCCCUGAAUAGAGGCCAUAAUUUGUGUUGCUCUAGGGACCCAUAAUUUAUGAAUUCUGCUCACAAGAGAUCCGACUGUUGUGGGGAUCAAACUUUAGCACGCUGCCCUUAGAGCAACUCCAACGCGUCAACCCAAAUGGACGGCGAUUUUGUUAUAUUUUCGUCUGUUUGUGUCGACCGUCCACUCGGUGUCCGCCUAAUUUUCUUUUUGGGUCAGCAGUGCGCCCAAUGCCAGCGACUCAUUUCAUGUCCGUGCACAAAUUUUAAAAAGGCCCGCGGCUGUAGAUCAUGGCAGCGGCCAAGCCGUCACCCAAAGUUCAUGCCGGCACCAUGCCAGCAGCCGACAUACAAUGCCAGCUCCAAAAAAGCACCACACAGUUUGUGUUGGCGCACUUGCCAGCGACUGGCAUAGAUGCCAGCAAACAAAAAAGGGGCGGGAGUUCGACCACGCCAUCGCGACCGUAGUCAUGCCAACACACUUUUCGGCAUGCAAAAAAGGAUGGCGCUUUCCGCCAUAAAUCACUCGUCGUCGAACUUGAGCAUGUCGGCUUGCAUCUUGUCGAACCACGACCUCUUCCUCGGCGACAUGGUGUUGAGGUCCACCUUCAUGAUCUCCACACCCGUCAUCAUGCUAGCGAGAACCACUUCUUUCGCCUUGGUCUUGACAUUUGCGGCAUCGAUAUCUAGCAUCUUGGCUUGCACUGGUGCAGAACCGGGCUUUAGCACCAGUUCGUAAGGCCCUUUAGUGGCGGUUCUUGAACCGGUACUAAGGGGGGGGGGGCUUUAGGGAUUUUGGUUUUAUUAUUUAUUUUUCCUUUAAUUUUGUAUUUCCAUUUAUUUUAUUUUUCAUUUGCUGGUAUUUUACGAACUACAUAUUGUACACGUUAUGCAUAUAUAUAAAUAUAAUUUCUCGUAGAACCGAUCAUAUANNNNNNNNNNNNNNNNNNNNNNNNNNNNNNNNNNNNNNNNNNNNNNNNNNNNNNNNNNNNNNNNNNNNNNNNNNNNNNNNNNNNNNNNNNNNNNNNNNNNNNNNNNNNNNNNNNNNNNNNNNNNNNNNNNNNNNNNNNNNNNNNNNNNNNNNNNNNNNNNNNNNNAGCUAAUCAUUGAUAUAUACUACAUACUAAACGUACAUACUCUCUAUUUUGACGGAUACUACAUACAACAUACAAAAUGCAAGUGGUGGUAAUUACCACCGCUUGGAGGAAGCAUUUGAGGCACCACCAUUUGAAGCACCGCCAUUCACACAUAGAGCAGAAAAGAGUACCGGUUGGAGCGACCAACCGGUUUAAAGGGGUGUGCUGGCCCAGGUGCGAUGCACAAAGUUUAGUCCCACCUUGCUGAGCGAAGGGCGGCCGCACUGGUAUAUAAACCCAGCCGCGGCUGCUCCUUUGAGCUCCUCCCUAACGCAGGCCUUCUGGGCCUACUUGUGUUGCGCUGCCCUGUUGGGCCUACUAGCCUUGCGGGCCUACCUCCUGGCCCGACUACAGGUUGGGUUUCUAGUCGCAUGCAGGCCGCUGUGGCCCAGUAGGCGGGCUUUUAAAAAAAUAUUGUUUGCUUUAUUUAUUUUCUUUUAUUUAUUUCUGAGUUGUUUUUCCUGUAUUUCGAAUUUCUUUGUGAAUAUUUUUGCUUUAGGUACAAAAAAUUACAAAAUUUCUGUUAGUGCCAGUAGUUUUCAAAUUUGAAUAGUUUAAAUUUGUCUCCUUUAUUUAUUUUUAAGUUGUUUUUUGCUGUAUUUAGAAUUUCUUUGUGAAUAUUUUGCUUUAGGUAAAAAAAAUUACAAACUUUAUGUUAGUGCCAAUAGUUUUCAAUUUUGAAUAGUUUAAAUUUGUCUGCUUUAUUUAUUUUCUUUUAUUUAUUUGUGAGUUGUUUUUUGCUGUAUUUAGAAUUUUUUGUGAAUAUUUUUCUUUAGGUACAAAAAAUUACAAAAUUUCUGUNNNNNNNNNNNNNNNNNNNNNNNNNNNNNNNNNNNNNNNNNNNNNNNNNNNNNNNNNNNNNNNNNNNNNNNNNNNNNNNNNNNNNNNNNNNNNNNNNNNNNNNNNNNNNNNNNNNNNNNNNNNNNNNNNNNNNNNNNNNNNNNNNNNNNNNNNNNNNNNNNNNNNNNNNNNNNNNNNNNNNNNNNNNNNNNNNNNNNNNNNNNNNNNNNNNNNNNNNNNNNNNNNNNNNNNNNNNNNNNNNNNNNNNNNNNNNNNNNNNNNNNNNNNNNNNNNNNNNNNNNNNNNUAAGUUGUUUUUUGCUGUAUUUAGAAUUUCUUUGUGAAUAUUUUUGCUUUAGGUACUAAAAAUUACAAACUUUCUGUUAGUGCUAGUAGUUUUCAAAUUUGAAUAGUUUAAAUUUUUCUGCUUUAUUUAUUUUCUUUUAUUUAUUCCUGAGUUGUUUUUUGCUGUAUUUAGAAUUUCUUUGUAACUAUUUUUGCUUUAGGUACAAAAAAUUACAAACUUUAUGUUACUGCCAGUAGUUUUAAAAUUUGAAUAGUUUAAAUUUGUCUGUUUUAUUUAUUUCUGAGUUGUUUUUUGCUGUGUUUAGAAUUUAUUUUUGAAUAUUUUUGCUUUAGGUACAAAAAAUUACAAACUUUCUAUUAGUGCCAGUAGUUGUCAAAUUUGAAUAGUUUAAAUUUGAAUUAUUUGAAAUUUUUGUGAAUAACUAGUUUCGGAAUAACUUUACUUUAAAAAUAGAUUUUUCAGUGAUUCGUUUUUCUUAUGUCUAACAUUAGUGUGUUUUAUCAUUAUAUUCAAUUUGGUAAUACUUAGGUUAUUUAAAAAAUGAAAUGCCAUUGUAACAGAUGAGUUUUCGUCUAAAAACUCUGAUACUUCGAAAGAGAUUGUCCAUUUUGUACACUAAGUGCUUCCAGUUUUUGCCAUAACCCUCUAUACUUUUUUGCACAUGCUAUGUGGGUGAAAUGAUGAUACCAUGCCAACUUUCAACCUUUUCAGAGUUCAUUUGUAGUGCUUUUUAAUUUCAGGGUCAUUUAGCUAAAAAAAUCAUUAAAUGCAUGAAAAAUAGCAAAUGAUGUCCGAAAGUGUUGAAAGUUGAUGACGUGGCUUUGAAUGGUGCAUACUGGACGCACAAAAAGUAUGGAGUUGUAAUGAGUUUCAAAAAUGAAAUUCCUUUGUAACAGAUGAGUUUUCGUCCGAAACCCUGAUACUCCGAAAGAGAUUGUCCAUUUUGUACACGAAGUGCAUCCAGUUUUUUCCAUAACCCUCACUACUUUUUUGCACAUGCUAUGUGGGUGAAAUGAUGAUGCCAUGCCAACUUCCAACCUUUAAGAGUUCAUUUGUAGUGUUUUUCAAUUUCAGGGUCAUUUAGCUAAAAAAUCAAUAAAUGCAUGAGAAAUAGCAAAUGAUGUCAGAAAGGUAUGAAAGUUGAUGACGUGGCUUUGAAUGGUGCAUACUGAAUGCACAAAAAGUUUAGAGUUGUAAUAAAUUUAAAAAAUGAAAUGCCUUUGUAACAGAUGAGUUUUCGUCCGAAGCCCUCAUACUUCAAAAGAGAUUAUCCAUUUUGUGCACGAAGUGCAUCCAGUUUUUGCCGUAACCCUCUCUACUUUUUUGCACAUUAUAUGUGGGUGAAAUGAUGAUACGAUGCCAACUUCCAACCUUUCAGAGUUCAUUUGUAGUGCUUUUCAAUUUCAGGGUCAUUUAGCUAAAAAAAAUCAGGAAAUGCACGAAAAAUAGCAAAUGAUGUCAGAAAAGUUUGAAAGUUGAUGACAUGGCUUUGAAUUGUGCAUACUGAACGCACAAAAAGUCUAGAGUUGUAAUAAGUUUAAAAAAUGAAAUGCCUUUGUAACAGAUGAGUUUUCGUCCGAAACCCUCAUACUUCGAAAGAAAUUGUACAUUUUGUACACGAAGUGCAUCCAGUUUUUGCCGUAACCCUCUCUACUUUUUUGCACAUGCUAUGUGGGUGAAAUGAUGAUGCCAUGCCAACUUUCAACCUUUGUAGAGUUCAUUUGUAGUGCUUUUCAAUUGCAGGGUCAUUUAGCUAAAAAAUCAGUAAAUGCAUGAAAAAUAGCAAAUGAUGUCAGAAAGUGUUGAAAGUUGAUGACGUGGCUUUGAAUGGUGCAUACUGAAUGCACAAAAAGUCUGGAAUUGUAAUAAGUUUAAAAAAAUGAAAUGCCUUUGUAACAGAUGAGUUUUCGUCCGAAACCCUGAUACUCCGAAAGAGAUUGUCCAUUUUGUACACGAAGUGCAUCCAGUUUUUGCCGUAACCCUCCCCUACUUUUUUCCACAUGCUAUGUGGGUGAAAUGAUGAUACGAUGCCAACUUCCAACCUUUUCAGAGUUCAUUUGUAGUGCUUUUCAAUUUCAAGGUCAUUUAGCUAAAAAAUUAGUAAAUGCAUGAAAAAUAGCAAAUGAUAUCAGAAAGGUUUGAAAGUUGAUGACGUGUCUUUGAAUGGUGCAUACCGAAAGUACAAAAAGUCAGGAGUUGUAAUAAGUUUAAAAAAAUGAAAUGCCUUUGUAACAGAUGAGUUUUCGUCUAAAACCCUCAUACUUCGAAAGAGAUUGUCCAUUUUUUUCUACACGAAGUGCAUCCAGUUUUUGCCGUAACCCUCUCAACUUUUUUGCACAUGCGAUGUGGGUGAAAUGCUGAUACCGCCAACUUUUAACCUUUUGAGAGUUCAAUUUUAGUGCUUUUUAAUUUCAGGGUCAUUUAGCUAAAACAAUCAGUAAAUGAGCUAAAAGUAGCAAAUGAAGUCAGAAAAGGGUUGAAAAUUGCUGAUGUGCCUUGGAAUGGUGCAUAUUGAACACACAAAAAGUCUGGAGUUGAAAUAAGUUAUUAAAAAUAAAAUCCUUUUGUAAUAGAUGAGUUUCGUCCGAAACCCUGAUACUUCGAAAGAGAUUGUCCAGUUUGUAGAAGAAGUGCAUCCAAUUUUUGCCGUAACCCUCUCAACUUUUUAGCACAUGCUAUGUGGAUGAAAUGAUGAUAUCAUGCUAAGUUUCAACCAUUUCAGAGUUGAUUUGUAGUGCUUUUCAUUUUCAGGGUCAUUUAGCUAAAAAAAUUCAUUAAAUGCAUAAAAAUAGCAAAUGAAGGCAGAAAAGAGUUGAACAUUGAUGAUGUGACUUUGAAUGGUGCACAAUGAACACACAAAAAGUCCGGAGUUAAAAUAAGUUAUAAAAAUGAAGGAGAGGCGCAAUCCUCACUGGCACAUUGCUUAGCUUCAGGCCUUGACAAACUACACAUAGCUCUGUGCAAUCUACACCAUUUCCUCCAGGCAUGAAGCUAAGCAACGUGCAGGUGAGCAUUGCGCCUCUCCUUCAUCGUUCCUCGUCUCUGCACUCAGGGCUUAUAAACCGCUGAUACGUCUCCAACGUAUCUAUAAUUUUUGAUUGUUCCAUGCUAUUAUAUUAUCAAUCUUGGAUGUUCUAUAAUCAUUUUAUAGUCAUUUUUUGGUACUAACCUAUUGACAUAGUGUCAAGUGCUAGUUGUUGUUUUCUGCAUGUUUUUUACAUUGCAGGAAAUCAAUACCAAACGGCGUCCAAAUUCAAUGAAACUUUACGGGGAUUUUUUAUGCACCAGAAGACACCUAAUGGGCCAAGGCUGCGCCUAGGGGGUGCUCCGAGGAGAGCACAACCCACCAUGGCGCGCCAGGAGGCCCGGGCACGCCCUGGAGGGUUGUGCCCACCUCGGGUGCCCCUCGGGCCGCCUCUUUGCUCUAUAAAUAUCCCAAUAUUCCAGAAACCCUAGGGGAGUCGACGAAAAUCAAUUCAAGCCUCCGCAGAGUCCAGAACCACCAGAUCCAAUCUAGACACCAUCACGGAGGGGUUCACCACUUCCAUUGGUGCCUCUCCGAUGAUGCGUGAUUAGUUCUUUGUAGACCUUCGGGUCCGUAGUUAGUAGCUAGAUGGCUUCCUCUCUCUCGCCAAACUCUCAAUACAAUGGUGUCUUGGAGAUCCAUAUGAUGUGACUCUGUUUGCGGUGUGUUUGUUGGGAUCAGAUGAACUUUCAGUUUAUGAUCAGAUCUAUCUUUUUAUAUCCAUGAAAGUUAUUUGAGUUUCUUUGAACUAUUAUAUGCAUGAUUUCUUAUAGCCUCGUAUUUCUUCUCCGAUAUUUGGGUUUUGUUUGGACAAAUUGAUCUAUUUAUCUUGCAAUGGAAAGAGGUGCUUUGUAGUGGGUUCGAUCUUACGGUGCUUGAUCCCAGUGACAGAAGGGGAACCGACACGUAUGUAUCGUUGCUACUAAGGAUAAAACGAUGGGGUCUAUCUCUACAUAGAUAGAUCUUGUCUACAUCAUGUCAUCAUUCUUAUUGCAUUACUCCAUUUCCCCAUGAACUUAAUACACUAGAUGCAUGCUGUAUAGCGGUCGAUGUGUCGAGUAAUAGUAGUAGAUGCAGGUAGGAGUCGGUCUACUAAUCUUGGACGUGAUGGCUAUAUAUUGAUCAUUGCCUGGAUAUCGUCAUGAUUAUUUGGAACUCUAUCAAUUGCCCAACAGUAAUUUGUUUACCCACCGUUUGCUAUUUUGCUCGAGAGAAGCCACUAGUGAAACCUACGGCCCCCGGGUCUCUUUCUCACAUUAUUUGCCUUCGCGAUCUAUUUUAUUUGCCUUUUGUUUGCAGAUCUAUUAAACCAAAAAUACAAAAAUACCUUGCUGCGUUUUACUCUUAUUUAUUUUAUUUGGUGUUCGAUCUAUCAAUCUACUACAAUUAUCUCACGUCUGUUUGCCAAUUUCUGGCGCCGCUACCCGAAAGGGAUUGACAACCCCUUUAACACGCCAGGUUGCGAGGAUUUGUUAUCUGUGUGCAGGGGCUAUUUACAUUCUAUUGCUAGGUUCUCCUACUAGUUCGAUAACCUUGGUUUCAUAUCUGAGGGAAAUACCUACCGCUGCUAUGCUGCAUCAUCCCUUUCUCUUUGGGGAAAUACCGACGUAGCUUCAAGCCGCAUCAAAAGGAAUUUCUGGCGCCGUUGCCGGGGAGGAUCUUCAACAUAUACGAGGUUCCGAAUCACAAAUCUCAUCUCCUUGCAAUUUACAUUAUUUGCCAUUUGCCUCUCAUUUUCCUCUCCCCCACUUCACAAAAAUUUGCCAUUUUAUUCGUCCUCUUUUUCGUUCGCCUUUUUCUCGUUUGAUCUUUUGUUUGCUUGUGUUGCCAUGUGCCUUCUAUAUGCUUGCGUCUUCGCUUGCUAAAAAUAUAUUGAUAUGGAUCCUCAUCCACUUGCUAAUCUUUUUAAAAGAUCCAAUCAUGUUGAACCAGUUGCUAGUGAGUUGAGUGCACUAGAUUAUCUUUAUGAAGUUUUUCUUGAGAUUCGUGAAUCUAAAAAUUGCGAUGAAGAAAUUUAUGAAGUGAUUCAUGAUAGCUCCUUGAAUGAAAAGCAUGAUUGCAAUGAUUUUACUAUAAAUCCUAUUAAUGUCAAUUGUGCUAAUAAUAUGCAAAACCCCAAACUUUGGGAUGCUAAUUUUGCUAUGUCCACUACUUGUUGCAAUGAUCAUGAUUGGGGUGAUUCUUCUUAUGAGCUUGAAAUUUUAUUUAAACCUCAUGAUGAAUAUGAUAUUGAUAAUAAUGUUUGCAAUAAUAUUGAAAGUGGGUAUGGAAGAGCGUCAACUUUAGGUAAAAAUAAUCCCACAUAUUUGGAGAGUGUUCAAUCUUAUGAUUUUUUUUAUGAAAGUGGGUUCGGAGGGGUCAUGACUUUAGUUGAUGUUAAUCCCACUAUCUUGGAAGAUUAUAAGACUUGUAUGCAUGUGGAUCAUGAAAAGAAAGUUUUAUAUGAUUGCUAUAUUGUUGAAUUUGAGUAUUAUCCUACAUGUAAUUAUUAUGAGAAAGGAAAAUAUGGUUGUAGAAAUUUUUAUGUUACUAAAUUACCUCUCGUUAUGUUGAGAUCGUCAAUGUUUUAUUCCUCUUCUUUGCAUAUGUUAGAUGUUUCUUGUCUUGAUAUUUUGUUUUCUUAUAAAAUUCCUAUGCAUAGGAAGUAUGUUAGACUUAAAUGUGGUUGUCAUAUGUUUCAUGAUGCUCUCUUUGUGUUUCAAUUAUUAUCUCUCAUGUGAGCAUCAUUGAAAUUUUAUGCCUAGCUAGGGGCAUGAAACUAUAGCGCUUGUUGGGAGGCAACCCAAUGAAUAAAAUUUGUUUUUACCUUUUGCUUUCUGUUCUUGAAUGUUUGCACAAUUAUGCUAAUGUUAUGAUUGUGUGUUUUGUGUUUUAAUUAGUGUUUGUACCAAGUAGAACCUAUAGGAUCUUCUUGGGUGAUAGUUGUUUGAUCUUGCUGAAAAAACAGAAACUUUUGCGCUCAUGAAAACAAUUCUUAUUUUUUACCAGAGCGUGAUAAAAUGCCAAUUAUUUUUGCAGAAGAUUAAUAUACAAAUUUCUUAGGUCUUCCUAUUGUUUUAGAAUUUUUGGAGUUUCAGAAGUAUUCGAACAAUUCAGAUUGCAACACAUUGUUCUGUUUUUGACAGAUUUUGUUUUCUUUGCGUUGUGUGCUUGUUUUGAUGGCUCCAUGGUUUUCUUUGUUGAGUUUUUGCCAUAGAAAAGUUGGAAUAUAUUAGAUAUAAUGCAAGAAUAAAAUAUGAAUAGGUUGCAACAGUACUUAUAGUAGUGAUUUAUUUUCUUAUACUAAUGGAUCUCACGAAGGUUUUGUUGAGUUUUGUGUGAUUGAAGUCUUCAAGUUUUGGGUUAUCUUACGAUGGAUGAAGGAAUAAGGAGUAAGCAAAGCCUAAGCUUGGAGAUGCCCCGGCAACCCAAGCUAUUAUCCAAAAGAUAGCAAGCAAGUAAGCUUGGGGAUGCCCCGAGUGGCAUCCCCUCUUUCUUCUAACGACCAUCGAUAUUUUACUCGAAGCUAUAUUUUUAUUCGUCACAUACUAUGUGUUUUGCUUGGAGCGUCUUGUAUGAUAUGAGUCUUUGCUUGUUUUAUUUUGUGUUUUAAGUCUUGAUUCCUUGCGGGACACACCUAUUUGAGAGAGCCAAAAUUAUGCAUGACUUAUUAGAAUUGCUCUCUAUGCUUCACUUAAAUUUUUUAUGAGCCAUGGACUUGCUCUAGUGCUUCACUUAUAUCUUUUUGAGCACGGUGUGCUUAGUUAUUUUUUAAGAAAUGCUCUCUUGCUUCACUUAGAUUUGUUUUAGAGGUAGUAAAUUUUUCAGGAAAUUCUCUCUUUCUUCACUUAAAUUAAUUUGAAAGAAAGAAAUAUUAUGCUCAUGAUCUUCACUUAUAUUUGUUUGAGCUUAUCAAAAGCAACAUAUGAAAAUUAGUUCCAAAGUGAUAGAUAUCCAAGAAGGAUAUAAUAAAAACUUUCAUGAAGAUCAUUGGACAAAAUAAACUUGAUUCUUAGUAAUAGUUUUAAGAUAUGAUGAUGUGAUAUGUGAGUCAUGUUGAUGAGUAAUUAUGCUUUACUAAGAAUAUUGGUGUUAAGGUUUGUGACUCCCUAUGCAAGCACGAAAGUCAAUAAUUAUGCAAUGAAAUUAUAUCCUACUUGUGGUGCAUUAUUCGGUGUUAAUUAUGCUUAAUGCUCGCUUAUGAGAUUAUUCGUUUCUUGGUUGGUUGCUUCUCAAUCUUUUGCUAGCCUUCAUUUUGCACUAAGUAUGAUCUCUACUUGUGCAUCCAAAAACCUUUAAACCAGUUUUGCCACAUGACUCCACUAUAUCUACCUAUAUGCGGUAUUCUUUUGCCGUUCUAAGCAAAUUUGUAUGUGCCAUCUCUAAUUUUGAAAAUAAACUUCUCUUUUGUGUGUUCGUACCGCUCGCAGAGCUGUGAGGGGUGGCUAAUAUUUUCCAUGCUAGAUGUGUUAUUCUCACGAUGAGUGUUUAUUCACUUGUCAUUGCACGAGAGUAAGGCAAAGGUAUUAGGGAUGCCCAGUCCCGAAAUGAAAAAUGAAUUUACUUUAUGUUGUCAAAUAAUAAAUUCCUUGGAAAGUGUUGGUACGGAGGGAAACCGUGGAUACGGCUAGCCAAGGAAAGUGAAAGUAUGGUUGAAAAAAGAAUAAACUUUAUUUUCUGUUUGGGAACCGCCUAUGAUAUAUCUAGCAUGGAAAGUGUUGGGAACUCUAAGUCGUUUUCGUUGGUGGGAAGGACACACCUCCUGAAAUGUUCUUAUCUCUAAGUUUUUUCGCUUUGAGCUUUGGCACGUCUACAAAUCCCUACUUCCCUCUGUGAAGGGCCUUUGUUUUACUUUAUGCAAUUUUUAUUAUUGAAUUUGAAUCUCCUUAUAAAAGCACCAACUCGGAGGCACUAUGAUCUUACUUGAGCAUUGGGUGUAGCUAAUAUGCAAGUGUGUUUCAUGAAUGGAUCAAUGAUUGAGCAUGAUGGGCUAGGGAUAACUUAUUUUAGCGUUGAUAUUUUGAAAGACAUGGUUGCUUGUUGGUAUGCUUGAGUAUUUAAGUUAUCAUAUCAAAACUAGACUAUUGCUUUGAACAAUAUAAAAGUCCAAAUGUCCAUGCUAUAAAGAAAACAAUAUGAUAUGACAUGUUACGCAGUAUUCCACAUCAAAAAUUCCGUUUUUAUCACUUACCUACUCGAGGACGAGUAGGAGUUAAGCUUGGGGAUGCUGAUACGUCUCCAACGUAUCUAUAAUUUUUUAUUGUUCCAUGCUGUUAUAUUAUCAAUCUUUGAUGUUUUAUAGUCAUUUUAAAUAAUUUUUUGGUACUAACCUAUUGACAUAGUGCCAAGUGCCAGUUGUUGUUUUCUGUAUUUUUUUACAUCGUAGGAAAUCAAUAUCAGACGGAGUCCAAAUGCAAUGAAACUUUACGGAGAUUUUUUUAUUGACCAGAAGACACCUAAUGGGCCAAGGUUGCGCCUGGGGGCGCUCCGAGGAGAGCACAACCCACCAGGGCGCGCCAGGAGGCCCAGGCGCGCCCUAGUGGCUUGUGCCCACCUCGGGUGCCACCCGGACCACCUCUUUGCUCUAUAAAUACCCCAAUAUUCCAGAAACCCUAGGGGAGUCGACGAAAAUCAAUUCCAGCCGCCGCAGAGUCCAGAACCACCAGAUCCAAUCUAGACACUAUCACGGAGGGGUUCACCACUUUCAUUGGUGCCUCUCCGAUAAUGCGUGAGUAGUCCUUUGUAGACCUUCGGGUCCGUAGUUAGUAGCUAGAUGGCUUCCUCCCUCUCGCUAAAUUCUCAAUACAAUGGUCUCUUGGAGAUCCAUAUGAUGUAACUCUUUUUGCGGUGUGUUUGUUGGGAUCAGAUGAACUUUAGUUUAUGAUCAGAUCUAUCUUUUUAUAUCCAUGAAAGUUACUUGAGUUUUUUUGAUCUCUUGUAUGCAUGAUUUGUUAUAGCCUCGUAUUUCUUCUCCGAUAUUUGGGUUUUGUUUGGCCAACUUGAUCUAUUUAUCUUGCAUUGGGAAGAGGUGCUUUGUAGUGGGUUCGAUCUUAUGGUGCUUGAUCCCAGUGAUAGAAGGGGAACCGACACGUAUGUAUCGUUGCUACUAAGGAUAAAAUGAUGGGGUCUAUCUCUACAUAGAUAGAUCUUGUCUACAUCAUGUCAUCGUUCUUAUUGCAUUACUCCCUUUCCCCAUGAACUUAAUACACUAGAUGCAUGCUGGAUAGCGGUCGAUGUGUGGAGUAAUAGUAGUACAUGCAGGCAGGAGUCGGUCUACUAAUCUUGGAUGUGAUGCCUAUAUAUUGAUCAUUGCCUGGAUAUCGUCAUGUUUAUUUGUAGUUCUAUCAAUUGCCCAACAGUAAUUUGCUUACCCAUCAUUUGCUAUUUUUCUCGAGAAAAGCCACUAGUGAAACCUAUGACCCCCGGGUCUCUUUCUCAUUUUAUUUGCCUUCGCAAUCUAUUUUAUUUGCCUUUCAUUUUCAGAUCUAUUAAACCAAAAAUACAAAAAUACCUUCUUGCGCUUUAUUCUUUUUUUUUUAUUUGGCGUUCGAUCUAUCAAUGUACUACAAUUAUCUCACGUAUGUUUGCCAAUUUCUGGCGCCGUUACCCGAAAGGGAUUGACAACCCCUUUAACAUGUCGGGUUGCGAGGAUUUGUUAUCUGUGUGCAGGGGUUGUUUACGUUGUGUUGCUAGGUUCUCCUACUAGUUCUAUAACCUUGGUUUCAUAUCUGAGGGAAAUACCUACCUCUGCUCUGCCGCAUCAUCCCUUCCUCUUUGGGGAAAUACUGACGUAGCUUCAAGCCGCAUCAACCGCUGCGAGUCCCUCUUGCUAGGCGAGGUGGGACUAAAUUUUAGCCAUUGCCAGGACAAGGCCUUUAGUCUCGGUUGAUGGCUCAAUUAAAAUAUUUUGUUAUGAUCCACUUAUAGAAAGUUAUAAUAUUCUUCAAUAGCAAAAAGAAUCAACUAAAAAUCUCUAGUACCGGUUCGUGGCAUGAACCGGUACUAAAGGUGCUGGUGGGGGGCCCAGCCUGACAACAGCCUGCCACCACCUCUUUAGUACCGGUUCGUGGAACGAACUGGUACUAAAGGUUCGCCACGAACUAGUACUAAUGAGCACCGCCCGCCUAGCUGUUGGAACCGACACUAAUGGUCACAUUAGUGCUGGUUCAGUUACAAACCGGGACUAAUGUGCUUCACAUUAGGCCCUUUUUCUACUAGUGUUGCUUCUCCGCCUCCAUCUCAAGCAUCCUCAUUUGCUUCUCUGCCUCCAUCUCAAGCCUCCUCCUUUAGAUCUUCAUGAAGGCGUUCAUUUGUUCUUCCUUGUCUUGUCGGCGCUUCUCCUCCCUUGAGUCCUUCUUAGUCAUCAUGCCCUCCAUGGUAGCGAUCAAGGCAUUGGACGCCGCAUCCCUCUUGUCCUACUUCUUGGAGUUGGUCUUCCCCCACGGCCGUGGCUUCUCGCCCUCCCCAACCUCCUCCACGACUUUCUCUCCCCCACGCAACAUGAGGGCGGCAUAUUGCACCUUGAACUUCUCCUCGUCUUUGAUGACCCUCCAACAAUGAGAGAGGUUGAAGGACUUACCAUCAUGUUGGACCUUGAAUGCCUCCAAAGCUUGGAAUGCCUACAAAUGAAAUGCAUGCAAGCAUAUUGGCAAAUGGAUAUGAAUAUGGACUUGCAAGAAUAAACGGAAGAGGGGCGCAUGCAUGCAUACCAUAUCUUGCAUGCCGAUGCCGCUCACCGGGCGUGACUUGAUGCUCUCAAAGGUGGCACAAAACUUGUCAUGCUCUUGUUGGAUCACCUUCCAUCGGUUCGAAAUGGACACCCACCCGCGCAUGCUUUAUAUCUGGUACGGCAGAAACUUCUUGCGUUCGUGGAACUCACGAUGGACACGAGUCCAAAAGGUUGAUUCCUUUUGUUCGGCACCGACCAUGGGGUCUUGCCCAAUGUCCCUCCAAAACUCACAAAGGAGCUUGUCCUCGACCGUGGUGUAUGCCUUCGUCCGCCUGCUCUUGUGCUUUGGCUUCAGCCCGGCGGCUUGGCUGGCGAGCCCGUCCUCUUCCUCAAGGCCGUAGUCCUCCGGAAACUCGUGGUCGAACAGGAAGUCGUCUAGGUCCAGGCCGAAGUGAUCUUGCAUGAAGGCGUCCUGCAUGCUAUCUUGAUCAUAGGUCGACGGCGUGAACGGCCCUCAGCCGUCCUGGCUUUGUGUCUCCUCUGAAUCGUAGGCAGCCGCGGCGGCACCACAGGCGGCCGACGUACCACCCUCGAAGAUGAUGCUCACCAUGAAACGGUCGGCCGUCUUGUCUUCGCCGGAUGACGAGGCACCGACUACCGGUGUGGCGUUGAGAUCGAUGGGCGCGGGCGCGGGCAUGGAAUGCGCCACCACGCUCACCUCCAGCGAGCAUUCCCUGAAGAAUUGGGAGGCUUGCAAGUAGACGUGGAAGCCGGGAAUCGAGUAAGACGCCGACGCGCGAGGCGACUCUGGGAGCACCAUCCGAGGAAACGCGGACGAGUCGGAGCUGGCCACGGCCACAGCGGCGUUGACGAGCCCGUGCUGGCCAGGGUUUAGCCCUAGGUAGAUUAGCGCCUCCCUCAUUGCCGCGGCGACGUGGGCGGCGGUGUCCUCCUGCUGCGCGGCGGCGGCCAUGGCGAUGGCAGCGGACGCUGCUUCGUCCCACGCGUCCGCCGCGUGCCUUCGGCCCUUUCGCUUCGGUGACUCCGCGGCCCGCUCCUCGGACGUCAGCUGCUUCUUCUUCUUGGGCACGGUGGCAGUCUUGCGGGAGGCGCGCGGCUUGCCUUUGCCGAAGGGGGCGGCUGUGAUGCUGGACGAGGCAAGGGCGACGAGGCCGCCGACAGUAUCGAGGUCCUCAUCCAUGGCGUGCGGCCGGGAGCGAGCACGGGCGGAAGGUUUUUGAGAAAGUGGACGAAAAUGUUGGAGGCUUUGCCACCAAUUGGCAGGUCAGGGGUAGUUGGCACGCAACGCGCUUCUCCGUCUCGUGUCGCGCGCCAACGCAAAUGAGGCUCAAAAUUGGGCUGAGAAUGGGUCGGCAGGCGAACGAAAAGCGGACACGCGUCCAUUUGGGUCGGCACAUUGUGCCGACUUUUCUGUCCGCACCGACCCAAAUGAACGCGCGCGAACGAAAUGGGUCGUCACGUUGGAGUUGCUCUUACGUGGCACUGUAACAAGAAAUGAGGACCAGUGGAAACCAGCAUAUGCACCUAGAAGAAUCGUAUGGAUCUGCAUAUGUAAUUGAUCUAUAUCAUACGGACCCAUAAAUGAUAGGAAGGUCCUAGCUACCAGGUACCAGCUAUCCUGGUUACUCCAUUUGCUGCCCCUCCAACCUGGGUUCCGGUCAUGUCCUCGGGGUCUGUCGGUGGUUCCGUGUUCUUGUUCUGGACGGACGCUUGUAAGAUCAGGUUUUCGAUCGGGAGCCUUCUGUUGACAUUAUAAAAGUGCGUGUAUUCAAAGGAGAUGUAUGCAUUUCUCCGUGACAAAGCAAAUUAAGUUCUGCUGCUAGCUAUUUUCAAAAAAGAGUCUUGCCCCACCACUUGCGUCGUUUGCAAAGCCCUUAAAUAUACUGAUAUGUUAUACACACACACAUAUACACAUGAGAUUUAAUUUUAAAGAGCACACGGACAUGUUCGUUCUCGUGUUAAUGAAAUCCUAGAAAAUCUCAUUAAUUAACCAUGGGAUCUAUAAUUCCGAGAUCUUUAGCUGUUGGAUGUAUGUAAUGCCUUAAGAUGCAUUAAAACAAAUAUACGUGAGAUUUAAUUUUAAAGGCCUUAAGGUGCAUAAAAAAUACGCAUGAGAUUUAAUUUUAAAUAGCACAAGGACAUGUUCAUUGUCGUGUUAAUGAAAUCCUAGAAAAUCUCAUUAAUUAACCUUCGGAUCUGUAACUCCGAGAUCUUUAGCCAUUGGAUUUACAUAAUGCCUCAACCUGCAUCAAAAAAAAUAUACGCAUGAGAUUUAAUUUUAAAGGCCUUAACCUGCAUAAAAAAAUAUACGCAUGAGAUUUAAUUUUAAAGAGCAGACAGACAUCUUCAUUGUCGUCCGCUGGCUGUAUGAAUUAGAAUAACAUAUAUUUACUUAGUUGGAUUAGAGAGAAGAGAAAAGAGAAGAGAAGUGGGCUCUGGAUUAAAGCAAGUACAAUAAAAUGACGUAGGCGGGCUAUAAAAGAUGUCAUCUUAAAUUUGUGCUUUUUUAGUUAACCUUAAAUUUGUGCUUAGUUGAAGGAGAGAGAAGCGGGCUACAAGUGUGACAAAAGCCUUUUUCAGUAGGCAGGCUACAAACUUACAAUCGACUGUAGCACGAGCUCAAACAACCUUUGUAAGAAGAUAUGGGCCAUAUAUUAAUUCACAGUGUGACUUAAUGUUGACAUGAAUUGAUACAGGUGGACAUAGUUAGAGCAACUCUAGCAGACCCCGCAUCCCGCCCCGACUGUUAAAAUAACCGCCAAAAUGCGGGUCGGGCAGGAAAACCAGCCCGAUCAGACCCCGCAUCCCGCCCCCGCCCGCAAAAAAAUUUAGGGGGCGCGGCAAAAUCCCAACCCCAACCCGGGAAAACGCGGGUUUCCCUCUCGCGGCUGCGGUGCCCUGCAUAUAGGAGGAAGCGGCUGGUGAGGGGACAUUUCAUGCCGCGCUUUCUCCCACCAACCACCUCUCCUCUCCCCCCUCGCGCCGCUGCCGGCCGCCGCCCAAGAUUCUGGCGAAAGCAGCCGGCAGGAGCACGCCGGAAGGCCGCCACGCACACGAGGCCUCCCCUUCCUCCCCCUGCGUCGGCGGGCCACCGGAUUUGCAGAUUUGCAGCACUUCAUCGCGGGUCGCCGGAUUUGGCUUUUUCCGGCCGCCGGUUGCUGUCCCAAGCUAUGGAGUGGUCGGGGAGCCUCUCCCACAGCCCAGGCAAGGGCGCAUUGCCGCAUGCAGGUACGGGUUCGUCCGCCCGCCGCCGCCGAAGGUUUGCGGGCUUGGACUCAUCCGGCCGUCCACCGGGCUCGGCGCUCACGCAGCGUCUUUGUGGCAUGCCGAUGCCGCUCAUAGAGUGUGACGACUGCACGCGGAAAGUGCUGCGGCUCACUUCGGGCACGCCGAAGCACCCUGGGUGGGUGUUCUUCAAAUGCGAAAAUGACGGGGUACGUGCACUUGCGGUAGCUCGUUUCAUAGUUCAUUCUUUAGUUCAACUGCGGUAGCUCACUUCGAGCUUGCUCACUCUUUUGUGUAGGACGAUGGAUGCUCAUUUUGGUUUUGGGAAGGCCAAUACAUUUAUUUGUUGAUAGAAAGAAACUUAAUAGAUGUUAGUGCACUCCUUAGUACAAUCGAAGGCAAUGAUGCGGCUGCAUGUGCAAAUAGAGGGGAAGCAACGUCUACUUCUUUCGAACCAAAGAUGAAGAAAGAAGAAUGCAAAAUCAAGAAUCCACAGAUCAACAACGAAUGCAUGGAGAAGAUAUUAGUCCAACUAGUGGGGGCAGUUAUGGAAGUUGGAAAUCUUCUAAAAUGCAUACUUGUGGUUCUUAUUUUCUUUGGUCUUGCUAUUCUAGCAAAGAUUUGGUGAUGUCUUUUGUAUCCAAUGUUGUUGAUAAAGCAAAGCAAUGCAAUAUGCUAGAUCAAAUUAAGGUGCAAAUUUAAGUUUUGCGGGCCGGGAGAAGUUGCACCAGAUCAGACGCGGCAACCCAACCCGUAAAAAAGCAUAUUCCAGGAAUAUCGUUUUUACGGAUCCAUUAUGCGGGGUCUGCAACUGCGGCCGUCCGCGCCGGCCCGCAAAGCCGUUUUCCCGCGAACUGCAAAAACGUUUAGCGGGUCGGGAGGAUGUGGGGUCUGCUAGAGUUGCUCUUACUCUGCGUCUGUAAAUAAAGGUCAUCAUUUUUAUUGCUCUAGGGACCCAUAAAUGAUAGGGACUGUCCGCUACCAGCUACCAGCUAGUAGCUACCCUGGUGACUACAUUUGCUGCCCCUCAAACAUGGGUUCCCGACAUGUUCUCAGGGUCUGUCGGUGGUUCCAUGUUCUGGCCUUUGGGGUUGGUUUAACUAGUGGUAUGGGGGUUCUUGCAUCGCCCUGUACUCUCGAUCGGGACCCUUUAAUUCUAGGUGACAUACAGUGCGUGUAUUUAAAGCCGAGGCAUGGAUCCUCCGUGCCAAAGAAAAUUAAUUCAGCGGCUACUCGGGGAGAGUUGUGGCAGCAUAUCCGGGAUGCCAGCUUUUUAUUUUGGGUUUUGAUUGUCAAAGUUUUAGAUCUUAAAAAAAACUAAAAUUAAGUGCUGUUUUCAUAUUCGUGUUUCUCGUGACCAGCGCCUUGAAAUAAUAUCCAUUUUGAAUAUAUUUUGACGACUUUGAAAAAUGUUAAGUUUCAAAUGUUGAAACUUAGUAUGAGCAACCAAUAAAAAUCAAUUAUUUUGUACCUACGCCUGACAGAAAAAUGCUUACAGUUAUAUCCCUGAAACUUGCUGAAACUUUGCAUUUUUCAUCAUUGAAACUUAAAACUGUUUAAGGGAUUUUCUUUUUUACUGUGCCCUCAUGUGGGAUUCAACUACUCUUUUCUCUCCGUGAGAUCCACAUAAAAAAAGCACAAAUUUAAGAUGAGUGCCCUGCACUUACAUGCCCCUGCGAAUUUCCGCAGCUACUAGCUAUUUUUGGAAGAAAAAAAUCUUGCCCCGCCACUCCCAUCAUUAGCAGAGCCCUUAAAUAUACUCACAUGUACCAAAUUACGAGUCAGAAUCAAACAUGCGUUGGCAUCAUUACCUACGAACUCUACUAAACAAUGUUCCAACUAUCCUGCGAGUCAAAUCUAAUAACUCUUGUCUUGCACGUUGCAUUGUCCAUUGGCAGAUCUUUUUAAGAAUUUUACGUCAGAUCUAAUUUUAUUUGAACGAAUGAAAGAUAAGCAAGUAGUAGUAAAAUCGACCCAAUUUGCACAGCCGAAAUGUGGACCAGACAAUUUACUCUUUGUUACGGGACUAAGAAAUUCGGACCGGCUAAUNNNNNNNNNNNNNNNNNNNNNNNNNNNNNNNNNNNNNNNNNNNNNNNNNNNNNNNNNNNNNNNNNNNNNNNNNNNNNNNNNNNNNNNNNNNNNNNNNNNNNNNNNNNNNNNNNNNNNNNNNNNNNNNNNNNNNNNNNNNNNNNNNNNNNNNNNNNNNNNNNNNNNNNNNNNNNNNNNNNNNNNNNNNNNNNNNNNNNNNNNNNNNNNNNNNNNNNNNNNNNNNNNNNNNNNNNNNNNNNNNNNNNNNNNNNNNNNNNNNNNNNNNNNNNNNNNNNNNNNNNNNNNNNNNNNNAUGUCUCCCAUUUCUCAAUCCCAUCCCGACGGUGUGUCUACCAUGUUUAGAGGGCGCAUGGGGGAGUUACUCCAUUGGUUCUCGCGGGAUUUGAUCGAUGAUGGUUUUCCGUGGAUUUCCUUGAAUCCAGUUUUUGUUCAUCCUCAUCCGUGCGUUUAAAUAUCCCAACAAGGCGAAGAUUUGGUUGUGCACAGGCAACUGAGGAGGUGACCUACUUCUUUACUGUCUCCUAUGUCCCUUGUUACCCACUGAUCCUAGAUCCACAGCUCGAGACCCCCUACCCUGAGGUCUACCAGUUUUACCACUGACAACCGGCCACAAGGGAGAAAUCCCUUUGAAUUUAGAGAUAAGAUCUUAUCUCUAGAUUUAACCCUUUAAAUUUAGAGAUAUGACCUUAUCUCUAGAUUUUAAAGACAUGGAACUUAGGGACGAUGCGGCCAGCCCAUGUGGGUUGUUGCCCCACCCCUCGGUCUAUGUGGGGACUUUUCGGGUCGUUGGGCCCCAUGGUGGAACCCCGGAACAUUUCCGGUACUCUACCAAAUAUUCCCAAACUUUUCUGGAACCCAUAAAACCACUUUCCUUACAUAACUCUUUACCUCCAGAGCUCCUCGUGAUGUCCCGGAUUCUAUCCAGGACUCUGAACUACCUUCAGACUUACCACUAUGAAUGUCCCAAAACUAUCCAAUAGUGGUAAGUCUGAACGUUAAGUGUGUGACCCUGCGGGUUCGAGAACAUGCAUAAAUGACCGAGACACCUCUCCAAUCAAUAAUCAAUGAACAUCUUUAUCGGUUUGAACCACGAUGUCAAUGAUUCAGUUAAUCCCGUAUACAAUUCCCUUUGUCCAAUGAUUUGUUAUUUGCCCGAGAUUCGAUCGUCAGUAUCGCCAUACCUAGUUCAAUCUCAUUACCGGCAAGCCCCUUUACUCAGUCCUUAAUACAAGAUCCACGUGACUAAACACAUUGGUCACAUGCUUCCAAUCUAUUCACGAUGUUGUAUUACCGAGAGGACCUAGAGAUAUCUCUCUGUCAUAUGGAGUGACAAAUCCUACACUCGAUCUAUGUAACCCAACAAACACUUUCUGAGAUACCUAUAGAGCACCUUUCUGAUCACCCAGUUACGAAGUGACGUUUGUUUACCCAUAAUGUAUUCUUCCAGUAUUAGGGAGUGGCACGAUCUCAUGGUCUAAGGAACAGAUUCUUGACAUGAAGAAAGUUGUAGAAAAUAAACUAAGUGAUACGAUCUGAUGCUAAGCUUAUGGUUGGGUCUGUCCAUCACAUCAUAAUCCUAAUGAUGUGAUCCCAUUAUUAAAUGAUAACUCGUGUCUAUGGUUAGGAAACCUUAACCAUCUUUAAUUAAUGAGCUAGCCUAGUAGAGGCUCACUAGGGACACGUUGUCUAUUUAUGUAUCCACACAUGUAUUUAAGUCUCUGGUCAAUACAAUUCUAGCAUGCAUAAUAAAUAUUUAUCAUGAACACGGAAAUACGACAAUAACAUCUUUCUUAUUGCCUCUAGGACAUAUUUCCUACAGAUUAGUAGGAUAAAAGAUCAAGGUGGCCUUGGCAUUCAUGGCAUGAAGGUCAAGAAGGAUGCCUUACAUAGGAAAUGGUUAUUCAAAAUACUUACUAGGGGUGGCGUUUGGCAAACCUGUUGCGAAAGAAGUAUCUAAUACUAUGCCAAAAACUUAUCUCUCACACAUAUUGGAAAGCUGGUGACUCACACUUUUCGGGUGGUGUCGUGGAAUUCUCACGGCAGAUGUCCUAGUGUGAGGACUUAGUCGUGAGGCCAACGCAUCUAUGUGGUAGCUUGAGAGGGGUUGAUUGGGACGAGAGACGCAACACACAAGACAAGAAUUUAGACAGCUUCGGGCCCCAGGAAACAUCAUCCAAUAAUAGCCCUACAUGCUGUUUGUGGCUAGGUCUCAUUAUGAUCAUGAGAGAGUCAUCGGUAAGCCGGCUCUUUGUGUCUAGCCCUAGAGAUUGUUUCUUGUUUCUUGUCCCUCUUGGGGUGCCCUGCCCCUCCUUAUAUAAGUUAGAGGGGCGGGUUACAUAUGGAGUCCUAGUAGGAUUAGGACUAGUCUAUCUUUCUUUACAAGUUGAAUACAAGUCCGGGUCUUGCUUCCUUGUGAAGGAAAUAAUCCUCACGCCUUUCAUCUUAAACCGGCCCACCAAAGUAUAAGCCAGCCUGCUGGGCCUUGGGCCUUGUCGUCCGUCUGAUCAGCCCGCCGGGUCUCCAGUGAAUUACAAUGUCCAGGCGGGUUACCCUGUGAACCGCCAUGUUCGGGCGGAUCGCCAGUGAGUCGCCAAGCUCCAGCCAGGUCUCUGGUGAGUCGCCAAGUCCGGCCGGGUCAUACCGCGGGGUAUAUCCCCGACAUUAGCCCCCAGUUUAAUUUGGAUUUAUCCAUGUUAAACUGAUCCUGCAACAUAAACACAAGAACAAAUUUGACAGGUUGUGCUCCGGGUUAAAUAUUCUUGUAAGCCGGCACCUGAUCAUCCUUAAGUCCUUGACAUUUUCUCCUGAAAUAUCCGGGUCAAUAUUGGUCUUGAAAUAUCCAGCUUCAUAAUCCAUUUGCUGACAUUGGCUCUUGUAAAGAAAUAUUAUAAGAAAUAAUCCAUUUGAUUCGGCCUUCAAUGCUCUGAUUUGACAAAAAUAUUGCUCUUGAAAUAUCCAACUGAUAUUCAGCCGGCUUAAAGAUGUAGAUUCUUGCCGACGAUUGCCACAAUUGUCGGGUUAGAAAUAAAUGAUGCCGGGUCAUGAUUGUUGCAGACACCGGGUUAAUCUGGUCUACUCCAAACUGAGAAUUUGAAGAUUUUUUUCUCCCUUAUAUGCAUAUUACCUGUAGCCCCUAAGUCUUAAGGGGAGAACAUAGUGAUAACUUAAGACUUGCUUCAAUAUAAGUGUUGCAACCUUGAAGAAAUCCGGUUUAUUCAUCUCAAUCAUUAGUCAUAAGCUGAAUAUUCCACAUUCCACAUAUGUAGCCCCCAAGUGCCGAGUUGUCAUGCUUGCAGCAACCUGGGACUUGUAAUUGCCUUAUGCUCAUAAAAACUUCAACUAGUGUAGCCCCCAAGGGCCGGGUCAUUAUGCAAUAAUGAGCAGGGACUUUGUAAAUAUGAUCAUGUAAACUUGACCAGCAACGUGUAGCCCCCAAGGGCCGGGUCAGUAAGAUAUUACCGAGCUGGGACUUUGUAUAUGAUUCAUCGAUAAUAACAGCAUAUGAUGUGAUCUCCACCAUGGGGUUUGAACCCACGUCCAUAAGGUUAAGAGCUUUGUACUCUACCAACUGAGUAGUGGAUCUUUCAAUAUAAUGGAUUAAGGCUUGUGUACCUUGAAUUUUCGACAAGAGCAAUUGGUAGCCCCCAAGGGCCGGCUCAUUUAGAAUGUGAUGAGUCGGGUCUUCAAUAAGUUGAACAAAAAAUGACUUUGCAUUAGCCCCCAAGUGCAAUGGUACAUGCUGGCAGUAACAUGGGACUUGCAUAUUCGAUGUAAUAUCAAUUUGAAUAAUGUAGUCCCCAAGUGCCAGGUCGUAAGCCUGCAGCGACUCGGGACUAUUCCUUACAUUAUAGAAUAAAUCAUAUCCAUCGAUAAAAUAAUAGCCAUUGCGCCAAAGCGACUUUGAAUACCUCAUCUGUUGAUAAGUAAAUCCGGAGUUUAAAUACCCGGCGGCUCUUGGCCGAUGGCGAUUUAAUACGCCUCCAUUGUAAGCCGGAAUUUUUAUAAUCCGGCGGCUUAUAGCCUUUCAGAACAUCAAGAAUUGAUAACCCUUCUGAGACUCCAAUUUCAAUCUAUGAUGAUGGGCUUGAACUUAAUCAUUUAUGUAAGUCAUAGCUCUGCAAAUCCUGCAUAGAGUUUAAACAACAUAUGCCCUGGCGACUUAACGUCAAGCCAGGGCGGGUAACCACCCAAAUGUAGUAUCCUGCACACAAGUAGAUCACAAGAUCCCUUGGCGGUUUACCGCAGGGCGGGUCAUAAUAUCUCACUGUUGGAAAUAUGCCCUAGAGGCAAUAAUAAAAUGGUUAUUAUUGUAUUUCCUUGUUCAUGAUAAUUGUCUGGUGUUCAUGCUAUAAUUGUAUUAACUGGAAACCGUAAUACAUGUGUGAAUACAUAGACCACAACAUGUCCCUAGUAAGCCUCUAGUUGACUAGCUCGUUGAUCAAUAGAUGGUUAUGGUUUCCUGACCAUGGACAUUGGAUGUCAUUGAUAACGGGAUCACAUCAUUAGGAGAAUGAUGUGAUGGACAAGACCCAAUCCUAAGCAUAGCACAAGAUCGUGUAGUUCGUUUGCUAGAGCUUUUCUAAUGUCAAGUAUCAUUUCCUUAGACCAUGAGAUUGUGCAACUCCCGGAUACCGUAGGAAUGCUUUGGGUGUACCAAACGUCACAACGUAACUCGGUGGCUGUAAAGGUGCACUACAGGUAUCUCCGAAAGUGUCUGUUGGGUUGGCACGAAUCGAGACUGGGAUUUGUCACUCCGUAUGACGGAGAGGUAUCUCUGGGCCCACUCGGUAAUGCAUCAUCAUAAUGAGCUCAAUGUGACUAAGGAGUUAGCCACGGGAUCAUGCGUUACAGUACGAGUAAAGUGACUUGCCGAUAACGAGAUUGAACAAGGUAUUGGGAUACCGACGAUCGAAUCUCGGGCAAGUAACGUACCGAUUGACAAAGGGAAUUGUAUAUGGGAUUGAUUGAAUCCUCGACAUCGUGGUUCAUCCGAUGAGAUCAUCGUGGAACAUGUGGGAGCCAACAUGGGUAUCCAGAUCCCGCUGUUGGUUAUUGACCGGAGAGUCGUCUCGGUCAUGUCUGCAUGUCUCCCGAACCCGUAGGGUCUACACACUUAAGGUUCGGUGACGCUAGGGUUGUAGAGAUAUUAGUAUGCGGAAAUCCGAAAGUCGUUCGGAGUCCCGGAUGAGAUCCCGGACGUCACGAGGAGUUCCGGAAUGGUCCGGAGGUAAAGAUUUAUAUAUGGGAAGUCCUAUUUUGGCCACCGGAAAAUGUUCGGGAAUUUUCGGUAUUGUACCGGGAAGGUUCUAGAAGGUUCCGAAGUGGGGCCCACCUGCAUGGGGGACCCACAUGAACGUGGGUAGUGGGGGCAAGGCCCCACACCCCUGGUCAAGGCGCACCAAGAUCCCACCUUAGAAGGAAUAAGAUCAUAUCCCGAAGGGAUAAGAUCAAGAUCCCUAAAAAAGGGGAUAACAAUCGGUGGGGAAGGGAAAUGAUGGGAUUUCUUUCCCCCACCUUUGCCAACGCCCCAAUGGACUUGGAGGGCAAGAAACCAGCCCCCUCCACCCCUAUAUAUAGUGGGGAGGCGCAUGGGAGCAGCAACCCAAGCCCUGGCGCCUCCCUCCCUCCCGUGACACCUCUUCCUCCCCGCUUGCGCUUGGCGAAGCCCUGCCGGGAUCCCGCUACUUCCACCACCACGCCGUCGUGCUGCUGGAUCUCCAUCAACUUCUCCUCCCCCCUUGCUGGAUCAAGAAGGAGGAGACGUCCCCGCUCCGUACAUGUGUUGAACGCGGAGGUGCCGUCCGUUCGGCGCUAGGUUCAUCGGUGAUUUGGAUCACGACGAGUAUGACUCCAUCAACCCCGUUCUCUUGAACGCUUCCGCUCGCGAUCUACAAGGGUAUGUAGAUGCACUCCUCCCCUCUCAUUGUUAGCAUCUCCUAGAUUGAUCUUGGUGACACAUAGGAAAAUUUUGAAUUUCUGCUACGUUCGCCAACAGUGGCAUCAUGAGCCAGGUUUAUGCGUAGAUUCUAUGCAUGAGUAGAACACAAAGUAGUUGUGGGCGACGAUUUGUUCAAUUUUCUUACCGUUACUAGUCUUAUCUUGAUUCGGCGGCAUUGUGGGAUGAAGCGGCCCGGACCGACCUUACACGUACUCUUACGUGAGACAGGUUCCACCGACUGACAUGCACUUGAUGCAUAAGGUGGCUAGCGGGUGUCUGUCUCUCCCACUUUAGUCGGAUCGGAUUCGAUGAAAAGGGUCCUUAUGAAGGGUAAAUAGCAAUUGGCAUAUCACCGUUGUGGCUUUUGCGUAGGUAAGAAACGUUCUUGCUAGAAACCCAUAGCAGCCACGUAAAACAUGCAACAACAAUUAGAGAACGUCUAACUUGUUUUUGCAGGGUAUGCUAUGUGAUGUGAUAUGGCCAAAAGGAUGUGAUGAAUUAUAUAUGUGAUGUAUGAGAUUGAUCAUGUUCUUGUAAUAGGAAUCACGACUUGCAUGUCGAUGAGUAUGACAACCGGCAGGAGCCAUAGGAGUUGUCUUAAUUUGUUGUAUGACCUGUGUGUCAAUGAAAAACGCCAUGUAAUUACUUUACUUUAUUGCUAACCGUUAGCCAUAGUAGUAGAAGUAAUAGUUGGUGAGACAACUUCAUGAAGACACGAUGAUGGAGAUCAUGGUGUCAUGCCGGUGACGAAGGUGAUCAUGCCGCGCCUCGAAGAUGGAGAUCAAAAGGCGCAAGAUGAUAUUGGCCAUAUCAUGUCACUUUAUGAUUUGCAUGUGAUGUUUGUCAUGUUUACAUCUUAUUUUCUUAGAACGACGGUAGCAUAAAUAAGAUGAUCCCUCACUAAAAUUUCAAGAGAUGUGUUCCCCCUAACUGUGCACCGUUGCGAAGGUUCGUUGUUUCGAAGCACCACGUGAUGAUCGGGUGUGAUAGAUUCUAACGUUCGCAUACACCGGGUGUUGACGAGCCUAGCAUGUACAGACAUGGCCUCGGAACACAAGCAAAACACUUAGGUUGACUUGACGAGCCUAGCAUGUACAGACAUGGCCUCGGAACACAAGAGACCGAAAGGUCGAACAUGAGUCGUAUAGUAGAUACGAUCAACAUGGAGAUGUUCACCGAUGAUGACUAGUCCGUCUCACGUGAUGAUCGGACACGGCCUAGUCGAUUCGGAUCAUGUAUCACUUAGAUGACUAGAGGGAUGUCUAUCUAAGUGGGAGUUCAUUAAAUAAUCAAAUGAACUUAAUUAUCAUGAACAUAGUCAAAAGGUCUUUGCAAAUAAUGUCGUAGCUUACGCUUUAGUUCUACUAAGAUAUUUUCCUAGAGAAAAUUUAGUUGAAAGUUGAUAGUAGCAAUUAUGCGGACUAGGUCCGUAAACUGAGGAUUGUCCUCAUUGCUGCACAGAAGGCUUAUGUCGUUAAUGCACCGCUCGGUGUGCUGAACCUCGAGCGUCGUCUGUAGAUGUUACGAAACAUCUGACAUACAUGUUUUGAUGACUACGUGAUAGUUCAGUGUGUGAUGCUAACGGUUUAAAAUUGUGGCACCAAAGACGGUUUUGAAAUGUCGCAGAACAUAUGAGAUGUUCCAAAGACUGAAAUUGGGAUUUCAGACUAAUGCCCACGUCAAGAGGUAUGAGACCUCUGACAAGUUUCUUAAGCCUGCAAACUAAGGGAGAAAAGCUCAAUCGUUGAGCAUGUGCUCAGAUUGUCUGAGUACUACAAUCACUUGAAUCGAGUGGGAGUUAAUCUUCCAGAUGAGAUAGUGAUGGUUCUCCAUAGUCACUGCCACCAAGCUAUUAGAGCUUCGUGAUGAACUAUAACAUAUCAGGGAUAGACAUGAUGAUCCUUGAGCAACUCGCGAUGUUUGACACCGCGAAAGUAGAAAUCAAGAAGGAGCAUCAAUUGUUGAUGGUUAGUAAAACCACUAGUUUCUAGAAGGGCAAGGGCAAGAAGGGAUACUUCAUGAAACGGCAAAUCAGUUGCUGCUCUAGUGAAGAAACCCAAGGUUGAACCCAAACCCGAGACUAAGUGCUUCUGAAAUGAGGGGAACGGUCACUGAAGCAGAACUACCCUAGAUACUUCGUAGAUGAGAAGGCUGGCAAGGUCGACCGAAGUAUAUUGGAUAUACAUUAUAUUAAUGUGUACUUUACUAGUACUCCUAGUAGCACCAGGGUAUUAGAUACCGGUUCGGUUGCUAAGUGUUAGUAACUCGAAAUAAAAUAUGCGGAAUAAACGAAGACUAGCUAAAGGUGAGAUGACGAUAUGUGUUGGAAGUGUUUCCAAGGUUGAUGUGAUCAAGCAUCGCAUGCUCCCUCUACCAUCGAGAUUGGGGUUAAACCUGAAUAAUUAUUAUUUGGUGUUUGCAUUGAGCAUAGACAUGAUUGGAUUAUGUUAUCGCAAUACGGUUAUUCAUUAAAGGAGAAUAAUGGUUACUCUGUCUAUUUGAAUAAUACCUUCAAUGGUCUUGCACCUAAAAUGAAUGGUUUAUUGAAUCUCGAUCGUAGUGAUACACAUGUUCAUGCCAAAAGAUAUAAGAUAGUAAUGAUAGUACCACAUACUUGUGGCACUGCCAUUUGAGUCAUAUUGGUAUAAAACGCAUGAACAAGCUCCAUGUUGAUGGAUCUUUGGACUCACUCGUUUUUGAAAAGAUUGAGACAUGCGAACCAUGUCUAUUAGUAUAUAUGCAUGAAGAAAGUCCAUACAGAUGGAUCAUUUGGACUCACUUGAUUUUGAAUCACUUGAGACAUGCAAAUCAUACCACAUGGGCAAGAUGACUGAAAGGCCUCGUUUUCAGUAAGAUGGAACAAGAGAGCAACUUGUUGGAAGUAAUACAUUUGAUGUGUGCAGUCCAAUGAGUGCUGAGGCACGCAGUGGAUAUCGUUAUGUUCUUACUUCACAGAUGAUUUGAGUAGAUGCUGAGAAUAUUUACUUGAUGAAACACAAGUUUGAAUUAUUGAAAGGUUCAAGUAAUUUCAGAGUGAAGUUGAAGAUCGUCGUGACAAGAGGAUAAAAUGUCUGUGAUAUGAUCAUAGAGGUGAAUAUCUGAGUUACGAGUUUGGCACACAAUUAAUAAAUUGUGGAAAUUGUUUCACGACUAAUACCGCCUGGAACACCAUAUUGUGAUGGUGUGUCCGAACAUCAUAACUGCACCCUAUUGGAUAUGGUGCAUACCAUGAUGUCUCUUAUCGAAUUACAACUAUCGUUUAUGGGUUAGGCAUUAGAGACAACCGCAUUCACUUUAAAUAGGGAACCACGCAAUUCCGUUGAGACGACACCGUAUGAACUAUGGUUUAGAGAAACCUAAGCUGUCGUUUCUUAAAAGUUUGGGGCUGCGACGCUUAUGUGAAAAAGUUUCAGGCUGAUAAGCUCGAACCCAAAGCGGAUAAAUGCAUCUUCAUAGAAUACCCAAAACAGUUGGGUAUACCUCCUAUUUCAGAUCUGGAAGCAAAAGUGAUUGUUUCUAGAAAUGGGUCCUUUCUCGAGGAAAAGUUUCUCUCGAAAGAAUUGAGUGGGAGGAUGGUGGAGACUUGAUGAGGUCAUUGAACCGUCACUUCAACUAAUGUGUAGCAGGGCACAGGAAGUUGUUCCUGUGGCACCUACACCAAUUGAAGUGGAAGCUUAUGAUAGUGAUCAUGAAACUUCAGAUCAACUCACUACCAAACCUCAUAGGACGACAAGGAUGCGUACUACUUCAGAGUGGUACGUAAUCCUGUCUUGGAAGUCAUGUUGCUAGACAACAAUGAACCUACGAGCUAUGGAGAAGCGAUGGUGGGCCCGGAUUCCGACGAAUGGCUCGAGGCCAUAAAAUCCGAGAGGAUCCAUGUAUGAAAACAAAGUAUAGACUUUGGAAGAACUACUUGAUGGUCGUAAGGCUGUUGGGUACAGAUGGAUUUUAAAGGGAAGACAAACAAUGAUGGUAAGUGUCACCAUUAAGAAAGCUCGACUUGUCGUUAAGAUGUUUUCCGGCAAGUUCAAGGAGUUGACUGCGAUGAGACUUUCUCACUCGUAGCGAUGCUAAGAGUCUGUUAGAAUUAUAUUAGCAGUUACUGCAUUAUUUAUGAAAUCUUGCAGAUAGGAUGUCAAAACAUUGUUUCCUCGACGAUUUUCUUGAGGAAAGGUUGUAUGUGAUACAACCAGAAGGUUUUGUCAAUCCUGAAAGAUGCUAACAAGUAUGCAAAGCUCCAGCAAUCCUUCUAAGGAUUGGAGUAAGCAUCUCGGAGUUGGAAUGAACGCUUUGAUGAGAUGAUCAAAGAUUUUGGGUUUAUACAAAGUUCAUGAGAAACUUGUAUUUCCAAAGAAGUCAGUGGGAGCACUAUAGAAUUUUUGAUGAGUAUAUGUUGUUAACAUAUUGUUGAUCAGAAAUGAUGUAGAAUUUCUGGAAAGCAUCCAGGGUUGUUUGAAAAGUGUUUUUAAUGGAAAACCUAGAUUAACCUACUUGAACAUUGAGCAUCAAGAUCUAUAAGGAUAGAUCAAAAAUGCUUAAUAGUACUUUCAAAUGAAUACAUACCGUGACAAGAUUUUGAAGGAGUUCAAAAUAGAUCAGCAAAGAAGGAGUUCUUGGCUGUGUUACAAGGUGUGAGUAUUGAGUAAGACUCAAGACCUGACCACGGCAGAAGAAAGAGAAAGGACGAAGGUCGUCCCCUAUGCUUUAGACGUAGGCUUUGCAAUAUGCUAUGCUGUGUACCGCACCUGAAGUGUGCCUUGCCAUGAGUUAGUCAAGGGGUACAAUAGUGAUCCAGCAACGAAUCACAUGACAGCGGUCGAACUUAUCCUUAGUAUCUAGUGGACUAAGGAAUUUUCUUGAUUAUGGAGGUGGAAAGGGGGUUCGUCGUAAAGGGUUAUGUCGAUACAAACUUUGACACUAAUCCGGAUGACUCUGAGUAGUGAACCAGAUUCGUAUAGUAGAGCAGUUAUUUGGAAUAGCUCCAAGUAGCGCGUGGUAGCUGCAUCUACAAGAUGACAUAGAGAUUUGUAAAGCACACACGGAUCUGAAUGUGGCAGACCCGUUGACUAAAACCUCUCUCGUAAGCAUAACAUGAUCAAACCCUAGAACUCAUUGACUGUUAAUCACAUGGUGAUGUGAACUAGAUUAUUGACUCUAGUAAACUCUUGGGUAUUAGUCACAUGGCGAUGUGAACUUUGAGUGUUAAUCACAUGGUGAUGUGAACUAGAUUAUUGACUCUAGUGCAAGUGGAAGACUGUUGGAAAUAUGCCCUAGAGGCAAUAAUAAAAUGGUUAUUAUUGUAUUCCCUUGUUCAUGCUAUAAUUGUAUUAACUGGAAACCGUAAUACAUGUGUGAAUACAUAGACCAGAACAUGUCCCUAGUAAGCCUCUAGUUGACUAGCUCGUUGAUCAAUAGAUGGUUAUGGUUUCCUGACCAUGGACAUUGGAUGUCAUUGAUAACGGGAUCACAUCAUUAGGAGAAUGAUGUGAUGGACAAGACCCAAUCCUAAGCAUAGCACAAGAUCGUGUAGUUCGUUUGCUAGAGCUUUUCUAAUGUCAAGUAUCAUUUCCUUAGACCAUGAGAUUGUGCAACUCCCGGAUACCGUAGGAAUGCUUUGGGUGUACCAAACGUCACAACGUAACUCGGUGGCUGUAAAGGUGCACUACAGGUAUCUCCGAAAGUGUCUGUUGGGUUGGCACGAAUCGAGACUGGGAUUUGUCACUCCGUAUGACGGAGAGGUAUCUCUGGGCCCACUCGAUAAUGCAUCAUCAUAAUGAGCUCAAUGUGACUAAGGAGUUAGCCACGGGAUCAUGCGUUACGGUACGAGUAAAGUGACUUGCCGGUAACGAGAUUGAACAAGGUAUUGGGAUACCGACGAUUGAAUCUCGGGCAAGUAACGUACCGAUUGACAAAGGGAAUUGUAUACGGGAUUGAUUGAAUCCUCGACAUCGUGGUUCAUCUGAUGAUAUCAUCGUGGAACAUGUGGGAGCCAACAUGGGUAUCCAGAUCCCGCUGUUGGUUAUUGACCGGAGAGUCGUCUCGGUCAUGUCUGCAUGUCUCCCGAACCCGUAGGGUCUACACACUUAAGGUUCGGUGACGCUAGGGUUGUAGAGAUAUUAGUAUGCCGAAAUCCGAAAGUCGUUCGAAGUCCCGGAUGAGAUCCCGGACGUCACGAGGAGUUCCGGAAUGGUCCGGAGGUAAAGAUUUAUAUAUGGGAAGUCCUAUUUUGGCCACCGGAAAAUGUUCGGGAAUUUUCGGUAUUGUACCGGGAAGGUUCUAGAAGGUUCCGAAGUGGGGCCCACCUGCAUGGGGGGACCCACAUGAACGUGGGUAGUGGGGGCAAGGCCCCACACCCCUGGUCAAGGCGCACCAAGAUCCCACCUUAGAAGGAAUAAGAUCAUAUCCCGAAGGGAUAAGAUCAAGAUCCCUUAAAAAGGGGGAUAACAAUCGGUGGGGAAGGGAAAUGAUGGGAUUUCUUUCCGCCACCUUUUCCAACGCCCCAAUGGACUUGGAGGGCAAGAAACCAGCCCCCUCCACCCCUAUAUAUAGUGGGGAGGCGCAUGGGAGCAGCACCCCAAGCCCUGGCGCCUCCCUCCCUCCCGUGACACCUCUUCCUCCCCGCUUGCGCUUGGCGAAGCCCUGCCGGGAUCCCGCUACUUCCACCACCACGCCGUCGUGCUGCUGGAUCUCCAUCAACUUCUCCUCCCCCCUUGCUGGAUCAAGAAGGAGGAGACGUCCCGCUCCGUACGUGUGUUGAACGCGGAGGUGCCGUCCGUUCGGCGCUAGGUUCAUCGGUGAUUUGGAUCACGACGAGUACGACUCCAUCAACCCCGUUCUCUUGAACGCUUCCGCUCGCGAUCUACAAGGGUAUGUAGAUGCACUCCUCCCCUCUCGUUGCUAGCAUCUCCUACAUUGAUCUUGGUGACACGUAGGAAGAUUUUGAAUUUCUGCUACGUUCCCCAACACUCACAUAUAACCACUAUGAUAUUGAAUUUGUACUGCCGGUUUACAUGACCUGUGCAAUAAGGGUGAUAACCCAAUCUUUAGAAAUCAAGACUUCCAAAUGUUUAUGAUUGUCAUAUGAUGGCGACUUAUCAACCAAAGUCAAGCCGGGUUAAUCGAAGCCACAUAUAUACUUCAGAUAUGAUCAAAAGAACUUCAAAUAAAAUACAAAAUUUUGUUUGCAAAAAGAGACUUCAAAAAUUUUGAGGCUUCUGAUUCGAAUACUAUCAGAAAACCGUCCCAAAGGGGUUAAGCUAAGAUUCGAAUACGAUCAUAUAGCCCCCAGUGGCUUUGGCGUUGCCGAUCAAGAGGGUACCGACAGCUAUGUUCUCUUUGGUUCGAAUACGACCUAUGUUUGAACAGGAAGCCCCCAAAUGACCUGGAGAGUUGUUUAACGACGCUGAUUCGAAUACGAUCCAUGUCGGUUCCCAAAAGGGGUUGAGCUAUGAUUCGAAUACGAUCAAGAAGCCCCCUAGUGAGCUCAGCAGUGUGCCGAUCAAGAGGGUACCGACAGCUAUGUUCUCUUUGGUUCGGAUACGACCUAUGUUUGAACAGGAAGCCCCCAAGUGAUCUUGAGAAUAUUUAACGACUCUCAUUCCAAUACGAUCAGGGUCACACCAAAAGGGUUAAGCUAAAUUUGAAUACGAUCAGCUCCCAACGGUCAUUAAAGCAGGUAGUUAUGUUUGAGUUGUGCUUUGUAACAGACUCUCCUUGGUCCCUUUAAUUUUUCUUGAAAACUUGAACUUUGCGAGAGAUAAAAUCUUUUUAAAACCGGAAGUUCUUAAACCGGAUAUUAAGAGUUUCAAAGCAUGGUGAUAGACAAAUUUACCUUGAACCGGGUUUUGAACCGGAUUUGAGAUCUUCAAAGCAUUGUGGCAGAUAAAUUUCAUUUGAACCGGAUUUUAAACCGGACAUUAAGAGCUUCAAUGCUUUGUGGGAGAUGUCAAGUCUCUUGAUAAGGAUCUAAACCGGAAUCCUUCUUUUUAAGCCAGAUAUUUUUCUGACGGUCUUUAAAUUUUUACCAAUAUGGCGGUAGCCUCCGGGACCGGGUUAUUUUUUUCCUCCAAUGACCCAGAGUUCUUGAAUGCAUUGAAACCGACCAAUGUUGCCGAGUCAUAUCAUUGUAACCCCUGAGUCUCAAAACGACUCAAGGAGUUGGCUUUGAGAUUCUCCAUAUUGACCAUAGCAUAAGGUGUAUAUCAUUGGUGUUGAUAGUGCGAUGUGAAUCCACAGAAGGUUGAGGUGACUGCGGCGGAUUAUAAAUGAUCAUGUAUGAGCCGUGUCAGCAACUCGGCCAAUGGUCCCUUCCAACUGGCUGUUUGAAGUUAACCAAACUAUAGUGGCGGCGACUUGUGCGCCUGCCCAUUUAAACCAUCCAGUGUAGACGGCGGCUGAUAAUACAUGAUAAUUUGCCUCCAAUUUUGUUGGAAGAAAAACCAGGCUUCCCAAGCAGUGACUUGCUCAUACUCGAUGAUCAGCUCACGCAGACAGGUGCGGCCCGGUAUGUUGAUAUAGACCAGGCCGCAAGAGACAGAUGGUAAAAACAACCGUGGCAUCAAAGGUGGUACAGACAGAUGAGUUGGUCACGACGUUGUAAACCGGUGUGGUCGGGCGAGUCAAUCGCCGGCGCGGUAAGCCGCGCGGAUGGGCGAGUCAACCACGUCGUGUUGAUGUAGUGAACAAUUGUCCUACAUCAAAAACAUCGCAAGCAAGAGUAAUUGCUCUUUUUUAAAGAAAACAAUAUAUAAUAUAUAAAAAUUUACUGGAUUGAUUUCACCUGAUAUGUUAGGCCAGAAAAUAUCCACCGCGGAGUUGAUCAUCACGACGGUGAAGCUGAAAUCAAUCACGGCCGAGUCGGCCGCGGGAACAGACAGACGGGUCGGCCGCGGCGUUGUAAGCCGGUGCGGUCGGGCGAGUCAAUCGCAUGAGCGAUAAGCCACGCGGACGCUGAGUCGGCCGCGGGGGCGGACAGGUAAGUUGUCCGUCACAUUGUAAGGCGGCGCGUUGAUGUAGACCGGACCACAGGGGCGGUGGCUUGCGCCCACCUGUUGACCAGUAAGCGGUCGCAGAUGCCGUUGCAUGAUGAUGCUACCGCACACUCCAUGGAUACGGCAUUACACCAUCUUUAUGAUGAAUCCUUGUCCUGCACAUAAAAGUGUACAUAGCAAAGCGAUUGUUUUUUGACAAAAAACAAUAUGCGCUUAAUAAAAUAAUCUUAGAUGGAUAUCACCUGAUUUGUUCGGAUGACCGAUGAUCCAUUCAAUGCAACAAAAAACGGCUCUGGUAGACCGGUAACCCAUGGCGAGUCAACACAGCAGAAGCGACUCAACGCAGCCCCGGCAGCUCGAGGCACGGCGGGUCUCAGCUCACGGCGGGUUGAGGUGUGGCGGUUCAAGGUCACAGCGGGGGGACUCGCAGGCUCAGGCGAGGCCGUUUUGAAGAUGGUUGGCAGCGGCGCGGUGACUCGCCACGGUGCGCCGAAAUAGCAGCAGCGUAGUGGGAGAAACAGCCGGUCUGUUGAUUUUGACCGUGAUGUGAAGCUCGCGGGGCAGCCACGAAGGCGCUGGGACGGAGUGGCUCCGAUGUGCGAGACGUGCCACCACAAGGACGCACGUAGGAGAAGACCAGAGGGGCAUCGAAGUCGGGUCCGCGGCGGCUCUGGAGAUGACAAGUGUGCGGGAGGCAAGGCCGUGCUGGCCAGCAGAAAACGGCGAGGUGCCGGCGACUUAGCGUAAAACCGCGGGUCAGAGGCGGCUCGGAGUUGAGUCCAUGUCCUGCUCUGGUCGUUGUUGGUUUGACAAUUCCCUUUAAGUGCUCCUUUAAAAUUUCCUUCAUCACACGUGGUGUCGUGCCAGGCAACAGCAUGGCCGGACUAAAAAUCCACUAGACCUUGAUUUUUAAUGCUCCUGUAGAUCUUGGGGACUGCGUGUGAGCUGACUAUUAAAACCUUCAAAUUCAUGCACGUACAGUGGCUGUACUAGUUGAUGCUACGUGCAGAAGGUAAGGUAAUCUAUCAGGCUUUGUUUUUCGCGUUGAUCAGCACUUGGACCCUUGAUCAACAGUUGGCUUGAUCCGGAGACUUCACAGGGCUGAAGCAAACUGUCUUGAUCGCCGCUGUACCAACAGAUGGCGCUCGUGACGCGUGUUUGGCUGUCUUUGAUCACCUCGGACUUGGACAGCUAUAUAUGGACCAGCAGAAGCGACCUGGCGAAUCGGACACGGCGGCUAGAUUUGACAGCGGCACAGUAGAAAUUCGAGUCGGCCUCGGUGUACUGCUGCAGCAGAAACUAACCCGGACUCGACGGAUCAUCUAAUUGUGGCGGCGCUCACCAUGCAACUCUAAUCUUUCUUGAAUUCAGACCUCGUACGAGUAUUAGAUCUGACUGCUCGCUUUGGAGACAAUGUAAAUCCUUCCGCGACGAUUCUUCUUUCAUCCGAAGAAAUUGUCAACUUCUCGACCCUUGAAAGAGAUCCCUCCAAGAACUCAUCACCACCGUGCGCAGCCCCACGGUGGGCGCCAACUGUCGUGGAAUUGUCACGGCAGAUGUCCUAGUGUGAGGACUUAGUCGUGAGGCCAACGCAUCUAUGCGGUAGCUUGAGAGGGGUUGAUUGGGAUGAGAGACGCAACACACAAGACAAGAAUUUAGACAGCUUCGGGCCCCGGGAAACAUCAUCCGGUAAUAGCCCUACAUGCUGUUUGUGGCUAGGUCUCAUUAUGAUCAUGAGAGAGUCGCCGGUAAGCCGGCUCUUUGUGUCUAGCCCUAGAGAUUGUUUCUUGUUUCUUGUCCCUCUUGGGGUGCCCUGCCCCUCCUUAUAUAAGUUAGAGGGGCGGGUUACAUACGGAGUCCUAGUAGGAUUAGGACUAGUCUAUCUUUCUUUACAAGUUGAAUACAAGUCCAGGUCUUGCUUCCUUAUGAAGGAAAUAAUCCUCACGCCUUUCAUCUUAAACCGGCCCACCAGAGUAUAAGCCAGCCUGCUGGGCCUUGGGCCUUGUCAUCCGUCUGAUCCGCCCGCCGGGUCUCCAGUGAAUUACAAUGUCUAGGCGGGUUACCCUGUGAACCGCCAUGUUCGGGCGGAUCGCCAGUGAGUCGCCAAGCUUGUCCGGCCGGGUCAUACCGCGGGGUAUAUCCCCGACAGGUGGUCUAAUACGGGUAAAGAAACGCAUUUUUCGCUUUGGAUCCUUUACAAUAAAAGAUGGGUCAAAAAUUCGAUUCUGGGAAGACAAGUGGCUAGAAAAUGCUUGGAUCCAAUAAAAAUAUCUAUCUUUGUACUGCAUCAUUCAUCACAAUAAUGAUACUCUUGUGCUAGUGCUUAUUUCUUUCAUGCCAGAUAUUUCUUUCAGGCGAGAUUUGAUUGGCCUAUGUCUUAUGUGAUGGUAAAAUCAUUAUCCUGAUUGGAUUUAAUUAACCUGACACAAGGGCGGGGAUGUGUUUCAUUGGAAUCUCUCUACAUAUGGGUCCUUCAAGUCAACUUUAUGUACCAUGCACUAACGCAUUCAGAGGUCCUAGUGGAUAAUAAAAUAAUAGAAGAAGAUAUGGGCCAUACUCCCUCCGUCCAGUGAAGAGUGAAAUCUAGAGAUUUUAGGACAAAUUAUGGAGUAAAAUAGAAAAUGCAUUGGAAAGGUGCAAGCCACCAUCUUUCUUCUCUUUAAUUAUCCAAUCCCUAAUGUGUUUAGUGCAUGUAAAAAUUAAGAAGACCAUGUGUAGAUUGUUAUUGGUCUUGGUUACCAUGUGAUGAGAGAGAAAUAUAUUUUUUUCUACUUUAAAGUGCAUUGAGAAGAUAGAAGUACACUCUUUUGUGGACAAAUUUUAAAGCCAAACGUACACUCUUCACCGGACGGAGGGAGUAUAUUAAUUCCUAGUGUGACUUAAUGUUGACAUGAAUUGAUACAGGUGGAUAUAGUUACUCUGCGUCCGUAAAUAAAGGUCAUCAUUUUUGUUGCUCUAGGGACCCAUAAAUGAUAGGGACUGUCCGCUACCAGCUACCCUGAUGACUCCAUUCGCUGCCCCUCAAACAUGGGUUCCCGACAUGUUCUCAGGGUCUGCCCGUGGUUCCAUGUUCUGGCCUUCGGGGUUGGUUUAACUAGUGGUAUGGGGGUUCUUGCAUCGCCCUGUACUCUCGAUCGGGACCCUUUAAUGCUAGCACUUCUGGUGACAUACAGUGCGUGUAUUUAAAGGCCAGGCAUGCAUCCUCCGUGCCAAAGAAAAUUCAUUCGGCGGCUACACGGGGAGAGUUGUGGCAGCAAAUCCGGGAUGCCAGCUUUUUGUUUUGGGUUUCGAUUGUCAAAGUUUUAGAUCUUAAAAAAACUAAAAUUAAGUGUUGUUUUCAUAUUCGUGUUUCUCGUGACCACUGUUUUGAAAUAAUAUCCGUUUUGAAUAUAUAUUUUGACGACUUUAAAAAAUAUUAAGUUUCAUAUGUUGAAACUUAGUACGGGCAACCAGUAAAAAUCAAUUAUUUUGUACCUACGCCUGACAGAAAAAUGCUUACAUUUAUAUCUCUGAAACUUGCUGAAACUUUGCAUUUUUCAUCAUUGAAACUUAAAACUUUUUGAGGGAUUUUCUUUUUUACUGUGCCCUCAUGUGGGAUUCAACUACUCUUUUCUCUUCCGCGAGAUCCACAUGAAAAAAAGCACAAAUUUAAGAUGAGUGCAGGGCUUGGCAGAUGAGUGCCCUGCACUUACAUGCCCCUGCGAAUUUCCGCAGCUACUAGAUAUUUUUGGCAAAUUUAUUGUUUGCUCUUUUACAGGUGUGCCACUUAAGUAUUUAAACCUAUAAGGAUUUCUGCACUGGUGCUAAACUCACUUAUGAGAGCAUACCGGAUUUUCUCAUAUGAGCUAACAAAGAAUCAAACAUAGUUAUAUCUUGUAUUAUUUUCUCAUUAAUUACUUACCCACUGGGCUGAAGCAGUUAUUGUAGCAUAUCAUGCAACACUCAUGGUUUUCCAACAUGUUUCCUUAAGGGGUCUUAAUCAAGAUGAUUUACAUUCAAAAACAAUCAUUGAGUAUGGAUCAUUAAGAAUAAUUUGAUCCUACUUAAUCCAUGCUUAGGAAAUAAGAAAAUGGUUACUCAAUGAGCAAACGCUGCCUGUUGCUGCCUCCUCACCAACAAACUUUGGUUCUUCACAUCCCUUACCGAAGAGGCACCUUUACAUUGCAUCCCUUGUAUACUACUAUAUAUAUGUGAUCUUCAUAAAGAGUUCAGCGAUUUCUCCAUUGUUGAGUUCCUUACACUCAAUAUUCAAUAAUAGUUAUUUCCAAAUUCACAUAAUCAGUUGGCAGGAUGGUCACCAAAGUACAUUCAUCCAUCGAAAGAAACACACAAAAGAAAACAGUAACAGCACCAAAAAAACUACACGUUGUCCAAUUAUGAAUAAUGUUUCGUCCGUGUAACAAGAGCUUCGACGGUCAUUUUCUUAAGCAUAAUUAAAUAAAAAACUAAUCAUAGACUCUGAUUGUAAAGCAUUCCAAAAGAAAUUCAUAUGUCAGUUCUUCAACGCUUAUUGUGUUGGAAGCCUGUCCUCAAAUAUUCUCUCCUUCGCCUUGUCGGCCUGCAAAUAAAUAUCAGUUAUUUUUUCUUACUAUCCUUGGUACCAGUGCUUAGGGUUUUGAUAGACAGGUCGCUAGUUAUUGAAAUGAAACAUUUAAGACAAGGAGAAGCAUGCAUUAGGGCAACUCCAACUAUGUGCAUCAAAUCGGACACAUCUAACAUUCAUGGGCACGUCCGGACGUGUCCACAAAGAGCAUAUAGGGGGCGGCCAUCCAAGCCUAUGCACCAAAUGUCCGCACCUUUUCAAAGAAAAUAAAAUAAAGCUAGACCAAAUGUUGGCUCACUUUAAAUCAUCGAUCGAUAGCAAUUCAAAAGUGUUGGAUGAAAGUACUUCUCGAAAGCAGCCUUCAUUACAUACUUUCUCUCCUCGAGUUUGCACUUCUUCAUUACAAAUGUUGUUCAUCCAGAUGUUGUGCCCUUUGAGCUUCAUCCAACAGUGCAUAAAUGCGAAGAACUUGCCCUCCGUCCUUUGGUAUAGCAUGGGCUGCGCGUCUGGGCUAUACAAUGACGUGAUCAUCAAGUGUAACAUUGAGCAAUUUGCCAUUUGUGCUUGCUUCAUGUUAAACAAGGAGAAAGUCAAAGAAAUUCUCAAUGGUAUUUGGCCGAACACUUGCCGGGGUUGGCCUCCAUUAUGGAGGGCAUCGGCAAGGGGGCGGCCAAUGCAUGGGCUGCCGCCGGAUACUGGGUGCAACCGCGGCGAAGUACAAUGCGCCUGGUGGAGCAAUGGAGGUCUAGCAAGGCCUAGGCGCGGGACGGAGUGGUAUAGCAGCGGCGGUCUUGGUGGGUGCGGAUACAGAUUAAGAGUGGGACNNNNNNNNNNNNNNNNNNNNNNNNNNNNNNNNNNNNNNNNNNNNNNNNNNNNNNNNNNNNNNNNNNNNNNNNNNNNNNNNNNNNNNNNNNNNNNNNNNNNNNNNNNNNNNNNNNNNNNNNNNNNNNNNNNNNNNNNNNNNNNNNNNNNNNNNNNNNNNNNNNNNNNNNNNNNNNNNNNNNNNNNNNNNNNNNNNNNNNNNNNNNNNNNNNNNNNNNNNNNNNNNNNNNNNNNNNNNNNNNNNNNNNNNNNNNNNNNNNNNNNNNNNNNNNNNNNNNNNNNNNNNNNNNNNNNNNNNNAUAGUCCGACCAGGCGGGCGUCCGGACUCCCAAACCUCCAAUGAGUUUGCUUCCGGUUUGGCUGAUGUUGGACGUCCGGAUUAGGCCGCGGGCAUUUGAUGCAUGGCAGUGGAUGGCAAAAAAUGUACAGGCAGCGCAGUCCGGACCUUGCGGGCAAUUUGAUGCAUGGCAUUGGAGUUGCCCUUAGCAAUACCUAAGGCAUGUUCUGAUCACGAAUCAUCAGGCAUAAAAACUGAGAAAGGACUUACCAUCUUGUUCCAGUUUGUGGUAGCCGUAAUAACAGACAGGAGAGUGACCUGUGUGGCUCCACCAGCCAGUAUGCCAAUCCAAAACCCCUUUGCUCUUAGUUGCAUUGCAAAACCAAAGUAGAGUGCAACGGGGAUACCAACAAGAUAGAAGGCACCCAGGUUAACAUAAGCCCCUAGAUGCUGCCAUCCACAGCCCCGAGACACACCUGAGUGGUGCAAUGGAAGCAUUCAGUCUAUUAGUUUAAUUUAGUUUAUGAUGCUAUAUGCCAAAAGAAAGACAUGUGGAUACCUUGAAGGACUGCCAUGAGGCUGUCUGUAAUUGCUGAAAUGGAAAGUAGGGGUACCAUUCUUGUGACAUAACGCCUGACCUCUUCCUCAUUGCUGAACGCAAUUCCAAUAAAGUGGCGCAGUAAUAGAAGAGUUGUGCUCACUAAGAAUGCUGAGCAGACCACAAUAGACAAGGCAACACACACCACCAAGCGGGGACCUUGUGUGUUGCCGGCGCCUAAUUCAUUUGAGACGCGCACACUGGCACACGGACAACAUAUAUACGUAGCAUGUUAAAUUCUGUAGAAACAGGUGAUACUGACGAUAUAUAGCAACAAAUGCACUAGCUAGUAGCUACCCACCUGGUAGCUAUUCCAAUGCCGUAAGGAAGGUUGGCCAACAGUAUCAUUGUAGAUACGCUGUUCCAAAAGGACAUCAGUAUGGUAAACUUCAUAGAAUAUGAUGGAUUCAAGUAUAAUCUUAUUUAGGGUUCUACUAAUGCAUACCAUAUAGAAAGCACAGAGGUUUCCAGUGCAGGAUUUGGUAACAUCCCGGAAAGCAGAACAAGCAGCUCGUAAGACCACCACUCCAGACUGUGGUCAAGGAAAGCUAGGUUAAUAUUCAGAGGUUUCCGGGAUGUUUUGAUGCUAGAGAAUACAUAAUUAGAAGCUAAACUUAAAGUAAUAUAUGUGCAGAAAUUAUCCAGUUCAUUUCAAGAGGAGAGGGAAGAAUAUAUCCAGUGGUAUUGCGAGCGGGUGGCAAAAAAACAAAAGGUAUCUGAUCAGGAUCUGCUCACAACAAAGGCGAAGACGAAGACGGACUUUCUUUUGUUGAAAGAUGUCUUCACAACAAAGACGAAGAGGAAAACAAACUUGAUUUGGACAAUCAAUCCGAGACGAGCCGACAUUUCAAAUUUUCAAAUGGUUUGUAAAAGACCAUCAUCCUUUUCUGACAGUAUUCUAACAGACCAAUCAAGUGUGCAAGGGUGCUGUGGCAAGAACAACAGAAAAAUAGUAUUUCCUCCAUCCGAAAAUAAGUGUCGCUCAAAUAGAUGUAUCUGGACGUAUUUUAGUGCUAGAUACAUCCGUUUGAGCGGUACUUAUUUCCAGACGGAGGGAGUAGGUAUGAACGAACAUAAGUAGAAAGAGAUAUAAAAAAUAGCAACAAUGCUUGGAUCUUAUGGGCUGCAAGUGCACCACUAUUAAAAAGGUUUUGCCACGUACUUGUUAUUAUUAAUAUAUUUUUUGAGAGGAACGUACUUGUUAUUUUCCAUGCUGACACCUUUAGAAACGUUGGCUACUGAUACACAAACUAUAUAGAUUUGUCACAUGAAGAUACCAUUAGUGUUAUGAAUGAUCACAUCAUUAUAAUUAUAAUCUUAAUUAUUUGCCAAAAGGUGCACGUUGGAAACUAUAUUAAUGUCCACAAGAACAAGUAAAAGUGAAUGAAGAGUGCAUAAGAGUUUGCUGUAUUGGACAAUAUUUUGCUUGCCAAAAUAUGAAAUACUAGAUAAAAUAGCAUAUGUUAUUUUUUGUGCUAGAGGUUAAAACAACAUCAUUAUAGAAACAUGGCAAAUAACAUUUACUUACCAAAUCAUAAGAGCCGAUGGUACAGCCAAACGCAUGAAACUGCCAAUCCCUCUAAAAGCUUCCCACGAUGGUGGAGCGCGUGUUUUCUCACAAGAGGGUGAGAACUUAAUGUAAAGGCCAAGAAAAGUCACUUCAACCCAAUCACAAAUGCUAACGGAUAAAGCAGCUCCAGCAUUACCCAUCCCAACUUUGUAAACCAUGAACCAGCAAAGAGGAAGAAAUACCGCAAUUGUAAUCAAGGAGCUAAGAACCAUUGGAAAUAUUAGGCUUUGACAUUGCAGAAACUUUGAAAAGCAUUGAGUAACACCGAAGGCAAAUAAACCAGGGAUAAGCCAUAAUGCAUAUUUGCCAGCCUCAUUUGCAAUUUGUGGUUCCUGGCCCAUGAGAGGAAGUACUUCCGGGAUGAAACACCAAACAAUGGAGAUGGGCACACUCACAACAAGAAGUGCAAUGAUGGACCUGUAGGUACAUAAAGAUAAUGUAUGAUAUUGUUCUGCUCCAUAGGCCUGCCCACAAAGAGUUUCCAAUCCGCCUGCCAGUCCAAUCUAAAAGGGAAACUGCAUCAGUAACAAAUUAUACAUAUUGUUGCUGAAUAAAUGGAAGUUAAACUAGGAUAAAGUGCAUCGACAUUACUGAAAGAAGAGUUUUGCUACACCUACACAUUAAUCUUAUGGAAUUAAAUUUACAGGAUGAGGUGGCAACAUCUGAUUGGAAGGGAGGAGACUCAUAGUAAAUUCGGGGAAGACGGGUUACUUGGAGGUUAGGGGGGAGGGGUGGCAGUCCAUACGGGUCGCUCAUAAGUUUGGAUUUUCGCUGAAAGAAUAUCAAGAAUAACAAACGUGGCUUGUGCAAGGUGGGCAACAGUUGCUAUGAAGAUUUUGUUUCAAUCAUCACUGCAAAGAAUGCGAACAUCACCCUGGCCGAAUUUUCUCAACACCCAACUCAGUCGGAUCAAGUGACUGAUUAUAUUUUUCGCGGGAAUAUAAUAGAUCGAUAUUGCCCACCGAAACUAGCUAUAUGUACAGCGGGGUGGGGUGAAUCAAGCACCACAGGUCCAUUGUAAAAAAGAUUAAUCGAACGACCUAGCUAGCCGCGUGCGGUCGGCGCUAAUCAGAAAGGUUGAGAAAUGGAACCAUCUGAUUUGAUUCAUUCCCAGUAGUCAUGAGAUGAUCAUUUUUUUUUAGAAAAGAGGGGAGAUCCUGAAUGAUCCACACAACCUUUUGUUUAUCAUAUCAAAGUACAUCAUCUGACCAUAACAAAGUUCAUCUUGCCAACGGAUGCUUCUAUUACACUCGUGGUCUCUAAAAGAUGAGAACCCACUAUGUAGCAUCCACAUCAAUAAUUCAAGCAUUUAUGUCCUUAGUACGAUUCUUUGUAGGAACUAUCCGUAAUAACAAAGAACAUCAGAAGUAGCAGAGAUCUCCGCACGAUGCAACUGGAUAAAUGGCGGUCGCAUGGAGGGAGAAGACACUGAGACAUCUGGACCGGUCGCCGAUCUUGUACACAUCCGGAUGGGAUUCAGGGGCUGCUCUAACGGAAUUGAAAGUACCAAUAGCUAAACAUAAACGAAAUAAAUUAAUGUGCGCUGCAUGCUUGCUCACAAGGACGCUGAAGCCGGAGACGUUGGUGAGGGAGUUGGCGAUGGCCGCACCGGCGAGCGCGACGUCGCCGAGGUGCCCCACCAUGACGGUGGAGAUGAACUGCAUCGUGACCUGCAGCAGCAUCACCACCACCAUCGGCGCCGCAAGCCCCGCCAGCUGCGCGGCUUCCCUACACCAGCGCCGGCUGGUACUGCCGGGCUCUUCCCACCUCGCGGCCAGCAGCGGCGCAUCGGAAGAAGAGUCCAUGGAUCCCCCCGACCAAAGCUCUGCCCAAGCAACGUGGGUGUGGUUAAUGAAAAUGGUAAAUGCGGGAGCUACCAUCCGUCUAGCUGUCUCCCUUUGCACAAUGCAUGGAGCUCGAACUAUAUAUAGAGUAUUACUCCAGUCGUAGUAGCUACGGAAACUAUUUCCUCUGUCCAGAUUUAUUAGUUUUGUCAGAGCAUCGGUAAUUGAGGAGCUAAUUUGAUUUCAUAUACAUCCACUGACCCGUCUUGGCGCUGUUCAGGCAUAUUCACUUAAGCCCACAUUUAUCUGUGCACGCAGUGGUAACCCCACUUUUCUCCCUAUUAUAUGCCCGAUUACAUGCAUAUGAAUGGUAGGGACAGAACCUCAAAAAAAAAAGAAUGGUAAGGACAAAAAAAGAAAAUAAAAGAAAAUAGUGAAGGUGAAAAAGUGGUCCGGACUCUGGAGUGUGCCAAAUUCGACGUGGCAGACUGCUCAGACAUACCACAACAUCUCAUACCCUUUCCACGUAUGGGCUCGGUAUAAGGGGUGCCAGAAAGCCCGCGCCCAUGUAUAUAGUUUUGAGUUAAUGAUACUCCCUUUCAUCCAUAUUACUUGUCACACGGACGUAUUUAGACGUUUUUCAGUGCUAGAUAAAUUCGUUUGAGCGACAAGUACACUAGUAGAAAAAGGACCUUACGUGAGACACAUUAGUCCCGGUUCAAUUUUGGCUCGGUACUAAUGGUAUUAGUCCCGGUUCAAACGGCUAUGCAUUAGUCCCGGUUCAUGUUGAACCUUUAGUACCGGUUCGUGCCACUAACCGCUACUAAAGGGGUGGUGGCAGGCUGGCGUCAGGCCGGGGCCCCACGAGCCCCUUUGACUAAAGGGGUUUAACCUUUAGUCCCGGUUGGAGACACAAACCGGGACUAAAGGGCAAUUAUCAAACUCUACCCCCCUCCCCUCUCCCUGUCUAUCGCCAUUUCAGUUUUGAAAAAAACAAAACAAAAUGAUAAAAACUUCAAAAAUUAAGAUCCUUCGAGAUGUAGUUAUGUUACUACAUCUACUAGUUAGGAAAAUUUAAAAACUUAAAUUUGGACAUGUUUUGCAAAAAAAUAUGAUGAAAAGGUAAAACAACUAUAUCUUUUGCAUCCGAUAUCGGAAAACAACGUAUAAUAUAUCAAAAUGUUCAGCACGAAAAUACGCAUCCGAUUUUGACGGCUGUAGGCCGUUUUGCAAAUUUUUAGAAUCCUCAAACUCUAAAAGGAAAAAAGUUAUGCUCACAUUUCAGUUUUUUUUUUGAAUUUUGGUCAAACUGUGGUCAAACUACUUAUUCAAGAAAUAUUAGUGUUACUAAAUAAUUAUUUCAGUUUUUUGAAUUUUGGUCAAAUCUGGUCAAACUAUGGUCAAACUACUUACUCAAGAAAUAUUAAUGUUACUAAAUAAUUAGUGUUUUUUAGAAUAAUAGUUUCAAACUCAAACGAUGAACGUGUGACUUCAUGCUCAAGCUAAACUCCUGAGGGUUAAUAGGAUUGACAGCUUAAUAUUGUUAGGAAACAACAAGUGCGGACUUGGAAACUAGGGGGAAUAGAACUCAGAAGUUAAGCGUGCUCAGGCUGGAGUAGUAAGACGAUGGGUGACCGGCCGGAAACUUAGGUGAUUUGGGAUGAGUGAUCCACACUUGAGCAGUUAUGAGUGGUGAUUAGAGACUAAAUCGUCAAAUAAUUAAGAAAAUUGAAAAUCGGGAAAAAAAUCAAAGUUUUUUCCAAAAAAUUCAAAAAAAAAACCUUUAGUCCAGGUUGGUGUUACCAGCCGGGACUAAAGGUCCCGCAUACCACGGCGCGGGCUCGUGCCACGUGGUGGGCCUUUACUGGCGGUUCGUGUUGAACCGGGACUAAAGGGGGGGCCUUUGGUCUCCAACCUUUAGUGCGGGUUCCGAACCGGCACUAAAGGCCCUUAAGAACCGGCAUGAAAGCUCCGUUUUCUACUAGUGGUAAUACAUAUCAGAUGGAGUAGUGGAUUUAACUAGACGGGGAAGCAACGGAUGGGCGGCGGCUUUCAGAUAUGACGAUGGUGGUCCUACCGGGGUGGCUUGUUCGGCGGAGCGGGUUGGGAUGGCACGGGCCAGAGGCUGCUUCGCUGCCUCCCAAAGGUGGUGGUGGGCUGCGGGUGUAUGCGACAACUCAGAUCCGUCGUGGAUCAUCUGGUUGAUGCGGGAUCGACUCUGGCCUACCUUGGCUUCUCUGACGCGGCUCUGGUGGGCGGAGGGCUAGGUCAUGGCAGGGAGCUCCCCCUGCCUUGGUCUUGUUCGGCCGUCAUGGCAGCGAGCUCCCCCUGCCUUGGUCUUGUUCGGCCGUCAUGGCAGGGAGCUCACCCUACGCGUUUUGGCUCACGGGCUCAGAUGAGUCCGGGAAUGAACAAAAAAUCAUUAAAAAUUACUAAAUAAAUUCAAAAAAAAUCUGAAUUUUUUUUGUGCAGAAAUAUAACUGAGUGUCUGAUGUUCGUACCGAAUUUCAGAACACUUGAAUGUUUGAGUAGCUCUCAGCAAAAAAGGACGAAUUUAAUGUAUGUGAAAAAGGUUACUAUUUGUGCAUUGUCUGGACCCUUUUUUUACUGAGAGCUAAUCCGAUGUCCAAAUGUUUUGAAAUUUGGCACGCACUUCACACACUAAAAUAUCUUCCAUUCAAAAAAAUAGAUUUUAAAAAAAAAAUCUAUUUUUGCUGAAUUUACUGUUCACCAGGUGGAGCAGCGUCGAAGACCACAGACAUGGUGUCGGGCGAGCGCGCUCGGAGACAGAUGUCUGUAGUUGUGUCUCCCCCGGUCCACCGGGACUGGCUGGAGAUGCAGGCGUGGGUGCCUCCUACCAUGGAGGCAUCGAUCCAGACUAUGUGGCUGAUGUAUGGCUAUGAUUGUAAGGGGACGCCAUUUGCUUCUCCUACCGUGGUGGGUGCACCGUGAUGUGGGCGGUUGGUGGUGUCUCUGAUAUGGAUGUCGAGGUGGCAACCCUGGAUGGCGGUCUGAUGGUUCGCUCUCUAGCGGGCCCCAUGGCAGCAGUGAUAGGUGGAGCGACGGGUGGCUCGGGUGUGCUCUUUGUCUCCGGCAGUGGUGACACCUAGAUCCAGAUCUGGAGGUCUGAACUCGUCGUGCUUACCCUGGAGACCUCGUGGUGUCAUGGGGGAGCUGUCGAGUAAAGCCCCAUGCUUUGCCGUCAACGAGGGUGAUGCUCGCGGGUGCCGCUUUGCUCUUAAAGAUAUCACCGUGGUGCUCUUCUUCUUGUCUGGGCUCGGAGUAAAAACCUUUGUUCGGUGUGGACUCAACAACGCUGACACUUAGGGCUAUUCGCUCUCCUAAGAGUGUUGUCGUUGAGCUUAGAUGUUAUAGGGCAUAGUGUGACGUUGCUAUCGGUUCUUCCUAUGCUCACUUUGGUAGUAUAGCUGCAUGCGUUCUGUGUGAUCCGGUUAUCCUGGGAUCUAUUAGAAUAAUCCGAGGCAUACCGUUGAUCAUCCGAGGACCAAGGAACCACACGAGCACGACACCGAGAUUUGUUAACGAGGUUCACCUUGGCUACAUCCCCGGGGCUUGACUAUGGGCGCUCCUCCCCAUGACAUCGCUACAAUACCGCACCCCGUCGCCCUGCACGCCGGCACAUGCCGCCGGCUUCCCUUGCGUUCCUAUGCUAUUAUGUUGGCAUGGGUUACAUCGUGUGUCUACCCCCAUUAUAUAUGAGAGGCCUAGGAUACAAGUGUCCUAUUAGGACACGACUCUAUAUCCUAUCUAAACACAAUACUACUCAAAGUCCAACUCUAACCUAUCUUAUACGCAAUAUUCGACACAACUCUAACAGGAUCUGCAUUGUAUGAGGACUACCUCAUCACCUUGUAUUGGUCAGCCAUGCACUUUGUUCGGUUGUUGCAUUAUACUCUCUCUGUUCAGAAUUAUUGGUCGCAGAAAUGGAUGUAUCUAGUUAUAUUUAUAUAGUUCUAUAUACAUCAAUUUCUAUUCAUUUUUGAGACAGGUAGUCCCGGACGGAAGGAAUAUAUAAAGCGGGGCGCCUGGUUCAAACUUUAAAGAGAGACAUAACCACAAAGGAGACGUAAGAAGGCAAAUAACUACAGCGCAAUUGAUGUCAUGUCAGCAAGAAAUGUUCUUAAGGGCCACUCCACAGCUUCCCACUACGAACCUAAAUCUUCAUGAAACUUGAGAAAAUCAUACUCGACGAAAAUCAUACGCUUGUUUUAGAUGCCUGUCGUCGUUGGUUGCUACAGAAGAUGGAUUUAAAUAAUUGAAAUUAAGUUUUUUUUUAGCACUCUCUCUGAGCCAAAUUAAUUAACAUAGCUCUAGUACAACUUUUUCUUUUUGAGUUUGGACUUGGUUUGGCUGUGUGCAUCUUUUUUUUUGAAAUGUUGGCUGUGUGCAUUUUAGUUAUGCAGAAGCCAGAUAAUACUUAAAAACUUUGUAAGCAAUAAAGCGCCCCUUAUCGAACAAUAGAAUUAUGCAGAGGACUAACACUUAACUCUCGAGUAGUAACUGGUUGAAACUUACCAGCUCUACGUGGUUGAUGUUGACAUCCAAUUUCGAAUACAGAACAUAUUUCCCAAACCAUUCAAAAACAUCACAUUGCCAUCUUGGUUAUUACCCUUUAACCUCCUCACAGCAGAUUCCAUCUGCAUACACUCAGUGUAAGAACGCAGCAGAUCCAUUAAAACAUGUAGUACGAAUUAUCACGUUAUACUAAAAUUUUAGAAUCAACAAGACAUUAGCUACAUAUUGACUUCUUUAAUUAUUUAUGAAGACUGCCUCUAGAGAAUUGUUGGCAUGUCUAUGACGGUAAAUUUGCAGCUCAGUUAAAGUGUGCUUGGUUGGUUAAACAAGGUAUACUAGAUGAUUUUCCCGCGCGUUGCUGCGGGAUUUUAAAGAUUAAUUUUGGAUAUAUUAUAUAAGAAUGAAAUGAUCUAAAUCAAAAGCUAUUAUUUUCAAAAGUAAUUAUAUGUGAACAAAGAGUAUGCAUGUACGUUGGACCAUUGGAGAUGGAACAAUUAAAUUGGAGUAUGCAUGUGCUACAAAAUAAUUCUAGUGGGUGAUGAUAUGUGGAGGGCUGCAUGUUGAGAUAAUUAGACUUAAUGGGAUCAACUAUAUAUUUAUUAUAGAUGGGAUAGGUUGUUUGCUUGGUUGGGUGGAUGGGAGUAUCAAAAAAGAUUAAUUAGCUAAAUGAUACCUCCUAACUUCUACAUUAACACCAUCAAGACCUAGUGAACCUACUUAAGUCAAACCAGAAAAACAUGUACCUGUUUCAGAUAAUCAUCCAUGAACAUGAUUGCAUGGUCAUCAUGCCCAGUACUGAGUUUGAAAACAUGAAGUACAUUGUCUUUCUUCAAUGACUGCAAAAAUGAUUUCUAUAUAUGUUCAGAUUUUCAUCAAAGCAAGGAAAAUUUUCUCUGGUGCAGUUGAAGAUUACUACACAUUGGUAAACAAUAAUCACCAACAGUUUAACACAAGAAUAGCUAGAAAAGAAUCCAAAGGUAAAACACAAACUCAUCAUUGCAUUACAACAGUUGUGUAUACAUAAAGAAUUAUUGCAUAAGUUCAAAACAAUACCUUGAAAUCUCUGGCAGCUUGUGUCCUGUCCUUCACGCUAUUAUAGUUUGGGACUGCAAAAUGAAUGGUUGUGUCACAGCCUACAAGUGAACACAAGAAAAAGGUGAAUUUCGGAUCUGAAUCACCAUUAAAAAAGGAAACAGUUAGAGAAGAAGCACACACUGAGUUUAUAUAACCAUCUUUAUUAUAUAACAACAUGUUACAUGGGAGUAUUGUUACAUCCCUCCAUUAAGAGGAGGAGCAAACAUAAGUACAAGAGUUUAAUAGUGGCCGUGUCCCCCAACCCACAAAUAACUUUGGCACAUGCACGCACAGACCAGAAUUUUGCAACAGAAAACAUCACUAACCUAUGCACACGGUGGCUCUCGCAGCCAGUGAUGGUAGGCCUGAAUCGUCGCUCCACCUCUGCCUUGAUGUUGUUGGCCAUUGUCUGAAGGUCCUGGUUCUCUCCCUCGAACACCAGGUAGCUAUGUUCUCUCCAAAAUCCCUACGGGCCAAAUUUGUACAAUCACUAUCGAGUCCAGGUCUUUUUGCCGAUCUUUUGGCAGUGCUUUUCACCUAGACAGCCACCAAAUUCACCUGAAGUGGCGAGCUGUUCAUUUUAAAAUGACUUGCCACAGUUAUGUCAACCAGGAUCAUUGCUCUCUUUCUCGGCCUCCCGCAGAACUUCACAAGUUAUGAGUUUGCUGUAUGAGUAUAUAACUGAAUGAAGUAGUCUUUGAACCUGCAAACAGAGCACUUAAUCUACUUCUCAACGCACUGGAAUUUUUUGCAAUGUCUCUCUGUACUAAUUGUCCACUGCUACCCUACCACGAAGAAGUAGCGAUUUCUCCACCAAUCCAGCUCGCAAUCGGAUUAAACACUAGGCAAAGAAAUUCCUCUCUGCAACUAUAUAUCCAUACAAAAGUACCAUUUACUCCUGGAUCGAGCACUAAGCCACUAACUGACGGACGGAGAAUGGAUGACUAACCUUCUAGUUGCAACCGCAUGACCUCUGACCUGCCCUGCCGGCGGCUCACAGCGAUGGAUAGCGGACUAGCCUGCCAUCUAGGGUAAUUGCAGACGGCCAGAGUUGCAACGGAGGCCUCAUCGUGAUACACGACGACCUCCGUAGCUGGGAUCAGAUGUAUUUUCUAAUUUGAAUUGAAUAUGUAGUGUCACCAUUCCAGAUUUUUGGUACAUAUGAACAAAAAUAAAUUUAUUCAUGGGCCAUUCAACACUUUUCAACUCAUCGGAUACUGGCUCAGAUCGAGUUCACAUAUCAUUAACAUAUUUCGAACCAAAUCCAUAAUCAUAAAAUCCUCUGGUUUUAUUCAAACAAGCGGUGGAGAUGCCCCAUCCCUCCUAGCAUUGUUUUUCCUUAUCAUUUAGGAUCUCUUCAUUCAGCCUUUAAUAGAUUAAUAACAAAAAAACAUAAGUAUGGCCUAGAUAUAUAAGAUGCUUCAGAAUAGCUGGGCACAAACAAGUUGGCAUGAAACGGUCUAGAACUUCUUUUGCGGGAAAAAAUCUAGACCUUCUCAAAAUCCAACAAAUAAAAUAUGCUCGUUGUCCAUGAUCUAGGAGGGUAUCUACGAAUAGGUACUUAAGGUUUGUUCAUGAAAAGUAUUAAAAUAUUUGGCAAUUUUCCUUUUGGGUAGACAAAGUACCUAGAAAUAUGUAAAUUCAUGCUUAUACACCUGAACAUGCACCAUAGUAGACCAAAUUAUGUUGCCAAAGUAUAACGAACAUAUUAUAUUUUUGAAUAGGUUAUCUGUGUAAAUGGUCUACACAAUUCAAAUAAGUAUCAACUUCAUGCCCAAAAGAUUUAGUAAAAGGUACCGGGUGGUCCCAAUGAAAUAUUUACAUAACAUUACAAACUUAGUCCACCAAAAGAAUGAUUUGAUCCAGAAAAAUCCUUCUUCACACAUAGAUCGAACUGAUGAUGACGUAUCUAGAGUUAGGACCGGAUAUAUGCUAGUAACUUGUAAGCAAUUACCAUCCUUUACAUGUAAGGGAAUUCUAUGAGUCAUGUCAUGAUCUAUACCUCUCAGUUCAUCUUAUCAUCUUAGAGAACAAUACAAAGUUAGUUUUAUAAAAAAGCAACCGAGUCUAGACGAACCCUCCACAUACAAGGCUUUAAUAAUCGAGCAUAUCUUAACAGUCCACACACGAUUGCAACUUAGUCCUACACAGGUUUUGCCUUUCUUGUUUAUGGUUGACAGCCUAUACAAGGUUCCAAACUCGGUUGCAAAAGUGAUACUAUCCUGAUAAAUGUGUGACAUGUAAAGUGAAUAAGGCGAGUCAUAUAUACCACACAUCAGGGUUUCUAUAAUUUGUGUGUGAUCAUAUGCACAACUAAAAAGCAACUUUGAUGAUCAAUCCAAAAGUACGCUUGUAGCUAGUGCAACCUAACACAAUGUACCAAAAAAUCAUUUCUGAUGCAUCCAAAUAGAAUUAUUUAAGUUGAUGCAAAGAAGGAAAGAGGUGGUGCCCGGACUACUAUAAAUAGGCAUGAAGUAUAAUGAUCAUCACAAGCACAAGCAUCAAAACCAAGCAAAAGUAGUUAGCACCAAUCCAUCAUGAAGACCUUCCUCGUCUUUGCCCUCAUCGCCGUUGUGGCGACAAGUGCCAUUGCACAGAUGGAGACUAGCUGCAUCUCUGGUUUGGAGAGACCAUGGCAGCAGCAACCAUUACCACCACAACAGUCAUUUUCACAACAACCACCAUUUUCACAACAACAACAACAACCAUUACCUCAACAACCAUCAUUUUCGCAGCAACAACCACCAUUUUCGCAGCAACAACCAAUUCUAUCGCAGCAACCACCAUUUUCACAGCAACAACAACCAGUUCUACCGCAACAAUCACCAUUUUCGCAGCAACAACAACUAGUUUUACCUCCACAACAACAACAACAACAACUUGUGCAACAGCAAAUCCCUAUUGUUCAGCCAUCCGUUUUGCAGCAGCUAAACCCAUGCAAAGUAUUCCUCCAGCAGCAGUGCAGCCCUGUAGCAAUGCCACAACGUCUUGCUAGGUCACAGAUGUGGCAGCAGAGCAGUUGCCAUGUGAUGCAACAACAAUGUUGCCAGCAAUUGCAGCAAAUCCCCGAACAAUCCCGCUAUGAAGCAAUCCGUGCCAUCAUCUACUCCAUCAUCCUGCAAGAACAACAACAGGGCUUUGUCCAACCUCAGCAGCAACAACCCCAACAGUCAGGUCAAGGUGUCUCCCAAUCCCAACAGCAGUCGCAGCAGCAGCUCGGACAAUGUUCUUUCCAACAACCUCAACAGCAACUGGGUCAACAGCCUCAACAACAACAACAACAGGUACUACAGGGUACCUUUUUGCAGCCACACCAGAUAGCUCACCUUGAGGCGGUGACUUCCAUUGCACUCCGUACCUUGCCAACGAUGUGCAGUGUCAAUGUGCCGUUGUACAGCGCCACCACCAGUGUGCCAUUCGGCGUUGGCACCGGAGUUGGUGCCUACUGAUAAGAAAAGUUGU